rnacentral:lncRNA from 1 species
CUCGAUCUAAUAUCAUAAGGAUACUAAAGUGUAGUUGACUCUUUAUAGUUAGAUUUUGAGUCAACUUUAAAAUUGGAUUUUAGGGGAGCCAACACUUCCCUACGGGUCCUAGUGGUUCCCACUCAAACUCAUAUUCCUUGGUAAAAAAUAUUUGAGGAAUAGUUGGAUUCUUUAUUUAUAUGUGUGUAUAAGAGCAUUUUGGUAAAUACGGAAGGUUGCACUAGUACAUAUAAAUAGCGUUUUUAGAUUCGAAUAAUUAAUUAAUUGGAGCUCAAUAGAACAAAUUAGUUAAUUAGGACCCAAUGAGUUAGAUUAAGUAACCCAAACGUAAGAUGAGCUCAAGUCACUCAAGCUAAGAGGUAAGCCUAUAUAAACUCCUUAAAGGGUUUAAGACUUAGUACUUUUCAUCCAUUCAAUCUUCUAUCUUAAUAUCUUAAUAAAACCAAAAUGAGAGUGUAGAGUAUAAAAAUAAAAAUGAAAAAGAACUUCUCAUGAGAAGUGAGGUUUGCCUCAACUCUCCUUAUUCAAACCAUUAUCACAUCUUUGGAUUUGAAAUUAUAUCAAAUAAACAUUCAAAUUGUUUUUCUCAAUGGAGAACUAAAUAAGAAGAUCUAUAUAGAUCAACUGACUUGUUUUAUGGCAACUAAAUAGAAAGGCAAAGUUAACAACUACAAAGGUCCAUUUAUAACUUACAAUAAUCAUCUAAACAAUGGUAUAUUACACUAAUGGGUUUAUGAUGGUCUAAGAACACUAUUGCAUGUUUGUUAAAUGGUGUAAGGGUAGAUUCUAUAUUCUAUUUUUUGUAUACGAAUGAAAUGUUGGUUAGGGAUGAUAAUGAGAUGGUUGUCUCUAAAGUGUGGUGGUCGUCAACUUUUAAAAUGAACAACAUGCUUAAAGCAAACUAUGUGUUCAAAGUUAUGAUCCUAAUCAAUCAAUCAAGAAGACUUUUUGGUUUGUUUUACAAAUCAUACACAAUGAAUAUUCUUGAAAAAAUUCUAGAAGUAAAAUUGAAAAUCUAUUGGCAUUCAUAUAGAGAAAGAUAAGACCUUAAGCUUUAACAUGUGUCAUAAGACUUUAGAUGAAUAGGAAAAGAUCACUCAAGGUUCCUAUAUGCUAGCAUUGUUAGUAGCUUAAAGUAUCCAAUGAUGUGCACAUGAACUAAUACUUGUUAUAUAAUUAGGCUAGUAGCUUCCAAUUAGAUCUAAACCUUGUUUACGAAAAAGCAAUGAACUGGAUGAUUUCGUACCUCAAAGUCACCAUAGGCUAUAUAAUUUGCUAUUAAGGAUUGAAUUUGGACUUGAUUAGCUAUGACAAUGAUAAUUGAUGUAGCAUCAUAAAUGAACCCAAAUCCACAUAUGGUUAUAAUUUUAUAUAUGCUCUAUGAUGUUAGCAUAUAUUGGUGAAAUAGAAAACAAUCAUGUAUAACAUUGUCUAACAUGCAUGGAGUUGGGAGUACAUUACUUGUCGUUUAGGAAAGUGACUAGUUUAUGAUGUUCAUACAUAUUUUUCACAAUAUUGCUUGUUCUUUUGAGCAUACUACUAUUUAUUGUGAUAGCAUGGUAACUUUAGCCUAUGUCAAAGACCCCCCCAAGUAUCAUAGUUGAACCAAUCACAUCAAUCUUAAAUAUUAGUUUAUAUGAGACAUGGUUACAUAGGAACAUAUUUCUACUUGAUGCAUGGUUAAAAAUCCCACCCUCCCCUCCCCCCUUGUUAACUAAGCUAAUACGUAAAGAUGUUUAUUAGGGUCAAGUUGAGAGCAUUGGAUUAUGUAGAUAAUGAUUACAUAGGAGUUAAGUUAAGAGAAUUUGAUCAUGUAGAUUAUGAUUACAUAUUGUAUAUUUCAAUUAACCAUUAUACCUAUGAUUUAUUCAUUGUCCAAUCUUGUUUGAUGGUGGCAUUUAAUUAUUUGUUUUACUUUAUCGACAUGCACUUUCAUUACUUUGCGCAACUGAAACAUAAUGAGUCUAAACCACUUAGAUAGUGUGUUAGGUCAUUGAUAUUUGUAGUACUCCUUUUGUAUCCAAUAUGACUUACAUGUUAGUAGCGACCAAGUAUAGAUAGUCCUAUUGUCUACAUUUGUAAUGGAGUCAAUUGCCAAAUCUUGUUAAUGUAGUGCUUGAUUUAGUAAGCAUGUGCAAAACUUCAAUUCUUUACUUGAUGUAAUUAAACUAAGAUUUGUAUGAUAUAGAAUAUCUAAGGUACACUCAUAAUGAAGAUCUCCAUGUUAGCAUGUAUAUUCAUACUAUAUCUUCUUCGCAAUCAAACAAGAAUGAAUGAAUAUAUUCCUAGCUACUUCCUCAUCUUGUGCAUUAAUCUUAUAGGUCAUUAUAUAUGCUAACUUUUAUGCCCUUGUGAUUUUCAGUCAUAAGUUACAUAUAUGGUGUAGUUUGAAAUAUUUUUCUAAGGGGAUUAACCAUGUUUAACUCAAUGUGAAUAAAUGUGUUUAAGAUAUAACGAGACACCUUUUAGGGAUGAAUUACACUGGUUAAAAUGAAAUUUAGUUUAAUACUCUUACACCUUUCUUAUCAAUGUGUUCAAAAGUUGUACAAUCCAUUAGUCAAUAUAAACAUGGAUGGUAAUGAUAUAGUUAAGAGAAAUGCAUGAUGUUAUUUUGCCUACUGUGCAUGAGUGGGAGACAAUGGAGUUUCUAUUUCAUGAGAUACUCUUAGUAGAACUUCAUCAACUAAGAACUUGAGAGUAAGUUGCAUACUUAUCAGUUAAGAUUCCUCUUGUGGGAGGAGGUUCAUAUUAGAUUUGGUGAGAAUCUAUAAGAGUUGUUUGUCUUUUUGUAAUUCCAAUUCAACUCCUUUUGCAUGUUUUCAAUUUAGUUUGUGGCAGUUGUUAAAUACUUCUACUUUAGUUUUUAGCAAUUAUAAUUUUUUAAAGCUUGCUAUUUAGGUUUAGAUUUACUGUAUGCUUAUUAGAUAUCUUAAUUCUUAUUGUAUUCUCCUUGGUUAAUAAUCUUCCAAUUUGAUCGUGGAGUUCAAAGAUUUUAACCAAAAUAGGGAUUAGGGUUUUCAAAGUUAGGAAAAGUAUUUAAUAUAAUUAAUUUUUGAAUAAGUUUGCAAGCUAAAUCUUUCAAUUGAACCUAAUGAGUUUACAUACUAAAUCUCUUAUUUUCGGCCUUGGUUGUUUCCACUCUUUGCAAUUUAAUUAGUUUUUUUUUUCAAAUAUAUAUAUAUAUAUAUUUAUAAUUCAUUUUGUGUACCUAUAUACUCAUGUUUUUGAGUAAUUAUGAGUUGUAUUGUUAUAUUUAGUAGAAUUUGACAAACUAAAAAUACUUACCUUUGAACAAUUGAGUCCAACAACACAUUUGUGUGGAUAGUUCAUAGCUACCAACUUGAUUCUUCAUGCCUCCUCUAUUAGGUUGACUAAGAAAAUGGUUUAAUUUCACAAGAACACCUUAAGAAUAAAAAUGUCAAGAAAAAAGGAAGGAAAAUUAUGCUUCAUCUAAUUUGACUCCAAGACUUAAAGGAAAAAACAUAAUAAUAUAAUAGUUAUUAUAAUGAAUAUAAUAAAAAGAAAAUUUGUCAUGUUCUUCCCAAUACUCAUAAAACCCCUUUCAAUGAAACUUUGUAAGCUAUACUAAUACAAAAUAAUGGUCCAUAUAGUAAAAGCUCAAUAAAUGAAUGUUUGAUAAAUUAAUAAUCUUACUUAUAAAACAAAAUAUUCUAGUCUUAACUCAAGCCAAUGUACUAAAUUAGUAAUCUUGCUAAAUGCAUAAGAUAAAAAUAUUUUCAAAAAUCUUUAAGGGCUUAAGAAAUAUAAACUAAUAAUUGAUGAAGUAUAAACAAAAAAUCAUAGUAUAGCAAAUAGAACUUCAUAAUAUAGUAUUAAGUAAUUUUUUAUAACUUUUAUUUUUCUAAAUUCACUUCUUUUAGAAUUAUUACAUAUUUGAAAUAGCUUUAUCUUUUACAACAUUAAGUUUUGAUGCCACAUCUUUGUUGGGGAGUCUUUUUUUCUUUUACAAUCAAUAACUAUUUUUUUUUUCUUCAGUCUCUCAGGUUUCUAUGUAUUAACUUUUUACCACGUGUACUAUUUUUAAAUUUAUAAGUCAUACAUGUACAAAUAAUGUACAAUAACAACAUAAUACUCUUCAUCAAUUAAUAAAUAACCAUUUAUCUAUAAAUUAAUAACCUUGCUAAGAUCAUUUUUUUUCUUGGUCCUAAGAGUAUUAUUUUAUAAGAGUUUUUCUCUAUAUAGUUCCUUCAUUGUAGGAAUUUCUUUAGGUUAAUAUUACUAAAGUUGUAAUUUAGAAAAAAAAAAAUAUUAUGGAAACUAAGAGAAAUUUGAAAGCUAUAAAUUAGUGUUUUAUAUCAUUCUUUUUUCCUAUGAAUGCCAAAGCCAUUGUCAAAUAAAAAGAGUAAAUAAAGUAAUUAAUCAAGUAAUUAGUUGAAAGCGAAAUAGGUGACUUAAAACUAUUGCUUUGGUACAUGUUUGUUUGAGGUAUAGUAGAUCGUAAGAAAUAAAAUCCUCUAGCUAUGUUUAUUUGAUAGAAUAAAAAAGUGAGUGUGUGGUUGCUCUACAGGAGAAGACCACACGUUAGCCAAAGAAUAAGUAACUAGAAAGCUUACACAAGUGUUAAAUGAUCAAUUUCUCACCUAAGCACAUUAAUGAGAACUAAAUGUUGAAUUAAACCAUACUCAUGCACCCAUACUAAGACCCAUGCCUCCAUGUGGGGAGACCCUAAUUGGUCCCUAAAAGGAGAAGUUUAAUAAUGGCCACAUCCUCUAUGCCAUGUUAGUAUUCCAAAAACAUAGAAAGUUAACCUUUGAGUUGAUGCUUAUUUGUCUGGUAGUUUCCACAUUCUUCUUACUAAAUUGACAUUUGAAGGCUCUACGACCAUAAGGAGCCUAGAGUGCUCCCUUUAGGUUCCUUAUGAUUGUAAGGUCCUAACCAUCCAUUGAAGUAAGAAAGUGAACUAAGAGUUGGAAAAAUGGUGUCAUCUAUGGUGAAGAUACAAAAAUUCAGCUCACCAAAAAAUCACAAUAAAGCUACUAAAAAACACCCCACCCCUAGGCAAAGACCUUCAUUUAAGUACUCCUUGAGGUCUACCCAAAUCAAAGACCUAACGUUGAAGAAAUGAAGUCAACUAAACUUGGUUUCAUGCAUGAUAAGGUUGAAAAGCCUGCAUAAAAACCUACAGAAAGCUUGCUCCUUUAUAAGAAUAACCUGAACCUACAAGGGAAGAAGACCUAUAAAAGGAAAUCAUAAACAACAAAGAAAAAAAAGUCCCUCCCUCCUUUGAAAAAGAUUUCUUUGAAUGCAGAAACCUAUUUUUUUUGUAUCAAAAAAUUGGUGGAAUAAAAAUUUUCAAUUAUCUAUAAAGAGUUUUAGCUUCUUCAUAUGGGAAUGCAUUAAAAGCCUUGAAGACAUUGUUUAGAUCUAUAGCAAUAAUUGGGCAAUAGAAAACUAUGCAAUAGAGUUUUGGUAGGGAAAUGCAAUCAUGAUAGAAAUGAAGUGGAGCAAUGAGUGAGAACAAACCCUUCAAUAGAUGGAAGAGCUCAUUAAAAUAAGUGACUAACUCACUCAAGAAAAUGUUGCCUUUAGGGUAAGGGUAGACAAAUACCAAUGUGAUUUUGACCAAAAACUCUCAUUGGCAAGCACCAAUAAGAUGCAAGUUAAUGAAUAAUAGUUAUCGAAGCAACUAGACCAACAUCUAGAUUAAAUUGGGAGAGAAAGGUGGGAGAAACAUUAAUUAAACUAACCAAACAGACCACCUUGCCAAAGGCCCCAAUGCUCUAAGGGAUUCUUGCCACCAGAGCUACCACAAAAUGCAUAAUCUUGGUGAAUAAGGUGAUUGAGCCCAAGUCCCUUUAGAAGGAGAAUGAGGCCAUAUGAGAGUUUUCCCUCCCUAAGUUCAAUUUCUUUCAAUGAAACUAAAGACACCCUAGACUAUUCAUGCAUUUCUAUGCAUGUGAUAAUCUUAGAGAAGGGAAACGAUCGACUUUUAUGCAAAAUCUUCCCCUCCAUCCUCCAAGGACUAACUUUAUUUUGUCUUUAUCAACUUACCUUAGAGUUUGUUCCUAAUAUCGAGACCCUAAGGGUGAAGUCUACCUCUUAGUACAUGCACUUAAAAAGACAAAAUAAAAGCCUCAAAUAACCCAAGGUAGUUAUAGCUACCAUUCAUGGUGGAUCAUCUACUAGAUUUGAGCAACUAGGCAAGGUAUCAAGAUGUUACAGAAGCAUAUGGCGAUUGAAGCAAAAGUCCUCACAUCCUUGCAUGAAGCAACUACCACUUGCCCACAUGUCAUAUGCUUCUCUAAUAAAGGCUUAAGAGGAGUCCAAACCCUGCUCAAGAUCCAUUGGUUAUUACUUUAAGAAUUAUUGACUACAACAUGCACCUAUUCUUAGUUGACCUAACGAAUUUAGUUAACAUGCUAAAUAUAUUAGCCCAUCUAUGAACAAGUGAAUAUGGACGAAGGAAAACUAGUGUCAAGUCUAGGGUCAUUGGUGGGACUAGACAAAGUCCUAUGUGGCUCAACUGGGGAAGUCGCCCUAAUGGUUCCAAUUGGUUGUUGCCAUAUAAUGACACAAUUCUUUGUUAUGGAUAUCCUUUUCCCGAUAAUGCCAUUAUGGGAUGACCAUGGAUAUAAAACCUAAGAGGAACACUAUUCACAUACCAUCACACCAUUAAAUUCCUAAUACUACAAGGAAUAUGGGAAAUAUAUCAAGACUAGGUGGCAUCAUGAGUAUGCUACACCAUAGCCCUUAAAGCGGUCAUCAAGUGCAUCAACUGGGACCCUUAGGAAGUUCAUAAAUCAAAAAUCAAAUACAAAUUAGUAGGUGACCCGAGAAGGCAAUUAGAGAACCUAAGGAGUCAUUAUUCUAGAGCCCCUAAACCUAGGAGGUUCCUUCUAGCCCAUGCAAAAAAAAAAAAGAAAAAGGAUUCAGAUGGCUACUAGAAAAGAACACAUCUUUACUAGGAAACUACAAGACAUUGUGGGCAUCGAUCCCCAAGUUACAUCUCAUCGACUCAACAUAAACCCUAGUGGUUAGCUCCUUAAAGACAUUAGAUUGUGAAAAAAAGGUAUCUAGGCUCUUAUAUGCUAGAUUUGGUCAUCUAGGUCUUCUAACAACAAAUAGAAGUUAGUAUGCUAGUGUACAUUAAUAAAAUGUUAGUAACAAGUAAGAAGAGGAAUGAGUACUUGAUCGACCUCCUAAGAACAUUUCAAGCUCUUCAAAAGUAUUAAAUGAAGCUAAAUCAGUGAAGUGCACCUUUAAUGUAGGGUAUGGAAAGUUCCUUAGGUACUUGGUUAUAUACAAAGGAAUGAAAGCUAACCCAGGCCAAAUAAAAUCAACUUUGGAGAUACCAAUGACCAAAAGGGCUAGAGAAGUCCAAAAGCUAACUAACAAGAUUGGUUCUUGAAAUAGAUUUAUAUAUUGAACAACAACUAUGUGUCACCCUUUCUUCGACAUUAGCAAGAAGGGAAAAUGGACUAAAAGAACCAAAAAAUGCAACUAAGCCUAUGAAUCACUAAAGCAUUACAUGAUGCUAACCCCCAUUCUAGAUAAACCCUAGGAUAAGGAGGUCUUACAAGGUCUCGAUAGCAGUAGUAAGUGGAGUGUUAUCUCAAAAAAAGAGGAAAAGAGGAGCAACCAAUGUACUAUAUCUAACAGACCCUCUUAGAUGUGGAAACCUGAGAUAUUUAUAAAUAUUGAAAAAUUGGUGCUUGCCCUUUAGAUCACCACAUUGAAGCUUCAAUGUUACUUCCAAGCGCAUGUUAUUAAGGUAAGAACUAAGUGAUGAGAACUCAAACUUAAUACUUUAAUGGCUUUAAAGAGCCUACUUUAGUGUAUUUGAGGUACUAAAAAAUUAACCUAAGGUUUUGUUUUUUUUAUAACACCUUAGAAAAUUAUGUUUGAUGCAUUCUGUGACCGUUCUACAUGUUUUAAGGUGUUUUUUUGUUAGGAUAGAAUCCUUAAAAGCAUGACAUGAUGUAAUAAAUUUGGAAUUCAUUAUUUAUUUAAUGAUGUUCUAGUUUCACUUUUAUCUAUCCUUAUUCCAUGUAUUGUACUUUAUGAGUAUUCUUGCCUACAUAUUUUGCAUUGUACAUGACUUAGGUGCAUUAGGAGUUGCACAGAAGAUUUAAGUCAUGGGUUUCUUGCAAAUAGAUUAUUUGUUCAGAGUCGGUUCAUGAGCCUAGGCAAACCAUUAGAGGUUGUAGAGCACCACCUCCUAAUUGGAGGGAUGGUUAGUCUUGGCCAUGGGAUGAGUUUCCCAUGAUAAGUGCACUAGUGUGUAUGGUUGCACAUUGGAUGGGACCUAUGGUGAGUUAUGACUUAAGCCUAUCAAGUAGUCAUGACUCCACCGAGCUGUUUCAUUGUAUUAUCUCUCAACCUUGAGAGAAUAUUGAGUUUGUGCUAAAGUUAAUAAUGGCUUUGAUUUAUGGGUGAGGUCGUAAGUUGAUCAUAUAUUCCCUAUGGAUUAGGUCAAUGUUGAUGGAAGUCGGUAACAAUAGGUAUUCUUAAUAAAGGCACCAUGAUAUCUCUUAGGAUUGAGACAGUGUGUCCCAUUGGGUGAUCAUAAGGAGGUGUGUUCAUGGAAACUAUGGCUAUAGUAGUUCCUUAAGUGGAAUUUGACAUAGACUCUUUGAGAUUUAAGAUAUGUUAAUUGAACACACAAUAGGAAGAUUUGUAGCUCAAGGAUGGUAGAAGUAGUCUUGAAAAGCUGAUGGCUUUCACCUUGUUAGACUACGAACACCAAUUCAUGGGGAGACUAAACAUAAUGGACAGUAGGUCACGGACCCGAGCACUUAGUGUCUUCGUUGUUAGUUACAUAGGAUACCGGAGUUUAGUUGAUUCUCUAUAGUGCGAUAUUGAAUCAACUUUAAAAUUGGACUAUGAGGGAUCCAUGGUAUUCCUAUAGGUCCCAAUGGCCCCCGCUAUGAGCUUAUAUACCUUGUUGGAAUGGGUAAUGAGGGUUGGAUUGACUCUAGGUUCACUUUUGUGCAUAAGGGCAUUUUGGUAAUUAUGUAAGGUUAUAUAGGAGUAAAUGAACAAGGCCUCUAGAUUAGGCUAAUUGAUUAAUUAGUAGGUCCUAUUAGGUUAAUUAAUCAAUUAGAACCCAUUUUGGGCUAGAUUAAGUGACACAACCCAAGUGGGCUCAAGUCACUUAAGCCCACUUAGAAACCCUAUAAAUACCCCUUAGGAGUUAGGGUUUCCAUAACUUUUGUCUUCCAUCAUCCAGAGAGAUAGAGAGUCAUAGCCUUCACCCUCUUUUCCUCCUCAUUGGAAAUGUGCCAAGAUCAAGGUUCAAGUCAUCGGGCGGAAGACUUCGAGUUUACGAGACUUCUGGGAUUUCAAUUUUCAUCUUCACCAUGUGGAUUUGAUUCGAGAACACCUGAAUCUAAUGUAUAGUUUUUGUUAGCACUUUUUGAAUCCUUUUAAAGUAUAAAAAUGUUAUUUUUCCGUUGUGCAUAGGAUUUAGAAAAAACCUAAGAUAUUUAUGCAUGUUCCUAACCUGAUUCGGACUAGGGAAACAGAGAGAGAUUCAGGUUUUUCCCAUCAUUUUUGGUGCAAUAGAACCUUGUUAGGAACUCAUAGAGACAAAAAUGCCCAAGUAAGGAGGAAAUACAGAUUGCACACCCAAAAGGUGUGCAAGACUCAAUCAUGCACUUCUUUCUUUGUGUAGAGCCACAUAGUGCACCUCCCAUGUAUACCUUAAAGACUAAACAUACAAGACCUCUCUAAUGCUUUGGACCAAAUUUUAUACCCUAUUCAAGCAACUCAAUCUACAAACCUCUUAAGUGCUUUAAGCCAAGAUGUUGUGCACCCCCUCACUUGAGUCAACAGGAUGUGUAGUAGUGCAACCCCUUGAUGUCAUCUAAAUUACAAACCAUUCUUACCUCUACAAUAGCUAAGUACUUAAUAAUUCUUCUAAUGAUUGGCUCACCCACCAAAGUAGUAUGUUGUUCAUACCUCAAAGUCUUCAAUUGUACUACCAAAAUGUACUCUGACCAAAUUACAUAGAGAAAAAGGUGCAACUACCGACCAUAAGCUAACACAUCAAGAAUGAAGGUGGGUUGAUUGUAAUGACAAAGGACUUGACCCUUAGUAUAAGAAGAGACAAGUCUAGAGGAGUGGUGUCGGAGUAUUAGAAUGACCGGGAAGGGAGGGGGGGCAUUUUUUUGUAUAUAAAUGGAGGAUUGUGAAUAUACAAGUGGAAGCAAAUUAUAGAAAGUGAAAUUGUAGAUAAGUUUUUCUUCUUAUAGGAAGAGAAGUAGGAAUAAGAGUAACUUAAUGUAAUUUAAGUUUUUAGUUUUCCACUGUAAUCUUUUCUUUUCAUUAUAAACUUUCCCUAAUUUCUAGUUUAAUGAAUUUUCUAAUCUUUUUAAUUAUUCUUACAUUUCAGUUUUUCAAUUUCAACUUACAAAUUUGCAUUUUUAGUUCUUUACUUAAUUUUUAACAUGCUUAGAUAACCUUUAACACUCUAAGGGGUGAGAGGAGCUCAAGUCUCCCAUAUCUUAGUUUAGCUGUCUAUUGGUUUAUCUGUGCAUUAGUUACAAACAAUAUGAUCUCUAUCAGUAGUUAUAAUGACCAAAACAAGUAACCAUGGGGAAAAAGUCUAUGUUGCAUUGGUUGUGAGCAUUGUAAGUCAAGCAACUUUGGAAGCAUACUUAGGCAUUGUUUUAAUGAUUCUUUCAACUAAGUAUAGGCCUAUUGCCAUGAAAAGAAUCUUAUCUAAAUCAUUUGGUUGUAAGGAUAUAUAUAUAUAUAUAUAAAGAGCAAUUAGAGAGAGAUUAACCUUUUUAAGGUGGUUCUUGUUCAUUUGAAGCAGGAAACCUUUUUUGUAUAAAUCCUUGCUUUGAGCCUAAAUCUGAAAGCAUAAGUUUAAAGCCUUGUUGGUGAGUUGUAUCUGAAAGUGGUGAUCCUAGUGAAUCUCUAGGUUUGAGGUUUUCUUUCCUUUAAUUUUCUAUCUUUUAAACUUUGUGUGUGUAUGUCCUUUUUAUUUAUAAAAUCAUUUUUCUAAUCUUUUAGCUGCCAUUCACACUCCUGAAGCUAUUACCUUAGUUGCUACCAAUUUAAAGUUCCUUGUGGAGGCAACCUAACAACUAUACCACUAUUAAUUUUUUUAUUUUUUGGUUAAGGAGUUGAGAGUUUCAAUGAAUGAUCUAGUUUAAUUUCUCUUUGUAAAACUUAACUGUUAAAUAUAUUUCCAAGUUUUGAUAAAAGAAAUGAACUAGAGAAUGACAAACCAAAAAUUAGUGUCGUCACUAGGGAACUUUCAACAUUGAUGACUCUAGGUAUUUUUGUGUAUAUGCUUGUUGUUUUAGAAGCUUAACAAGUAUAUUUCACCCAUUCCCCACCUAUCUUUUAGUUGGAUUUUUUUCUUUUUUUACUUAAUUUGUUUUCUUUGGAUUUUCUUUUUAUUCUCAGUUUUCAUUUUUAGUUGUUAAAUCCAACAUUUCAAACAUUUUCUUUAAAGUGAUAUGAUGUCACUACAAGAAAAAAGAGAUAUGGUGACAUUUAUAAUGAGUCAUUAUAAACAUAGGGUGUCGCUACAACAUAGCGUCACCUUAUCCACUGACACCAUAGAGGGUACCAAUUGGUGACGUAUUUGGAAGCGACACCAAAGCAAAUAAAUGGUGACACAUUCAGAAGCGACACCAUAUAUUUUUAGUUAUACUUAAUUUAGUUAUAUAUAAGGUGUCAUAUUAAAUGCAUCACCUUUUAGUUAUGGUGUCACAUUAAAUGCAUCACCUUUGAGUUAUGGUGUCACAUCAUUGUAAAUGAUUAUGGAAGAUAUGGUUGUUUUUUAUUAAUUAGCCUGUUGAUUUUUGUAAUGCUUAUUAACAAAUAAGAUCAACUUAUGUAUAUUUUGUCCAUAAAUAUAAUAAUCAUAUCAUAUUUAACUUAUAUUUUCGUAAUGCUUAUGGAUUAACCUGUAAUACAUUACAUCAUGCAGUGAUAUUUGUAUAUCAAAUGUUUACAAAAUGAUAGUACAUCAAACCCACCGAAACUAAAAAAAAAAAAGUGAAUACAUAUUAAAAUAUGAUUUAGAAAUGUUAAGCAUUCCAACAUUCAUGUAUACCUGCAUUUCAUAUGCAUAAAACCGGCUAAUCAUAAAAUGACACAAGAGUUGCAUCCAAAAACCCAAAAUUCUCAAUACCAAAUAAAGUAACAUUGAUGUCCUAUAAUAUAUGACAUAAGAGUCACAUCUAAAAACCCAAAAUGUUGUUGUUUCUUUCUCCUUUCUUUUUAUUCUUCAUAAUGUCUUCCCAAGAGUGUAUACCUGCAUUUCAUAGUUUAAUGAGAUUUAGAGUUUUAUUGAAAAUAAAAAUUAAUUGAUGUUAUAAAAAAUAAACAAAUCUAAGUACUAAUGUUUUCUUUUUUUCUUUUUCCCAUUUUGAUAUAAAAAUAAUUUGUAAAGAAUAAGUAAUGUUAUACAAUACCAAUGGAAAAUUCAUAUAACAACUAAGAGACUCGCCAUGCAUGAUCAUGAUUUAUCAAUAUGAUUCAUAAUUAGUUAUAACACAAAAGAAGUUAAUUCUCCUCUAAUUUCAUCAAAUUCUACUUGAGAAUAUGAUAUUUUUUUUUAGUUUUUUGUUUAUCAUAAAACUGAAAUCAAAUGAGAAUAACAUUAAUAUUAUAAUAAUUAGAAGUAUGAAACUAAGUACAAUUCAUUAAAUGAGUAAAAUAUUUAAUACAAUAAUUGUAAAAUCAACAAUUAUCUCUUUAAUGAAUCUCAUAACAAAGCAGUCACAUUUGAACUCAAAUAAAAACAAUUCAAGAAAAUAAAAAAUAAAGAAAAACUAGAAAAUAAAAAAAUAAAUCUAAAAUUUUAGAAAAUAGUAAUCUUCCACUUAAAAUCUGCACUUUUUAAAUUUAUUUUUUAUAAUUCAUUGUGCUUUUAAAAAUCAUUUUUAACAUUUAAUUCUUUUUAUAUAUUUUUUUAUUUCUUGGAAGGAUUUUUUUAAUUUCAAUAUUUUUUUAAUGUUCAUUUUGUGAAAUAACAAUGUCCAUUAAAUUUCAUCUCAAUUAUAUAAAAUAAAAUUUUAGUAACAAAAUAUAAAAAUGUUUUCAACUACUAAUAUGAGAGGACAUGAUAUUAUAACAAGCUUGAAGAUUGUGUAUAUAAGACAAAAAACCUAAUUCAUUAUUAAAAAAUAUUAAGAAAAAAAUUAGUAUGAGAAAGAAUUAAAGAACCUUUCAUAAAAAUUAUUAAUUUUUCAGUCAUAACUCCAAUUAAUAUUUAUUUUUUCUAAUUAAAAUAAUUAAUAAAAAAUUUGGAUAUGAAAAAUAUGUUCAAAUAAAAAUAAUAAAAGAUUAAAAACAUCAAAGGAAAAGAUAUUCAAUAUUUUAAAUUUUACUUUUGAUAAUCUUUAGAUCAAUAAAUUAUCAAAUAUCUUUUUAGAAAAAGGAAAAAUGAAGAAAAUGAAGAGUUUUAUGGAAGGGAUUGGAAAAUUUUUUGUAAUAAAAGGAUUUUAUAGAAAUUUCCUAACCUUGAAAGGAAAAUUUCAUCAUCAAUUUCAAAUUACUCCAAAAUUUGGUCAAUGCAUAUAAACAAUAAGAAAAGAAGACAAAAAUAAAACAAAUUUUUAGAAUCCUUUUGAGGGAGAUGACAAUAUUGAGAAUAAUUUUCUCAAAAAUUAUGGAAGGAAAAUUUAUGUAAUAAAAGGAUUUUAUAGAAAUUUUUUAACCUUGAAAGAGAAAUUUCAUCAUCAAUCUCAAAUUACUCUAAAUUUUGGUGAACACAUAUAAAAACAAUAAGAAAAGAAGGUAAAAAUAAAAAUAAAAAAACAUAUUUUAAGGAUUAAGUAAAAUAUGAAUAGAACAAGAUGAGAUAUUAACCAUAAUACCAUGUAAAAGAAUUUUAAAAAAAAAAAUCAAAAUAUGAGAUUUGAUCAUUUUUAUAAUUAUAAAAAAUUUCAUUCCUAUUUAAAUUUUAAAAAACAAUUCAUUUUCAUUAAUAAAUAGAAAAUAAAAUUAAUUUCUCAUUGUUAAUUCCAACAUUCUAAACCAACUCCAACAUGAGAUGGAAACUAUUUCAUUUUUCCUUUUGUGGGAGAUGACAAUAUUGAGAAUAAUUUUCUAAAAAAUUAUUUUUCAAAUAUCACCAAUACAUAUCCUCAUCACAAUAUACUAUAAUAUUCCUAGAAAACAAACAUAAAAUCUCAUCAAAAGAAAUUUCUUAUAAGAUCAAAAGAAAAUUUCAUACUGUAAAAUGUUUAUCCCUCAUUUUGAGUAUGAAAGAUAUUAAAAAAUCAUUCAUUUAUCAUAUUUUCAUUCGUUUUGGGGUUUGUGGAUUUAACAAUGAAAUAAAAGAUAUGGUGGAAUGCUAAACCUAAUUUUUACUUUCCUGCAACUCAAUAAAAAAAACACUAUUUACACAAUCUACAUUACAAAUAUACCAAAUCAAUGAAUGUAAAUCAGUUAUGCUAAUAAAGAUUUUGGUUUUAAUAAAAAAGAAAAAGAAAAUGAUAGAUCUAAGAGAUUUUGGGUUACCUGAGAGUCCAUGAAGUAGAGAAGAGCAGUUGUGUGUGAACUAUGGGUGUGAGAAGAGAGGUAGAAGAAAGUUAUGGUUAUGGGUUAUGGAAUGAGAUUUUUUUGGAUUGUGGGAAUGUGGAAACAAUGAGUUUUUUUUAUAUACAAUCAUUAUUCUCAAAGUGGGCCCAUUUAGUUAUAAUAUUUUAAAAUUUUUAUUUUAUAUGGUGUCACUUUUUUAAAACUGACACUAAACUUAAAAUUAAUAUCAUCUAUCCUAAUUAAAAAUUUUUAUAUGAUGUGUCACCUUUAUGAAUUUUAAUUCAUAUGGUGUCAUUAUUUUAAAAGUGACACCAUAAAUAGUGACACCAUAAAUUAUUUUUGUUGUAGUGUGUAUUAGGGAAAUGAUUUUAAAGGAAGGGUACUAAGAGUGAGUUUGAGAGUGAUUCUAUGAAGUGUUUCUAACAUUUCUAACACUUGAGUGAUAAAAUGAUGAUCUUCAAGGCAUCAUCAGAGGGCUUCUCAAUAUCUCUUCUACUGAAAAAAAUUUCUUGACUGAAAGUGGCUCUUAACUAGAGGGGAGGGCAUCCCAAAAAUUUUAGGAAACCAUGAAGAAAAAUUUAUCAAAAUGGAUGCUUCCAAUCUACCUGUGGGAAGUAAAGAAAAAGUGAAGAGCCAUUGGUUAGCUAGAAGCUAGCCAAAAACUUGUAAAUAGCUUUCAUUUUUUAUUUUCUUUAUUAUUUUUGUUUUUAUUGCUUUGGCCAAUUUAGUGUGUAGGAGUACCAUCAUAAGAACUCAAGUAUAAAUUUCUCUAUACUCUAUUGGUUUUAUCAUGCUUCAGAGUAGGUGUACAUUGUUAGCACCAGGAAAGUGUAGGACAUAUAGGAAUUGCGCACUUUUGAGGUUUGCUAACCCAACUUGUAUGAUGACUUAAAUUGCGUAUCUCAAAUUGUACACUUUGAAAGCAUGACUGAAACUCCACACCCUAAGAGAUUAAUUUAAGCGCAACUAAAAACUGCACACCUUUAAGCAACCAUUGAUAUUGCCCAGCUUAAAUUACACACCAUAAGCACGCCAUCCAUAAUAAAAAUGCCUUCCCAAAUAAAACCAUAAUUGCUUAGAGACUUUUGUCCACCCCACCAUCAUAUCAAUUGAGCAUUUGAAGCCAACCAAACUAAUUAUUAUCCAAAGACAGAAAAUUAAUUAAACAGGAUUAGUAUAAAAGAAAAUAACUUGACUUAUAAACAAAAGCAAGGGAGAUGCAAUGGCAAACACAAAGCAAUUUAAAAGGGGCAAGCGAGUAAAGAAACUAACAGUGAUAUAUUAUGAGUUGCCAUAAGUUGAAGUGACUUCCACUUCGGAAAGCCCAAGGCCUUUUAGCCAAUACCGUCAAAGGGGCUUUAUCAUCAUCAGAAUAAAUAUCAUCAUCAGAAUCUUUAGCAUCACCGAAAUUGCAUGUGGCAAGGUCAGGAUAACGUUUAACCAGAUACAGUGCUACAUCUGCAUAUUAUAAAAUUGUACAUGGGAACCCGACAGUAAUUCAUAUCAAGAAAAUAGAUAGGGGAUGGUAAAUAUAGCUCACCAUGAAACCCCACCAUUAGUGCUCUGCGCAGAAGUUCGAUUCCAGGCGAAUUUGAGAAAGGAUAUGGAUCUACAUCAUCUCUGGUGACGCUAAAUAAAUAUAAAGUCAGCUCUUUAUGACCAUACCUAACAGCGCUGUGAAGAGGCGCUAAAUUGCUGUGGCUGCAGAUAUUGGGCAAGCUUGGGUUUUUGUUCACUAACAACUUGGCUGCUUUUAUAUUGCCAGCCCUUGCAGCUUUGAAAAGGGCAGUGGCGCCAUCAGAAUCUCGCAGAGCCAGUGCCUCUCUUGGGACAAACUCAACCAACUUCUCCACGAAACCCAUUCUGGCCUCUCCUAACUCAACUGCUAUGUGAAGCAUUGGGGAAUCAUCUGUUCCGAUCGGAGCGGAGAAUGAUUUUGGAUCAUCCUCCAAUAAUUUUGAAGCACUUUUCCAGUCACCAUUGAGCACAGCUUUGUGCAGUUCCAAGUAGUAGAUUAAUUCUGGUUCAUAGAAUUCUGCAGUCACAAAACCAAAAGAAGUAUAGGUCAGCCUAGAUUUCCCUGAUAUGUAUAUUUCUUCAACGUUCACAACAUCCUAAUACUAAAAUUAUUUAUAAAAAAUAAAUCAUUUCAGUUAUGUUUGGUUCUUAAAAAAUUUGACAAAAAAUAAAAGGGAAAGAAAGUAAAUUAAAAAAAUAGAAGGUAAGAAAGAGUGAAAUAAAAUAGAUCCAAAAUCAAUAAAUUAUUUAUUUUUAUAUGCUACUCAUUUCACUUAUUUUAACUAUUCAAUAUAAAAAUUAAAUAAUUUAAAAUUUCAUAAAUUUAUAAUUAAUUUAAAUUAUAUUUGAUUUUCUUAAAUAUUUUCCUCAAUACAACCAAAUAUGAGAAAAUCAUUUUCCUUGAUAUCUUUUUUUUGCUAAUUAUUUUCUUGGGCUUCUUUGUUUACCUCUAAUCAACAUCUUUAUAUCUUUCAAUAAUAGUUUGAACCUCCAAUAAGCUACACGAAUUAAAAUUUAAUUUUCUUCCAUUUUUUUUUUUAACAGCAGGUUGUAAAACACUUCUACUUGUAUACUAAUUAUGCCCAAAAGUUGCAGGAGGACCUCAAACGGAAAUGGACAUGAACAUGGUUUUCAGCAUCUUACCGGAGCUACUAGUCCUUUGCAAAGAUGAAGAUAAAACCGCUGAAACAUUUUCAUCAGUAUCCUGCGCCAUAUUGAUGCUGCUACAGUUAGGAUUGUUUGGGCUGUCAUCGAUUACCGAGAGUGGUAAUGAAGAGGAAGCCAUUACAGUGAACUCCUCAUCAUGCUCAGCAAUGUCCGUGUUACUGUUUUUAGGACUGUUUGCGCUGUUGUCAUUUCUAAGACGUAGUGAAGAAGAAGAAGCCAUUACAACAAAUUCCUUAUCGUUCUUAUAGUCAUUGCCAUGUUUAGCGAAGUUAUUCUAAUGUGUAAUAGAAAACCUAAACAAAAUCUGCAGUUGACAAAGGUCAAAAUUAACUUACCUCGCAGAUGGAUUUGUUAUCCAUGAUAGAAGAUUAUAUUUAACUAUAUCGAGGCAGGGAAGAUACUCUCAUCCAAAGAGAAACAACAGCAGCCCUUUUUCCUACUGUCUUCAAAAGAUACAGGAAAUAGGCCAGGAACCAUUGAAGCAUAACAGGUGCAAUGGUAGAGUCUUCCAAGUCAACUUUGUUUAUUUAGUUGAGUAAUUGGUAAGCACUAGAUAGCGUUGAAACGUUAUGACUGGUGGAUGAAAAUGGAAAAUAAUAGGCAUAUAUGAUUUAUUCAUAUAUAAAAUAAACAACGAAAAUUAGGGGGUAACUUCGAGCUGUUUGUUUUCACAUGAUUUCUUCUCUCCGUGUUGCUGGGCAUGGAUCUCCACUGACAUAGAAGCAACUAGGUCUUUUCUUUUGCUUUUUCUUUUUAAUUUUUCAUGUUUUAUUUUAAGAUGAUAUCCAGAAGUAGUAGGUAUGGUAUAUGAAUUUCACUUAGAAUGAUAAACAUUCAUAGAGCCAAAUGUAAAUCCGUACUAUUGGGCAUAAUAUUAUCGAGCCAUGCUUGGUUACCGAAAAUUACUCCAAGGUAUCAUACCCACCUUUUAGGCCAAUAAAAUUAAGAAACAUGGCAAGGAAAUUAAAAAAAACCAAUUCUCCAGGUUUAGCAAGGUUGCCGAGGGAAUUAAUCAUGUGCACCACACAUUGCUAUCAUCAUUUACAAUAACCAAUUAUAUAAAAUCUGUUGAAAUAUUUUAUAUAAUUAACUUUUGGAAUUUUUUUAUCAGGUAGUAAAAUAAAGAAAAUUUAGGAAAAAAUAUUUUUAUAAAAUGAUAAAGUUUGACAAAAACGAUAAAUUUUUUGUAAAGUAUUGAAAAGGAUACAAGGCUAUGAAUUCAUAAUUGUAUGAUAACCUUUUAGUAUUUCAAUCUUUGAAUUUUUUUUGGAGAUUAUUUCCAUAAAUUCUAAGGAGAAUUGUGUUUCCACCCUAGCUGGGUUGGAUAAUUGAGGUAAGGUCCUCCUAUCACCCAUAAUUAAAUUCAAAACCCAAGGAAAGAAUAGAAAUUGAGAGGAAGGAUAUCGCUUUUAAAAAAUCCCUAAAAUACCCUUAACUAUCAAAUGAAAAAGCUACCAGUCACUCUUACCUUUCUCUUUUCUUUCUUUGACUUUUUCACCAUUCUCUCACUUAUUUAUUAGUGGGAUCAAGUUAAAUGAUUUACCAAUUAUUUUUCUUCAACAAAUUGAACAUGAAAGAUAAAUAGUUAAAAAUUAUUAUUGUCAAAUGCAUUUUUGAAGUAAAUAAUUUUUAAAUACCUUAUCAAAUAUUAUUCUUUUUUUCAAACUUACAUAAUAUAUAAUAAAUAUUAUUAUUUAUUUCAAACUUAUAUUAUUUCUUAUAUAUAUUAAACAAUUUGUAAACAUCUCAUAAAAUAUUAGUAUUCUUUAUUUGUUCUAACUUGUAAAUUAGACAUCAUUAAAUUUUUUUUUUCAAACUUAUAAAAUAUAUAAUAAAUAUUUUUUAAAUACCUAAGCAAAUAUUUUUUUUGUUUCUUACUUAAAAAAUAAUAAAUAUGUUGUAUAUUAUUUCUCAUUGGUCUUAAUGGCAUAGUUUGGUAAAAAAAACAAAAAAGAGAAAAAAAAAAAACAAUCAAUAAUCGUUCUAAUGUCAAACUCAAGUUGAUUAAAAAACAUACAAAACCUAUUAGGAGUCCUGUACACCCUUGUACACUUGACAUAUUUCCCUUAUACAAUUAGUGUAAUAUCAUACAGUGGUGCAAAUUUCAUUUCCCUCCUAAUUUAUUGUCCAUGUAGGUGUAUUAAACAUAUUUUUAAUCAUUUGGUUGAGAAAAUUGUGGAUGACUUAUGGUUAAAUUUUUUUCCACCGACAUCAUUAUUGGGGAAAACAUUAGAAUUUCCAUAUGGGAAUUAAAUAAAGUGUAUGACAUGAGUAUACAAUUCUUGGGCGACAAGGAAAAUAAAGGAGUAAUUCAUAAUCGAUUGAAAUUUUUCACAAAUACUAGUUUUGUACAUCCUUGUACACUUAAUAUAUUUCUCUUAUAUAAUUAGUGUAAUGAGUAUACAAUUCUUGGGUGACAAGGAAAAUAAAGGAGUAAUUCAUAAUUGAUUGAAAAUUUUCACAAAUGCUAGCAUUGUACAUCCUUGUACACUUAAUAUAUUUCUCUUGUACAAUUAGUGUAGUACCCUUGUACAGUUAAUGUAACACCCUUGUACAGUGGUACAAAUUUCAUAUUCUUCCUAAAUUAUGUAUCCACGUAGGUGUGUUAACCAUGUUUCUAAUUGUUUGGUUGAGAAAAUAUUGGAUGACUCUGGGUCAAAUUUUUUUCCCUAAACAUCAUUGCUAGGGAAAGUAUUGAAAUUUUUAUGUGAGAGUUAAAUAAAGUGUAUGACAUGAGUGUACAAUAUGUUGGCAACAAGGAAAGUAAAAUGGAGUGGUUCAAAAUCGAUUGAAAUCUUUCACAAAAGGUAACCUUAUACACCCUUGUACACUUAGUACAUUUUCAUUGUACAGUUAGUGUAAUACCCUUGUACAAUGACACAAAUUUCAUAUCUCUCUAAGUUAUGUGUUCACAUAGGUGUAUUAAUCAUAUUUUCAAUGGUUUGAUUGAGAAAAUGGUGAAUGACUUAGGGUCAAAUUUUUUUCUCCAAACAUCAUUACCGUAGAAAGUAUUGAAAUUUCCAUGUAGAAGUUAAAUAAAGCGUAUGACUUAGGAUUAAACUCUUUUAAGUCUUUUUAUUAUUUUCAUAUGAAAAAAUAGUAUUAAACAAGGUUUUGAAUUUUCAUUUUUAAAAAUAGUUUUCAUUUUUUAAUUAAACAUAUUUUCUAAAAGAGACCAUAUAGAAAAUAAAAAUUAUUUAAAAAAUAAUAAAAAAUAAAAAAUAGAAAAAUAUUUUUAAACCAAACUCAAACACAAUCUAUAUAAUUUUUAUUUUUAUUUAUCUGAAAUGAGUAAAUAUACCUUUUAACCCUUUUAUUUAAGAAAAAUUUAAUAUCUACUAUAUAUAGUUAUAAUUCACUUCUAAAAUUAAGUCAUACAAAAACAUUUUAAUUGUAUAUUUAAAAUAAAAACUCUUCAUCCAUCCUAUUUCUCUCUUUUACUCUUUUUUUUUGGAUAAAUUUUCAAUUAAUUCAAAUCAUUAAAAAAAAAUCUUUAUUAAACAAAUUUACAACAUUUCAUAUAACUUAUUACUAAAAGUCAUGUUCAAAAAGUUAUUAAAACAAGAAAGAAAGAAUUUUUUUAAAAAUAAAAAAGUAAAAAAUUGAACCUUUUAGUUUAUAAUAGGAAAAAGAAAAUUUUAAAAUACUUUUUAGUAUAAAAGAAAAGAAAAUAGUGAAUGUAUUUAUUUUAAAUAGUGUUUUAAUCAUUAAAUUAUUUACUUCUAAAAUAUAAAAGAUAAUUUUUAUUUAUUUAAAUUAACAUUUUUUAGAAAACAUUUUUCAAAAUAGUUUUUAAAUCAUCAAUAUAAUUUUUGUUUAUUUAUAAUUUAAAAAUAUAAAAUAAUGUUAAUUUUUCAAUUAUUUAUAAAAAAGUUUAAAAAAACCAAUGAAAAAUAAAAAAAUGGUUAAAGAAGAGAGAAUGUGUUAAUAGUGGCAUGUAAAGAGUGGUAGAAUAAAGACAAAAAUGAGUAAAGGGGUAUUUGUGUCCAUUAUCAUCUCAUCUCCUUGUAAUCAAUUAUGAGUGAUAGGAGGACUUUAGCUUAAUUAUCCACCCCAACUGGGGUGAAAACACAAUUCUCCCUAAAUUCUAUAUUCCAAAAACAAUGAUAAUAUUUACACAAUAUUAUUGUCAUUCAAAGUGGGAAAAAAAUAUACAAAUAAAAAUUUCAAAAAAAAUUAGAGAUUACAAAGAAUAUAAGGAUACGAUGAAUGUGAGGAUUGUCAUAUUUUUCAUACCCUCCUCACAUUCUUCAUGCCCCAACUCAUUUGAAUAUUUUAAUCUUUUAAUUUUUCCAAACAUUAUUUACUUCAAUUGCAAGUGUAAUUAGUGUUUUUACACAAUAUUAUUGUCAAAUGAAGUAAAAAAAAAAUUCAAAAUUAAAAUUUUUAAAACAUUUAGAGGGUACAAAAAUGUGAAGAGGGUACAAAGAAUGUGAAGAGCCUCGCAUUUCUUGUACCCUCCUCACAUUCUUCAUACCUAUUGCAAUUUUAAAAUUUUUUAAUCUUUCAAUUUUUUCGAACAUUAUUUGCUUCAAUUUCAAGUGUAAUUAAGAUUUUUACCCAAUAUUAUCAUCUAGUGAUGUGAAGAAAAACUUAAAAUUAAAAAAUUUUAGAGGGUGCAAAAAAUGUGAGAAUAGUAUGAUGAAUGUGAGGAGGGUGCAAGGAAUGUAAAAAGGGUAUGAGAAAUGUGAGGGUACAAGAAAUGAAUAUAUAUAUAUAUAUCAUACUCUCCUCACUUUAUUUGUACCCCUACAAAUUUUUUAAUAUUUUAAUCUUUUAAUUUUUUUGAACAUUAUUUGCUUCAAUUUCAAGUGUAAUUAGUCUUUUUACAAUAUAUUAUUGUCAAGUUACUUAAAAAUAAAAAUUUAAAACAAUUUAGAGGGUACAACAAAUGUGAGGAGGGUGCGAGAAAUGUGAAGAGGGUACAAGAAAUGAAAAAACAAUAAAAAAUAAAUUUCUUGUACUCUCCUCACAUUCUUUGUAUUCCCACCAAUUUUUGAAUAUUUUAAUUUUUUUCGAAUAUUAUUUGCUUCAAUUUCAACAAAAUUCUUGUACCCUCCUCACAUUUUUCAUACCCCACCAAUUUUGUAAAAUUUCAAUAUUUUAAAUUUUUUUUAACAUUAUUUAUUUCAAUUUCAAGUGUAUUGAGUCUUUUUACACAAUAUUAUUGUUGAGUGAAGUGAAAAAAAACAUAAAAUUAAAAUUUUCAAAAAAUUUAAACAAAAAAUGUCAAAAGGGUAUGAAGAAUGUGAAUAUGGUACAUGAAAUGUGAGGGUAUAAGAAAUGAAAAAACUAAAUUCUCAUACCCUUUUCACAUUUCUCGUACCUUCCUCACAUUCUUUGUAACUUCACAAACUUUUGAAUACUUUAAUCUUUUAAUUUUAACUCAUCUAACCCUUAUAAACAGUGUCAUCAAGGAAUAUGAGCUCAAAAUAAGAACCAUUGGGAUCCAUAGGAGUACUAGCUCUCUUAGAAUAAUAUUUUGAAAUUGAUUCAACAUCUCACUACAAAGAGUCAACUGCACUUUAAUACCCUAUGUAUAUUACAACAAGACACCAAGUACUUGGAUAUGUGAUCUACUAUCUAUUGCAUGCAAACUCUCUAUAAACCGGUGUCUGUAAUCUAAUAAGGUAGUGUUGUCACCUAUCAAAAUUACCCCUCAAAUCCUUUAGUUACAGAUCUCACUUAUUAUGUGAUCAAAUGACAUUCUACCUCCAAAGAGCAUAUGUUAAAUUCCACUAAAGGAAUUACUAUGGCCACAUAUUUCAUUAUCACAUGUCCUCUGGAUCACCCCAGGGGACAUAUUGUCUCAAUCCCAUGAGAUAUCAUGGUGCCUCUAUUGAGAAUACCUAUUGUCAUCAACCUCCAUAAACAGUGACCCAAUUCAUAGGGAUAUAUGACCACUUUAGGGUUUCACUCAUAGGUUAAAGUCUUCUAUUAAUUUUGGCACAAACUCAAUAUCCUCUAAGGUUGAGAGUCUAUGCAUUAUAGUAGCUUGGUGAAUCAUGACAAUUGAUAGUCUUGCAUCAUGAUUCACCGUAGGUCCUAUCUAGUGUGUAUCACAUACACUAGUACACUCAUCAUAGGAAACCCAUCCCAAUGACCAAGACCAGUCAUCCCUCCAAUUAGGAGGUAAUGCACUAUAGUCUUUCCACUUUGGAAAGCCCAAGGCCUUUUAGCCUAUACCAUCAAAGGGGCAAAAUCAUCAUUAGAAAGCAUCAUCGUGGCAAGCGGAAUCGAAAUUGCAUGUGGCAAGGUCAGGAUAACAUUUAACCAAAUACAGUGCUACAUCUACAUAUUGUAAAAUUGUACAUGGGAACACAACAAUAAUUCAUAUCAAGAAAGUAGAUAGGGGAUAGUAAAUAUAGCUCACCAUGAAAUCUCACCAUUAGAGCUAUGUACAGAAGUUUGAAUCCAGGCAAGUCUGGGGGAAGGACUUGGAUCUACAUAUCUUUGGUGACGCUUAAUAAAUAUAAAGUUAGAUCUUCAUGACCAUAGCUAACAGCGGAGUGAAGUGGCGUUUAAUUGUUGCAUUGGCAAAUAUUGGGCAAGCUUGGCUUUUUGUUCACUAACAACUUGGCUGUUUUAUAUUGCCAGCCCUCAGAAUGUUGAAAAAGGCAAUGGCGUUAUCAGAGUCCUGCAAAUCCAGUGCCUCACUUGGCAUGAACUCAACCAACUUCUCCACAAAACCCAUGUUGGCCACUCCUAACUCAAUUGCUAAGUGAAGCACUGGGGCACCAUCUGUUCCAAUCAGGGCAGAGAUUGAAUUUGAAUAAUGCCUCAAGAAUAUUGAAGCACUUUUCCAAUCACCAUUGAGUACAGCUUGGUAUAGUUCCAAAAAAAAGGUUAAAUCUUUUUUAAAUAAUUUUGCAGUCACAAAACCAAAAGAUGUAUAGGUCAGCAUAGAUUUCCCUGAUAUGUAUCUUUAUUUCUUCAACAUUCACAACCUCCUAAUACUAAAAUUAUCUUUUAAAAAAAUAAAUCAUUUAAGUUAUGUUUCCUUCUCAAAAAAUUUGAGAAAAAAUACAAAAAAAAAAAUAAACAAAAAAAAUAGAAAGAAGGAAAAAGUGAAAAAUAAAAAUAAAAAAUAGACUUAAAAUCAAUAAAUUAAUUAUUUUUAUAUGUUAUUUUAAACUCAUUUUCCUUGAUAUCUCUUCUUUCCUAAGUAUUUUCUUGGAACCAAACAUAAAAGUUUUAUCUAAAUUUACCUCUAAUCAAAAUCUUCAUAUCUUUCAAUAAUAGUUUGAACCUUUAAUAAACUGCACCAAUUAAAAUUUAAUUUAAUUUAGUUUCUUUUUUUUGCUUUUUUUUAAUAGUGGGUUUUAAAACACUUCAACUUACAUAAUAAAUAUGCCCAAAAGUUGCAGGAGGACCUCAAACGGAAAUGGACAUGAACAUGGUUUUCAGCAUUUUACCGGAGUUGCUAGAGGAAACCACUUAAACAUAUUCAUCGGUAAGGUGAGCAAUUUCGAUGACCUUAUUUCUUUCCGAUGAUGAAGGGGAAGAGACUGAAGCAUAUUCAUCAGCAUUAUGCACCAUAUUGAUGCUACUACAGUUAAGAUUGUUUGGACUUGUAGGAAGAGUGUAAAAAAAAUUUUAUUCUAUUUUAUUCGAUUAGUCUUAUUUUUUGGGAAGAAUCCUGUUGGGAAUUAUAUUUAUUUUAUUUUAUUCUAUUAGUCUUAUAUUUAUGGGAAAAGUCCUAUUGGGAUUGUGCUAGUGGAGUCUCACUUCUUUCAUAAGUAGAAUCCCCUUCCACUUUGAGUCAUGUUCUGAUUACAAGUGUUAGUGGCCUAUAAAAGAAGGUCACCUCUCACUCUCUAAAUAUGAAUACCAAUUUUUUAGAGAGUCUUUUCAUACAUCUAUCUGGAUGAAUAUUUUCAAAACUCGAGUUGUACACAUCUCGCUUACUGAGUACACCCAAGGCGAGAUAUGGUUGUUGAAUCCUGGAGGUAGACCACUGGUACCUUAUAGCAUCGAGUUCGUCUUUGAAGAAGGUGGAUCUAUUUCAAGGACGGUGUUUGUCAUGCCUCAGUCGAUAAGUUUUUCUUCUUAUUAAUUCUAUUCUUUGUUUGUGUCUUUUGGGCUAGUCAUUUGUUUCCAUACCCUUAAAUCCAAUAAUCUUGAAAUAUAUCCAAACGGAAGCUUCUCUAGUUCACACCUAUCCUGACACCUCUAAAAUUGAUCCCUUCAAUGGGACAUUCUUUAAGAAAUGGCAGGAAAGGGUUUUAUCUACGAUUGAUGUAGAGAACUUGGGACACAUUUUGACUUACCCAAAACCAGAAUAUGGUUCUCAUCUGUUACCAACUUGGGAAACUGGAAAUAAACAAGUUAGUCAUGCUAUUCAGAGUACCCUUUCUAAUGAACUUUUUUAUAUUUAUCGUUAAUUUAAAGUUGCAAAAGAAAUUUGGGAUGCAAUGAAUAAAAAAUAUAUUUUGGAAGAUGCAGGAACUCAGAAAUAUGCCAUAAGGAAUUUUAGAAAUUUCCAAAUGACCGAGGAUAGAGAUGUAUCAUCUCAAAUCCAUGACUAUCACUUGUUGAUUAAUGACUUAGCUAUUGAAGACAUUAAAUUACCCGAACCUUUUGUGGCUGGUUAUUUAGUAGAGACUCUUCUAGAGUCUUGGAAAGACUAUAAAAAUAACAUGAAACAUAAAAUGAAACACAUGUCCCUAGAGGAUGUCAUAAUCCAUAUUAGGAUUGAGGAAGAAAACCGAAAUAGGGACAAUGUUAAGAAAGUUAAGGAAUUGUCUUCUAAGCCUAAUGUAGUAGAAGGAAAACCUAAACCCAAAAACAAUAGGUCCAGGAAACAAAACUCUAGGACCAAACCCUAUGCAUCAAACAAGGUCCAGAACUCAACUAUUAAAAAAUGGGGUAAUUGCUUUGUCUGUGGCAAGUCUGACACCAUGCAGUUCAAUGUCGCCACAGGAAGAGAACUAAGAAGUCCCAUUCAAAGGCAAAUCUGGCAGAGACAGGGGUGAUCAUAGUAGUAAUGUCCUCUAAGGUGAGCAUGGUCACCAAUAUGAAGGACCGGGUGGUAGACUCUAGGGCUACCAGGCACAUCUAUGGGAAUAGAAGUGCAUUUACUUCCUAUACCACUAUAAAGGAAGGAGACGAACAAGUGUUCAUGGGUGAUUCUAGAUCUACUACAAUGAUUGGCAAAGGGAAAGUUCUCGUUAAGCUAACCUCUGGAAAAGUGCUUGCCCUUAGUGAUGUUCUUCAUGUGCCAGAUAUCCGCUAGAACUUGGUGUCAGUAUCUCUGCUUGGGAAAGCAGGAGUGAGGAUCUUGUUUGACUUUGAUAAAAUAGUUUUAACCAAGAAUAAUGCAUUUAUGGGAAAGGGCUAUUGUAAUCAAGGUUUAUUUAUGUUGAAUGUUUCUAAUAUUAUCAAUAAUAAUGCAUCUUCUUCUUCUGCUUACAUAGUUGAUUCUUGUGAUAUUUGGCAUGGUAGACUAGGACAUGUGAACUUUUCAUAUAUGAAGAAAAUGGUUGAAUUGAGUUUAAUCCCUAAACUAUCAUUAGAAAACCAUGGAAAAUAUGAAUCUUGUGUAGAAUCUAGAACCACAAAGAAAUCUUGUAAAUCAGUUGAAAGAGAAUCAGAUCUACUAAGUUUAAUACAUAGUGACUUAGGAGACCUAAAAAAAUACAAUGACUAGAGGUGGUAAACGGUUCUACAUAACUUUCCUAGAUGACUACUCAAGGUAUAUAAGGGUAUAUCUUUUGAGAAACAAAGAUGAAGUAAGAGAUGCUUUCAUAAAGUACAAAAAUGAAGUGGAAAAUCAACUAAGCAAGAAAAUUAAAAGGCUUAGAACAUAUAGGGGAGGAGAGUAUGAGUCCAACCCCUUUAAUUCUUUUUGUGAAGAUCAUGUGAUCAUUCAUGAAACUACUCCUCCUUAUUCCCUUGAGUCUAAUGAAGUAGCAGAAAGGAAAAAUAGGACCUUAAAAGAAAUUAUGAAUGCAAUGUUGGUAAGUUCAGGAGCACCUUUGAACUUGUGGGGGGAAGUUAUCCUAUCCACAUGUCAUAUUCAAAAUAGAAUAUCUUACAAGAAAACUGGUAAAACUCCUUAUGAGUUGUGGAAGGGUUAUGCACCUAAUAUAGCAUACCUGAAAGUGUGGGGGUGUUUAGCUAAAUUUCUUCUCCCUGAACGUAAAAACGAAAACUAGGUCCUAAAACCUUUGAUGCAAUGUUCAUUGGCCAUGCUGAGAAUAGUACGAUAUAUAGGUUUCUUGUUACUAAGUUAGAUAACAGCCUUGUAGAUGUCAAUACUAUAAUAGAAACAAAGAAUGCAAGUUUCUUUGAAAACAUCUUUCCUAUGAAACUAAAUGGUGAACAACAAGUUUAGAAAACAAGUAGAGACAAGUCUAUUGAACCUUCUGAAUUUGAACUUAGAAUGAGUAAAAGAGAUAGGAAAUAAAAAAACCUUGGAGAUGGUUUCUACUCCUUCCUAAAAGAUGAGGACCCUAGAUCCUAUAAAGAAACUAUAACUUCUCUUGAUACACCAUUCUGAAAGGAGGCCAUUAACAGUGAAAUCGAAUCAAUCAUGUACAACCAUACAUGGGAGUUAGUAGAUUUACCUCCUUGUGAAAAGACUAUUUGUUGUAAGUGGAUCUUUAAAUGAAAGUUAAAACAAGAUGGGUCCAUAGAGAAGUAUAAAGUUUGUUAAUUUGCCAAAGGCUUUAAACAAAGGAAUGAUGUAGAUUACUUUGACACCUUUGCCCUAAUGACUAGAAUAGCGUCAAUUAGUGUAUUGAUCAAUCUAGCUUCCAUUCAUAAUUUGGUGAUACACCAAAUGGAUGUCAAAAAUGCAUUCUUGAAUGGGGAUCUAGAAGAGGAAAUUUAUAUGGAACAACCUGAGGGUUGUGUAGUUCCAGGGAAGGAGAAAAAGGUGUGUAAGUUGGUUAAAUCAUUAGAUGGAUUAAAACAAGUUCCCAAACAAUGGCACAACAAGUUUGAUCAUGUGUUAAUAACUAAUGGAUAUUCCAUUAAUGAUGCUGAUAAGUGUAUCUACAGCAAGUAUGAGAAUAACACAUGUGUAAUCAUCUGCCUUUAUGUUGAUGACAUGUUGAUCUUUGGAACUAGCCUAGAGGUUGUGCGUGAGACCAAGAAAUUCCUAGGUUCUAAGUUUGAUAUGAAAGACCUAGAAGAGGCAGAGGUGAUUCUAGGAAUUAAAAUAACUAAAACACCUAAUGGGCUUAAACUUUCUCAAGAGCACUAUGUUGAAAAGAUCCUAAGGAAGUUUGAACACUUUGAUUGUAAACCAGUGUCAACUCUUUAUGAUCCCAGCUCACAGCUGAAGAAAAAUAGAGAACAUAGUGUUGCCCAAAUAGAGUAUGCUCAGAUCAUAGGGAUCUUAAUGUACUUAAUGAAUUGUACCAGACCUGACAUUGCUUAUGCAGUAGGUAGAUUGAGUCGGUACACCCAAAGUCCUAAUAAGGACCAUUGGACUGUUGUUCGUAGAGUCCUUAAGUAUUUGAGAGGCACCAUUAACUAUGGUUUGUGCUUAGUGGAUUUCCAAUUGUCCUUAAAGGAUUUAGUGAUGCAAAUUGGAUCUUAGAUUCAAAUGAGAUGAAAUCCACUAGUGGAUAUGUUUUCAUCCUUGGUGGAAGUGCAGUUUCUUGGAAGUCUGCCAAGCAAACUUGCAUUACUCGGUCUACUAUGGAGGUUGAGUUUAUGGCCUUAGAAAAGGCAAGUUUUGAGGUUAAGUGGCUUAGAAACCUCUUAACAGAUAUCUCUUUUUGGACGAGACCGGACCUGUCUAUGUCUAUACAUUGUGAUAGUCAAGCUGCAAUCGCUAAGAGUAAAAUAUUUAAUGGGAAUAACAAACAUAUACGCCUAAGGCACAAUAUUAUGUGGUAACUGCUUGAAAUAGGGGUUAUAUCCCUAGAAUUUGUGAGGUCAGAGUUGAAUUUGGAUGAUCCUUUGACCAAACCACUAAAUAAAAAACUAGUGGAAGAAACAUCGAAGGGGAUGGGGCUUAUGCCUAUUACAGAAGUCAAGAGUGGUGGUAACCCAACCUAUUAAAAUGGAAAUUCCAUGAAGUAGGUUCAUGUGGAUAAUAACAAAUCACUUGUUGACUUGAGGCACUUUAUUAACUCUAAUUGUAUGAGAGUCUAUCCCUAUGGUGUAGAUAGAGCGUAUUCAACAUUGAUUAAGGUUGAGUGUUUACUCUUAAUGAAUACCAUAUUCCUUAUGGAUGGUAUGUUUAAAUGCAUAACAUACUAGAUAGAUUCACCUAUAUGAGAGUGGAGGUGGGGUCGCUUCCUAUGAGAACUUAGGCAGGUUCUCUAGAGCUCUCAUGAAUAUCCAGGUAGGGUGCAUGACCUAUUUGUGCCAACCCGUUUGUACAGCUCGUAGUGUAGUUGAGAAAACCAAUGUGGAUAAAAGUCCCUUGAGUUACAUCGAGAAACAGUGGUUCAUAGAAAUUUAUUUUCACCGUGUUUUGUGAUUCAAUACUUAUUUGUCCUAAGAAUGGUUCAUAGCCUUUGGGCAAUAGUACUAAUGGAUUGGAUUCUUUUUUCCUCCAAAAAAAGAAAAAAAAAAUCACAUUUACACUAUGUGGGGGAUUGUAUGAAGUGUGUAAAUAAUUUUUUUUUUGAUUUUAUUCUAUUAGUCUUAUAUUUUUGGGAAGAAUCCUAUUGGGAAUUAUUUUUAUUUUAUUAGUCUUAUAUUUUUAGGAAGGGUCCUAUUGGGAUUGUGCUAGUGGAGUCCCAUACCUUUUAUAAAUAGAAUCCCCUUUCACUUUGAGUCAUGUUAUAAUUACAAGUAGAGUCCCAUUGGGACUGUGUUAGUGGCCUAUAAAAGAAGGUCACCCCUCACUCUCUAAAUAUGAAUACCAAUGUUUCAGAGAUUUUUUCAAAGAAUUUUUCAAAGUCUUUUCAUACAUCUAUCUGGAUGAAUUUUUUCAAAACCUGAGUUGUACACAUCUCGCUUAUAGAGUACACCAAAGGUGAGAUUUGGCUGUUGAAUCCUGGAGGUAGACCACUAAUACCCUACUGCACCGAGUUCGUCUUCGAGGAGGUUGGAUCUAUUUCAAGGACAGUGUUUGUCACACCUUAGCCGAUAAGUUUUUCUUCUCAUUAAUUAUGUUCUUUGUUUGUGUCUUUUGGGCUAGUCAUUUGUUUCCAUAUCCUUAAAUCCAACAGGACUGUCAUCGAUUAUGAGAGUGGUAAUGAAGAGGAAGCCAUUACAUCAAAUUCCUCCUCAUGCUCAGCAAUGUCGAUUUUACUGUUGUUAGGACUAUUUGCGCUGUUGUCAUCUUUAGGAUGUGGUGAAGAAGAAGAAGCCAUUAUAUCAAAUUCCUUAUCAUGUUGAUAGCCAUUCCCAUGUUUAGUGAAGUUAUUAUAAUGUGUAACAGAAAACCUAAACAAAAUCUGAAGUUGACAGAGGUCAACAUUAACUAACUUACCUCGCAGAUGGAUUUGUUAUCCACGAUGGAAGAAAUAUUUAACUAUACCAAGGCAAAGAAGAUACUCUUAUCCAAAGAUAAACAACAACAACCCAUUUUUCCCACUAUCCUCAAAAGAUACAUAAAAUCGACCAAGGACCAUUGAAGCAUAAGAGGUGAAAUGGUGAAGUCUUCCAAGUCAACUUUGUUUAUUAAUUAGUUGAGUAUUUUCUAAGAAGUAGAUAGUGUUGAAACGUUGACCGGUGGAUGACAAUUGAAAAUAAUAAGCAUAUAUGAUUUAUCCAUUUUUUAAUGGUAGGAUUUCCCUCAAGCUAUUGUCAAAUAUAGAUAUAACCCCCUUGGUGCCCUGUUUGCAUCACAUCAUUAGUUUUGAUUUUUCUUUUUUUAUAGAAAUUAUGCCUAAUUGACAAAACUCUUAAUUAUAUAUUUAUAUAUAUAUAUAUAUGAAAAUUUCACCGAAAUAUCGCAUUUUAGUUGUUGUAGAAAUGAAAUAGGGUUGCAAAAUAUCGGAGGGGUGAAAUUAAAAAAAAAAAAUCAGCAUGUUUUGUCGAUAUUUUGGAUUUUUACCUAUUUAUCAACAAUUUUGCCGAUUUUUCAAUUUGGUCAAUGCGCAGGUGGUCUGGUCAAUGCGUAGUGAAAUGGUCAAACCCUUAAAAAUCUUAAAAUGUGACUUGUUGUAGGCACUAGGACUCUAAUCCAAACCCAAAACAAACAAACAUAGCCUUGGUCGACCAGUAGGCUAACUUGCCUAUUUAUUAAAGUAAAGGCACCAUAUAAAUAUAUCAUAAAACCGUCAUAAAAAAGAUAUUAAAAGAAUAUUUUAAUAAACAAAUUAUUUCUAAUUAUUUUAUUUUAAAUUUCAUUUAAUUGAUCACUAAAAAUAUAAAAAAUGUAGCUAUAAUUUUCUUAACAGAUUUUUUUUAUAUCAUUUAUAUAUUAAUUAAAUAUAAAAAUAUGAAUAUUAAAAAAAUUAUGCAUAUAUGAUCAUUUAUUUUAUAUCAUCUAAUACAAUUGAAAUUAAAUGGAUUAUAAUUUUAAAAUUAGAUAUACUAUAAUCAAAUAUUACAACAUUAUUGUUGAAUAAUAUUUAAUAUAAUUUAAUAAUAAAUAUAUAUUUAUAAAAUUCAUAUUUUUUUAUCAACCAUAUGAAAUUAUUAUCAAAUAUGAUUAACUAUAUCAUAUACAUAUACCAUUUUCUUUUUAUAAAAUAACUUUAAAAUAUCAAUUAUUGCUUAUUAUAUCGUUUUUAUAGUUUUCUUAUCAAUUUUGGGCUUACUGAUAUUUUGUGUCAAAAUAUCUAUCGAUAUAUCUAAUAUAUCCAUAAAAUCAAAGUACCGAUCUAUCUAUGAUUAUCGAUAUUUUUAUCUUUAUAUAUAUGCCUUUUAAGUAUGGUAAUAGCUAGAAAAAUAAAGUACGAUGUCAAAAUUACUAAGAAGGUUACUUGACCAAUUGACAAGGUAAAAUGUCAAGAAUACUUAAAUAUGAGUAAUCAUGGUAAAAAUACAAUAAACUUACUGGAAAUAAAUUCUUUUCAUUCAAUGUAUAACAACAUUUGUGAUUGAGGAAUAGGGUUACUAGAAGUUAGGAGUUGCAGGAUGACCUCAAGUGACCCAUAUAAGGCAUUUUUACUCAUUACACAUGGUUUAUAUAUAUAAGACCUACAAUUAGGUCUAUAGAAGAUGAAUUGAAAAGAUAAUUUAGACAUUUCAUCAUGUUUUGUCUUCGUACAUAGAAAUUUUCAGACUUACUCAACCUUUGCGCAAUUACAUUUAGGUUUUAUUCCUUAAACAAUAUAUUUUUUUAAAUUAAACUAGAAAAAUUGGAUGAAAAUGAAAUUCAUGCUUUUGGACAUAAACAACAUGCAAUUGUAUGCAUUAAUAGAAAUUUUGCAUUUAACAAUCUUUGUAGUAGUUACUUUUUUAGGCGUUAUGAACUCUUAAACAUAAUUUUCCUUUUCUUUUUCUUAUUAAAACUAGAAGUCUUAGAUAAAAAUAUGGCUUCUUGCUUAUGAGAUUCUCUUCAAUCUCUAAGAGAUAUUUGGUGAUAUGGGUAGAUCAACUAGUCAAGUUGCUCUUAAAACUAUUAUGAAUACCAAGAUGACAGAAGGAACUCUCAUUAGAAAUUAUAUGACUCAUAUAACUAGACUCUUUAACAAGAUGGGGAUUCUUAGAGCUAAAAUCAAUGGUGAGACCAAGGUCAAUAUGAUCUUAGAGACCUUAUUGGAUUCCUUCAAACAGUUAAAGCUCAACUAUUCCAUGGAUAAGAUGUUGAUGAACUAGCCAGAGUUGAUGAGGGAACUCUAAAUGGUUGAGGGGAUUUUCAAAGAACAAAGGGUUGUUCAUAUGGUAGUUAGAGGUUCUUUAGGUUUUUCUAACAAUAAAAAGAAGAAAUAGAAAAACACUAAAUAGGGAAUGUCCAAGGUUAGGAAAGGAAAUAACAAAGGAAAGGGCAAGUGCUUCCUUUGUGGCAAAAAGGUCAUUAGAGAAAAAAUCACUUCACUACCUAAACAAAAAAAAAAAAAGGAACAUUUCAUUCACUUUUAGUUGAAUCUUGCUUAGUGGUGGAUUCUACCAUUUCAUGGUAGAUAGAUUUUAGGGCUACUGACCAUAUUUGUAAUUAACUAUUCCAUGAAUAAGAUAUUGAUGAACUAGCCAUAGUUGAAGAGGGAACUCUAAAUGGUUGAGGGGAUUUUCAAAGAACAAAGGGUUGUUCAUAUGGCAGUUAGAGGUUCUUCAAGUUUUUCUAAUGAUAAAAAGAAGAAGAAUAAGAACAAUUUCAAAAAAACAUUGAAUAGGGAAAGUCCAAGGUUAGGAAAGGAAAGGGAAAGUGCUUCCUUUAUGGCAAAAAGGGUCAUUUGAAAAAAAUAUGACUUAACUUCCUAAAGAAAAAAAAUUACAUUUCGUUCACUUUUAGUUGAAUCUUGCUCAAUAGUGGAAUCCACCAAUUCACGAUAGAUAGAUUUUGGGGCCAUUGACCAUAUUUGUAAUUCUUUACAAGGAUUCUAACUAAGGAGAACAUUGAAUGAAAGCAACAUAUACUUGAUUCUAGCUUCUUAUGCAAGAAUAGUAGUGUAGGCGCUAAGAGAUGUUACCCUAGUAUUAGGCAUAAAUUUUAAAAGGUGUGAUUUAGGCGUGCCUAGGUGCAAGGCAGCACAACGCGAAGCUCUAGCACCUUGCCUUACUCUAAGCACAACUCACUAAGGAAGGCACUACUUAAGGGUGUAAGACCCUCGCCUUCAGUUAGGUGUAAAGCUCUGGAGACGUGUGCUUCUUCCAUUUUUUUUCUUCUAGAGAGGUGUGUCUUCCAUUCUUUUCAUCCAUUCUUCUUCUUAUUCUUUUCUUUAUCACGAUCUAUUAGGGCCUUUUUUUUUUUUUUUUAUUUCACCUCAAAACACAACAUUUUUAGUUGAACAAUUUUAUUUAUUUUUUAAAUAUCUAAGCUAUAAUCGGAUUGUGACAAAGAAAAGAAGAAGAAGAACUGAAGAAAAAGAGAUGAGAAAAAAUAUAUAUAUGUAUUGCUCCAAGUUUUAUGAGCUUUCUCAAUUAGAUUUUUUUCUUUUUCUUUUUGGAUAAUAUUUGAUGAAAUAUGUGCUUAGGACAAAUAAAUGGUUAUUAAUUUUAAUUAUAUUAUAUGUGAAUUAUGGUGCACCUCACUUCACUACAAUUUGCACCUUAGGUUGCACCUUACACCUAGGCUCCAUGAGGACAUUAUGCCUUAGAUGUGUCUUGCACCUUUUAGAACUAUGGUAUUAGAUAAUAAAGGUCAUCUUAAACUUAAGCAUUAUAUUUACUUACUUGAGUCUAGAAAGAAUCUUAUUUUUAGUUUUUGACUAAGUAAACACAAUUACUUGGUUUAUUUUAAUGAAAAGGUUUUUAUUAGAAAAAAAAAUUCAUUUAUUUGUUCAGGCCCAUUUGGAUGACGAUCUAUAUCAUAUCACUUCAUCUCAUUUAUGAUUGUGUUGAGAAAAUCAAAUCUCAUUAAAGAGGAAAGUACCUAGCAUUAAUCAAACCUUGUUAUGACAUCUUAACCUAGGUCAUAUUAAUCUAAAUAAGAUCCAAAGAUUAGCUAAGUUUGGAACAUUGCACUUUUUUGUUCUAGAGGAUCUUCUAGUAUAUGAAUCCUGUAUAGAAUGUAAAAUGAUUGACAAACCCUUUAUAACUAAAAGACUUAGAGACAAAGAUUAUUUGGAAGUAAUGCAUGCUAAUGUGUAUAGACCUUUUAAUGUCCAUGUACAUGGAGGACAUGAAUAUUUCAUUACCUUUAUUGAUGAUUACUCUAGGUAUGGUUAUUUUUAUCUUAUGCAUAUGAAAUUUGAUGUCUUGGAUAAGUUCAAGAAGUUCAAGGUGGAAUUGAAAAAGUAUUUGUUGGGAACUUCAAAUUACUCCAUUCCCUGGCCUCGAACCACAUAGGGUGCAUGCAUCUAUCCUAGGCUUUUCUCAAUCUAAUGUAGUGGGAAUAUAUAGUAUCAAGAACUAUAUUAAGAUCUAGAUCUAGAGGUUAAAGUAUCACACCUACAAUCUGGAUGUUCCAAGAUCAAUGCAUGUUUGAUGCAAAUUCUAAAACUGCGGUAGUCAUCGUAGAAUUUGUCUACCCAAGAGUCUUCUAUUUGAUCUCUCCCUCCAUGGGUCUAAGCAUAAGAGAAGGGUAGGCUUCUCUCUCUCCCAUGAGGGUAGCUAGGGUUUCUCUUUGGAGGCUUUCUCUCUAGAGGCUUUCUACUUCAAAAUGAUAGGCAAAAGUUUGAAACCCUAAACCUUAAAAGGGUAUUUAUUGGGCGCCUUGUGGGUUUCAAUUACUUGAUCUCAAAUUAGGCUUAAGUCACUAAUCUAGCCUACCUAGGUCCUACUUAAUUAAUUAGGCCUAUUAGUUGUCUCUUCAUUCCAUCGAUUACUGGUAUUGUGUGUGAUACCAGACACACCGACAACCAAUUAGUUGCAUUUUGCAUAAUUUCCUUACAAACAAUCCUAGGAGUGAUAUUGCCCAUGAUAAGAUCGAACUACACAUUUUUAUUAUGGUGGCAUUACUACACGGAAUAAACCAAAAGGGAGUUUGGUUCCUUAGUGAAAUUUUUUAGUACAUUAUUUCCCUACCACAACAACGACAAUCAAUUCUACCCACCAGAAUUAUUUUCCACAGUUAACCGCCAAAUUCAAUUUUGUCACCAUUUGGCAUAUGAUUAAAAGGUUGUAUGUUUUGGUAGAGUGGGGUCACAUCAUAUUUCAAAAUAAGUCUAAAAGUGUGUUUGACAAUAAUUUUAGGAAGUGUUUUUAAUCUUUCUAAUAUUUAAAAUUUUUUAUCUUUCAAGUAUUAAAAAUAUUAGAAACACUUCUUAUAAUCAUUGUCAAACGCACUUUAAGUAUAGGAUACACAGUUUUUUCCCCAUUAUAGACAAAAUAAAUAAAUAAAUCUAAAUGUCACUCCAUCUCAUUUAACUUAGAUAGUCAAAGUAUGUCUGUGUGUUUUUAUAAAUUUUUUGUGGCCAUUUUUAGCAAGGAUAUAUUCAUGAAAAAAAUUACUGAAUAAAAAAAGUAAUUGAUUUAUGAUUCAAUAUUCAAAUCCAUAGUUGAACUGUAAUGUGACAAAUAUAUAAUUUAUAUAUAUAUAUAUAUAUAAAUUAAAAAAAUAUAUAAAAAUUAAAUUAUGUACAAAUAAUUAAAUAUUUUCCUUAAUAUUAGAAUAGUAUAUCAUAAUCAUCAUAAAAUAUAAAUGUGCUAAUAUUUUUAUUUUAUUAAAUAGUAAUAUUAUAGUAUUUAAUUAUAAAAAUAUUAUAUAUAAAUAUUUAAUACAUUUAUUAUUAAUAACUAACAAUGUACUACUACAUUCAAAUCAUUUGCCUAGAGGCCAUUUAUUCCUGAUGUGAAUCUUUUUUUAGCAGAAAAAUGUGUGAUAUUUGAAGAUGAAAAAGUCGAGAAAAAGUGUGACAUACUAUGUGGGGCACUAAUAGACAACCAUUGAUGUGAGCUGAUAUGCUGUAUCUACACUUUUAUCUUCAAAUAUCACACAUUUUUUGUUUUCAAUGCUAGAGAUUAGAAUUACAAGGUUUUAAUCAUGUAAAUAUUGUUUAUUUUAAGUCCAAAGGACAUGUUCAUAAAAUUUAAAAAACUCAUAUAUAUAAGAUAUCAAUAACUUUUUCCUUUUGUUGGAUGUGGGAUAUUACAAUCAUCUUCUAAGAUGUGUUUCCAUAGGAUUGUAGUACUAAACAAAGAGACAUCCCUCACGAUAUCAAAGAAACUUAGUUAUGAAUUGAUUCUAGUAUCAUUUAUAAUGAUCAAGGAAAAAAGUUUCUUAAAUUAUAUAUUAAUGAACUCCUCUCAACCUUGUAAACAUAUUUUAAGGUUAUUAGAAUCCCUUAAGCCUAAAGUGGAUAUUAUUAAUUUACAUAAUUAAUUAAGAGUGAGUUGCUAUUAGAAAUUGUUUACACAAUUCCAUACUCUAUGCAUUGUUGACGAUUUAUACGUAUUUUUAUGGCAUGUCCAACUUAUUGGUAUUAAUUACCAACGGUCCCGCAUGUUUGAAAAAUAUUGAUAUGAUAGAACCAUCUUUAAAUUAUUAAAUUAUUAGUCAUAAAUAUAUAUUAAUGUACCACCAACCACCUGUGUAGCUUGCUGUGCUAAAUUAUUCUCAUAUCCUUUUCAACAUCAAAUAAGUGGAUAUAUGAGCACCGACAUGCUAUGUGAUUCUAAGCUAUUCCCAUUUCUUUUUCAAUGCAGAAUCUUAUUUAAUGUAAGCUUGAAUUUUAUCUCUUCCACAUGCUAAAUUAUUUAAUGCAAAAUAAGUGGAUAAAAUAUUCAUUUUUUUAAAUUAGCCGAUGAAGGAUCUCAAACCAAUCAAAGUGGAAAUUUUAGAGUCAAUUAUAGUGAAGGACUACAACUGAAAUACUAUUUUGUUUCAAUGCUACUUAAAAAUUGUGUUGUUUUUUUGGCUUAGCAAAAUUGUAGUUUAAAAUAUAUGGAGAAACAAACUUUUAAUUAACAUUUUAUAUUAGAUAUGAUAACGUUUAAUACAAAUGGACAAGAGAAAAUCAACAUCUAUGCAAUUGAUACAACUUUAUUGGUAUGAUUGAAGAUUAAGAGUAUGCCUACUGGUGUAAUUUAAAAAUUGUUUUUUAUUUUUAAAAUAGGAAAUUGUCUUUAAAAAUUCAUAACAUUAUUUAACCAUUGUUUCUUAUUUCCACUCUUCAAGAACAAAGGAAAAUGGAAAAUAAAUUUUAAAAAACCAGUAAAAAUUCUUUUCAUCAAUUUUUAAAAAGGAAAACAUAAAGAAAAACCAUAAAUAGAAAAUAAAAUUAAAUCUAAUAUCUUUCUUUUUCGAUCCUCAUUACCCAAUAUCAAUACCAAAAAUUUUCAAAAUGAUAUUUCUUUGAAUUUCAUGUGUUUUUCUAAAUUUCCUUCAACUUCUCUAAAAUUUUUCAUCAAGUAAAUGAAUUCAAAAUCAUAUUGUAAUUUAUUUAUAUUGAAAAAUUAUUUCAAACUUAAAAACCAAAUUAGUACUAUAAAGUUAUAAAACUCAAUAACAUUAAAAAAUUAUAGACCAAAAUUCAUUUGAAUGACUCGGCUAGUUUAUUUUUUUUGUAUAUAAUCAUAUUUUUGUAAAUUUUUAUACAAGCCAAGUCUAGCACUUUUUAAAAAUAAUUUUAAACUCAAAUUGUGACUCAAUUAAAUUUAUGGAUAAAAAAUAGUUUACUUUAUUAUUUCUUUUCUACUCAUAAUUACAUUUUUAUAGACUUUCUCACCAAAGAAAUGAACUUCAAAUCAUGAGACAAUUUGUAUUAAGUUUAUUAAUAAGUUUAAUAAUUUGUAAAAAUAAUUUUAAAAUAAAAAAAUUGAUGAAAUUAAUUGUAGAUUAAAUCAAAACAUUACAUAAUAUUCCUUUAUGCAUGUACUGUGUAAAACUUCACUCAUUUAUAUAUUAAAAUUUCAAAUUUUAUUUUGUAUAAUUUCAUUUGAAAUAAAAUAUUAUUAAUAACUAGUUUUAAAUUAUUAUUAUUUAUUUUUUACAAAAAAAUCAAUUAUGCUUUCAUAAAGAUGUUAAUAUCCAGAUUUUUAUAGUAUACACAAAAAUAGUAUAUUCUUUUAUAAUAAAAAAAUUAAUUUAUAGCUUUAUUAUAAUAUUACUAUUUGUAUUUUACCAAAACAAUCAUUUUAAAAAAAACUAUUUGCAAUUAAAAAAAUAUUUUCAUUUUUAGUAAAACAUGAAUUAAAUUUAAUUGAUAUUAUAUAAAUUCAAUUUAUAAUAUUUUUAUGAAAUCAAAAUGGAAAAUUAUUUUUAAAGUAAUUUAUUCAAACAAGGUUUUUAAUUUUUUUUUUUUUGAAACAAUUUGUCAAAGAUCCUUAUUUUUGUAAAAUAUUUAAAAACCGUUUUUUGUUACUUGUUUUAAAAAUAAUUUUUGAAAACAAGCAUAACAAAAUGACUGAAGGACCCCAAUCUUCUCAAUUCUCUUAGUUAAAAGAAUAAAUGGGCAAAAGAAAAAAAAAGGGUUGAAAUAAAUGAUAAACUUCUGCUUUGAUUCAAACUCUAAAUUUUACUCUAAUUCAAACUAAUAAUAAAUAUAUAAAUACUAAUAAUUAAAUUAAAGGCAAACAGAUAAAUUAUUUAUUUUCUCUAUUAGAAGUAUCUCCAAUCAAUCAAAGUAAAAGUUUUAGAGUCAAGGUGCACCAAAGUGAAGGACCCUGCCAAAAAGAAGAUUGUAUGGAUUUUUGUAGUUUAUUCAACAUGUUAACACCAAUGGUCCAAUAUGUUUUGAAAAACAUUGAUGUGCACAUUCACCCAAAAAUUAAGAGAUCAUAAUAUGCCUACUUUUUAUUUUUAUUUUAUAAUACGAGGAACAAGUGCCCACUCACCCAAAAAAAACAUGUUUCACAUGCACGAACCGGAUAAUUCUACACUACUGGAAUAUUGAUAUCAUAAUAUGCCUUCUUUUAAAUUUUAUCUAGUAAAGUCGUCAAACCCAUGCUUGGGCUAAUAUCUAGGAAUGCAGCCUUUAUUCAUAAUUUAAAACAUCCAGAUCAACACAACCAAUCAAAUCUAUUGAUAUGUGGAAGAUAAUCUUCUGAAUUCUCUUAGUUCAAAGAGUAAAUUAGAGGAUGAAAGAUCUCCAACUAAUCAAAGUGGAAAUUAUAGAGUGAAGUGGAUCUAUGAAGGACCACAUUUGAAACAUAAAAGGUUUGUCUUUCAGCAUUUUUUCAUCCACUGCUUUAGGAAAAAGGUUGCCAGCACAACCACUAAAAAGAACUUUGUGCGAAUUUUUGUGGCUUGUCCAAUAUCCAUAUCAUAUAUCAUAUGCUAUAUAUAAAAUUACUUUUGAUAAAGUAUGAGAUACCUAUAUAAAUAGAUACCAUAUAAAAUAUUUGUAUAAAUAUCUAUAUGAUAUUUAUAUAGAUAUUUUGGGGACAAAAAAUGUGAUUAUUUUGGGGACUCGGCUUUUUCUAUGUUCCUUUUUCUUUAUAAUUUAUGUAUGUUAUGGUGACUUUUUUUUUCUUUUUUUUCUUUUUUUUUCCUUUCCAUCCAUGGAGCCUAAUUCACGUUAAAAGGUGCUGAAAUAAUACAACCAAACAAUCAUACACAAAAGAAAUGGUUAAGAGAAUGGAUUAAAUUAACAAAAUAGAAACUCCUAAUAACAAAAUAUAUAAAUAUUUUUAAGUUGUGAUGCUCAAACGUAAAUAUUAAAAUUGAUCACUCAAAUUUAAAAUUAUUUUAAUUUUCUUUUAAAAAUUAAAAAAAAAAUUAUAAUUGAAACUUCUCAAGAUUAAAGCUUAUUUUUUGAUAAAAUAAAAUAAAAUAAAAUAAUAAUAAUGUAACCAAUGGGUGGAUCUAUUUAUGUCUUUGCUACCGCAUCACUAGCAACCAAACAUAGUGGGAAAAAAAAAAUGAUGCACUGUAAAUGAUGAAACCGAAAAUCUAGAGGGCUAAUGUAGACCCUCCAUUCUAUCCCCUUAACGCAUGCCCUAUUAGGUGUUCUUUCAAUACUUCACAGUGGUUCCCUGGCGACCCUUUGCGGCUCAUAUAGCCAACCUUUUUUAGCCACCUUGGAGAUUUUGGUUGAGCAAUUUAUUUGGCCCCUCAUUAUGACUCUUAGCAUAAUCAAGUUAGAUCUAGGAUUUUUUAUUUUUUCUUUUCUUUUUAGGAUAACUCCUUUAAGUGAACCUUUAGGAUAGAAUACAUAAGCACCCUUUUUCGAUCACCUUGGCCCAUUUAGACAUUUUUGCCCCAUUUAGGAUCACCCAGGCCCAAUUAGGCACAUUCAACCCAUUUAGGAUCACCAGAACCCAUUUAGACACAUCCGACCCAUUUAGGAUCACCUUGGCCCAUUUAGACACAUUUGAUUCAUUUAGGAUCACUCUGGCCCAUUUAGGCACAUUCGACCCAUUUAGGUUACUUUGGCCCAUUUAGACACAUCCAAACCCAUUUAGGUCACUUAGGCCUAUUUAGGCACAUCUGACCCAUUUAGAAUUACCCUAACCUAUUUAGAUACAUCCAACCUAUUUAGGAUCACCUUAGCCCAUUUAGAGUCACCUAGGCUCAUUUAGGCACAUUCGACACAUUUAGGUCACCUUGACCCAUUUAGACACACCCAGACCCAUUUAAGUCACCCUGACUCAUUUAGACACACCUAUAAUCAUUUCAAUCACAUAGGCCCGUUUAGGCACAUUAAGGCCUAUUUGACCCAUUUAGGCACAUUUGACUCAUUUACACACAUCUAGGCCCAUUUAGGUCACUUAAGCUUGUUAAGGCACAUUUAGUCCAUCUAGACACUUUUGGCCCAUUUAGGAUCACCUAGGCCCAUUUAGACACAUCCGGCCCAAUUAGGAUCACCCUAGCCCAUUUAGACACAUUUGACCCAUUAUAGUACAUUUGGCCCAUUUAUGAUCACUCUAGCACAUUAGGCCCAUUAAGUGUCACUUAGGCCCAUCUAGGCACACCCUAGGUCCAUUUAGGAACAUAUUGUCCCACUUAUGUCACCCGUUGACUUUCUUUUUUUUUUUUUGCAUGGUUUGCAUUGCAUGGCUAAAACUUCUUUGUAUGGCUUGCAUGACACCUUUUUUUUGUUAUUAUUAAUUACUUAUUUAUUUUUAUUUAUUAUCUUGUUAUUUAUUUAUUUAUUAUUUACUUAUUUAUCUAUUAUUAUUUCAUCAUUUUCUAUUUUUUCUAAUUAUUAUUCAUUUGUUCAAUCUAUUUUUAUUUCUGUGUUUUUGUAGGGAACUUUACCAAAGAGAGCCAACGGAGAUGGAAAGCAAGAAUCACCAAAAUGAAAAAGGAAGAUAAAAGUAAGAGAGAGUAAAACUUACCAAGAUGAGAGGGGAUGGUGAGCUGCAUUAUGAAAGUAUGGAGAACAUGUUUUGGGAAGUUUAUCAAAGAGAGAGUCAACAGAGAUGGAAAGCAAGAAUCACCAAAAUGAAAAAGGAAGAUGAAGCAAGAGAGAGCAAAAAUUGCCAAGAGAAUAGGGGAUUGAGGGUUGCAUUAUGAAAGUAUGGAGAACACGUUUUGGUAAGUGAGAAAUUCAGCACGUGGGAAAGGUUUUGGAGUAAGGAAAGGAGGGACUUGGUUAAGUUGGAAUUUGGAGAUUCAAUAUGUUUUUUAGGAGAAAGAGGGGAUAACAUUUUAAGACAAAAAGAAAUUCAAUGUGGUAGGAAGGAAUGUUUAGCAUAUUAAGGAAAAACAUGAGGGGAUUUGAUAAACCACGAAGAUCUCAGCGUGUUUCUCGACCAAAUCAGAAAUAUUUGAACUGAGUCUUGAGCUGCAAAGCUUGGAGAAGAAGCUUGUUUGUGUUAAGAGUCUUUGUUUCAGUUGGAGUCCUAUUAUUCUGCAAGAAGUCCUAUUCUUCUGCUAGUUUGUUAUUUUUGCUUCCAUGAUUUAGUUUCUGUUUGUGCACAAUAGUUGUGGCCGUAAGUUUAGGAAGAGUGGUUAGAAAAUAUAUGUAUUUAAACUCUUUCAAUGAAUAAAAAGAAUAUCAGAAAAUUGUUCCAAACAAUGUGGAAUGUUCUCACCUGAAGAGUACACUUUAUCUUUAUUUCAGGACUUUUGGCUGGGACUUAACAUUGGUAUUAGAGCUCGGUUACAAUGGCAACCAACAAAGAGAGGAUUGAAGCCUUGGAGGCUGGACUCGGUGGUGUUCAAGAUGGAAUGCAAUGACUUGAGGACACUGUCAACAGGCUGUCUGAAAUUUUGCUUUCAACUAGGGAAAGCUCCAACAAUCACAACAAUGGGCGAGAAGGAAUUGUCCGGCCACAUCGAGAAGAGAACGACGACGGCAGACAAAUUUUUUUUUUUCCAAAAUGGCAAAAACGAACAUGUUUGAGAAGUUUAAGAUGAUGCUUGGUGUGAUUGACUUUACAAUUCAGAUUAAGGGAGACUGUUGAAAUCAUAAUCCAACUUAAAUUCAAAUUAGAAUAAGUUUAGGAAUUGGAUAAAUAUUAGGAAUUGUUAUUUAUUUAAGCUUCAUAUGUUAAUUAGGACUUUUAGUCUAAUAGGAAUUAAAGUCCUAUUACAAGUAUGGUUAGCUUAUUAUAAAUAGGCUUAUUAUUAUGUUAAAAAGCAUAAUGCAAUAAAUUUAUUUUUUUAGUAAAAUAUUAUUAAUACUGAAAUGUGUGGGUUCCAACAUAAGUAUGAGAACUUAAACAAAACUAAUCAAGCCUAAAAUAGAACAAAUAGUAAAUUUAACUAAAAAAACUAGAACCCAAACUUGUUUGAUAAAAGGGAAAAGCACUUACAAGGCAAGAUAGGCAUUGGGCACCUAAAAUGUGAAAUGCACUCUUACCACCAGGCACUGAUGGACACUCAAAGAAUAAAUAGUAGAAUUGGAUUCGAACCCAAACCUCCUUUAAAAAAAAAGAGAAUGUAAAGAUGAUUAUGAAAAAUUAGGUGUGGAUUUUUUUUUUCCUAAAUUUUUUUUAUAUAUAGAAAAUAGCUUAUUUUUAGAUUUCAGAUAGUUUGUUUUUGUACUUUUUGUUAAUAUAUAACUUAUUUCUUAAAUUUUUUAUUAAAAAGAAAAAAAUCAAAAUAUUUUACUUUUUCUGAUUACUAAAAUUAAUUUAUGGGCUUUAACACUAUUAAACACUUUUUAGUUUUAAGUUCCGAAUAAAAUUAAGUCAAAAAAAGUAACACCACCUUAGAAUUAAAUUUGGUUGAAAAAAUAAAACUCUUAUAUUUUAACUCCUACCCAUAAGUGACUUUGUGUCGGCAUACAAAGAAGAAAUGUGGGCCUAAUGGGGGAUUUUUGAUAUUUUCCUUUUUUUUUUUUUUUUGUAAUACAAUAUUUGUAAAAAAAAAAUGUAGUUAUAUAAAUAAUUUUAAACAAUGUUGUUCCCUAAGGAGACCUCCUUCGGUACAAAAAAUGCAUGUGGUAUUCUUCCAAUUAUUAAAUUGUAUCUAGCGAAAAGGUCCAACGCAUAUUUGAAAAAAGGAGAAUUCCCAUUUAGAGUAGGCUACCAGUGAUAAUGACCUAAAAGGAUCAUCAUAUUUGCAAAUUCUUAUCAAGUCCUUUGAAAAAUUAAUCAUUUUAGAUACCAUUUUUAUUUUUUUUUGUCCUUUUCUUCUUUUUCUCAUUUAAUUUUACCUUUUUUUAUUGUUUUCCUUUUAUACUUUUGAUUCGACUCAUGGUAGCUUAGCUUUAAAGGCGUAUCAACAAAAUUUAUACCUUGAAUACUAUUACUAAAGUAGCCAAGCUACUAUAGCAUAGUGGUUCUAGGAUCGUUCACUGGGAAGGGUUUUCGCAAACACAAGUGAUAUUCAAAUUAGAAAUAGGUGAUUUUCUUAUGGAUGUUAGCUUUAAAAGAAGAUGUAAAUGUUUUAGAAAGAUUUAAACUAAUCUAAGCUAACAUUAAAGACUAAAAUGAAAGGGUGUAAAAACAAGUUUCUCAAAGAUAGGAUAGCUAUGCUCUGGCUCUUAUGCAAAUUGGAAAUCUCAGGAUAGGCUCCUCGCGUUGGGGUUGCAACUAUGGUGAUGCUUGCUUCCCGAACCGGUAUGGAUUUAGCAAAUCAAGUUUUAAUCCUUUAAAAUGGCAAAACAGAUGGUAGUGAAUUUCAUCAAUGGUUAUUCACCUUAGACUUCCUUUGAAUGGCUCGUAAGAGAUAACUAAUGGUCUAAAGCCAAAAGCUUACCAAAUAUUGGCAACUCAAAGUUAUUCCAGGUGAUAAACUCACCUUUCAAUGGCCAUUGAAAUUGGUUCUAACGGAUUAAUGCAAAACUUGGAAUUGAAAACCUCACCUUCCAAUAGCUCGUAGGAGAUAACUAAUGGAUAGAAAUCCAAAAGCUUAUCAAGUAUUGGCCGUUGGAAGUUGUCAAAAGGAAAUAAAAACCAAACUUUGCAUUAAUGAACCAUUAAUGAAAAACGACUACCUUACCUUCCGGGUGCGAGAAAUUUCCAUGGGAUUGCAUCCAAGUCAUCACAUAACAUCCAUACUUUGAGAAACUAAAAGUUUUAGCCAAUCAUCCUCUGAGGAAAAGCCCUCAGAGGCUGUUUGGCUACUAAGAAAAUAGAAAUGGGGAAGAACAGGAGAAAAGAGAAAAAACAGAGCAAGGCUCUGUAUAUUCUAUAUAUUGAUCGAUAUUUUUUACAAUGGAUGCAAGGGAAUAUAUAUAGAGAAGUUUUUCCAACCUUCCUAGCUAAGAAAUUACAUGAGUGGUGGAUUACAAGGAGAAGAAUGGAAAUUUAUACAAAAAUAUCCAAAAGAAAAGAUCUCGUGUGGAGUCGGCAGAAACAGGGGAAAAUUCGCACCAUGCAAGGGGGUGUGCGAAUUCGGAAGGUGUUGUGCGAAAAUUUCGCACACCCCUGGAGCAGUUGUCUUCCGAAGGCCAUAUCUUCCUCAUUUCAGCUCCAAAUCGUACACAGUUUGAAGCGUUGGAUUCUUGACUUCCUGAGCUUUGAAAUGGUAUAUAGCAUGUAGAAAAUGGACUUCGGGAAGUGCUCCAAAAGUUCCAAAGAAGACUGCAGCUGCUGUCCUCUGUUUUCCUCUUUGCUUCUUUUUGCUUCUCUUUGCUUCUCUUCUUUUGUUGGCUUGCUUUGAUGUAGCUAAAAGCUUGCUUUAACUUGUCCAAGUAGCUCCUCCAUCAUUUGGCAUGCUUGAAUUGAUUCAUAAGCUGAUAAAAACAUGUAAACUUGCCACAAAAUGGUUAAAACCAAUUACUAAGGACCUUAAUGAAUUAAUUGGGUUAAAUGAAUAUGAUUACUACUCAAAGGUGCUUAAAACCAUUAUAAUUAGGUCUACAAAAUAGCACUUUUUGGUAGUAAUCAACUUUUUUACACAUUAUUAUUAGGGAGAAUUAUCUUUUGGGGUUAGAUGGGCUUCCAAAUUAACAAAAGGUCCGUAUAACUCUUCAAAUUGAGUUGAAGGAUAUGAAAUAGUAACAGACAAAUAUACCCUUUAAGAACACAUAUAAAAUAUUUUAUAAAAUUAAGUUAAAUAAUUUUUUUUAAUAAUUUUUUUUUCAAAAAUGCUAAAUUAAAUAAAAAUAGUUUUCAAAAAUAUUAAAUUAAAUAAUUUUUUUUUCAAAAAUAUUAAAUUAAAUUAAAGUAUUUAAAAAAAAUAUUAAAUAAAUUUAUUUUUUAAAAAUAUUAAAUUAAAUAAAUUUAUUUUUACAAAAUAUUAAAUUAAAUAAAUUUAUUUUUACAAAAUAUUAAAUUAAAUAAAAGUAUUUUAAAAAAUAUUAAAUUACAUAAAAGUAUUUUUUUUAAAUAUUAAAUUAAAUAAAAGUAUUUUUCAAAAAUAUUAAUUUUUUUUCUCAAAAUCAACAAAGGGCAUUUUUGGAAAUACUGAAGGAUGAUAUCCUUCAACUCAAUUUCCAUACUUUCAUUAGGUCUUGGACUCAAUUUGAAGAGUUAUAUGGACCUUUUAUUAAUUUGGAGGCCCAUCUACCCCCAAAACAUAAUUCUCCCUUAUUAUUAACUAUUAAUAUUAUUAUUUAUAAUAUUAAUAUUUUGAAUUAUUCAUGUUAUUUAUUAAAAUCAUUCUUAUUAAUAUUAUCUAUUUUUAUGAUUAUUAUUCAUAUUUUUAAAAUAAUAAUUAGAAGAAAAAAUAAAACAAAGAAAAGACAAAAUAGAAAAAAGAUAAAGUAGGGAUAUGUUUAACUUUAAAGUGAAACGUAUAAAGGUAUAUUUGAAUUUUUAUAUUUUGAGAUAUUUUGAAGAACUAUCAAAGUUGAUGACCCUUUAGGAUCAUUAUCAUUCAUAGCCCACCCUAUAUGAUAAUUCUCCCUUUCAAAAAUUGUAAAUGGAAUAACGGGCCAAACAAUAGUAUUAUGGUAUCGAAAACAACUUUUUCGUGUCAUACCUCCAAUGACCACAAGUGAGAUUGUGAUCAAUCAAGACAAUUACAAUAAAAUUUAACAACCGAUUACUUUCAAUUUUUUGAUAAUAUUUAUUUUAUUGAUUAAGAAUUAUAAUUUAAUAAAAAAUGGGGUUGUUAUUCACAACAUCCCUUUUGCUAAACAUAACACUUUUUUGUCAUAUUUUUUUUCACAUAUACCCUUUUAAAUAAAGAACUCUCUCUAACCUUCUCUCAACAUAUUGAACCUAAAUUCUAGUUGGUUAAGGUUGCGAAUCACAUACGAAAUACAACGAAUGAUGAAAUUUAAUCAUCUGAUGAAAAUUUUCAGAUAAGAUUUAUAAUUUUCAUUUUUUAUAAAGAAAUAUAUAUAUUUAUCUAUAUAUAUAUAUAUAUAUAUAUAUUUAUCAAAAAAAAAAAAAAUUGGCAACCUGGGUGGGGCUCCGGUGUCCUAGGAGGCAGCAGCAACAACAACGAUUAUGGUUUGGAGUAGGUAUGGAAGUCGGCGACCAUCGACAACAGUGGUUGGGCUAAAUUUUUUGCUUAUAAUAAUUAUAAAAAUCGAAUUUUUAUUAUUAUUUAUAAUAGUUACUAAAUUACUUUUCGUUUAUAAUAGUUAGAAAAUUCUUCAUGACAUAAAUUUUUGCUUAUAAUAAUUAUAAAAUUCUAAUUCUUUUAUUUGUUUAUAAUAUUUACUAAAUUAUUAAUUUUUUGUAAGAAAACAUUAUAGUAGCCACAUAAAUUAUUAAUUUAAACAAGAUUUGUUUUUGCCAAUUUUCACCAAUUUUACUAAUUUCAAUGUUUUAAUUUCUUUUUUUGAAAAUUUUAACUAAUUGCUUCAUGUUUUAAUUUUUUAAAUGCUUUAACUUUGUCAUGUACAUUCUCAUAUAAUUUGAAUAAUGUUAUUGUCUUCAUGAUAUAAAUAGAAUUUUUUAUCUAUUUUGUAGGAUGAAUAUUUUGUGGAGGAAUUUCCAUCACAAUUGAUAGAUUAUGGCAAACAUUUCACUAUACAUAAAAGAUUCAAAGAUCGAGAAGAGUUUAUUGAAGAGGUUAAACAAAUUGGAGAACAACAAAAUAUAUUUGUGAUUAUUUGUCGUUCCACUAAAGCUGAUGGUUCAGGAAGUGGCAAAGUAUGGAUAGGCUGCGAGAGAUUCGAAGGCCAUAGACCGCAACAAAACAGAAAAACCGAUGUGGUGCCUAGAAAUCGAACUAGGAUGAAGAAGUGUCGUUGUCCCUUUAUGUUGAAGGGUAUUGAACAUGAUGAUGGAUAUUGGACUUUAGUCAUCAUUAAUGGCAACCACAAUCACUACCUUGGAAAGUAUCCUCACGGUCAUUCAUCGGUUGGUAAAUUAAAGGAAGCAGAGUUCAAGAUAGUAGCUACAAUGACCGAAAGUCAUGUUAAGCCACAACUUAUUUUAAAUCACCUCAAACAGGAGAAUCCAAGCAACUUGAGUUGUGGGAAACAUGUCUACAAUGCCAGGCAAAAGCUUAAAGAUUAGAAAAAGAAUGGUCGUUCAGUGAUGCAACAACUACCCAAAUUGCUAAUUGAUCAUGGUUAUAUCACCACUGGUAUAGAGAAGAUGCAGAAACUAACACAGUGAGUGAUAUAUUAUUUGCUCAUCCAAAAUCUAUUCACUUGUUGAAUGUUUAUCCAUAUAUUUUGAUUAUGGAUAGUACUUGCAAGACUAACCGAUACUUGAUGCCCUUAUUUGAAGUUGUUGGGGUUGCGCCAAUAGGGAAAAUUUUUACUGUUGCAUUUGUAUUUCUCAAAAAUGAGAAAGAGGAUAGCUACACAUGGGAACUUGAGCAUUUGAAGCUUUUAAUUGAUUCAGAUGAUUUCCCUAAAGUUAUAGUUACUGACAGGGAAUUGGCUUUAGUCAAUGCAUUGAAAAACAUAUUCCACAAUUCUUAUCAUAUUUUAUGCAGACGUCAUAUCGGGAAAGAUGUGGAAAAAUAUUUUACUAACUUGGUAAAGAAUAAGGACAUUGGAACUUCUUUUUCCCAAGGACGUUGGCAUAAGGUGGUUGAAGCUCAAACCCAACAGGAAUAUGAGGAUCGACUAGGGGAGAUGAAUGAGGCUUAUUCACAUAUGUCCGGUUUGUUGAAAUAUGUGCAUGAGACAUGGCUUGGACCUUUCAAAGAGAGAUUUGUUCGUGCAUGGACGAAUUGUGCAUUACAUAUGGGUCAUCUAACAACUAACAGGUAUUUUAUCUUUUUAAUUUGUAAUGUUUAUUGAUUAAUUUCUAUUGUCAAUAAUAGGGUGCAGGGAGAGUGCACAUUCAGAGUUAAAGAGCUAUUUAGGAUCAUCCAUAGCAAGAUUUGACUUGAUAUGGCUCAAAAUUGACUCAAUGAUAAAUCUGCAGCUUGAGGAAAUUAAAAGAGAGUUGGAAAGGGCUCGAACUGUCUCUCUUCAUAUUAUAGUGUUGCACUUAUUUCGGAGGUUGAAUGGCAAUGUUACCCACAAAGCAAUCCAAUUGCUAGAUGAAGAAUGUUAACGAGCAGAAAAGGUGCGCAGUGAUACCUUAGAUUGCGGGUGUUAUUUGAGGAAAACACAUGGCCUUCCAUGUGCGCAUGAACUUUUUGCACUUAUGCAGGAUGGUAAAAGUAUUGAGUUGUAAGAUAUUCACCCCUUUUGGAAAACACUUGAUAUGGAAGUUGUAAAAGAUAGUGCUCCUGAUUCUGAUGAGGAAAAUAAGUUGUUGCGGUCAUUAUUUGAUAGAAUGAUCCAACAACCUCGUAAUGUCAAGAGAAGAUAUAUUGAAGAGUUGGGAAAAAUUGUUCACCCUGAGUGGACAAAUCUCAAGGAACCACUUGUACGACAAACUAAAGGUCGACCGAAAAAAAUGCCACGAAGCGGGAUCAAUCUGCUUGGGAAUAUGCGGAAAAGAAGUAUCCUGGAAAAUCAUGCAAGAAAAGGUCGUCAUCUGGAUCAUUGCAUGGUCGUCGACAAUCAAGGUCAAUUUCAAGCCAUGUUAGAAAAUUCCCAUUCGUAAAUGCAGUUCCAAAAUUUGUUCUUCCAUUUAUUAAUCAUUACUACAAUGUUAAGGCGGAUGGAAAUUGCGGGUACAGAUCAAUUGCUUAUUUUAUCUAUUCUGAUGAGGAGAAAUGACGGCCCACUGUGAGAAGAGAUUUGUUAAAUGAGAUGAAUGGUUGAUUAGGGUUAUAUGCAAAUAUAUUCGGAGGGGAAGAUCGUGCACAAUCUAGUAUUGUUUCACUUCAACAUUGGGAAGGUGAUGCAAAUGAAUCCAAAUGAAUGGAUGUGACGGAUACGUCAUGGGUCAUUGCCAACACAUAAUGCUGUAUGUGUUUCUUUUUCUGCGUCACAAAAUUUGACAUACUUACCUUUGAACGCAACCAAAGAUGUACAAGGUCUUACGAGAGUCAUUACAAUUGUUUAUUUGGAGUCAGCUCGACACUUCAUAGCGGUAUAAUUCUUUUAUUUAUUCUUAUAUUUACACACACGCAAAUACAUCCUAAUUGUUGAUAUUGUAAUUGUUGUGUUUUUUUAUAGGUAAAUAUGGUUUCAGAUUUUCCAUUGCCAAGAAUUCAUCUCAGUUGGUAUUCGUUUCAUGAUGUAAGUGUAUUCAAUUGGGAUGAGCAAUUUAAGCUGAGGUUAGAGGAGUGGCGUAAACAAUUUGGAACAAUUAUAGUAGAUUAUGUCGACCUUGAUUGAGUUCAUGAUUCAACACAUUGAGAAGGUAUUUAGUUGAUUAUAUUUAUUGACUUUUGAACAUAUGUAGGAUUUAAGUCCUAUUAUGUUUUGACCUUUUUUUAGGCUCUUUGAUUACAUACUUUGUUUUAUGAGUCUUUACUUCGCAUACACAAUAAUUAUUACAUUGUUCAUAUUCUUAAUCAAUCUCUAAUUAUAUGCAAUAUUUUUGUUUGGGUUACAAAAAAAAUCAUAUUGAACACAAUAAAAAAUAUUUUUUUAAAAAAAACCAUUCCAAUUAAAUAUUGUUUAUUUUAAAAUUUUAAUAAUAAUUUUUAUUUUAAAAAAAAUGAGUUAUGAAUUUCACAUUAAAACAUUGAAUAUAAUAAAAUCAUUUUACAUAAUAUACUUUUGGUGAAAAAAAUCAUUUUAUAAUUUAUUAUUUAAAGAAAUUAUUUUGUUUUAAAAUAUAAGAAGAAUAUGAAAAACAAUUGAGUGUGAAAAAAUAAAAGAAAUGAAAAGAAAAAAAAAACAAAGUUUAUGUGGGGUGGGGGGUUGGGUGGGUAGAGAUGAAAAGGAAGAUAAAAAUAAAAAUAAAUAAAAAAAAGAAUGCUAAAAUGUGGGGUGGAAAAAUAAAUAAAUAAAAGGGUGCAAUUGGAACGUGAGGUUGGGAAGGAGAGAGGGGGAAAGAAUAAGGGAGGGUAGUUUAGGAAUGUAAAAUGUUGUAUUAGUAAAAAUGGUGUUGUGAUUAGCAAUUGGGAUAUAACCAUAAAAAUAAAAAUGGAAAAUCAUCUAUAAAUAAAUCAAAACAAAAUAUAAAAAGAAAAUAAUAUUUUCAUGGUUGAUUAAUUCCAUGAGUUGGAUGAUAAAAGCAUUAAUAUCGAGUUGGAGGCAAAACCAAUAACCAUCAGAAAAUAUUCUUCCAUUGCUACCACACAAUGCUGUAGAAUUUUCCUAAGAGAGGUCAGUGGAAAAGAGACAUGCAAGACGUGCAAGAAUUUUCCUAGGAACUUCUUCUAUUGCUUCCACACAGUGGAAAUGAGACUUUGACUCACCAGUCGUUGGGCCUCAAGUCUGCCACAACCUGUUUUGGAUGGCCAUAAGAUUAUUGAUGGGCUGCUUAAACGUUGCUUUGAGUUAUGGUUAACAUGAAAAUAUCAACCAGAAGGUGGUCUGCUAAUCUUGUUUUCUUGCUUAUUUAUUCAGGUUUUCACUGGCAAUUUGUUAAUGCAUUUACAAAUACAAUCUUACAAGGUCAAUCGUUCACAAACUCUCUGAUAAGGGAGAAUAAUUUGAUUCUCCAUAAGAUUUGCUAUAUCCCAAUUCGGUUCCAUAAAAUCCGAAAGUAUAGUUGUAAAUAUAUGUAGAUAUGUUUUCAAUAUUUGUAUUUCAAACCUUUCCUAUUUUAUAGGAUCACAUUGUUGUUAUUUAUUCUAUAUAUAUUUGAUGUUAUCUCCUGCACACGACAAGGAGGAUUUCAGUCAUUAUACAUUGUUUCUUAAACAUCUUUAUGGUAUUAGAGCAAAGUUUUUUUUCUUUACCAUGGCUGAUUUGACUUCUUUAUCUCCUUCUCUUCCGCUUAACACAGUGGUGCAUAUGCUCACCAUUAAACUGACUUCCUCAAAUUACUUAUUGUGGAAAAAUCAAUUUGUUCCACUAUUAGCCAGUCAAGAUUUGUUUGGCUAUUUGGAUGGUAGCAUCGGGGCUCCCUCCGCCACAAUUCUUACCGCUGAUGGCACCACCAAGUCAAAUCCAACGUACGCUUCUUGGCUACAUACUGAUCUGACGUUUCUUAGUUUACUCUAUUCUUCUCUUACCGAGGAGUCUAUGAGUGAAGUAUUGGGUUUACGUCAUUCUCAUGAGGCUUGCUGCGCUCUUGAAGUCUCAUUCUUACAUCGGUCGAAGACUUGUGAAUUGCAACUCAAGGAUGAACUCCAACUGAUGCAACGCGGCUCUCAGUCCAUUGUCGAGUUUUCCCAUACCUUCAAAGGUCUUUGUGAUCAAUUGGCUGUGAUCGGUCGUCCCAUUGACGACACAGAUAAAGUUCACUGGUAUUUGCGAGCAUUAGGGCCCGACUACAAGAUCUUCUCCACCACCAUGAUGUCACAGCUUCCGCUACCCUCAUUUACCGAGAUUGUUUCAAAAACUUUGAGUCAUGAGAUUUUUGAAAGGUUGGUUUCCCACUCGUCUUCUAACUCUACUUAUUAUGUGCAGCAAACUUCCAAAUCUGUAGGGGCUAAGAAAUGGAAGAAUGGGCCUCCCCCUUCAUCUAGAUCUUUUGCACAUUCGAAGUCAUCAUCCACCGUUCACUGCCAGUUGUGUGACAAUGAUGGACACCGAGCCAAACGUUGCUGGAGCUUCUUAAAACUCAAGAAGAAGCAGUCAGCUAAUAUUGCUGAAGUUUUUUCAACCUACUCGAUUCAAGACCUUAAUGACUCUGAAUGGUUUCUUGAUUCUGGUGCAACGUCCCAUAUGAUAAGUGACACUGAGGUUGUGGAUCAACCAGCUCUCUACUCUAGUAAUGAACAUGUCAUGGUUGGAAAUGGUCAGUCUUUAGCAAUUUCUCAUACUAGUUCCAUUUCAUCUAUUAUUCCGUCUAGUUCUCUUCUUUUAUCAAAUGUCUUAGUUGUUCCUAGCAUUAAGAAAAAUCUUAUUUUGAUUAGUCAACUUACUACAGACAAUAAUUGUCUUGUUACCUUCUCUUCCUCUGGUUUUAUCAUAUAGGAUCAGGUCACAAGAAUCGUACUGGGAGUCGAAAGAUGUGAAAAUGGUUUCUAUGUGUUGGAUCGUUGUCAUCAUGCCCUUAUGUCCACCACUUCUCCUUCACCGCGAGCCUCUGUUCGUUUAUGGCAUGCUCGCCUUGGUCAUCCCAAUUAUCGUACUGUCUCUUCUCUUUCUAGAUUAGGAUAUAUUUCUUGUAGUAAUAAAUUGGUGAUCAUUGAUUCUGAAAUUUGUGUUGGUUGUAGACUUAGCAAAAGCCAUUGUUUACCUUUUUCUCUAAAUGAUGAACGUUGUGCCAUGCCUUUUGAUCGCUUACACUAUGAUUUAUGGGGUCUGUCACCAGUUCUCUCUUUUACUGGAUAUAGAUACUAUGUGGUAUUCAUUGAUGAUUGUACUAGAUUUAGUUGGAUAUUCCCUUUAAAACAAAAAUCUGAUUAUUUUGAUACCUUCAUCCAUUUACAACGUUAUAUUGAGACUCAAUUUUCAUCCAAAAUAAAAUCCUUUCAAUGUGAUGGUGGAAUCGAAUUUACAAAUAAUAAAUUUCGAUCUCACUUGCAAUCUUGUGGCAUUGUUCUCCGUUUGGCAUGCCCCUACACUCCUAGUCAAAACGGCAUUACCAAACGUAAGCAUCACUAUGUCACAUAAAUGGGUCUUACCCUUAUGUUCCAUGCACGUGUGCCGCUCUCUUUGUGAGUUGAGGCCUUCCCAACUGCUGUCUUUCUCAUUAAUCGACUCCCGUCACCAUUACUUGAUGGCAAAACUCCUUAUGAGCUCUUGUUUAGUAAGCAACCAGAUUACUCUAUGCUUCGGACUUUUGGGUGUGUUUGCUUCCCUUAUUUGAAAGAUUACUCACCAAAUAAAUUGUCUCCAAAAUCUACUUCUUGUAUCUUUUUAGGUUACAGUACACUUCAUAAAGGAUUUUGAUGCCUUGAUCAAACGACACAUCGUGUCUAUGUUUCUCGACAUGUGCAGGCUUGUGAAAAUACUUUUCCUUAUCAUGGUGAUUCUAUACAAAAUUUACAAACCAACAUUGACUAUACCCAUUUUUCUGAAUGUUCAGACUAUGUGUCUAGUUUUUCUCAUUCAUUUUUUAGUUCACCAUGUUUGCCUUGCAGUGAUUCUCCACACCUGUCCUCAUAUCCUCCCCCUGAUCUGCAAGGUCCUAUUUCUGUGGAACCCCUCUCGGAUUCUACAGCUUUAGACUCAACUUUCCCACUACCAGUGUCUUCCAUUCCUCGUGUGACCACUUCCAGCCACCCGAUGAUUACCAAUGGAAAAGACGGUAUAUUCAAACCACGAUUAUAUCAUGCUAUGAAUGUUUUGUCUUCUUUUCAAACUUUUCAAGCACUUCUUGCUCUCAAAGAACCUCGGGGUUUUAAGUCUGCUACAAAACACCCUGAAUGGCUCUUGGCUAUGGAUGAUGAGAUUCAAGAUUUGAAGACAAAUGAUACAUGGGUUCUUGUACCUCGUCCUAACAAUCACAAUGUAGUAGGCUGUCGCUGGAUUUUUGAAACCAAACUUCGAUCAGAUGGGUCCAUUGAGCGUCACAAGGCACGUCUCGUGGCUCAAGGAUUUUCUCAGAUUCAUAGUCUUGAAUUUGGUGACACAUUUAUUCCUGUAGUGCGCCCUGCUAUAGUUAGAAUUAUUUUGUCAUUGGCUGUUACUUCUGGAUGGCGUUUACAUCAGCUAGAUGUAAAAAAUGCCUUUCUACAUGGUUUUCUCAAUGAAGAGGUGUAUAUGGAACAACCGCCUGGUUACAUAGAUCCACAGUUCCCUCAGCAUGUUUGUCGCCUAAAGAGGGCUCUUUAUGGGUUGAAACAAGCCCCUCGAGCUUGGUUUCAUCAUUUUAGCUCUUUUUUGCUCAAACUUGGAUUUCUUUCCGGUCAGGUUGAUUCUUCAUUAUUUGUCUAUCACUCCUCAGUUGGAACUGUUUAUUUACUUCUUUAUGUUGAUGACAUGGUCAUGACUAGAAGUAAUUCUUCUAUGGUUCAAACCCUCAUUACUUGACUUUCCAAGGAAUUCUCCAUAGGGAUUUGGGUGAUCUUCAUUAUUUCCUCAACGUUGAAGUGCAAGCUAAUGAGAAGGGUUUGUUUUUCACAACAUGCUUUUUUCUGCGUAUACAUUUGUAAUCAUGCAGUUAUUAAAUGAAUUGUUAUAAUAAUGAAUCUAGUGGCUAUAUGUCCCCAGAGUAUGUUUUGUGAGGUCUCUUUUCAACUAAAUCUAAUGUUUUUAGCUUCGGGGUCUUGUUACUAGAGAUUCUAAGUGGCAAGAAGAUUACCAAAUUUUAUCAUAGUGACUCACUCAAUCUUCUUGGAUAUGUAAGUAACACAAUUUUCCUCUUAUGUACCUAAAGUUAUCAUGUUUACUACUAUAUUUCAAGCUUGAAGUUAGAUCCUUGAAUGCAAUUGACCAAAUUAGGACUAUAUAUCUUUCUUUUUUUGGGGAAUUGUUCAUCAAAGUAUAAUUUUUUUUCCUUUAGGCACGAGACCUGUGGAAAAACAACAGAGGACAAGAGUUGAUUGAUCCAGUACUAAAUGAGAUAUCUUGAAGACAUAUUCUGUUAAGGUACAUCAAUGUAGCCCUUCUUUGUGUUCAAGAAAGUACAAAUGAUAGGCCCACCAUGUCCGAUGUUGUCUCCAUGCUUGGCAAGGAAAAUGUACUUUUAUCUUCUCCAAAUGAGCUGGCCUUCUCAAAUCUAUCGAGUAUGAAACGACAUGCAUCUCAAGAUAGGCUUGAAAUUUGUUCCUUAAAUGAUGUAACACUUUCAAGCGUGGGAGCAUGAUAAGUGUUCUAAAUUUCAGAUUGCAUAUGCUUAAAUGUCUUCAGCAUAUUGUCUAGUAUUAUAUCGGCCAUCAAGUUGAUUGUUGAUGUACUGAACGUGUGAACUUUUGUAUGUAUUUUUCUUUCAAUGUAAUUCAAUAAUGUGCUUAAUUUUACUCAAUCCUCAAGGAUUCAAACCUGUAUCUCAUCUUCCCAUCUGUAAUUGCUACUGAAUUUGCUUUUAUGCAUUUCCAAUCCAGAGUGUACAGUCGUUAGAGCUCAUUGCAAAUAUUCAACUAGUACUAGGAAAGAUGAGCUUUUGCGCAUGCUACAGCUAAGCAUAAGUACUAAUUAACAUAUAGGCAAAAGGGAAAGUGAGGAAGGAAAGCAGCUAUAGAUUUCUUUGCCUUUUAAGCUGUGAUAUCAUCUAACAUUUUUUUAAGGGAAGAAAUAUUAUAAUUGAAGGUUUACGUUGAGUACUCGUAAAACCUUCUUUUCUUAUUGGACAUGGUUUCAAUAAAAUCCAUUUGGUUGUCAAGAAAUCUGAGGGAGUUGAGGAUGUGGAUGAGGAAUUUGAAGUCUACCCUCGUCCCUAUAGCUUAAAAUGAAAAGGCAUAGUUACAAACUAAGCUUACAUCGUGGCAGAAACGUUUAUAUUCCUUAGUGGGGCUUGUAGUAGGAGAUCGACCCAGAAGCCAACCAGAAAAGACAUGCAUCUAUCGUUCAAAUGAUUUUCUAAACUUAUUAAAUUGAUUUUCAAGAACUUGAUAAAUACCUCAUUUCUAUAAUAAGGUGAUUUCAAACGUUAGAAAACAGUGAAGGAAAAUGUGAAAUCACUCUACCACCAAGCAUAGAUGGACACUCAAGAAUAAAUAGUAGAGUUGGAUUUUAACACAAACCUCUUUUAAAGAAGAGAAUGUAAAGAUGAUUAUGAAAAAUUAGGUGUUGUUUGUUUUUAAAAAAUUUUUUAUAGAAAAAAUAUUUUUGUUUUAGAUUUCAAAUAGUUUGUUAUUGUACAUUUUGUUAAUAUAUUACUUAUUUCUUAAAUUUUUUAUUAUAAAAAAAGAUAUUUGACUUUUUCUGGAUGCUAAAAGUAAUUUAUAGGUUUUUUUUACUUCUUAAAUAUUUAAUAAAAAUAAAAUAUUUUAAAAAAUAACUUAAUAGUUAACAUUAUUAAAUACUAUUUAGUUUUAAAUUCAAAUUAAAUUAAGGAAAAAAAAAGUAAAACCACCUUAAUAUUAAAUUUGGUUGAAAAAAUAAAUCUCUUAUGUUUUUCCUCCACCCAUAAGUGACUUUGUGCUAGCGUACAAAGAAGUAAUGUGGGCCUAAUGGGGGAUUUUUGAUAUUUUCCUUUUUUUUUAAUAAGAUAUUUGUAAAAAAGUUGUAGUUAUAUAAAUGAUUUUAAACAAUGUUGUAUCCUAAGGGGACCUCCUUCCAUACAAAAAAUGCAUGUGGUAUUCUUCAAAUUAUUAAAUUGUAUCUAGCGAAAAGGUCGAAUGUGAAUUUGAAAAAAAGGAGAAUUCCCAUUUAGGGUGAGCUAACACUGAUAAUGACCCAAAAGGGUCACCAUGUUUACAAAUUCCUAUCAAGACCUUUGAAAAGUUGAUAAUUUCAUAAUUCUAAUUUUACCUUUUUUUUUCUUUUUUUUUUUUUCAUUUUUCCUAUUAUUCUCAUUUAAUUUUACCUUUUUUAUUGUUUUUCUUUUAUACUUCUUUACACAUUAUUAUUAUUAAUGUUAAUAUUAUUAUUUAUAAUAUUAAUAUUUUGAAUUAUUCAUGUUAUUUAUUAAUAUCAUUCUUACUAAUAUUAUUUAUUUUUAUGAUUAUUAUUCAUAUUUUAAAAAUAAUAAUUAAAAAAAUAAAAUAAAAUAAAGAAAAGACAAAAUAGGGAAAAGGCAAAGUAAGGAUAUGUUUGACUUUAAAAUAAAGGACCUAAGGGUAUGUUUGAGUUUUUAUAUUUUGAAGCACAUGAAAGAUUAUCAAGUUGAUGACUCAUUAUCAAUAGAGCCCACCAUCUUUGGUGAUUCUCCUUUUGAAAAAUGAUAAAUGAACAAACAGGUCAAACAUUAGUAGUAUGGAGCCCACCAUCUUUGCUAAUUCUCCGUUUGAAAAAUGGUAAAUGAACAAACGGGUCAAACAUUAAUACCGAGAACAACUCUUCCGUGUCAUACCUCUCCAAUUAUAAUAAAGUAGCAUCCGGUCAAUUUCAAUUUUUUGACCAUAUUUAUUUUAUUGAAUUAGAAUUAUAAUUUAAUAAAAAUGAUAAGAAUUAUAACAACCAAUUCUAUUAUUUAAAGAUAAAUUGUCUAAAUAAGAUUAAAAAUUAAAAAUUAAUCCAUCUAACAACAAAUUUAAAAUGGAUUUAUAUAUCAUAAAAUAUCAUGACCGAAGAAACCAAUAACCAUAAAAAUAAAAGUAGAAAAAUCAUCUAUAAACAAAUCAAAGAAAAAAAAAGAAAACAAAAUUUUUAUGUUUGAUUAACUCUGAGUUGGAUAUCUUCCACGACAGCUGCAAUGAUGAAUGUAAAGAGAAAGAAUGGAAGAAGAGAGACAAAAUGAAGUAUCAAGGAAAGUGAGGGCCGGUUAUAUAUAUAUAUAUAUAUAUUUUCAAUUUUAAGAUGCAUGGUGAAGAUCUCAUCUUGCACAUCCAUUGGCGCAAGAUAUUCAUCAAUUGCUACACAGUGCUGUAGAAUUUUCCUAAGGGAGGCCAGUGUAAAGGAGACCUGCAAGAUGUUCUUCUAUUGCUACCACACAGUGGAGUAGAAUUGAUAUUCUUCGAUUGCUACCACACAGUGGUGUAGAAUUUUCCUAGAAGAAAUAUUGAAAAGGAGGUCAGUGGAAAGGAGAUUUCGACUCAUCAGUCGCUGGGCCACAGGUCUGCCACUGCCUGUUUUGGAUGGCCAUAAGAUUAUUGAUGGGCUGCUUAAACGCUGCUUAUGAGUUAUGGGUAACAUGAAAAUUUCAACAAGAAGGUGGUCUGCUAAUCUCGUUUUCUUGAUUAUUUCUUCAGGUUUUCACUGGAAAUUUGUUGAUGCCUUUACAGAUACAAUCUUACAAGGUCAAUCACUCACAACCUCUCAGACCAUUAUAUCUGCUGCUGGUAACUUUGAAUUAGGAUUCUUUUCUCCUGGAAAGUCCACAAAAUAUUAUGUGGGGAUAUGGUACAAGAAAUUCUCAGAGCAAACCAUUGUGUGGGUAGCUAACCGAGAUUAUUCAUUCAUAAAUCCAUCCGUGGUUCUUACUGUCAGCACAGAUGGCAACCUCGAGAUUUUGGAGGGGAAGAUUUCGUACAAGGUGACAAGCAUAUCAUCAAACAGCAACACUAGUGCCACCCUGUUGGAUUCUGGAAAUCUUGUUUUGAGAAAUAAGAGUCAGAUGUCUUAUGGGAGAGCUUUGACUAUCCAUCGGACACGCUCCUGCCCGGAAUGAAACUUGGAUAUGACAAAAGGGCUGGAAAAACAUGGUCAUUGGUGUCAUGGAAGAGCAGAGAAGAUCCCAGUCCAGGAGCUUUCUCCAUAGAACACGACGCGAAUGAAAGUAGCCAGAUUUUUAACCUGCAAGGACCCAAAAUGUAUUGGACUAGUGGGGUGUGGGAUGGGCAGAUUUUCAGCCAGGUUCCUGAGAUGCGUUUCAUCUACAUGUACAAGUACAAUACAUCCUUUAAUGAGAAUGAAAGCUAUUUUUCUUACUCUCUUCAUAAUCCCUCCAUUCUGAGCAGAGUGGUGCUAGAUGUGUCAGGCCAGGUUAGGCGUCUGAAUUGUCAUGAAGGCACACAUGAAUGGGAUUUAUAUUGGCUUCAACCAAAAACACAGUGUGAGGUUUAUGCUUACUGUGGGCCUUUCGGAACCUGCACUCGGGAUUCUGUUGAAUUUUGUGAAUGCUUGCCAGGUUUUGAACCUCGCUUCCCUGAAGACUGGAAUCUGCAAGACAGAUCUGGAGGGUGUGUGAGGAAAGCAGAUUUGCAGUGUGUCAAUGAAAGCCAUGCUAAUGGGGAGCGAGACCAGUUUCGUUUGGUGUCUAACGUGAGACUGCCCAAGUAUCCAGUAACAAUACAAGCAAGGAGUGCUAUGGAGUGCGAAUCAAUUUGCCUGAAUAGCUGCCCUUGCUCCGCUUAUGCUUAUGAGGGAGAGGAGUGUAGAAUAUGGGGUGGAGAUCUUGUAAACGUGGAGCAGCUACCAGAUGGUGACAGUAAUGGUAGAAGUUUCUAUAUCAAACUUGCUGCCUCUGAGCUAAAUAAGAGAGGUAAGAAAACAGAGUCAUAGUUGUUAUUGUAGGAGGACAUAAAGCAUAUGGGUCUUGUUUUAUUUUCAAUAUAAAAUGGCCAUCGAUUCAACUAAAUUUAAUAUGAUAUAUUUCGUUCUACAGUUUCAAGCAGCGAGUGGAAGGUAUGGCUAAUUGUUACACUGGCCAUAUCUUUAACUUCAGCCUUUGUCAUUUAUGGGAUAUGGGGAAGGUUCCGAAGAAAAGGUCAGUAUUUCUCAUGGACAUACAGAUGGCCAAGCAAUUCAACAAUUUUUAGUUUCCAUCUACAAAUACAAAACCAGUUCUUUUCUGAAAUGAGUUCAUUACCACUGUUAUUAAAUAAUUAAGGUAACAUUAGGAUUUCAUGUUCUGAUUACAUGUGAGUGUGUAUGUGGAAUCCAAUGUGAGAAAUAAUUUAUUCCCAUGCCAGAAUUCCUACAUUCUUAUGAUAUUUAAUGUCUGUUUGUUAUUUACCAAGCAGGGGAAGAUUUGUUACUAUUUGAUUUCGGUAACAGCUCAGAAGAUACCAGCUGCUAUGAGCUUGGCGAGACAAAUAGACUUUGGAGGGGCGAGAAGAAGGAAGUUGAUUUGCCCAUGUUCAGUUUUGCGAGUGUAUCUGCUUCUACAAAUAACUUCUGUAAUGAAAAUAAACUAGGAGAGGGCGGUUUUGGAUCUGUUUACAAGGUGAGAUUACAACCCCUGACAAUAAUGUUCUACAAUCUAUCUUGGAAUGUAAAGGCCCACUUGAUAUAUACCAAAUUUCUUUUACUUGGUGUAAUUGUACUCAGUUGAAAUUCCCAUGACAGGGAAAGUCACAAAGAAGAUAUGAAGUAGCUGUGAAAAGGCUCUCAAAAAGAUCUAAACAGGGAUGGGAGGAGUUAAAAAAUGAAGCCAUGCUUAUAGCCAAGCUGCAACACAAGAAUCUUGUGAAAGUUUUGGGAUACUGCAUCGAGCGGGAUGAGAAGAUAUUGAUUUACGAGUAUAUGUCCAACAAAAGCUUGGAUUUCUUCCUCUUUGGUUUGUAACUUCCACAUACAUAUACUUCCGACUACUGUAUAUUCAAUGAGAAAACUUUACACAUUCAUCAUUCUUCACCACUUAUUUGCUAACAUCUAUUUAUUUGGUGUAAAAUGGAGAUAGAUCCUACAAAACAUGGGAUUCUGAAUUGGAAGACAUGGGUUCACAUCAUUGAAGGGGUUGCUCAGGGACUUCUUUAUCUGCAUCAGUACUCCAGAAUGAGGAUUAUUCAUCGAGAUUUGAAGGCUAGCAACAUUCUUCUAGAUAAGGAUAUGAAUCCUAAAAUAUCAGAUUUUGGAAUGGCAAGAAUAUUUGGAGGCAACGAACCAAAAGCAACAAAUCAUAUAGUUGGGACUUAGUAAGUGAAACCUGACAAAUUAUAAAAUAUGUGAAUGUUCAUACAACAUUUGAAAUCAUGCAGCUACUGAAUGAUUUUUCUCAUUAAUAAUCAAAUCCAGUGGCUAUAUGUCUCCUGAGUAUGCUUUGGAAGGUCUUUUCUCCACUAAAUCUGAUGUCUUUAGCUUUGGGGUCUUGUUAAUGGAGAUUUUGAGUGGCAAGAAGAAUACUGGAUUUUACCAAACCGACUCGCUCAAUCUUCUUGGAUAUGUGAGUAACACAAUAUUUAUUCACUUACAUAACUAUUUAUGAUGUUUUGAUAUGCUAAUUCCUAGUUUUCAAUUCCCUUGUCAUAUUACCUAUCCGGUUGUCUUGGGAUACUGGUAAAUUUUCACAUUUAUGUCUUCAACUCAGUUUCAAGGCUUAUUUUAUAUUGUUGGCUGAUAUAAAAAGGACUUUAUUAUCUUUUACUUUUUAGGAAUUUGCAUCAAUGGAUAAUUUUCUUCAUUUAGGCAUGGGAUCUGUGGAAAGACAGCAGGGGGCAGGAGUUGAUGGAUCCAGGGUUGGAAGAGACUUCGCCAACACACAUUUUGUUGAGGUACAUCAAUGUAGGCCUUCUUUGUGUUCAAGAAAGUGCAGAUGACAGGCCUACCAUGUCUGAUGUUGUCUCAAUGCUUGGCAAUGAAAGUGUACGUUUACCUUCUCCAAAACAACCGGCAUUUUCAAAUCUGAGAAGUGGGGUGGAACCACAUAUAUCCCAAAACAGGCCUGGAAUUUAUUCCUUAAAUGGUGUGACACUUUCAGUUAUGGAAGCACGAUAAUGGUUCAGAACUUAAUAAAUAAUAUGCUUAAAUUUCAGCAUAUUGUCUUGUAUUGUUCUGGGUGAAUUCAUAGCUCAUAUACUAAAAUGGACAAGUGACCUUAUGUGUGAAUUUUUCUUCCAAAACAGUUUAAUAAUCAUCUUGUACUCAAUCCCUAUGGAUUCAGACUUGUGUCUCAUCUUUCAAUCUGGAAUUGCUACUAAAUUUGACUUUAUCCGGUCAAAUUUGGAUUUAAUUUGAAAAUGAUCUGUUCCAUUGUUGAUCCAAAGAGUAAAAUACAACUUUUUUCAUUGCUUAGUAGCUAAGAAAAGGUGCCACUGGGGCCAAUCCAACUAUAGAGAAUCAACCACCCACCUUCCACUUCCUCUCUUAUGGAUGUUUCUGAAUGCCCUGGCAUAUGUAUAUCAUUUCCAUAUAAACCACCAAUUUGGUCUAGGAUCAGUUUCAUCGAGUAUUUCAGGAGACAACAUAAAACAAGUCAAAAAGUAGAUAAUUACGAACUAAUUGGCCAUCCAGCACAGAAAAUCCAUCUCCCAAUGGGGCCUUAAAGCACUUGAAUUUACUGUUCUUUCCAUCAUUAUUUUCAUUCUGGGCAUGGCCUAGAUUGAAGAAAGGUCCGAUACAAAUUGGAAAAGUCAUAGAAGGAAAUAUAUCUAGGAGGGAAUCCUAACAAAAGGUCUUUCAAAAUUGCUACACCUUGCUUUGAAUGGUACCUGGUAUCUUCAUUGAAUGAGUGUUUUUCCUAUGUCCCACCAUUAAAAUGAAUGGGAGUCUCCAAAUUACAUAGAUUUUUUUUUAUAAUGUAUUAUUUUAUAAAUUUCAUAGAAUUAUCAAUUUAGUAUUUUAGCCCCAAAGUCUGUAAAAAACAUGAUUUGCUUAAGGUUAUCAUAUUAUCAUGCAUUAAUUUAUUUAAAUUCUACUAUUUUUUCCUUAAUUAAAAAGUAAAUUUUUAAUUUUUUUUAAAAAAGGUCACUUUUCUCUCUUUUUUCUUUGAAGUCUCUAACUCUAUAACACUCGAACUCAUUUUCUCAUACAAAAUAAAAUUAAUCAAAUUCAAAUUUGAAACAUUGAAAAUUAAUCAAUAACAUAAAAAUCAAUUGAAAAAUGAAUUUAUGUAAUCAAAAACCUUAAUUACUAUCAAAUUACUAACUUUCUAACUAUUUACAUGAUUAAUCAUUAUAAGAUUUUUAUUAUGACAAUAGAUUUUGGUAUUGAUGAUCUAGAACCCUGAUCUGUAAACACACAAGUCCCUGUCAUCAAACCCUGAUCUAGAACAGUAUUUGACAUCAUGGAAAUGCACUGAUGAUUCAUCCACUAGAAACUUCACUUGGAGAUUAGAUAUUCCCAGGCUGCCUCAACUGGCUGUUGGCAUGGGAUCAGUCAAAAAGUACCGCACAGGGCCAUGGAAUGGAGUUUGAUUUAAUGGUGUACCAGUGUUUCCCAAUGAGGAGGUCUAUUUACCAUUAAUGAUUUUUAAUGAGGAGAAUGUAUAUAACUUGUCUCAGGCUGGCAGCUACUCUGCUACUCUGAGAGUCACCAUCAAUCAUUUAGGCUUGCUGCAAUGGAAUACAUUGAAUGAAAGCAAUGACGAGUGGACUACUAUGUACACAGUACCAUAUGACCCAUGUGACAACUAUGGACAGUGUCGUGCUAAUGGCAUUUGCAGGCUUUCCAGCAUGCCAGUCUGUGAGAGUUUGAAGGGGUUCACCCCCAACUCAAAAGGAGAAUGGGAAAUGCUUGAUUGGUCUAGUGAAUGCGAAAGGGCAGGGUCCUUGGAUUGCAAGAGCAAAGAUGACCUUAUGAAGGUCUUAGGGGUGAAAUUGACUGACUUGUUGGAGUUUCGGUUGAACAAGAGUAUGAGCCUCAAGGAAUGUGAGGCAGAGUGCUUGAAGAACUGCUCCUGUGUGGCGUAUGCGAAUUCAAACAUUAAAGGUGGAAGCAGUGGUUGUUUGACCUGGUAUGGAGAUCUGAUUGAUAUUAGAGGGUUCACAGAUGGGAAAAGUGGGCAAGACCUUUAUACCAGAUGUCCAGCUGGGGAACUAGGUAAGAGUAUUUGACACUCUUUUCACUACCAAGCUCUUUUAUUGUUCAUCCAUGAAGGUUUAACAAGCAUUGCAAUCUGGAUUGCAUGGUUGCUUAUUUUCUCUAGGUGAGUUAGGAUCUUUUUCAUUUUUGGGAUAUGAAAGAAAGUUAGGAUUGUUUGUCAUAUAUCAUAGUGGGACAUUUUGACAUGGAAUAGCUAGUAUCCUCAGUAAUGGUUUUUAUCUUUUAACUAAAGCCACAAAAACAAUUGAUGGCCAACUCUCUCUGCAGUAAGGUGCAGACAAGACUGAAGCGAGGAUUUGAUAACAAAAGUUUUUAGCAAAAUGAUUAAAUUUCUUCCCAUCUCCUGUUUCAGGGUCAAUCCAUGGUUCGCAUAAGAAGAAAAAACUGGUUGUUGUCCUAGUUGCAUUGACCAUUUCUGGAAUGCUAAUCUUGGGCUUGGUGUUCUGGUGCAUAAAAAGGAAAAAAAUUGAGGUAAUCCUAAUUAUUGGUCCAUUCAGUGUUUCAACUUUCAUCAUUGAAAAUCUAUAUCAUACAACUGGAUCCUGAGUACAGUAAUGAAGUAGGCACUAUCUCAUCAAUAGGCCUCGAAAGUGAGACGGAAGAUUUGGAGUUACCUUUAUUUGAUUUGGCUACCAUUAAUACUGCUACUAACAACUUCUGUGUCAUAAAUAGAAUUGGCACAGGCUGCUUUGGUCCUGUUUUCAAGGUAACAUUUGAUUGUAAGAAAAAGUGUGUUUCCUAUUAGACAGUAUGCAGGGCAGUUUGUCAAUAGGAUAAGAAGUAGCAGUGAAGAGGUUGUCAAAGAAUUCAGGACAGGGUCUUCAAGAGUUUAAGAAUGAGAUUUUUUUAAUUGCCAAACUCCAACACAAGAAUCUAGUGAAGCUUUUAGGCUGCUGCAUUCAGGGACGAGAAAGGAUAUUACUCUAUGAAUAUAUGCCCAACAAGAGUUUGGAUUAUUUUAGUUCCAUUUGAAAUUCUCAACCCUUUAGAUCUCUUUGGACUGGUUUGGGUACAUGAUCAUCCAUACCAUGCUCAUGCAUCUAUAGAGUUCAAAUAGUUAUAAUCGCAAAAUUUACAAGGGUUGAAAUGAUGUGCAGAUUAAAACAGAAGAGCGUUAUUGCCAUGGAAAAAGCGCUUUGACAUUGUUAUGGGGAUCGUGCAAGGACUUGUUUAUCUCCACCAAGAUUCUAGACUUCAAAUCAUUCAUAGGGAUCUCAAGGCAAGCAAUAUACUGAUAGAUGAAAACCUGAACCCCAAAAUUUCAGACUAUGGCUUGGCAAUAAUUUUUGGAGGGGGAUGAAAUGGAAGCAAAAACAGAGUAAUUGGAACAUAGUAAGUUCUGUGCUUCUACUUUAGAAAUGAUGUGCUUUUCCUUGAAAUAACUUAUAUUUGAAAUCUUCAUGCAGUGGCUACACAUCCCCAGAGUAUGUGAUUGAUUGCAAAUUUUCUGUUAAAUUUGAUAUCUUUAGUUUUGGUGUGCUUCUGCUGGAGAUUGUGGCUGGUAUAAAGAACAGGGGGUUCUAUCAUUCAAACUACCACCAUAAUCUUCUGGGACAUGCAAGUAGAAAGAAUGAAAAUCCACCUCUGUCACACACACACAUCAAAGACGCAUGCCCUCUCUUGCUUUUCUGACAAAGUAUAUGGCUUCCAAUUGCUUUAGACAUGGUUGCUUUGGAAACAAGACAAGGCCUUGGAAGUAAUGGAUGCAUGUUUGGAGGACUCAUGUAUUGAAUCCCAGCUACUAAGAUGCAUACAAGUCGGUUUAUUAUGUGUUGAAAACCUCCCAGCAGAUAGACCAGCUAUGUCAUCUGUUUUUUUCACGUUGGGUAAUGAGGGAGCAACACUUCCUUAACCUAAACAUCCUGGUUUCUUCCCAGAAAUAAGUAAGAUCGAUAUAGAUGCAACAACAGGACGUGAAGAGUUACCUUCAGAAAAUGUAGUAACCAUCUCAGUGCCAGAAGGUAGAUAAAGGAUUCAAGCACUGUGUCAGCAUGUGCAGGGUGCAUCCAAGGUUUAAUUCAUGUAGGAUAUAGCACUAGGCUCUUCAAUGGAUGGACACCAAUUUCCUUAAGGUUGCAAAACUAGAUUACAGCUUGGCCCCAAGGAGGCCAAGGUGUUGGAUUUACUGCACUAGAACCAUAUCUGCUGAGCUUCAUAAUCCUCUAAAUGUAUGAAUAAAAUGUGCUAGAGCGUGUCCUCUAUGGCAGCUCAGGGCAGUGUGACUUGUAACUUAAAACUCACUAGUACAACUUUUGAAAUUCAUAUUUUCACAGGAUCAAGUUGGGUAUAUGCACAAGAAUGUGGAUUCUGCAGUCAACUUGGCUGCUUCACUUUCUUUUCCUCAGAGUUCACAUUUAUAGGGCUUAUAUAGAUGCUGAGCUAUACAAAAAAUCUUGAUUUGAAAUCUCAAGAAUUUCUAGAGGUGUUCAAAAUCCUUUGAAAUGUCCUUGGGAAGUGCAAUGAGCUUGCAACAAAUUGGAGUGAAUGGAGAUAAACAAAUUGAAAAUCAAAUGAGAGGAUUUGAAGCUUAAACAAAUAAACACCUUCACAUAAUAAGGUGUGAAUCUCUACUGUCUCUCUCAAGUUAAGACAUCUUUUAACUUCUUUUCAUCUUCCCAGAAGCUUCAAAAUUUUUUGCAAAACAUUAACUUGAAUACUGUACAGUGGCAAACCUUAGAGGGAGCUUUCAAAUUAUUUAGGAGAAAGAAUUCAAGAACUAUGUAACAGAUGAUUCACAUAGGUAACAGGGGUGAAAUUGCCCGACUUAAUAGAUUUUCAUGUGAUUAUGAGUGUGAGCCUUGGGGAGUGGUGUAAGGCGUUGUGCUUGAACAACUGUUCUUGUACAGCAUAUGCCUACUCAAAUCUUAAUGGAAGCAGUGGCUGUUUGAUGUGGUCCGGGAACCUGAUUGAUAUCAGAGAGUUAAGUACAGAAACAAAUAAGGAGGACAUCUAUAUCCGCGGGCACACUUCUGAGCCAGGUAAGACACUUGAUUUUUUGUAACUCACUUUUUUCUUUUAAGCUAUCGGGGUUCUCUCCAAUAGCCUCAGCCCUGAGUUAUCCUGGUAAUCAAGACGCAGAAUAACUUAUUUUCCAGAGGACAGAGAUUCAACUUCACAAGAAAAUUAUAAUCUAGUUAAAAAUAAUACCCUUAUAUUAUGCUCCUGAAGAACCAUAGUUCUUAGGAUCCAGGUUAACUAAUGAUGAACUGACUUGUAAUAAUCCUAACAAGCAGAAAGCAAAUAUCUGAUUCAUUUUCUGAAGAAGCAGGGAAAUCUGGGGAAAUAGAUACUUCAUUCCUGUCACCGUCUGUUCCAGAGUCAUACACUAAUCAGAAGACCAAAAAAAUAGUGAUCAUCCUUGUUAUAUCCAACUAUUUUGGAAUCCUCACCUUGGGCUUAGCAGUAUGGUUUCUAUUUCUGAAGAAGAGAACAAUGGGAACAGGUAUGCAUACUUAUCCACCUUGAUGAUUUUGUUGAAAGAAAACCAUGUGGCAGUGCUUUAAAAGUUACUUCUAAGUUAUUAUCCCUUUUAACAGACCAGGAAAGCAAGAAGGAGAACUUAGAGUUACCUUUGUUUGACUUGCCUACCGUUGCAACUGCUACUAACAACUUCUCCAACACCAAUAUGAUUGGAGCAGGUGGCUUUGGGCCUGUGUACAAGGUAAUAUGCGCCAUCUAAUGCAUCUCGGUAACCCAAAAAUGAUCUCGAAACAAAGAAGAGAAAAAUAUUUGCAUCUUACACAUCAUAUUUUGCAGGGCAAUCUGCCAGAAGGAGUAGCAGUAGCAGUGAAGAGAUUGUCCAAGAAUUCAGCACAGGGUGUGCAAGAGUUCAAUAAUGAAGUUGUUUUGAUGGCGAAACUUCAGCACAAGAAUCUUGUCAGGCUUUUGGGCUGCUGCGUUCAAGGAGAAGAAAGAAUUUUACUCUACGAAUCUAUGCCCAACAAAAGCUUGGAUUAUUUUAUUUUCGGUUUGAGCUCCGUAUCCUUAUCUGUUUGGAUUAGUUUCACUUUUUGAUCACCCAUCUUAUGCUCAGUCGUGUUCAGCUCAAUUCACACAUCUAAGUAAUGAAUUAGGCCUAAUAAAAAAUUUUAUGAAGGCGGAUGUAUUGUGCAGAUCAAAACAGAAGAGCAUUAUUGGCAUGGGAUAAGCGCUGCGAGAUUGUUAUGGGAUAGCACGAGGGCUUCUCUACCUCCAUCAAGACUCUAGAUUUCAAAUUAUUCACAAGGAUCUCAAGACGAGCAAUAUUUUACUGGACGACAAUCUCAACCCUAAAAUUUCAGACUUUGGCUUGGCAAGAAUUUUUGGAGAGAAUGAAAUGGAAACGAGAACAAAGAGAAUUAUUGGGACUCAGUAAGUUAUAAACCUUUAUAAUUUUAUAAAAUGGAAUUUAUCCCUUCAAAUAACUCGUACUUAAAAAUGUUGGUGCAGUGGCUAUAUGUCCCCUGAGUAUGUGAUUGAGGGGCACUUUUCUGUCAAAUCAGAUGUUCUUUAGCUUUGGUGUUCUUUUACUAGAGAUUGUGAGUGGUAAAAAACCAGAGGGUUCUCUCAUCCAUAUCACCACCACAACCUUCUGGGACAUGUAACUAGAAAGAAUGCAAUGGUGUUUCCUCUCUCUCUCUCUCUCUCAAUUUGUCUCUACUCUCUACCUUUUUCUGGGUUUUGUGGAAGACAAUAAAUAUGAUUUUUGCUCUAGGCAUGGCUGCUGUGGGAACAAAACAAGGCCUUGGAAUCAAUGGAUGCAUGUUUGGAAGAUUCAUGUGUUGCAUCGCAGGUAUUACGAUGCAUACAAGUAGGUUUACUAUGUGUUCAGAACCUUCCAGCAGACAGACCAGCAAUGUCAUCAAUGAUUUUCAUGUUGGGUAAUGAGGGAGCAACAUUGCCUCAACCUAAACAUCCUGGUUUCUUCACGGAAAGAUGUUCAGUGGAUACAGAUACAAUGUCAGGAAAGAUAAGAGUUACAUUCAGAAAAUGAAGUAACCAUCUCAAAGCUAAAAGGUAGAUGAAGAAUUCAAACAUCUGCUUAGUGAAUUAGUUAUGCAGGUGCCAGCUUCUGUGACUGAAACGGUUUGCAAAGGUUCCUCUGUUGCAGCUCAGGGCACUGAAAUCUGCAACUUAAGACUCACUAGUAGAAUUUCUAAGUUCAGAUUCCCUCUGGAUCUGGUUGGUAGUAAGCAGAAGAACAUGUAUUCUGCACUCACUUUAUAUGUUACAGUCACUUUAUCUUCCACUUGUUGUAGAAGCCCAAUAGGGGCUACACCCAAACACCCGUUAAAAGCCCAAACCAAUUGAGCCUAGAGGAUGAGUGCCAAAGCCCAAUGAAAUCUCAAGGCAAGGUGUUUGUACCUUGCAUUUGAUCCACUGAGCUUUAAAAGCAAAGGUGAGGCCAUUGAGCUAUAUGUCAUGCUAAAGUAAUAGCGUUGUAAAAUUAAAUACAUAGCAAGAUUAAUGGUUUUUCUUCAAAAAAAUUUUAUGUGAAUAUUUACGUUCAUGCUUAUUUUUAUAAUAAUAAUUAUCAAAUUAAUAUAAUAAUUUUAAAAUAAUAAAAUACAAAAAAUAAAGAGAUAAAAUUAAAUACUAUGAUUUUUUUUAUCUUAAACAUAUCUUUAUGUUUAAAUAUUAUACAUGUUCUAUUUAAUAAGGUUUAAAAUAUUAAUAUAUUUAUAUUUAUCUUUAUAAUUUAAUUUGGUAUGUGUAAUAUAAAAUUGAAAUAUUAUUAAAAUUUGUAAUUAUAUAUUUUAAAUUUCUUAUAAAUUUUUUUUGUACAAUAUAUAAAUUAUAUAAUUAUUACUUUACCGGUUUGAUCAUGGUUGAACCACUGAUCUGACCAGUGAAUCGUGAAUGUAACAACCUACAUCCAAUCUCAAAGAGGCUCUCACAACUUUAAAACAUAUCUACAAAUUAAGAACUCAUACAUAUAUAGCAUCAAGAUAGCAUCAAGAUAGGGGAGAAAGUUCUUAACACUAUAUAAGUAUAAACUCUUCUUAACAGCGAAGCUUUAAAAAUUUUUGCGAAACAUUAACUUGAAUGCUAGACAGUGGCAAACCUUAGUGGGAGCUUUCAAAAUUUUUAAGAGAGAGAAUCAUGGUUUAAAUAUUGGUAAAUAUGGAAUAUUUGUACCUACAUUUUACGGAUAUAUUGGAAAUAUCGAUGAAUAUUUUGACAAAAAUAUUGGUAAGACAAAAAUUAUUCAAAAUUUAUAAAAAUAUUUAGAAAAAUUUUAAAAAUGAUAAAAUAAAUAAAAAUACAUAUGUUAAAGUUUUUUUCUAAAAAUAAUUGACAUAGAUAUGAUCAAAUAGAAAAAUAUCGAUAAGUAAGGAUAAAUCAAUCUUAAUAAUUUAUUAUUUAUCCAAUCAAAUUAAUUUUAAUUUAUAAAAUAUUAGAAUUUCAUUAUUUUUGAAUAAAUUUAUAUUUUUAAUAUUUUAAACACAUGCGAAAAUAUCAUCAAUGGAUACUUUUUAAAUAACAAUGAAAAGUUCUUACAAAAAAUAUAUCUUAAUAAUAAAAUAUCAAAGACAUACAUAUUAUUUGGGAAAAGAAAUUUAAAACACUUUCCAACAUAUAAAGUGCUUUAUUCAACCAAUAGUAACAAAGACAAGCUUUGACUUGGAUUGAAAGCCUGGCCAAGUCAAAAAUUGAAACCUUAUCCUCUUGAUGCUGUGUCUUGGACAAAUUCUAGGAAAAACCUACAUUAGAGCAAUUUUAGUAUUUUUUUAAACUUGUGUAUAGAAGUCUUCCUUUCAUCUGUCAGAAGCGUCAAUGGAGACCCAUCUUUUCUUUGCCUUCUUUUGUGCCUGGAUUUGUCUCUCAGUUCCCUUGGAGUCUUGUAUUGCAGCUAAUUCCAUAAGGAUUGACCAACCCAUAGGCGAUGGUGAGUCUUUAGUUUCCUCAGGCCAAAGCUUUGAACUAGGCUUCUUCUCUCCUGGCAGCUCCAAAAACAGGUACUUAGGAAUAUGGUACAAGAAUACACCCCGGACAGUUGUAUGGGUUGCAAACAGAAACAACCCGAUCGCAGAUUUGUAUGGAGUUUUAACCAUCUUCAACAAUGGCACACUUGUUCUUCUCAACUAGUCAAAGAGUGUAAUCUGGUUGAUUUGUUCCCAAUUUGUGUCUCAGUUGACUCAUGUCCUCUCAAUGGUCCCUGACAGUGGUGCCAUUUGAUUCGUGUCCAGGUGGUGUCCCUUGAUUGUGGUCCUCAGAAGGGAGUAAUCAACAAAAUUUAUAACCUAUUACACCAUGUACUAGGAUAGCCUUAGCUAGCAUAGCAUAGUGGCUCUAGGGUCGUUCACUGGGAUGGGUUUUCACUUCACAAUUGAUAUUAAUUCAAAGUUGAAUUGGUGCCUUUUCAUUUCAAGGUUAGCUUUAAAAGAAAACAUAAAGAUGUUUAAAUGAAAAAGGUUUGGUUUUAAACUAACCAAAAAUAGUAACUGAUUUUACUUACAAAGAAAAGUGUUUCUUGGAGUUUAGAUCACUAGGUUCAGGUUCCUCAUACAAAAAGGAGAGUUCCGGUUACUUGUUUCUUUUCCUCGCAUUAGAGAAUUAACAUAUAGUUAAUUCUCUAACCGGUGUGGUACAGAUGCUUCCCUUUAAUGGGUUCAAACACUAAAUCCCUCUCACUGAUGCACCUUGCAAUGGCUCGUGCCUCUCACCUAGCAUUUGCCAUUCAAGGUGAUCCUUAACCUUGGAUUAUCCGUCAAAAGCUCGCAAGAGAUAACUAAUGGAUGUCUCCUUGGAGUCCAAAAGCUUACCAAGUGUUGGCUAUUCUAGAAAAUCCUACCUCUAAACCACCUCCCAAAGGCUCGCAAGAGAUAAACAAGUGCAUCUCAAUGAACGGAGACCACUUGCCUUAUCAAGUGUUGGCCCAGGUGAGUUAAAGGCGUUUUAAGUUAACUAAAAAGAUAAAAACCAUUAACGAGUCACACUUUCUCUUCAUUAAAAACUAAAACAACAAAACUUCCAAUUUCUGCAUGAGGAAACUUACCCGACUUUCUUCACUCCAAGAGACGAAGAGCCUAGCCUCUCAUCAUUUGAGAAAAAAUCCUCAGAGUUUGAUUGGCUAGAAAGAAAACUAACGAGAAAACAAAAAUAUGAAGGAAAAACAGAGCAAGUGCCCUGUUCGUCGAUUCCAUAUAUAUGAUAUAUAUAUUAUAUAUUUUCUUUAUAUUGGUUCAAAGAUAUAUAUAGAGAAUAUAUUUUCUAAGAAAUAUCCCAAUAAUAUCUUUGACUGAUUACAAGGAGAAAAUAGAAAUUUACACAAAAUAUCUUGAGAGAAAAAAUCUAACUUAGUCAGUGGCAAAUAUCAAGAAGCUUCAGGAGAACACCACGGCACUGUAUACUGAGAGAAAAACUCUCCGGGUAAGCGCUAUCAGAGGAUCCGGAUAUGUCUGACUGGAGAAGUUGAAACGUCUUCCUCUCCCAUCCAGCGUCAGGCUCCGGAUGUGAAAUAUCCCGCGCCGCAAGGCUAUCCGGAUCAACUCCAUCAGGAUUCCCCCGGGUGGAAGGAGCUAUGUCGCAAGGGGGACCGUCUGCGUGUGCAAGGUGUAGGGACCCCUCUCCCAGAUGACACGGAGCACGCAAGGCUAUCCGGAUCAACUCCAUCCGGAUUCCCCAAGAGGACAUGUGGCGCGCUUCCCUAUUCGGACUCCCUCAGGGAGAAGCACAUGACACUCGUGAACAUCACACCCGGACGAUAGCAUAUCCUAUCCGGAUGUGUUGUCCAGAUCAUUGACUUAAUGUGAGCAAGCCUUGCUACGUCAUUCAAAUAGCCUGCCACAGACCAUGUUCUGUCGCCAUCCUGUCCGGACACCCUGUCCGGACAUCUUUACCAUGGAUUUCAAAGAACUCUCCUUAAUCUCGGAUUGCUUUGGUGAUCAAAAAGCUAUCAAAACACCAAAACUUAACACAAUUUGAUUAGAAUUGAUUGCAAGGGUCCUUAAUAUGUUAAUUGGGUUAAAAGGUGAUAACUACUACUCAAAAGUGUUUAAAAGAGUUAAUUACAAGCUAUGAAAUAACACUUUUUGAGUAGUAAUCACUGGUCUCUCAAUUUGUCAAAGGUACCAGAAAAUCCAGUUGCACAGCUCCUGGAGACUGGAAAUCUUGUUCUUAGGGAUAGUGGUAAAGAAAGUUUUGAAACCUAUAUAUGGCAGAGCUUUGAUGAUCCAUCAGACACAAUGUUGCCAGGCAUGAAGGUGGGAUGGAACUUAAAGACUGGUCUACAACGAAAAUUGACAUCAUGGAAAAGUGCUGAUGACCCAUCUCCUGGAGGCUUCUCUUAUAGAAUUGAUAUUAAUGUGCUGCCUUACAUGGUUCUUGGUGUGGGAGUAGGCAAAAAAGUCCGUUCCGGGCCAUGGAAUGGACUUGAAUUCAAUGGUUUGAAUGCGUUGGAUAACUCGGUUUACAAAGCAGUUUUUGUUGCCAACAACGAUGAGGUAUAUGCCCUCUAUGAGUCUAACAACAAUAAGAUCAUUUCAAGACUAACAUUGAACCAUUCAGGUUUCCUCCAGCGUCUGGUAUUAAAAAAAGGGAGCUCUGAAUGGGAUGAAUUGUACUCAAUUCCCAGUGAACUUUGUGAAAAUUAUGGCCAUUGUGGUGCUAAUGGUAUCUACAGAAUUGGCAAGCUGCAGAUUUGUGAGUGUUUGACAGGUUUCACAAUAUCAUGUUAUGCCAUUUGGUCUUUGUAAUGCCCCAUCCACUUUUCAAGCCAUCAUGAAUUCCAUAUUUCGCCCUCACCUCUGACAAUUCAUUCUAGUAUUCUUUGAUGAUAUUUUAAUUUAUAGCCCCAAUUGGAACAUGCAACUUGAACAUGUUAAGCAAGCUUUUGAAAUUUUGAGGCAUCACACAUUUUUUUUAAAACUCAAAAAACGUGCCUUUAGCCAACAAGAAUUAGAAUACUUGGGGCAUAUUGUCACUGCUCAUGGGGUCAAAGUGGACCAAAAUAAAAUAUAGGCCAUGCUUGAUUGGCCUCAUCCUACUAAUGUUUCAAAGUUACGUGGGUUCUUAGGCCUUACAAGUUACUAUCGGAAGUUUGUUCGCAAUUAUGGCAUCUUGGCUGGCCCACUCACUAAUCACUUGAAGAAAGGCCAAUUUGGGUGGACUGCAGAAGCUAAGACCUCCUUCAAGCUCCUUCAACAAGCUAUGACUACCACUCCCACCCUUGCCAUGCCAAAUUUUCAGGAACCAUUCACUAUUGAAUCUAACGUUUCCGGGGAUGGGAUUGACACUAUACUCACCUAACAAGACAAGACCAUUGCCUUCAUGAGUCGAGCCUUAGGAGUCUCCAAAUUAUCCUGGUCUACAUAUGCCAAAGAGAUGCUUGCCAUCAUUCACGCCUUGGCACCCUUAUCUUCUCGGGUAGAAAUUCUACAUCCAAACUGACCAGUGGAGCCUCAAGUACUUACUUGAGCAGCGUGUGGUAACACCAGAGUAGAAGAAAUGGGUUGCAAAGCUACUUGGCUAUGAUUACGAGAUACUAUAUAAACUUGGCCGCGAAAACUCAACCGCCGAUGCCCUUUCCAGUGUGCCAGGCUCCCCAACUCUUAAUGCUUUAUUUGUUUUGCAGGUUAAAAUAUGGGAGGAAAUCAAAACAGCCUUGGCAGACAAUGCUUACAUGGCCUGCAUUAGCAAGCUCACUACUAUCAAACCUGGCCUUUCCUACACCAACCGUCACGGGUUGAUCUUCUACAAAAAUCGAGUGGUGGUGUCCCCUCAAUCCCAUAUCCCGAAUCAGUUACUACAUGAGUUCCAUGACUCUCCUUUUGGUGGCCACUUCGGAGUGCUGCGCACAUAUAAACGUAUCACUCAACAGUUUUAUUGGCCCUCAAUGUAUCGCAUGGUGAAUGAGUAUGUCUCCUCUUGUGAUGUUUGUCAACGAGCUAAGGCAUCCACCUUGUCCCAUACUGGUCUCUUACAGCCGUUGCCCAUUCCUUGUCAAGUAUGGGACGACAUCACCAUGGAUUUCAUCAAAGGACUGCCUCCAUCCCAAGGCAAGAACACAAUAUUUGUGGUCGUCGAUCACCUUAGCAAAUCAGCUCACUUCUUGGCCUUAACUUGCCCUUUUUCUACCAAGAUGGUAGUAGAAAAAUUUGUUGAGGGUGUCUUAAAAUUACACGGCAUGCCUAGAUCAAUCAUCAGUGACCGUGAUCCAAUUUUCAUAAGCAACUUUUGGCGUGAAUUCUUUAAAUUGUCCAACACACAAUUAAAGAUGAGCUCUGCAUACCAUCUCCAAACUAACGGGCAGAUCGAAGUCAUCAAUCGCUAUGUCAAGCAAUAUCUAUGCUGUCUGGUUCACCAGCAACCACAAAAAGGGUACUCCCUUCUUCCUUGGGCAGAGUUUUAGUACAAUACGACUUACCAUGUUUCAAUCGGCAUGUCACCUUUUCAAGCUUUGUAUGGUUGCCCUCCCCCCAUGAUUCCACACUAUUAGUUGGGUUCUUCUCCAGUUAAUGAGGUCGACCAAAACUUGGCCUCACGCAAUGAUCUUCUCAAUCAGCUCAAACUCAACUUACAUCAAGCUUCCAAUUGGAUGAAACAAAUCGCCGAUUCAAAAAGGCGGGACAUCGAAUUCAAUGAAGGUGGCCUUGUUUUCCUUAAACUGCAUCCUUAUCGCCGACAAAUAGUGUUCAAAAGAGCAUCUUAGAAACUUGCUCACCGGUUUUAUGGGCCCUUUCCAAUUGAGAAACGCAUUGGCAAGGUAGCAUAUCAACUCCAACUUCCUGCGGGGUCUUGCAUCAAUAUGGUAUUCCAUGUUUCUUUGUUAAAAAAGAAGAUUGGUGAUUCAAGUGCAAGUUGUCCUACUUUGCCACCUCUCACCGAUGAUGGUACCCUCAUCAUCGAACCUGCAGAAAUCAUAGACACUCGUUGGCUUAAAAAAAGGGGGAAAUUUUUUGAAGAGUGCUUGGUCAAAUGGAAACACCUUUUCGUUGAAGAUGCUACUUGGGAGAAUGCAGCAGAGUUGCAAGAUUGGUUCCAUGACUUGAACCUUAGGGACAAGGUUCCAAUAAAAGUGGGGGGUUGUGGACCCGCAUUUAUCACGUGCGCUCCCACUCGAUCGGCGAUACUCGCUUUUUAUUCGUGAAAAUUUAAUUUUAGAAAAGUUGGAGUCGCCACUUAUUUUAUUUUAUUUUAAAAGGGAAAAUAAAACAAGAAAGAAAACCCUAAAAAGUGACUCCAUAAUUUUUGGAAAAAAGGCAUGCCUUUGAAAACCUGAGUCUAGGUCCGGGGAUCAGGUUACCUAUUAGGAAGGUACCUUUAAAAGGUAGCACCCCUCUAAGCCCUAUAGAGGUCUCUACUAACUAAGUUGAGGGAAAUGUGGCAAUUAAUCGAUUAAUUAUAGAUACCUAAGUAAGCUUGGUGAUUUUAAAAUAACAUGUUAACAAGAAAAUCAAUCACAAUCAUAUAGAAGAUUCAGGGUGCGUACCUGAACCACUUCUUAAGCGCUAUCAUAAAACAUCAAUUGUUAGUUUAGAUAAUAUAUCACUCAGCAUGCAUUUUAUCAUGAAUGAUCAAACAACAUAACAAAUAUCAAGACAUCCCAAGCAUUCUCAAACAUAGGUGUAAUUUACAAUGACAAUCAUAUUUAUAGAAUUUAGAAAGUAUGUGACAGGGGACGUACCUGGAUAACAUAGAUAACUUACAAUGCGCUUCCAUAAGACAUGAGGGGUUAGAUAAUAAAUAAUAAAAUAUAGAAAUCCUAGCAUGCUCGUUAUCUAAUUAGCAUAGCAGAAAUUAUCAAAGUAUAUGAAAACACUAAUUAUCACACUCAUCUUGUAUACAAUUCCUAAAAAAAGAUAGACAUAAUUUCAACAAGUGACAAAAGUGGCAACAAAAAUAAUUUUUGAAAAGAUUUUCUUAUGUAGGGGUUUCACCAAUUCCCCAAUUGAUAUACACGAAUUUAGCCUAGAAUUAUCCCAUUUAUUUGGGACCACAAGCUUUGAUUCGUGUUUUAUUCAAAACUGCAAUUUUUUUUUUUUUUUGAAAUUCGAGGAAGAUGUGAACCGAUCAAAACAUGGUUGCACAUUAUUUAAGAAAAUGAGAUUUUGAUUUUAAGAAUCCUAAAGGAAUUAUUGAAAUGAAUUUUUAAAGGGAAUGAGAUUUUGAUUCUGAGAACUCUAAAUGAAUUUUUGAAAUGGUUUUUUAAGGAAAUGAGAUUUUGAGAAUAUUGUUAUGUUUUAAAGAUAAAAGAAGUUAAUUUGAAAACAAUAAAAUGUAUGAAUCAAAAUACCAAGCAAAGGAAAAAAGAACAAAAUCACAAAGUAGAAUUUUUGACAACCGAUAAAAUUGAAGUGGUGGGAAUGGAGGCCAAUCUUCACUAUUUUCUGAUAGCCUCUAAAAAUUGAUUUUGACAAAGGAUGACCAAAGUGAUAAACCAAAACCUUAGAUCUUACAAGCACUGAAACUUUAAAAACAUUUAAUCUUAAGAUAAACUUAAUCAAGCACUAAAUAUUAAGUGACCUUUAAAACAGUACAAGCGAUACGUAUUAACUAAUAUUGACAAUUUUGAGUCAUAAAUCUAAUCGGCUAACUAAACAAUUGAAUAAAAGAAAACAAACACAUAAAAUAAAUAAAAUUAGUCAAAAACUGAAAUGAACUAUUUUUAAACACAAAAUGACAACAUGGGAAUAGAUUAAACUAAUAGCCUACAAUUCGAAAGCAUAGAAUUAAUGGAAAAAUGGAAUAAAAAAAAUCUUAACAUAAACUAAACAAUAUGAAACCAACCAAAUUAAUUAAAACUCUAAAAAAAUAUCAACUAAAACAGGAUCAAUCAAAACUAAAAUAACUAUUUAUUUUUAUUUAUUUAUUUUAUUUUUUAUUUUUUUAAAAUUUUAAAACAUGAAUAUAUCAACGCGGAAUGAAAUAAAUUAACCAACUUAAAUUCUAAAACUAAUAAACUAAAAGGAUGAAUCAUGAAUUAAAUUUAACAACCUUUAGAUAUGAAAAGAGUGACAUGGAAGCAAUUGAACUAAUAAACUGAAUUUUAAUAACAUUUAAACUAAAAGAUAAAUUAAAACUAAACUAAAAGAAAUUAUGAAUUUCCUAAUUGAGAACAAAAAUAAUGCCAAUCAAAAUUCUAAAUUUUUAACCAUUAUCACACAUUAUCCAAACUCUAAAAAAUCCUAACUUUUCCAUUAUCAACAAAAUUGCCCAAACCAAUACUUAAAAAUAAUAAUAAUAACAAUAAUAAUAAUAAUAAUAAUAAUAAUAAUAAUAAUAAUAAUAAUAAUAAUAAGUAAAUAAAAAAAUCUAAUUUGUCGAACUAAGAAAAUAAAUUGUAACUACAUUAAACAUAAAUCAUAAUUUUCAAGCAAGAAUAAUAAAUCAGUAAUAAUUAAUUUAGUUAGUUAAGAAAAAUUAAAAAUUAACAUCUAAGCUAAAUAUGAAUUUACAAUAAAAUAAAAAUUUUAAAUGCAUAGGCCGAAUGGGAAUAAUACAAAACUAACUUUAACAAAUUAAAAACAUGAAUACAUUGACAUUGGGAAUGAGUAACUAAAUAUAUAAAAUUCUGAAAUAAUUACGAAUGGCAUUGAAUAGUCAUGAAUCAAAAUUCAAAUAGGAAGAAUUAAUUUACCUUUCUCAAAGACGCGUGGGCUACUCUCCAACAAAAGUGACAGUAUGAUUUUUUUUAUUUAAGAAAGUCAAUUCUAUGAUGCAUGGUGUGAUAGUUAUGGAUCAAUCAAGACUAAAAGAACUAAUAAUUUAAGGAACAAAAUAAAUUAAUAUGGAUAUUCAAAAUUAAUAACAAAUAAUUUUAUGAAGUGCACACACCGGGUAAUCUAAAUUAAUAAUAAUAAUAAUAAUAAUAAUAAAAUAAAAUAAAAUAAAGACCUCAAAAAUCUUAAAUUAAACAGAAACAAAUUUAAUGGCUUGCAAACAUGCAUAUAUUCACGUAAGAUUAAUUAAACUAGAAAAUAAAAAGAACUCAAAAGACAUAACGGGAAUAAUACAAAACUAAAUUUAACAAAUUAAAAAUGUGAAUAUAUUGAUAUUGGAAAUAAAUAACUAAAUAAAUAAAAUUCUGAAAUAAAUUGAGUUGAAUAGUCAUGAAUCCAAAUUAAAACAGGAAGAAUUAAUUUACCUUGGUCAAAGACGCGUGGGCUACUUUUGUUAGUGACAGUAGGAUUUUUAAAAUCAAUUCCACCUGGUGUGGUGGAUACCAUGCACUGCAAAUACUUGCAGUCACCAAAACAAUGCGUAUUAGUGGAGAGAAAUCUUCCUUGACAGUGUGUUGCCCUUGAGAGAAUCUGGUGGUCUCCUUUAUGUCCUCCAAGCAGCAACCCCUUAAAUUGAAUGACAUUUUCUAUGGCCACGUGAUCCCCUUUGGUGCAGCCCGCGCAUGGAGUCCUUCUUGGUGGCUGGUUUCUGGGCAAAAUCUGGCGAGCUCCUUUCAAAGUCCAGAAUGCGUGGAUGUUCUCGAUGAGAAACCCACGUUUGGUGAAGACGAAGGUAAUCCGCGUCUUGACCGGAGAGAAGACUUCUUGGACGAUAUAUUUUUUUUAAAACGAUAGCUCCUAAUAGUUCACGAAAACACGAUCUGAUCCGGCUGCUAUCGCGCCCUUCAAGGUACAGUCGUGCUUCUCCGAAGCUUUUCCAGUGCGGCUGCCUCCUUUCCCUUCCUUCUCAAUGGUGCUCCUCCUCUAAAAAACUAGCCCCACUUCAUCACCCAAUAUGCUAUCUUUCCUUGCACAGCCUAACCUUCCAAAAACCAGCCUUCCCCAUACCUUUUCCAUGCACGUUCAGAAUUUUCCUUUUUUUUAGACCUAGCCCUCAUUUCGUCCACGUACAUGCUAAGUCUUUUCUUUUUCCUUUUCACUUGCCAAAACCACUUUGGUAAUUUUCCCUACAACCGGCUUCAUUCAUCCACCAAUCCGUGUGUCAUUCUCAUUCCUUUCUAAAAAAUUCUGAUCCUUCUUUGUAUCUUCCCCUAAAAACCAUCCUUAUUCAUCCAUUAUUUAUAUUCCGCUUCCACGCCCCGAAUCCACCUUUCCAAAAAACAGUGUGGUCCCUUUCCAUGAGCAUCUUUUGCACACCUUCCCAUUGACUCCACCUACAUGGAAGAAUAACAAGAAAAAAAUUCCAGAAAAGAAAGCAAGAAUCCAUGAAGUCAAAACCAUUCCCGUCAUUCAAAUUCAACAUUCCUUUCAUUAAAAUUUCAAGAAGUCCUUAAAUCCCAAAUAGGAAAAUAUCAAUACAUAGAUAAGAGGAUACAUACCUAAAAAUAAAUAAAUAAAUAAAUAAAUAAAUGUUAGAUAUAUUUAAUAAUAAUAAUAAAAAGAAUUAAACUAAUGCAACAUAUAAUAAUAGUCGAAGUGUCAAACUCAAGCCACCAAUAAUAAUAAUAAUAAUAAUAAUAAUAAUAAUAAUAAUAAUAAUAAUAAUACUAAUAAUAAUAAUAAAAACUCAUUUCAUGCAAUUAUAAAAUAAAAUAAUUAACAAAAAAAAUACAAAUAAUAAUAAUGAUGAAAUAAUAUAAAUAUAUCAAAACUCACUUAAUCCUAAAAGCAAUCAAUAAAAUAAAUAAAUAAAUGAAAACAAAUCUAAGUGAAACUAAACCUUGAAAAGUGUUUAAGUGGGCCUAAGGCAGUGCCUAAUGGGCCAAGUGCGUUUAAUGGGCCUAAGGUGCACUAAGUGAACCUAAGGUGUCUAAAUGGGCCUAGGGUGAUGUCUAAUGGGCCAAGUGUCUAAGUGAGCCUAAGGUGCCUAAGUGGGCCUAAAGUGUCUAAAUGGACCUAGGGCGAUGCCUAAUGGGCCAAGUGUGGUGCCUAAAUGGGCCCAAGGUGCCUAAGGUGGCUAUGUGAGCCUAAGUCUAAAUUAGGGCUGCCAAGAGUCACAACGGGGUUAAAUGAACCCCUCAACCAAAGUCCCCAAGGUGGCUUAGAAAAGAUGGGCUACACGAGUAUUCAUGGGCCACCAGGGAAUUGCUAUAAACGACAUGUGCGAGGAAGACAAAAUAGAGGGUCUACAGGGGUAUUGAUAAACCACGAAGAUCUCAGCGUGUUUCUUGGCCAAAUCAGAAAUAUUUGGAUUGAGUCUUGAGCUGCAACGCUUGGAGAAGAAGUUUGGUUGUGUUAGAGUCUUUCUUUCAGUUGGAGUCCUAUUAUUCUGCUAGUCUGUUAUUUCUGCUUCCAUGAUUUAGUUUCUAUUUGUGCACAACAGUUGUGGCUGUAAGUUUAGGAAGAGUGGUUAGAAAAUAUAUGUAUUUAAACUCUUUCAAUGAAUAAAAAGGAUAUUGAGCAUAUGCUAAAAUCAACAGAAGGCUUUGACCUAUGAGAGAGACCCUAAAGUGGUCAUAUAUCCUUAUGGAUUAGGUCACCGUUAAUGGAGGCUAGUAACAAUAGGUAUUCUUAAUAGAGGCACCAUGAUAUCUCAUGGGAUUGAGACAGUGUGUCCCUUUGGGUGAUCCAAAGGACAUGUGAUUAUGAAAUUUAUGGCCACAACAAUUUCUUUUGUGGAAUUUAACUUAUGCUCCUUAGAGUUGGAGCUAGAGCAUGUUAGUUAAUCAUAUAAUAAGUGGGAUCUAUAACUCAAGGAUUGGAGAUGUAAUCUUGAUCGGUGAUAACACUACCUUGUUAGAUAAUGAACACCAGUUCAUGGGGAGUUUAUAUGCAAUGGAUAAUAGGAUGUCGUGGACCUGAACUUUGUCUCAUUGUUAUGUACAUAUGGUAUUGGAGUGUAGUUGAUUCUCUUUAAUGGAACGUUGAAUCAACUUUAAAAUUGGAUUUUGAUAGAGCAAAUACUCCAAUGGGUCCUAGUGGUUCUCACUUUAAGCUAAUAUACUAUGUGACACAUUUUAUGAGGGUUGGAUUGACUCUAGGUUGAUUCUUGUGCAUAAGAGCAUUUUGGUAAUUACACAAGGUUGCAUAGGGGAUAAUGAACAAGGUAUUUGGUUUGGGCUAAUUGAUCAAUUAGAUGACCCUAUGUAGUUAAUUAAUCAAUUAUGAGCCAUUUUGGGCUAGACUAAGUGACCCAAGCCUUGAUGGGCUUAAGUCACUUAAGCAUAAUCGACAAGCCUAUAAAUACCCCUUUAUAGGUUAGCGUUUCCUAAUGAAUUUCAAUGAGAGUUGUUUUCCACCUCUAGAGAAAGACAGAGAGAAAAUAAUAGCCUCAUCCAUUUUGUUGCCCAUACUUUAGAGUGCCAAGAUUGUGGUUCAAGUCAUCGGGUGGAGGAUCUUAGGUGUACGAGACCUCCUUAGAUGAGAGGCUACAACACUUGGACAUGCGUAGGGCACGUGCACAAGACGUGCAUAGACCAUGUGAAUAGGAAUUGCACGAGACAUGCACAUGGGUAGUAGCAUGAGGAGAGAGACUCUCCAGUUUUUCCAAGUAUGUUCUUCAUCGGAUGGAUUUUGAUCUAGGAACAUCUAAAUCACAUGUUUGAGUUUCAAAUCUCUAGAUCUAUAGUUAUUAAUGGUUUUCAUUGCUAAUUUAUUCCAUUGUGAUAGAUUUACAAAUGCCUAGGGAUAGAUGCAUUCACCCUAUGAGAUCCAAGGCAUAGGAACGAAGUAUUAAUCUAGGGUUCCCAAGUGAUGACAAUAGUAAGAUAUCAAGAUUGAACCUAACACUAAUUAAACAUCUGGUAUUUAGACCUAGGUCAUAUUAAUCUAAAUAGGAUCCAAAGAUUGUAAAGUCUGGACUCUUUGAUUCCGAAAGAUCUUCUAGUUUAUGAAUCCUAUAUAGAUGGUAAAAUGAUCAAGAGGACUAGAGGUAAGGAAUAUUUGGAGUUAGUGCAUACUAAUAUGUAUGGAACUUUUAGUGUCUAUGCAUGGAGAGGGUAUGGGUAUUUCAUCACUUUUAGUAAUGAUUACUUUAGGUUUGGAUAUGUACAUAGGAAAUCUGAUGUCUUGGAUACAUUCAUUGAAUUUAAGGCGAGAUCAAAUAACCUAUUGGGUAUACAUACCAAGUCAUUUCAAUUAUAUCAAGUUGAUAUGUUUGGUAAGUUUGAUUCUUUUUGUUAGAGCAUAAGAUUAUUUUCUAGUUAUGUUCAUCAAGGUCUCUAUUGCAAAAUGAAUAAGUGGAAAGAAGAUAUCAAACUUGGAUGGACAUAGUAAGAUUGUGGAUAGGUUUUUCAUAUUUUCUCAAAUUCUUUUGGGGAUAUGUCUUAUAGAUUGUGUAAUUACUUUUUUUUUUUCCUAAGAGGUGUAUUAGUUUAUAGGAUAUCUAAGAGGAUUUUUGGGUUAUCACCUUUAUAGUCAAUCAUUAAAAGAUAUUUGUUAACAUAAAUGUCCCAUUUUUCAUGAAGAUUAUAUGAUAAGGAAGAAGGCAUAAAGUGAUAUAGAUUGCAGGAUAUAUUAGAAGAUAGUCCCACAUUGCAUAGGAUACUACGGAUCCAAAGGGUUAAAGACAUACCAUUCCUAUGAUUUCUAGUACACCAGUACCUCAUCAUAGUGGGAAGUUUAUAUCCCACAGAUAAUGAUGAAGCGGUGAGCAAUGUUUAUGCUCACUUAAGGCAAGGACGUGUGAUCAUGAAAUCUAUGAGCCCAUAGUAAUUCCUUUAGUGAAAUUUGAGAUAUGCUCUUUGUGAGUUAGAGUAUGUUAUUUAAUCACAAAAUAAGAUGAUCUAUGACUCAAAGAUUGUAGAGGUAGUCUUGAAAGGCUGAUAACUUUCACCUUGUUAGACUAUGAACAACCAAUUCAUGGGAAGGCUGUAUACAAUAGAUAGCAAGUCACGAACUUGAGCACUUGGUGUCUCGCUGUAAUAUACAUAGAGUUCCAAAGUACAAUUAACUCUCUAUAGUAGGAUAUUGGAUUCUAAGGGAUCUAGUAUUGUCCUAUGGGUUCCAUUGGUCUCUACUAAAAGCUCAUCUUCCUUGAUAGCAUGGUUUAUGAGAGUUGGAUGGGUUUUUAGUUCACUUGUGUGCAUAAAGGCAUUUUGGUAAUUGCGCAAGGUUACACAGAGGUAACUGUGCAGUAUCUUGGAACUUGGCUAAUUGAUUAAUUGGAGCCUUAUUUUGUUAAUUAAUCAAUUAGCAACCUUUUUGGGCUAAAUUAAGUGACCCACACCCAUAAUGGGCCCAAGUCACUUAAGCAUAGUAGGAAACCUAUAAAUACCUUUCGCAAGGGUUUGGGUUUCUAAUUCAAUCUUGUCAUUCUCUCCCUAUAGUCCAAAGAGAGAACCCUAGUCUUCAACCUUGAGAUUUCCACCAUCUUAGUGCCUAGACUCAAGAAGGAGUCAUCGAGUGGAUGAUUAUGGGUUUAUAAGAUCUUUCUUAAAUUUGGAGCUUUCUACAUUAACAAGAAUUGAUUUGGGAACAUCCAAAUAAUAUGUAUAACACUUUUCUCUAGAUCUAUGACAUGUUUUUGUUUUUUAAAUACCAAAGUUUUCAACUAUGCUUAGAUCUAGAAAGCAUAAGAUAGGAUUACAUGCACCCUAAUAAUCCAAGGCCUAGGAAUAGAGUGAUCUAAGGUUUCCUAACAAAUAUAACCCAAUAAGUAAGAAUGAUUUAUAGGAACUAAAAUUUCUUUCAAAAAGAAAAGAAGUUUAUUGGAGUAAGAUAGGUAUACAAGAGAAGGAAAAAUGCAAAAUGAGUAGAAAAAUACAAAGCAACAUUGGUGCAAAGGAUUAUAAGCAAGAAUAAUGCACCAAUAAGAUGAGGGUAUUUGGUCUCAUUGCUCUUUUAGUAACUAUGAGAUUAAUAAUCUCUUUAAUAGCUCAAAAUAGUUGAAAAUUUUCAAAUGGAUGUGAAAUCCAAUUUUUUGAAUUGACAUCUUGAAGAAGAAGUGUAUGUAGAACAAACCAUAGUUGGUAUAUAUAUAUAUAUGGGCAUGAGAAUAAAGUUCCAAAAUUGAAAAUAACCUUGUAUGGAAUAAAACAAACACAAAGAGCAUGGAAUAAUAGAAUUGACCAAUAUUUUCACGAUAAUAAUUUUGUUUGAUACCUUUAUGAACAUGCUCUCUGCAUAAAAGUGAAUGAAAAAAGUGAUAUAUUACUUGUUUGUUUGGAUGUGAAUUGUUUGAUCUUUAUUGGAACAAAUCCAAUCAUGUUUAGUGAGUUCAAAGAAGUAAUAGGAUAAAAGUUUGAGAUGAUUGGAUUAGUCUCAUAUCAUACUCUCUUGGCAUAGACUUGAAGCAAAUUGAAAAGAGUACUUUUCAUUUCUCAAGAAGACCAUGCAAAAUAAAUUUUUAGAAAGUUUAACUUGAAUAUGUGUAAUAUGGUAAACACAAUAAUAUAAUGCAAAGCUAAAUUAUCAAAGACAUGUAGAAGGAGAAAAAGUGGAUUCAACAUAACAUAAAAUCUUAGUUGGAACCGUACACUAUUUGACUCAUACAAGUUCAAACAUUCUCUUUGGAGUUGGAUUUGUCCAUCAUUAUAUGGAAGCACUAAUGGUUAUUUACACUAAGACCUCCUAGUGAAUUUUUCACUACAUCAACGACACAUUUGAUUAUGACUUAUAUUAUUCACCUUUAACAAUUUUAGACUUGUUGGAUAUAAUGAUAGUAAUUAAGGUGGAGACUUGGAUGAUAUAGAGAGAACCAAUAGCUUUAUAUUCCUCAUGGGAGAGACACCAUGUUCGCUUGGACUUCAAAGAAGCAACCUAUUGUGAAACUUUCAACCUAUGAAGUGGAAUUUGUGAAAAUGUUUACAAAAUCUCAUAAUCAAAUUGUGAAAAUGUUUACAAAGUCUCUCAAGUUUAAUGAUUUUAGAAUGCUAAGGAUGCUACUUUUACAAAUCAAGUUGAAGGCAUGAGUGAAAAUGUUGACAAAGUUUAAAAUUUUUAGAAAACUAAGGAUGCUAUUUUUACAAACCAAGUUGAAGGGAGGAUGUUAGUUAAACUGGAUUUAGGAAGUUUCUAAAAAAUUAGAAUUUGAGUUAGAUUCUAAAAUGCUUGAUUUAGUUUGUAUAUUUUGUUAUUACAAGAUUUUAUAUUUUACCAUUAUGAGUAUCUAUUUUUUUUUAGGUGUUAAUAUCUAUAAAUAAGAUGUUACGUAAUAGUUGAACAAGAGUGGUGGAAGACAAUAAAUUUUUUCUUAGUCAUCUCAAUUAUUUAAAUAUCUCCCUUUACAUAUGUAAUUACUUGUGUAUUUUUUUCAACCAUAUUACUGCAACAUAUGUGAAUCUGCUGGUUGGUCUAUGAAAAUUUAUAUCAGUUGUUCAACCUGUUAAAUUCUGUUAGGUUUGUGUAACGGUAUUUAGAUCAUAGCAUCUUUCCCUAAGCCCGCAUUUUUCUAAAUAUAUAAUUAAAAUUGUUGUGCUUGCAAUUUUAAUGAAAUCUAGCAUUGGAUACUUAACUACAUCCCACAAAACGACAAAAUCACCUGCCUUUAGCCAAGUUGUGUUUCAACAGUAAAGUAAUUAUCUCAAUCAAAACACAAAAUUCAGUUUUCUAAACAAUUAUUGUUAUUGGAAAACAUGCACGGAACUUAAGCAUCAUAAGGUACUUAAGCAAUCCUAGUUGGACGUUCAGUAUCCAGAUCUUUUCAUUAAUUGGUUUUUCUCUUUUUGUGCCAACAUCUGCUCUCUCUCUCCAGCAUGCAAGCGUAAGUGGUAAGCACCUCUUUUGUGCUUUAAAUUAAUUGGAUACUUGAUCUUAUUCCGCCAUUCUUUUGGGUCUAACCCAAAAAUACAUUUACCAUGCCUUCUUUUCAUGUCCUCAACUUACUCAAAAGCUCAUAAGUCCCAUUGGAUAUGAUGUACUGAGUUUCAGAUUUUUUAAGUAAAAUUAUCAACAUCGUCUAGCAUAUAUACUAAUAAGUUAUACUCUUUUCAACAGUUUAAAUUGUUUUUGUUUAUAGAUUAUAUGGAUGUUUUAACACUCAGAGAAAUUGAAAUGCAGCCAAAUAUGCAGAAAAAAGAAAUGGUUGUGACCAAUAGUUAUAUUUAUUCUCUUUUAUUUCUAUUGAUACUCAAAUUUUUAGGGAUAGAGCGUCAACAAUCCUUGUGAUGAGUUAAUAAUGUUGAGAAAAGUCAAUGACUACACAAUGUAGCUUAAAACCAAAUAUGUCAUCAAAGAAGACAUCAAUAAUCACCCCCACACAAUGAUAUGUUGUAUAAUUCAUUACUUGUAUCAAACACAAAUUUGCUUCAAUGUGUGUCUAUGAAUAAAAGAGAGUUCUUGGUUUACAUUCGAAAUACAUGCUAUAUAGGCCAUGCUAAUAGCAAUUGAUAACAAGAAUCUCAACACUGAAGUCCACGUAGAAUCAGGUGUGCACCAUAUUGGGGUUGCAUAGUUAGGAUACUAAAAGGAGCAUGAGCAUAGGAUGGCGAAAGUUCAAAUGAGAAGUGUUGUAAGAUCAUUGCCAAAGCUAUUUUUGCCUCCAUCAUUGCAAAAUUUUGUCCAAUGCAUACCCGAGGACCCCAACCAAAUGGGAAAAAUGAAACUUGGUUUUUUGUUGCCUUCAAAACUCCUUCUGCAAACCUCUCUGGAUUAAACUCCUUUGCAUCAUCCCCCCAAAUUUCAUGAUCAUGGUGAACUAGGAUGGUGGGCAACACGACCUGCACUCCAGCUGGAAAACACAUGUCUCCCACUUGAGUAUCCUUAUAAACAGCUCUAGCAAGCAUUGCUACUGGUGGGUAUAACCUAAGAACCUCAUGAAAAAUCAUGGUAACCUGUGGUAGAGAAACUUUAGAAGUUGUUGCAUGAGAAUUCUUACUAAAAUACAUUCUAAAUCAUUAUGAAGGACACUGAAGAAUAAAGCAAUUUCUUAAAAUAGUGAUGCAGAAGACAAAAUGUUCUAAAUCAUGCAUGACAAAAUAUCAAGUAUGCAAAGGACAUUGCAUAUCCCAUGGAUAUAAUAACUUAAGAACCUCAUGAAAAAUCAUCAUAAUCUAGCAGAGAAAUUUGAAAUCAUGGCAUGAGAACCCGUUCCUGAGCUACUAAGUGAAAGCAAAUGUUUAGUACAAGAUAUAAAAACUUAAAGAGAAAUGUGUUUUCAAUUUGACUCCAAUUAUGGGGGAAAAAACAAAGUACUAUACGAUUUUAGUGAGAAUCAUUAAACUGAAGAUUGGACUAGUACUCACAAUUUUUAGGUGAUUUAAUCCAGCAGCUUCUGGUUUUUUAUUCCCAAAAACCUGUAAAACCUCUUCUCUUGCACGAGCUUGCCAGUUUGGAUGCUCGCUUAGCAGGACCAUUGUCCAUACAAGCAAAACUGAGGUUGUCUCUUGGCCAGCAAGAUAGAAUAGCUUACACUCUUCAAUGACAUCUUUGACACUCAUUCUAAUCUUCUUGUUAUUUUGAUGUUCUUGAAUUUCUCUAAAAUUGGAUUCCAUUAGUAUACCUAAUAAGUCACUAUUAGCAGUUUCGCCAGCCUUCAUUGCCUUCUCCCUUUUGUUAAUGAUACCCCUCAACAAUGCAUAUACUUCUUUGCUUAUUUGCUUCAUCCUCCUGUUCGUCUUUGUGGGUAAAAACCUGCCUGCAUGUUAGUAAUUCUAGUAAAUAAAACAUCACAUGAAACACAGACAUUAAUUCUUAUUUUCAUCCAUGCCUUCUACUUCUCCAUUAAUUUUUUGAAACUUGUAUAAGGCUUCAAAGGUAGAAGCUAUCAAGACAAUAACUAAUGGUUUCAUCUACACAUGUGUUGCAGUGGUAUCUCAUCAUCUUGACACAAUAUCCUGCAAACAUAAGCUAGAUUGAGGAUACUAAACAUCAAUUAGUGAAACAUACUACUUUCUAAACGUUAUACAAAAGAAGUAAUUGACUAAAAGGGGAUGAAAUGAUCUCAGAGUUGUAAAUCUAAUAUCUCUUAUGCUUGACCUUGAAAAGUAAUCCAUUUUUAACAUAAAUUCUCUUCGAACAUAAAUUCCCUUCAACCUUGUUAACCAAACACACACUUGAGCAUUGUGAAACUUUCAACCUAUGAAGCAAAAUUUAUGUUGGCAUCAUUUGUAGGUCAUGAAAUUUGUUCAAGAAACUUAAUUUACCACACAAGAGACUGAUAAAGAUCUAUAUGGAUAUAAAAUCAACAAUUACAUUAUGAGAAAAAUCUAGUUCUCCAUGAUGGUGUUGAAUUUUGAAUUUUGCCUUAGUAUCUGUUGGAAUUUGAAUUUUGAAGUUAAAUUUUGUAGUUGGAGUCUUGCACAAAAUCUGCAACAUCCAAAUAUUUUCUUGUUUUUAUUUGGUCAAGAUUUGGUUUCUAUUUUAUAGGAACUAAUUGUUCAUCAUCUAGUAGCUUGAUUUUCUGUUAUUCUAAUGUCAUUUUAGUUACAAGCUUAUGUAUAAAUUCAAUACUCUUCAUCAAUAAAAUGUGUGUUCCAGUAGUCCAAAAAUAUAUAUUCUGCAUAAGUGUUUUAAUCUAAGAUCAACAGAUGGAAGCCAGUAUAUUGAUACAAAAUAUCAUUGAUUAGAGAGUACAUUAUGAAAUAUGAAGUGCAAUUAAAAUUUACAAAAUCUCAUGAUCAAAUUGUGAAAACAUUAACCAAGUCCCUCAAGUUUAAAGAUUUUAGAAAGCUAAGGAUGUUAGUUAAACUAGAUUUAGAAAGUUUCUAAAAAUUAGAUUUUGAGUUAGGUUUUAAAAGUUAAUUAAAAUAUUUUAUAGAAAAUUCUUGAUUUAGUUUGUAUAUUUUGUUACUGCAAGAUUUUAUAUUUUACUAUUGUGAGUAUUUUUUUUAGGUGUUAGGUGUUACUAUUGUGAGUAUACAAUAAAUUUUUUUUUAAUCAUCUCAAUUAUUUAUAUAUGUAAUUGCUUGUGUUUUUUCAACCACAUUGCUGCAACAUAGGUGAAUCCGCUGGUUGGUCUAUGAAAAUUCAUAUCAGUUGUUCAACCUUUUAAAUUCUGUAACGUAUGUAGAUUAUAUAGCCUCUUUCCCUAAGCCUGCAUUUUUCUUUCAUUUCAUGGUGUCAACACUUCAGGAAAGCAAAAUUUCCUAAAAUGGAAUAUGGUGUGCAAGGACAAAGAGACUUGUUAGGCAUCUAAACUCUAGGGAAAUGUAAGACUGAUUUGAAACCAAAAUUUGAGCCAACUAAAUCUGCUGAAACACUGCUGCAAAAAGAAAACAAGCCCCAAAUAACUCUUUGAUCUUUUGUACCAAGCAGACUCGUGUCUGAAUAGUUUCAGAAAAAUAAGCUGUAUAUUUCUUGAAAUAUUUUUAUGCAUACCUCCAUCCCGGGAUAUAAACUGACAUUGUAACCUGGAUUGCAAGAUGUGUUUGUUCUUUCUGGAGCUGGAAUAUCCUUCUUCCUUCUUCAUAGCUACUACCAAAUGCUGUCCGAGAAAUCACAUCCCCUGUCAAAUUUUCAAGAUAGGGCCAAACAUCCAACUCACAUGAUCCCCCCACUGAAAGCAUUUUCCAUUUGGUCACCAUGUCGCUACAACUCAAAUGAAAUGCCGGCAACAUAUUCUAUAACAAAUUCAACCACAAAAUAAAUUAAUAAAGACCAAAACAGUCCAGUAUCCAGUUUCAAAUUCAAUAUACAGCCAUUUAUCACUGACCUGCGAAAUAACAAUUUAACUAGUUUAUAAAGCAUGUACUGCUUAAAGUCAUCAUAUGUUAGGAAGAGUCAUAUGGGUGAUGGGUGGAGGAUGAGGAAUAUUCAGUUUUACCAUGGAGGCACUGACUAAAGAAAUCAUAGAAAAAAAAUGUGCAUAUUCAUGAAAAGUUAGAUGUACUGGUAAUGUUAAUGAAAAGUUAGAUGUAUGGGUAAUAAGCAAGCAAGAUAAGAAAGUUGUUAAGAUCUUACUGUCAUAUGUAUCAAGUAUUUUAAACUAGGAACAGACAAUCAAGCAUAUUUUGAUCCUUAUGGUUCAAAUUACCUAUGGUUUACAUUGGUAAAUAAAACUUCUGAAAAUUUCUAUUGGAGACUGGAAAAAGACUUUAGAUGAGUAAGAAAAAAAAACAAGGAAAAGGUAGGACACAUUAGGUAUGUGAAAAUACUUCAUUAAACUGAUUGAAAUAUUUGGGAAUUUCGAUAAUUAUCUUUAUGGUAGCUGAAAAAGGUAUUUUAAAAUAUAUGAUAAUUUUUCAAAUACUAAUAUAAAAUUAUCUUUGGAAGACACAAUUUUAAUGCAGUUUUCAAGUGUUAAAUUUACUUUUUUAAAAAGACAACUUUAUAAAAUUCAGUUCUUUUAACUUUUAAAUGAUAACUUUCAAAUUAGUAUCUAGCAAUCUUUUAAAUGAUAAUUUAAAUGAUAACUUUUAAAUUAUAAAAUAAAUUUUCAACUACCAUAUUUUAGAAGGUUAUAUAUCAAUCUAAGAUACAUGAGAUGAGAAAUGGGUAUUCAUAACCUCCAAAUCUUAUAUAUAUUAUCACUUAAAUUUUUUUUUCCACUGCAUUCACAUGCUCAAUCUCUUUUCCAACAGUGAGAGGGCUAUGCAGAGAAGUUAAACUAGGGAAAAAAUCCAAGUCUGUAAUAUGUCACAAUUGAAGCAGUUUCAAUCAUGGAACUGUUUGUUCACUUUCAGAGUUUGUGAAAAGAUUUAAAAAAAAUACAUGAAAAUAAGGUAAAAUAUUCUGGUUUGGAAGCUGGGCAUUGAAAAUUACCUUCAACUUUUCUAGAUGGAAAGCUGGGUUGAUGAUCUUUCUACGUUUAGCCCAUCGUUCGCCUUCCAAGGUCACCAGACCAGAAACCAGCAACUUGCCAAGUGGGUGUGGGGGUGGCUUUUGAAAGACAUUGGACUUUAACAAAACAUCCCUUAUUAGCUCAGGCUCCAUAAUGUUUACCAUUGGAUUUGGACCGAACCAUGCAAAGAAAUUUUUACGUGCACGUUUAUGCCAUUAUUGGAUAGUGUUAGCCUCAGAUUGCUUUUAGUUUGGACUUCACACAAAUUCAACUUUGGGUAUUAAAAUUCAGUUGAACCCAACUUGGACCAUGAAAACAAUGAAAACUUCAACCAUAGUUUCUAUGCUGAGUUAUUAUAAAUGGACUAAAUCAUUUUUUCAGAAUUGUCUCAAUGUCAAUUGAUAUUAAGGAAUGAACUCUAUUCAUUGUAGCCUUGAGAUUAAAUAAUGAAAUCAGAAGUUAUUCACAGCUCCCAGAAAUUAAACAAUUGAAAACUAAAAACAGUACUUUUCAAAGUGGAAGUAUAUUAAUUUCUUGAUAAAAGAAAUUGCAAUACAGUUAGCAAAGAUUAAGAACUACCACUGAAGUCUAAACCUUUGGUGUAAUUUAAGAAAGAGGAAAAUAAACAAAACAGAAAGGAAAAGAAAAAUAGUUAGGAAGAGAAGAGCAGAUAACAAACAACUGCUUUAGGGCAGUAUAAAAAAGUUGGCCAUAAUUUGUAGAGAUCAGCAAACUUUAAUACUAUGAUGAAAAGUAAUCAGUCAUAUCGGUACCGUAUUUCUUAAUGAAAUGACAAUGGAAGGGCAGGACACGCGGAGCAAUUUCAUCGGAGAGGCUGAUUGGUCUUGAAUAUGCUUCUUUUAACAUCAUGGACAUCUCUUUGAAGUCCCCAUGUAAAAGCCUAUAAGAAUUCCCAGCCAGGCCUUGCUCUCUAAGGCAUCUUUCUAACCUCUUUGGCCUCAACCACACCCAAUUCAGUAGCCUCCAUAAACAGCUUAUGAGCACAGUAAGGAAUCCAAAAGAAAUUGCAACUGAGCUAUGCUUCAUUUCCAGUUUGAGGGACUUCUAUCAGGAGACGUGUGUUAAAUCACUUCAGAGUGAGAGAAUGACUUUAUGCUGCCGAUGUGUAUAAAUUGGCCCCUCUUCUAUUCCCUCGUGCCGGCAAACAUAGAAGAUUUCGUCAAUGCCUAAUGGGGAGAAGAACGUCUAGUAUUUUAAAAUCUAUAAAUUAUCUAUUUUAAUUGUCUCUAUCAAUAUGGAUUUUAAACUUGUCAAUGAAUUAUUAAUUUAUUCUAUUUGAUACAUUUCAAAGUUUGUGCAAUCAUCACUGCUUAUUAAAAACUAUAUAUGCCAUGAAUGUAGAAGGCAAAAUUUGAGCAUACGGAAUAUGGAAUUCUAUUUGAUGGACCAGCUUUCACUUGUGAGUAGAUGGAGCAUGUGGAUGCUCACUUUCAGAGCCUCGAGGGACAGCUCGCAUCCCUCACAUCUUGGCAGAUGUCGCAGGGUGCUUCCAGCUCUACAACUCCAUCUGAUCUGGACUUUUUGAUACUUCAUGUUUUUUUUUUCGUUUUUUCGUUUUUUUUUUGUUUUUUGUUUUUUUUUUUUUUUGUUUUUUUGUGGAUAAGUUUAUUUUGUACACCUAACCAUCUUGGCUCAGUCUAUCAUAUAUUUUGUUUGUCUAGAUGUACUUUUAUUUUCUUAUCUCUUGUAUCCAGAACCUUUUUUACCAGAUAUGUCCAUGUGUUUGCUUUUCUUUUCUCCUUUUCGUAUGCUUACUGCUUUAUCAUGCUCUUUGUCAUUUUUUGCAACAAAAGGGGGAGAUGGAUUGUUGAUUUGAUUGAGUGUUUUGAUAUUCAUAUUUUUUUGACAUCUGUUUCAUGACUUGCAUCCCCUUACUCGUUUACCUGAUUUGAUAAAAUUGAUCAAUUAUCUUUCUUCCCACACACUACUUUACCUGGGUAUGUUGUUUAGUGUGUGCAAGUUAUAGGUACUAGGGUAUUGCUCAUUUUUUGGAUGUGGCUUCUAGUCCUUUGCACGUUAGAUGAUGAAUUGGUUUAGACAAGAGGUAUUGAGAGAUUUGUAAACUCCAUUUGAGAGUAUUGAGGGGUUUAUGCAAUUUGUAUUUUAUCACAAAAUUGCCAAAGGGAGAGAUUGUUCGUACAUUAGGUGAUGUAGUUUAAAAUUGUCAAUUUUGUUCUAUUCAUUUUGGUUUAGGAUCUUUCUAGAUUGUGUCUCACUCCCCAUUGAAGACUCAAGGUUAUUAAUUGAUCAACCAAGAUUACAUAGGUAAGUGUAAAAAGAUUUGGGAAAGGCAAGUUAGUGUUUGGUAUGACAUGGCAUGGAUUGAGUGGUUUGAAAUUGAGCAAAAUGAUUUUCUAACUGGGUUUAAAAAAUGCCUAAAGCGCUCAAGCACUCUAAGAGCAUUUGAGCCCUAGCAACAAAAUUCUCUAGAAUUUUGGAGAUUUGUCUUUCUAUUUUUAAAGGAUUUAUUUUAAGGAACUUUUUAGAAUUAGUCCACUAGGUUCCUAGGCUUAUAUAUACAUUGCCUAAAAAGGUUUUUGGUUUGAUGCUUUUGAGUUUAAAAACCUAGUUUGUCUUCCUUUUUCCAAAAUUCUAAAAGAAACAUUCAUAUUUACUUCUGCCUAGUUGAAAAGGAGAUUUGUAUCCCCCUCAAGUGCUGAAGUGAGAUCCUCUAUGAGCACAUGAGAUGUUGCAUUGUGGACGCAAAACAUAGUGUAGGUGUUAGGUAGUAAGUCUUAGUAGUAGCUUUCAUCAAGUAAAAUUGAGUACAUACCCCAUUAUAUAUGAUGGAGACUUCCUCUAAUGCAUAUCCUAGAAUCGAAAUCAAUUGAUACUAAAUUAACACCCAACCCAUAUUUCAAACAAAAUCUUGCAAUUUCACAUUUUGAGCACCAAUCCAUGAAAAUGGUGUUUUUGGGGAGCAAUUUCAAUUGAUUUAGGAGAGCAGAUUAGAUCUUACCCUUCCCCUCUUGAGACUUGAAACUUAGGAGUAACCUGUUUUCAGAUAGAUUCAAUAUCACUAAUUGAUUAAUUUCUAUGUACAAUAUGUUUUUCUAAAUUUUAAACUCAUUCAAAUUCCAUCCUUUUAAUUCUAUUAGAAUAACGUAAAUCAUAUGGAAGUUAGAUUCUAAAUCUCAAGUCUUCACAUCAUCAAGUAUCAACUAUAAGAACUCAAACUCAACACUUUAGUGGCUCUAAAGAGUCUAUUUUAGUGCAUUUGAGGUAUUUAAAAAUGACAUAAUGCUUGCUUUUUUUUUUUUUUUUGUUAUUAAUGCCUUAGCCAUUUGUUUUUUAUAUUUUUUGUGAGUAUUUUUAGAACUUUAAGGUAUUUUGAAAAUGAAGUAGACUUUGUGGAGGAUUCUCAAAGAAUAAAAUGCCUAAGUAGAGAGCAAAAACAAAUUUUGUACCUUUUAAGUACACAGGAGUCUAUUGUGCAUCUCUCAAGUGUGCCACCAAACUAGAUUGCACACUCCCUCUAGCAAUUUAAGUUGAGCACCUUCCCCAUGAUUCAAAGGUUGCAUACCCCCUCAACAAUUGAACCCAACAAGAGCACUCAAGUUGUGCAUGUCCGUAACAUCUUAAUUGCACUUUUCCCUACCACUACAAUAGCGUAUCCCUAAGGCCACUCACCAUGCACUGUCACACCCCAAAGCCCACUCCAAGGGCAUGAUGAUCUUUUCACACCUAGCUCAAGCCCAAGGGCUCAAAGUGGAAACGACACAAACAUUUGUAUUGUAACUGGAAAUUUACCAAUUACCAAAUUCCUGGAUCAAACUUUUUCAAUUAUGCUUGCAAAUAGGAGAUAUAACAUAUACUUAUUUUCAUAAAAACUUUUGAGUUCAAAAUGCUAAUACAUUCAAACUUUUCUACAAAACUUUCUCAUAUCCAUUUCAAAAAAAUUUCUCAUCAAACCAAAUCAAAUACAUUCAAAAUAUCUUUACUCUGGUUAUCGUAUGACAAAUGGUGCCCAAUUAGGUGGGACUUUGCAAUUGAGUAACUAGUUUCAAAUUUGUUCAAUUUAAGGUGAACAAAACCAAAUGUCAACAAUUAUAACUCAUUGACUAGGGUCAUAAGGUCAACCAUUAUAACCCAUUGACUAAGGUCAUAUAACAUCAACUAUUAUAACCCGUUGACUAAGGCCAAAAAUGUCAACUAUUAUGACCCGUUGACUAAGGCCAUAUAAUCCAGAGUCAAAUACUUUAUUUCAUUAAUUCAAACUUGCAAAACAAAACAUCAUAUCUCCUCAAUUUUUCAUUUUUCAUAAACAAAGAAAAUACUCAAAUAUACUUUCAAUAAAAAACAUAUAUUUGAUCCACGCUUAAAGAUAAAAAUAAUAUUUUUACAGAUUUCAAAAUACAAUAUAAAAAGAAAAUUAUUUUUUUUUACAAAAAUCUGCAUUAAUUUCAUUUACCUUGAAGAAGCACUCAAAAUCUUAAAGUAUUUAGCUUUGAAGAAUUUCCUCCUCACCUAACUUAAUAUCAUACACAAUAUUGAUUAUUGAUUAUUUAUCUAAAUAUAUAAAUUUGACAAUCCUAAAAAUAUUUUAUUUAGUAUUAGGGAUCCUAAUUAAUUUCUCAUGUUAAUAUUAUUACCAUCCAAUAUUAUUUUCAACUUCCUAAACAAUAAUAUAUUUCUCUUUUCUAACUUAUCUAAAUUAAAUCUUUUAAGAAUAUUUGUUUGCAUUAAAAAUUAUUACUAUUAUUUAAAUCUCCUACUAAAACUUAACAAAUACCCCAUGCAAUUCUUUUUUUUUUUCCCAGUAACUCCACACCAACUCCAUUCAUUAUUAUUAUUUCUUUUAUUAUUAUUAUUAUUAUUAUUAUUAUUAUUAUUAUUAUUAUUAUUAAUUUCAAUACCUAACAACACCUUAACCUAUUUCUCUUCCAAGCCAUCAAUGUCCUUUUCUUCCUCAUCGUUUACCAAAAUACUAUUUACUUCCUUUCCUAGGUCAACGUGCAUUAUUAUUAUUAUUAUUAUUAUUAAUUUCAAUACCCAACAACACCUUAACCUAUUUCUCUUCCAAGCCAUCAACAUCCUUUUCUUCCUCAUCGUUUACCAAAAUACUAUUUACUUCCCUUCCUAGGUCAACGUGCAUUAUUAUUAUUAAUUUCAAUACCCAACAACACCUUAACCUAUUUCUCUUCCAAGCCAUCAACGUCUUUUUCUUCCUCAUCAUUUACCAAAAUACUAUUUACUUCCUUUCCUAGGUCAACGUGCUGACCAUUUCUUAGUUCACUACUACAAAAUAAUUUAUGGUGUCACUAUUUAUGGUGCCACUUUUAAAAUAAUGACACCAUAGGGUUUAUAACUAAUAAAGGUGACACAUUAGAUAAAAAAUCUUCAAUUGAGGUGGUUAGAUGAUAUUAGUUUUAUAUUUAUAGUGUCAUUUUUUGGGAAGUGACAUCAUAUAAAAUAAAUUUUUUUAAGUAUUAUAACUUAAUGAGCCCACUUGAGCUCACUUUUAGAAUUAAUAAUGAGAGACCUAGGAGUUUUAAAUAUGAAAAGACCGUUUUACCCUUAUUAAAUUACUUAAUUAAUUAUUAAUUUCUAAAUUAUGAUUUUACCCCUAAAUUGGGUUUAGGGCAUUACAUGCACACUGUUCCCACUCUUGCAAAGGUUGCGCACUUGAGAAAACUCCUUCCAAUGAUUUUACACUCACCAAAGUAAUGCAAGCAUCUAAGCCUUAAGUCAUCAUCUAUACUAUCAAUUCUCCCAUACUGAUUGCAUUGAAAGCCAAGUGCAACCACCAACUCCAAGCUGACAAGUCAAGUUCAAGAAAGAUGGCUAGGUUACUACAUUGACACAUGAUCUGAUCCCCAACAUGGGUAAGAGGCAGUUCUAGGAGAAUAGUUUGAGCAAUAAGAAUGGAUUACCUAAAGGGAAACCCAUCUAUAAAUAGAGGAUUGUCUGGGGGCGCGUGCACACACACACAUAUAAAUAUGUAUGUAUGUAUGGGGAGAAGAAAAGAAAAAAAAAAAAGGAAUGUUGAAGAGCUUGAAUCUUUAAUGGAGAUGAUAUUAACCUUUUUAGGAUUUAGUUAGGAAUUGAUUUUGGUAAUUAAAAUGACAAUUAAUUAUUUGGAUAGGAUUUGUUAGGUAGUUUCCUAUUUCUUUCUAUAUAUUUUCCUUAUUUUUGUAGGUUUCCUACAGAUAUAUAAAUAGAUGACAUUUUCUCUUUUUUCUCUAUGAAUGAAUAUAUGACUAGAUGAUUCGUCCCCAUUGCAGUCAUUCCAUUUGAUUCCGGCUCAGACGGGUGUUAUCAACAAAAUUUAUAAAACCUAAAUCACCUCACACUAGGGUAGCAUAGCUAACAUAGUAUAGUGGCUCUAGGAUCGUCCACACGGAUGGGUUUUCAUCGUAUAGUUGACUUAAAUGAAGGAAAUAAAAUGAUGCUUUUUCUUAUGAAAGUUAGCUUGUAAAGAAAAUUGGAAUUAUGGUUGCAAAGAUUGAUUUUAAGUUAAGCAAAAACAAUAAGUGAAAUUAACUACAAAAAAAAGGGUCUCUUGGAGCUUCAAGUCACUAGGAUCGAGUUUCUUAGGCAAAGGUGGAGAUUCCAGAUCUUCUCCUCGCGUUGGGGAUAAUAACAUAAAGGAUGGUUAUCUUCCGAACCGGUUUUAUAUUUAGCAAUUAAGAUUUGAUCCAAAAGUUUUAUGAGAAAUGGUAAUUGUUUCCCAUUAAUGGCUUCAAACCAAUGUUUUAAAAACUGGACCGGACCGGCCGGUCCAACCGGUUCAACCGUCGACCGGUCACAAUUUCGGUCCGAUCUGCUUAUUGAACCGUUUAAGAUUUAAACCGGCCACGAACCGCCGAAACCGGCGGUUGGACCGGUGACUCGGUCGAACCGGAUGGUUCUAAUCGAACCGAACGGUUCAAUUUGAACCUCCAUUUUAAAGGCUCCCUUGCAUAAAAAAGUUUUGGCAAAUGCCCAUUCUGGGCCUUGUCUCAUCAAGACAAAGCCCAAACCCCACUCAACCAUAUUGUGGGCCUAGUCUUGAGCCCACCCAAUGAGGCAAUGCAUUGGCCUUCAAUGUGGAUAGAAUUUAUAGGCACCCUUGGCAUCCUCAUUUCUCUUUGAAUCCGAUGUGGGAUUCCUAACCAACCAAAUGAAUGAAAAAAAUAAUAACAAGUCCCCCCAGCCAAGAGGAAUUGAACCUUGGACCCCAGAUUCGGGGGGCAUCCAAGGCACCACUCGGCUACACAGCUUUUGUUAGUUAAUAUGCUAAACAAAAUAAUAUAUAUUAGAUUUAAAUUUUUUUUUGUAAUGUUAAAUAAAAAUAAUAUAAUAUUUUUAAAAAUGAUAAAAUUAGUUUAAAUUUUCAUUUUUAAUAUAUUCAUAUUUAAAUAUUUUACAUAUUUCAUUUAACAAAAUUAAAAAUAUUAAUAUGAUUUAAUUUGAUAAUAUUAUUGAUUUUUAAUUUAUUCAUAUAUAUUUUAAAAUUUUUAUAAUUAUUUUUAAUUUUAAUAAUAUAUAAAUUAUAUAUUUAUGACGUCACUGGUUCAAUAGCGGUUCGACCGCCGGUCCGACCAGUGAACCGUGAACCGGUAACUUUUCCGGUUUGAUCACCGGUCCAGUUUUGAAAACAUUGCUUCAAACACUAAAGACUUUCACCUUGAACCACCUUCCAAUGGCUCGUAAAUGAUAACUAAUAGACAUCCAUGGAUCUAGCAAUAAGCAUCCAUGGAAUUCGAAAAGCUUAGCAAGUAUUGGCCAUUCAAGGUGCUUUUAAGGGGUUUAAAACUAAACCUUGAAAUAAAAACCAUUGAUGGUUAAUAACUACUGUCAUUUAAAGCUAGGAUAACUUUCACCUUUGCAUUCAGGUCCUUCACCUAACUUCCAUCAAUCCGAGAAACGUAAAACCUAGCCACUCAUCCCCUAAGAAAUCAUCCUCAGAGGUUGUUUGGCUAGCAAGAAAAGUGAAAACAAAAUGAGAAGGAAAGGCAGAGCAAAAGCUCUAUAUAUUUCUUAGUAUGAGAAUUUACAAGUGUUUUAUGAAAAACAUACAUAAUUUUUCAUCCCUCUGUCUCUCUCCUUAUAUAUAAACUACCUAAAAGAUAUAUAAAAGAAAAUAUCUAGGUUGGUUACAAGGAGAAACUAGGAAAUUACACAAAAUAUCUGAAGAUAAAAAUCUAACGGAGUCAGUGCAUAGGAAGAUUUCGCAUACCAUGCGAAAUUUGGCAUGGUGUGCGAAAUCCUUUGGCUGCCUCAAGUGGUUUCGCAUGGUGUGCGAAAUUUUGCACAGCCAUGCGAAACUGCUUGUUGUUGGAUUUCUUCCUUUGGUUUUCUUCCUUGCAUCUCUGAUUGGCUUGGCAAAGGGCUAUGAAGUGCUCCAAAGCUUGGCUUCUUCAUGUAUUUGAUUUAUCUUGCAUUGCCAUGGAUUUCACCAUAUUCUCCCUUAUUCUUGGCUUGUUUCAAUGAUAAAAAAGCUACCAAAAACAUCAAAACUUGCCAAAAACUGAUUAGUAACCCUUGCUAGGUUCAUUAAUGUGCCAAUUGAGUUAAAAGGUAUUAACUACUACUCAAAAAUGUUUAAAACAGUUAGUUUCAAACUAAAAAAGAGUACUUUUUGAGUAGUAAUCACUCCCCCCAACCGACAUAUUGCUAGUUCCUUAGCAAUAAAGGAGAGAUAAAGAAGAAUAGACAGUAAAAUAAUUUACAACAUCAUGCUAAUCACUCCAAAAAAAUUUCAAGUGGCAUGAUGCAGAUUAUACUCUCUCACUGGAAUAUCAAAGAGGCAAAACCCAACCUUCAACAAGAGUCAUCAAAUCUCCUGCCUAAUUACAAUUUAUAAUGAGUAGGAAUUAUGAAAAUUUAAGCAUUAAAAGAAUUUCCACUCCCAGAGGUCUAAUCCUUAUUUUUCUACAAAAAUCCCAGUGUGUUAAGCUUAUUAGUUUGCAAUUAUAGUAUGUCGAACUAUUCUCUCCCCCAACCUAGUUCUUCCUCAAACUUUAGCAAACUGACCAACCUCCAAUAGGCUAAGAACGCACAUAUUUUAUUUCACAAUAUUUUUUCAUUGUAGGAGUGCAAUGCUAAAGGUAUUGUUUCCUAAAGUGUCCAUGUAACGGGGAUCCAUCGAUGACUCCCAACCAAUCAAAGUUUAGGGCAUCAAGAUUUAAGGAUCUUUUGACCACUAAACUCCUCAGAUUUUUUCCCGGACUUUUGAGAUUGAAAUUCAAUACCCAAGCACCUACAAUAUGUUAAACUCCACCUAUUCACCCUUGUAACGAGCAUUGAGGUCAGUGACUCCCAACCAAUCAAGGCUUAGGGCACCGGGUUUUAAAGACUUUCGCCGUAUACCCCUCAGACCUUGCUCGGGUUUUAAGGCAAGUGAAACACUUUGUUAUUUCUUUUUUUUUUAAAGGCUCAUUGUCCUUUUAUAAGGUGUCCCAACACUAUUAAAACGAGGUCAAAGGUACCAAGUCGAAAUUUUCCUAAGUUCAGGGGGUGAGAUAGUUUUUCAUCUUAUAACCGGAACCUAAUGUGAACAAUGUGUGGUAAGAUUAAAGUGCAAGAAAUAAGAUUGAAUUCCAUAGGAGUUUCAAUACUUCAUCAACUUCAAUAAGCAUAAUACAAACUCUAAGAUUCAAGUAAAAAUGCAAGAACUCAUUUCCUCCCAUUUCAUUUUGAGAAUUUUUCCUUAAUAACCAUGGAAAGUAAAGUGAAAACUUUUAAAAUUAAGCCAAAAAGUAACUAGAUUAACAAAUUAACCUAGCAUUAUUAACAAAACUUCCUUCCUCAACUCUCCCCCCCAACCGAGAUCAACAUUGUCCUCAAUGUGUCAAGAGCAAUUGAAAAUAAAGGGAGGAAGUGGUACCUCCUGUAUCAAAUGGAGCCUGAGUCGUAUAGGAGAAACCACAUGAGUCAAAAAACAAAAGGGUAAUGAGUAGAGGAAAUAGAAAAAUGCUAAGUAUAAUAAAAAACAUGAUGAUCUAUAUAUUAAUAUGAGAAAGUACAAUUUGAGAUAUGAUUCGGUAAUACAUCCAAUCCCAGUUUAUAAAGCAUCAAAACAAGGACAAAUCUCCACUAAUAUAAUAUAUAAAUACAAUAAGAUAAAGAGAUGUCCUAUGAUCAAGUAGUGGGAGCCUCGGGUGGAGAUGAUGCCUGCUCAGGCGUAGUUGUGACUACGGGAGGUUCAUUCUUAGGUGGUGGAAUCCGGACCUCUGCUGGUGUAGUGUCGUCAGUUGGAGCUAUAGGCGCUGAGGAUGCGGGAAGGUCAGGCUGAGGCGGAGGCAGGAGUCCCAUGUGCUGCUGAAUCUGGUGGAGAAUAACAGUCUGUUGGUCUUGAUGGGCACGUAUCUCAGCCAUCUGCUAGAAGAUAGCAAAAUGGGUGGUGGUGAGUGUAUGAAAGGUAUGCACCAGGGCGCGAAACUCCGAAGCCGAUAUGGUGAUCGAAGGCUCGGAUGUAGUCGGCACGACUGGUGGAACAGUAGGAGUUGUAGGUGGAGCAGUAGAAGUAGCCUUAGGUGUGGGCACUAGUGGUGUCGUCUCUGUUGAGAGCUCGCCCUGCUCUAGCCGUGGGUGCACUGGUGGUGCUACCAUGGGAGGGACUCCUGGCGGUACAGAAUAGCCUACCAACUGAUUCCAUUUGUCAAGAGUGGAUCGUUCUCGACAAAGGCGGGGGCGCUCAAGCCGAGGCUCAGUAGGAAAGCCCAAAUACUCUAGGAUCUGGCACAGCAACCUCGGGAAUAGUAGUGGAAUGGUGUCGACCCUUUGAAGCUUCUUCCUAUGGACCUUCUCCUCAAAGUGGAUGAGAGAGGCCAUAAUCAAGUGGUGUGGGCCAAAGUAGAAGCCCUCGGAUAUAUGGAACAAUGCAUCCAAAAUAACUCAUCUCCUCUAUACUGAAUGUUGUAAUGGAAAGAGGUUGGAGCGCAACACCACGUCUAAGAGGAGCAUCCCAAGCAGAAGCUCCUUUCGUAGAAGGACCGAAUCAGUAGAGGUCCCCUUGGAUAAUAUGUGGACCAUGUCCCUGUGAGAUACGAGGGACUACUGGCGGAAAACAGAACGAUCCUCUGGCUCGAACGAAAUAUGUAGAGCCUCUGCAAUCUGUCUGGCCUUGAGUACACCAUAGACUAGUAAAAGUCUAGUGCUACUCUGGGAUAAAAAAACUCAUGUGGAGUCAUGAGGUGCUCAAGGUGAUACCUUUGGAGUAAGGCAUAGGAGUCUUGAAGCUCAAGCUGCUGUCGCAUGACCUUCUGAUCAAAAUAUAGCUCCGAGUGGAAGGGUCGCGCUUUACAAUCUGAGUUGCCCUCAAUGGGCAGUGUUGUGACCAUCGGAUGUCUGAUAAUCGACUUUGGUGACAUGUCAGAAGGUAACUCAGAAUCUGCUGGAGGCUCAGAAGCUUUGGAUGACUCUCUCGGGCUUGAAGUCCUGGCCUUCUUGGCUGGAAGGAGCCGUACUGAACUCUCGGGGCAUGAAGUAGUCGCCCCUAGGGUAGUAGGUGGUCUCCUCAUCUCGUACCUAUGCUGAGGAGCAAGUGAGGAAGGUCCAGUGACUUCUCCACCUUCGGAAGGUGGAAUCCGUGGGGCCUCCGCGGCCUAAGAUGGGGAAUCGCUAGGUACCUGAGCCGAGGAGGCUCUCUGCCUUGUAGUACGUCUUGGUGAAGGGGUGGGAAGGGCUCCUCGGGUUUGUGCCAUGUUAGAAAUGAAAGGCGAGCCUCGAGUAUGUUCUCUGAGGGGGCGCGGAGUGCGUUUCUUCAAAGUGAGAUGCGCGCGAGGCUAGGAAUCGAAUGGAUAGGGGUGAGGUCGCAAGGUGGCAGAGGAAAUUCGCAAUGAUAGGAGUGCUUGUGAAAUGAGGAACUGAAGAAGCUAGGGGUCGGGGGUUUAAAAAGAGAUAGGCAGGUGUCGUUUGGUUUUUGCAGGCAUCUUUUGGUUUUUGCAUAUUGUACGAAAUGGCUUUGGGGCUACGAAAUGGUUUCCCAGACCCCUUAGGGUUUCACACAAUGUGUGAAAUGGGUUUGAAUGUGCGAAAUUUUUUGCAUGGUCUGCGAAAAUUUUGCACAGUGAUCGAAAUGAUUUCGCAAGGAUUGGCUUAUUUUCCCUGGGUGUGCGAAUUUGGUUCGCAGGGUGUGCGAAAUUUUGCACCCCAUGCGAAAUGAGUGAUUGAUUUCGCAUGCCCUGUGAAAAUUUUGCAAGGUGUGCGAAUUGUUUUGAUUACUCUGUUUGAAAUCCUCCUGCAGUCGAUCAUAAAAAAAAUCUAAGUUAAGUCAAACCAAAAUAAAAUUAAAACGAGAAAUCAAAAUAAAAACAAGUAAUAAUACAGGAAAACUCUUAAAUUAGAAAUAAAAUAAAAAGAUAUGGACUCGAUUAGUAUUUAAAAAGACUAAGUCCAUCAAAAAGUUGGUCUUGUCAAGCUUGAUGUGGAUCAAGGAUGAUGAAUUCCUACUUAUCGUGAGAAAAAGGCUCCACAAAGGGCUUGAGACGGUGGCCAUUCACUUUGAAGCUCCUUGUGCUGUUGGAGUUGAGUAGUUCCACUACUCCAUUUGAAUGCACUUGGUGAAUGGUAAAAGACCCUAUCCACCUUGAUUUCAGCUUGCCCGAAAAGAUGUGGAGCUUAGAGUCAUAGAGCAAGACUCUUUGUCCCUUUCAAAAAUCCUUACGGGAAAUCAACUGAUCAUGCCACCUCUUCAAUUUCUCUUUUGCAAUUUUUGAAUUGAUGUAGGCAUCAUUUCUCAAUUCCUCCAUCUCAUUAAGGUUUAAGAACCUCUUUAACCUAGCUCUGCUCAGAUCCAUAUUGAGUUUCUUGAUUACCCACCAAGUUUUGUAUUCCAAUUCCACAGGGAGAUAGCAUGCUUUGCCAUAGACUAGGCAAUAAGGAGACAUCCCGAGAAUGGUCUUGUAAGCUGUUCGAUAUGCCCAUACUGAAUCAAGGAGCUUAAUUGACCAAUCUUUUCUAUUUGUGUUCACCACCUUCAUCAAUAUGUUUUUAAUCUUCCUGUUUGCUAAUUACUCAACUUGCCCACUAAUUUGAGGGUGGUAAGGUGUAGCUACCUUAUGCUUCACCCCAUACUUGGCUAGGAGAGUUUCAAAAGGCUUGUUGCAAAAAUGAGUACCUCCAUCACUAAUUAUUGCUUUGGACACCCCAAAUCUUGAGAAGAUGUUCUCCUUGAGAAACUUGAGAACCACUCUAUGGUCAUUGUGCUUACAUGGGACUACCUUAACCCACUUAGAAACAUAAUCUACUCCCACCAAGAUGUAAGAGUAGCCAAAAUACAUAGGAAAUGGUCCCAUGAAAUCAAUGCCCCAAACGUAAAAAAGAUCAACUAUCAAAAUGGGGUUCAAAGGCAUCAUGUUCUUGUGUGUCAACUUCCCAAGCCUCUGACAUUGAUCACAACUCUUGAACAUGGUGUGGGCAUCUUUGAAAAGUGAUGACCAACAGAAGCCCGAUUGCAACACCCUCAUGGCUGCCUUAUGAGAAGCAAAGUGGCCUCCACAUGCAUUUUCAUGGCAAUGACCGAGGAUCCCCUUUUGCUCUUCUUUAGAAAUGCACUUCCUUAUUAUCUGAUCCGCACAAUACUUGAAUAGAAAUGGAUCUUCCCAAUAGUAGGCCUAAAUUUUUGCAAAGAAGUGCUUCUUAUUUUGUGCUUUCCACUCACUUGGAAUUUCUCCUGUGACUAGGUAGUUAGCAAUGUGAGCGUACCAAGGGGCAACUUCCCCCAACAUAAGAGACUCGUCUGGAAAAUCGUCAUUAAUGGGCAUUCCAUGGGAAUUAUGUGCGAUAGCUAGCCUUGAAAGGUGGUCUGCUACCACAUUCUCCACUCAUUUCUUAUCUUUGAUAUGGAGAUUGAACUCUUGAAGCAAGAGAAUCCAUCUAAUCAGCCUUGCUUUAGCAUCUUGCUUAGUCAAAAGAUACUUCAAAGCAAAGUGAUCAGUGAAAACCACAAUGAAAGACCCCACCAAGUAAGCACAAAACUUAUCCAAGGAAAAAACUACAGUUAACAAUUCUUUCUUGGUAGUUGUGUAGUUUCUUUGCACCUCAUUCAACGUCUUGCUCGUGUAGUAGAUCACAUAGGGUUUUCCAUCUUCUCUUUGCCCAAGAAUAGCUUCUAUAAAAAAGUCACUGGCAUCACACAUUACCUUAAAGGGUAGUUGCCAGUUAGAAGCCCUCACUAUUGGUGCAGUUGUCAAAAAUAGCUUCAAUACUUCAAAACUCUUUUGGCAUCUAUCAUCCCAUAUGAAUUUAGCAUCUUUGACCAAUAGUUCACAAAGAGGCCUUGCAAGCUUAGAGAAAUCCUUGAUAAACCUCCUAUAGAACCUGGCAUGGCCAAGGAUUUGCCUUACUCCUUUGACAUUUGUUGGGGAUGGCUACUUAACAAUGAGUUCAACCUUUGCUUUGUCAACUUCAAUGCCUUUCUUGGAGAUGAUAUGUCCAAGGACAAUCCCUUGGUGUACCAUGAAAUGGCACUUCUCCCAUUUAAGCACUAAGUCUUUCUCAAUGCAUCGGUUCAGAACAACUUCUAAGUUGAUCAAGCAUUCAUCAAAUGUACUUCCAUAUAUGGUGAUAUCAUCCAUAAAGACUUCCAUAAUACCCUCCACCAUAUCAUUGAAAAUGCUUAACAUGCAUCUUUGGAAAGUUACGGGUGCAUUGCAUAAGUUGAAAGGCAUUCUCUUAUAUGCAUAGGUUUCAAAUGGGCACAUGAAAGUGGUAUUUUCUUAGUCUUCAACAUCAAUUUCUAUCUGAAAGUACCCGGAGUAGCCAUCCAAGAAACAAUAGAAAGGAUGCCUAGAGACCCUCUCAAGAACCUGAUCAAUAAAGGGCAACAGGAAAUGGUCUUUCCUUGUCACCGCAUUCAACCUUCUGUAAUCGAUACACACCCUCCAACCUGUAGUGAGGCAUGUAGAGACCUCUUCUCCCUUAUCAUUUUUCACCACCGUGAUCACAGACUUCUUUGGCAUAACUUGACUAGGACUCACCCAUGGGCUAUCUGAUAUGGGGUAAAUAAUACCGGCCUGAAGUAGCUUAAGAACUUCAGCUCGCACCACCUCUUGCAUGUGAGGGUUCAACCUUCUCUGAGGUUGAUGAACUGGCUUAGCUUCAUCCUCCAUGUAAAUGUGAUGAGUGUAGACUAAAGGGCUGAUCCCUUUCAAAUAAGAAAUUUGCCACCCUAUUGCCUUCUUACAUCUUCUAAGGACUUCAAGUAGACAAUCCUCCUGAUGAAUGGUAAGAGUUGAAGAUAUAACAAUAGGGCACUGCUUGUCUUCUUCCAAGUAUGCAUACUUCAACUCUAUGGGUAGUGGCUUAAUAAUAAGCUUUGGGGGUUCCUCCUUAACAGGUCUUUGCGUCUCCUCCUCAUUGAAUAAGGGUAGAAUUUCUUCUCUCCUCCUCCAUGGGAGCAGGGUAGCAAGCAAAUCUGAGGGUUCAAGUAACCCUUCAUCAAGAUCCCCAAAACUCUCAAUCAAAUCUUCUUGCAUUCUUUAAUCACAAUCCUCCUCCACUAAAGUGUCAAUCAUGCACACUUCCUCUAGGCCUUCUUCUUCUUCCGAAUGGAUAUGGUUCUUGUACAAAUGGAAGAUGUUGAGCUCCAAUGUCAUGUUGCUAAAUGUGAGUUGCAUGAAUCCAUUCCUACAAUUGAUGAUUGCAUUUGAUGUAGGUAGGAAUGGUCUUCCAAGUAUGAUAAGAACAUAAUUAGUUCCUAUGACAACUGGAUCCGUAUCAAGAACAACAAAAUCCACUGGAUAGUAGAAUUUGUCAACUUGAACCAAGAUAUCUUCGAUCAUCCUUCUUGGAAUCUUCAGUGAUCUAUCUACCAGAGAUACAGUGAUGGAUGUUGGCUUCAACUCUUUAAGUCCCAACUGCUUGUAGACACAGUAAGGUAGCAAAUUCACACUUGCUCCCAAGUCCAACAAAGCUUUCUCUACACAAGUCCCUCCAAUACUCAAUGAGAUGGUAGGGCAGCCCGGAUAUUUGUACUUCACUGGAGAUUUGCAUUGUAUUAUGGCACUCACUUGCUUAGUCAAGAAGGCUUUCUUGUUCACAUUCAACCCUCUCUUUACAGUGACAAGUCCUUCAAGAAUUUUGCAUAUGUCGGCACUUGUUUGAUCAUGUCUAGGAAAGGGAUAUUGACCUUCACUUGCCUUAACACUUCAAAAAUUUCUGAUGCAUUAUUAGUUCCCUUUUGCCAUGCAAAGCUUAGGGCAAAGGUGGAGGCAUGUGUUUCUUCAUCAUAUCUUCCUUGAUCACAUUCCUAUCGGGUUCUUCAUCCACACUAGACUUAUGGUCAUCUUUCUUUGUACUUUUCUUUUUUCUCUUUCCUUUCAUUUCCUCUCUUUUUUCUUUUUAUGCUACACUCUCUUCAUCAUGCUUUGGCUUGGAUGUGGGUUGAUUAACCUCUUUGAUUCGUGCCCAAUUGGUGUCUCAGCUGAUUUGUGUCCAGCUGGUGCUCCUUGAUUGAGGGAGUAAUCAACAAAAUUUAUAACCUAUAACACCAUAUACUAGGGUAGCAAAGAAAAAGCUACUAUAGUAUAGUGGCUCUAGGAUCGUCCACUGGGAAAGAUUAACAAGCUCUCAAUGAUACCAAUUCCAAGUGAAUUGGCCUUGUUUCAUUUCAAGGUUAGCUUAAGAAGUAAAACACAAACUUUAAUUGGUAAAGGUUUAGACUUAAACUAACUAACAUAACAGAAGUUUGGAAUAAUUUAGGAAGAAAAGCAUUCCCUGGAGAGUUCAGUUCACUGGGGUGGUUCCUCAUGCAAAAGACAUAGCUCCGGUCAGAUGGUUCAUUUCCUCGUGUUAGAGAUUCAACACAUAGUCAAUUCUCUAACCGGUGUUGUACAGAGACUCCUUCAAUUAGAUUUCACUUUAAUUCUCUCACUGAUGCAACUUGCAAUGGUUUAAGCCUCUCACUAAGCCUUAACCAUUCAAGGUGAUCUUUAACCUUGGAUUACCCGUCAAAAGCUCGCAAGAGAUAACUAAUGGAUGUCUCCUUGGAUUCCAAAAGCUUAUCAAGUGUUGGCUAUUCUAGAAAAUCCUACCUUGAAGUCACCUCCCAGAGGCUCGCAAGGGGUAAACUAGUGCAUUUCCAUGGUUGGAAAUCACUUGCCUUACCAAGUGUUAGCCCAGGUGACUCUAAGGUGUUUUAAGUUAACUAAAAACAUAGAAAUCAUUAAAGGAUUUCACUUCCUCUUCAUUAAUAGCUAAAACCACAGAGCUUUGCAUUCUUGCACUUGGAACCUUCCCCGGCAACCUUAGCUCCAAGGAACUACAGGUUUAGUUACUCAUUCUCUGGGGAAAACUCCUCAGAGAGUUCAUAACUUAGUAAGAAAAUGAAAAUACAAAGUGAGAAGGUAAGGUAGUAGAAAGAAAAUAAACUUACUUUCUUACCCAAAAUUUUACAGAAGGAACUCCUCCCUGAGAACAGGCUCCCGAGAGGUAUAUAUAUGUACAUAAUAUAAAACUAAUUAUUACAUAGAUAUUUAGUCUUUUUACUAACUUAAAAGCUAAGGAAUCAUGUAAUUGGUGGUUUACAAGGAGUAUUUUGGGAUUUAGACAACAAAAAUCUAAUGGAAAAUAUCUCCCAAUGUCGGUAGAAAAUAUCGGGAGGCUUCAGGAACCAUUUUGCAGGAGAAAAAUGGUGUCUGCGAGAUUUCGCAGACACUCAAGAGGGUUGCGAAAUAAUUUCGCAAUACCAAGCUAUCUUCACAGGGCUACGAAGAUGGCUUCCACCUUGAGGCUCCCAGCUUCCUUCUCGCGGCAUAAAUCGGGCAUCGUCAGAAGGAGAAACAUUACACUGUUCAAAAAGGCUGCGAAAUCACUUCGCAACAAAAGGGUGAUUUUGCAACACUUUGCAAAAUGCUUCCUUCAACUCGGAGUGAUUGGCUUGUAAUGGCUACAACUUCUUCGUUUCAACUCCGAAUUGCACACCGUUUGAAGCAUUGUAUUUUUGACUUCCUGAGCUUUGAAAUGGUAUAUAGCAUGCAUCAUUUGGACUUCAGAAAGUGCUCCAAAAGUGGCUUCUACGACUGUCAUCAAGAAUAUGCUUUAUGGCAGAUUCUCUUUGCUUUUUCUCCUUGCAAUCCGGAUUUACUCUUGGCAAAUGACUUCUAAGCUUUGCCCAAGAUUCCUCAUAGCUCUCCUCAGUCUGGACUUGCUUUGGUAAUCAAAAUACUAACAAAAACAUCAAAACUUACACAAAGUGAUCAAAAUUGCUUUCAAGGGUCCUUAACAUGCCAAUUGAGUUAAAAGGCCAAAACUACUACUCAAAAGUGUUUAAAAGGAUUAAUUAUAAGCUAUCAAAUAGCACUUUUUGAGUAGUAAUCACUCCCACCAACCGACAUAUUGCUAGUCCCUUAGCAAUAUAGGAGAGAAAAAUUGAAAAUAAAAAGCAGACUAAUCUAAAAUUUACAACAUCAUGCUGAAAGAAAGUUAUUCUCAAGUGGCAUGAUGAUCUAAUUCUCACAUGAAGCAUUAAAGAAAUACAAACCCAAAUCUCAACAAGAGUCAUAACAAACUAUGCUAAACACUGUCAAUCAAGGGAGUGCAUUAUGCAAACUGAAGUUUUAAAAUCAUUUCCACUUUCUAAGAACCAAACUUUAAUCUUCCACAAAAAUCUAUGUGUAUUGGUUCCUUAGCUUCCGAGAAUAAUAUGUUAAACUAAUCUCUCCCCCCAACCUAUCUCUUUUCAACACUUAGCAAACUGACCAAAAUCAAUAAGAAAAGAACACACCUUCUCUUUUUUUUUUUUUUUUUUUUUUUUUUUUUUUUUUUUAAGGUAGCUUUAUGGGGUACUCUUUCUGACUUGUCCAUGUAAUGGGGGUCCAUCAAUGACUCCCAACCAAUUAAGGUUUAGGGCACCAAGCUUUAAGGAUCUUUCAACCACUAACUCCUCGGAUUUUUCCCCGGACUUUUAAGAAUGAAUUUCUAAUACCCAAGCAUCUACCAUAUGCUAACUCUACCUAUUCACCCUUGUAACGAGCAUUGAGGUCGAUGACUCCUAACCAAUUAAGGCUUAGGGCACCAGGCUUUAAAGGCUUUCACCAUAUACCCCUCAGACCUUGCUCGGGUUUCAAGGCAAGCAAACAACUUUCUUUAUUUCAAAGGCUCAUUAGCCUUUUGCAGGGUGUUUCAAUUUUAUCAAAUGAGGUCAAAUGUACCAAGUCCCAAAAUUAUCCUAAGUCAAGAGGGAAAUAGCUUUUCAUCUUAUAAUCGGAAUCUAAUGUGCACAGUGUGUGAAUAGCUUAAAAUGGAAGAACUAAAUUCAAUUUCACUAGAAGCUUCAACAAUUGAACCACUUUAGUGAGCAUAAUCCAUACUCUAAGUUAAGUGAAAAACAACAGUUCAAUUUCUCUUGGUUUAAUUUGAAAAUUUUUCCUCAAAAUUCAUGGAGAAUAGAGUAACAAGAGUAAAAAGUAAAAACUACAACUAAUUAACCAAUAUAAUUGUAUUAUAAAAAAGAUUUAGCAUACUUCCUUCCUCAUUCCCCCCAACCGAACUGAGCAUUGUCCUCAAUGUGAUAUGAGUGACUGUAUUUAAAGAGAGGAAGUGGUACCUCCUUGCUGAUAUCAAAUUCGAAUAUUGAUUGGGGAAAACCACAUGUUUCAAAAAGAAUAGAAUAUGUGAGAAAAGGAAAUAAGAAUAACUUAAUGCUAACUGUUAACAAGAAAUAUUCAACUUGUAUUACUUUCAAUUCAUUCGAGUACAAUAUAAAAGACAAGUAACGCAAGUAAUCCCAAAUAUAGUACCAAAAUACUGGGAUUUCUUUUCAACUAAAAAAAAACAAAUACAUAAAAAUAUUAGAUAUAUAUAAUAGUUUGAUGAGUGGGGUGGUGGUGCUAGGCAGAUGGGUCUGCCUUUUCAGUAGGUGCAUCAGCUGGGGCUUGGGGCUCUGGAGGAUGAGACUCUGAAGGAUGAGAGUGUGGCUCUGCUGGUGUAUCAGUGGAGGGCUCUACAGCUUGUGGCAGAUCGAAAUGGACUUGGAGCUGCCUUAAGAUGGCAGCUUGUUGAGCCUGAGUGGCCAACAUCUGCUCUUGGCAUGCUCUGAUGGCUACCAUCUCCUGAGCAAGACUGCUCUAAGAAGCUGUAAGAGUCUCCAAUGCAUGACAUAACUCUCUAUAUUUAGAUAUAGGAAUGGCCAUCCUCGGCUCAGCUGAUGUGGAUGGCUGAGAUGAAGCUGAUGUAGCUGGUGGAGCUCUAGGAAUGGCAGGAGCAGCAACUGUUAUACCCUCAGGUAUAUGUCUUGGGGAUGCUCUCCUUGUAGCUGGCUGAGGCUGCUCAGGCUGAUCAACUUUGUAGGCCGUCAUAUUGUUCCAUUUAUCAAGAGUGAAUGGCUCACGGCAAAUUCGCUUUUUCUCCAGCUGAGGCUUAGAAGGGUAUCCCAGAUGCUCCAAAAUUUGGCAUAGCAGCUUUGGAAAGAGGAGUGGAAUGCAAUCAGCUCUCUGAAGCUUCUUUUUGUGAACCUUCUCUUCAAAAUAGAGAAGGGCUGCCAUGAUCAGAUGAUGAGGCCCAAAGAAAAAUCCUUCUGACAUCUUGUAAAGAGCUUCCAGGAGGACUCCCCUUCUUUGGGUCCAAUGCUGCAAUGGAUAGAUAUUAUGACACAAAAAGGCAUCAAUCAAAAACAUAACUGGAGGAAGCUCCCCCCUCAGCAGAUGUGAUCGAUUUGCAGCUCCUCUGGAAAGGGUGCGCACCAUCUCCAGCUCAGUAGGAUUUGCCCAAGCUCUAAAAUUAUCGAAUUGGGUUGGCUCAAAGGGAAUUUGCAGGGCUUCAGCAAUAUGUCGUGCUCCCAAUAUGCCAUGUCUCCCAUCGAUAGUGAAAUGAAUCAAGGUUGGAUUCCUAACCUCUUUGGUUGUCAUGGAUUGAUAGAAAUAUGUGGCUAUCCGGGGAUAGAAAAAGUCUCUUGGAGUCAGCAAGUGCUCCAUGUGAUACCUCCUCAGCAGCUGGAAUGAUUGGGCAAGCUCCGACCUCACUCUGAAUGCCGGUAAGUCGAAGCAUAGCUCGGAAUGGAAUGGCCGUGUUCUACAAUCCAAGUUUCCCUCAAUUGGGGGCUGAGGUAGCAUUGGCCUCCGGAUUACUUCUUCCAGAGCUAUUUCGGAUGGAAUUUGGGGCUCAGGAAGUGGCGUUGGAGGCUCCUGAGAUUUUUCUUGCAGCGCCGGAGAUGGUACCGGCGACGGAACUGGCAUGGGAAUCGGCGAGGGAACUGGAGACGACACUGGAGUUGGAACCGGUGAUGGAAUUGGUGAAGGCUCUAGAGAUUGCUCAGUCAAAUCGAUGGGUUUUGAGCUCUCCACCCUGGGCUUCUUUUGCAGCGGCCGACCUCCUGACCUGGUAAGGUAUCGUUUUGCCGGAGGCUUUGGUGGCGCUGGCUUCACCGGGGGAGGAAUUGCUUUCGGCUGCGAAGGCUCUGGAGCAGAAUCUGGAACUGGCUCCUUUCGCAGACUCUUCUUGCGAUUCGAAGGAGAUGAAGAUUUAGCCCCUCGUGUUCGCGCCAUUUCAGGAUACCGAACUUUGGUCGACGUUGCUAAUCGGAGGAGAUGACUGGAGGCUUGGACGGCGUGGCUCACUGAAGAAGACGAACCGCUUGCGAGAAUGGCGCUCUAAUUUUUGAAACCCUUUUCGCAGCUCAAAUGACCGGUAUAAAUAGGAAAAACGGAAGCCUAAGGGUCAGUUUAAGUUUCGCAACAAAACGCCAAUUUCGCAGCAAAAUGCCAUUUUCACAGCAACUUCGCAGUGCGUUUCGCAGCUGCGAAAUGAGAGUUCCUGUGUUGCGAAGUGGCACUCGUGUGCCAAAACCACUUUCGCAAUUGCGAAAUACCCUGCGGAAUGGGACUUUUGGUGCGAAAUCACGCUUUUCCACUUCGCAAUGCGUUUCGCAGCUGCCAAAUGGAUGCUACUGUACUGCGAAGUGGCACUCGUGUGCCAAAUUUGCUUUCGCAGCUGCAAAAUACCCUCACAGAGACUUCUACAGUGUUGCGGAAUGGUUUGGCAACAAAAUGGUCAUUUCGCAGAAGCUUUCUUUAGAUCUUCCACCUGGGAUCAUUUAAAACGAUUAAAACACACCUAAAAACAUGAUUUAAGAUAAAAAACUAAGAUCAAAAGUAUGGAAACAACUUGAAAAUUUACAAAAUUUACAAAAAUUUUGGACUGUGGUAAACCAUGUCCAGCAAACCCUUUUUUGCUUAGGUUUUUUGAGGCUCAAGGAGGUUGAUCUCCUCCUUUUCUGGUUUGAAUGGCUCCAUGAAUGGCUUGAGACGAUAUCCAUUGACUUUGAAGCUAUCCUUGCCAUUGGAAUUCAAUAAUUCCACCACUCCAUUGGAAUAUACUCGGUGAAUAAUGAACGGGCCUAUCCACCUUGACUUGAGCUUCCCAGGAAAGAUAUGGAGUCUUGUGUCAUACAGUAAAACUCUUUGCCCUUCCUGAAAUUCCUUGUUGGAGAUGAGUUGAUCAUGCCACUUCUUCAUCCUCUGUUUUGCAACUUUGGAAUUGAUAUAAGCAUUAUUUCUUAAUUCCUCCAUCUCAUUAAGGUCUAGAUAUCUCUUUUCUCCUGCCUUGAUCAAGUCCAUAUUCAGCUUCUUUAUUGCCCACCAAGCUUUGUAUUCAACUUCCACAGGGAGAUGGCAUGCUUUGCCAUAGACAAGACGAUAGGGAGACAUGCCAAGAAUAGUCUUAUAAGUUGUUCUAUAUGCCCACAAUGAAUCAUGAAGCCUAAUAGACCAAUCCUUUCUGUUGGAAUUCACCACUUUCAUCAAGAUGUUCUUUAUUUCCCUGUUAGCUAGCUCAACUUGCCCGGAAGUUUGAGGAUGAUAAGGUGUGGCCACCUUAUGCUUCACUCCAUACUUGGAUAAUAGAGCUUCAAAAGGUUUGUUGCAAAAAUGAGCACCUCCAUCACUGAUUAUGGCUUUGGGCACCCCAAAUCUUGAGAAUAUGUUCUCUUUAAGAAACUUGAGAACCACCCUGUGAUCAUUUUGUUUACAGGGGAUUGCCUCAACCCACUUAGAAACAUAAUCCACCCCCACCAAGAUGUAAGAAUUACCAAAAGACAUUGGGAAAGGUCCCAUGAAGUCAAUGCCCCAAACAUCAAAUAACUCAACUAUUAGAAUGGGGUUCAUAGGCGUUUGAUUUCUUUUUGUUAGCUUUCCAAGCCUUUGGCAUCUGUCACAACUCCUACACAUGAUGUGGGCAUCCUUAAAAAGAGAUGGCCAAGUAAACCCUGAUUGCAACACCUUCAUGGCUGUUUUCUGAGAGGCAAAGUGGCCUCCACAUGCAUUCUCAUGACAAUGAGAUAGAAUCCCUUGCUGCUCAUCUUCAGGGACACACUUCCUAAUAAUCUGAUUUGCACAAUACUUAAAGAGAAAGGGCUCUUCCCAAUAAUAAGAAUGAAUUUUGGCAAAGAAGUGCUUCCUAUCCUGUGCAUUCCACUCACUUGGAAUUUCACUAGUUACUAAAUAAUUAGCAAUAUGAGCAUACCAAGGAGUUUUCACUAGGAACAUGAGUGAUUCUUCAGGAAAAUCAUCAUUAAUAGGCAAGGGAUGGGAAUUAUGUGCUAUAACUAACCUUGAAAGGUGGUCAGCUACCACAUUCUCCACUCCUUUCUUAUCUUUGAUUUGAAGAUCGAAUUCUUGUAACAAAAGAAUCCAUCUAAUCAACCUUGCUUUUGCAUCUUGCUUUGUCAAUAAAUACUUCAAGGCUGAAUGGUCAGUAAAGACAAUGAUGAAAGACCCCACUAAAUAAGCACGAAAUUUGUCCAAAGCAAAUACCACAGCUAACAAUUAUUUCUCUGUAGUUGUGUAGUUCCUUUGAGCUUCAUUUAGUGUUUUACUUGCAUAGUAAAUCACAUAGGGCUUCCCAUCUUCUCUUUGGCCAAGCACAGCUCCUAUAGCAAAGUCACUGGCAUCACACAUCAGUUCAAAAGGUAAUUGCCAGUUAGGGGCUCUCACUAUUGGAGUUGUUGUUAAAAAUUUCUUCAGUUGAUCAAAGCUAUGCUGACACCUUUCAUCCCAUAUAAACUUAGCAUCCUUAGCUAACAGCUCACAAAGAGGUUUUGAAAGACUUGAAAAACCUUUUAUAAACCUCCUAUAGAACCCUGCAUGGCCAAGGAACUGCCUUACUCCUUUUACAGUUGUUGGAGAUGGUAAUUUGACAAUAAGCUCCACCUUUGCUUUAUCAACUUCAAUGCCUUUUUCAGAGAUGAUAUGGCCAAGGACAAUUCCUUGACGUACCAUAAAAUGGCAUUUCUCCCAGUUGAGCACCAGAUUUUUUUCAAUGCAUCUAUGAAGAACUGCUUCCAAAUUAACCAAGCAUUCCUAAAAUGUACCUCCAUAUACGGUGAUGUCAUCCAUGAAAACCUCCAUAAUUCACUCCACCAUAUCACUGAAAAUACUCAACAUACAUCUUUGAAAUGUAGUAGGUGCAUUGCAUAAACCAAAAGGCAUUCUCCUGUAAGCAUAUGUUCCAAAUGGACAUGUAAAAGUGGUCUUUUCCUGAUCUGCCAAAUCAAUUUCAAUUUGAAAAUACCCUGAAUACCCAUCCAAGAAACAAUAAAAUGGAUGUCCAAAGACUCUCUCCAGCACUUGGUCAAUAAAUGGCAAUGGAAAAUGAUCUUUCCUGGUUACAGCAUUCAGCUUUCUAUAAUCAAUACACACCCUCCAACCUGAAGUGAGGCGUGUAGUAACUUCUUUUCCUUUUUCAUUUUGAACCACUGUGAUCCCUGACUUCUUUGGUACCACUUGAGUAGGACUCACCCAAGGGCUAUCAGAUAUAGGGUAAAUGAUUCCUGCUUGAAGUAGCUUCAGCACUUCAGCUCGCACCACCUCUUGUAGAUGAGGAUUCAACCUUCUUUGAAAUUGACGAAUUGGCUUUGCUUCCUCCUCCAUAUAUAUAUGAUGAGUACAAACUAAAGGACUAAUGCCUUUCAAGUCAGAUAUUUGCCAUCCUAUUGCCUUCUUUCACCUCUUGAGAACUUCCAUUAAACAAUUCUCUUGAUGACUGGUCAGAGAUGAAGAUAUCACAACAGGACAUUGAUUAUUUUCUUCAAGAUAUGUAUAUUUCAGCUCCUAAGGUAAAGGCUUCAGAUUGAGUUUUGGAAUUUCUUUUUCAACAGCUGCCUCCUCUUCUUUAUUGAACAAAGGUAGAAUUUCUUCUAUCUUUCUCCAACUUUGUAGAGUAGCAAGCCCAAUAGGAGAUUCAUACAAACCUUCCUCAAAAUUCACAAGACUUUUAUUCAACUUGUCUUGCAUAUUUUGAUUACAGUGUUCCUCCACCAAAGUAUCAAUAAUGCACAGCUCUUUUGGACCCUCUUCUUCUUCCGGAGUGAUUUGCUUUUUAGACAUAUAGAAAUAUUGAGAUCCAGUGUCAUGUUACCAAAAGUGAGUUGCAUAAGCCCAUUCCUGCAGUUGAUGAUUGCAUUUGAAGUAGCAAGAAAUGGCUUUCCAAGGAUGAUAGGAACUAAAUUAGCUUUCUUUACGGUAGGAUCUGUAUCAAGAACAAUAAAAUCUACUGGAUAGUAGAAAUUAUCCACUUGAACCAAUACAUCCUCAAUUACCCCUCUUGGAAUUUUCACUGAUCUAUCUACCAGAGAUAGAGUGAUUGUUGUUGGCUUCAACUCUCCAAGUCCCAAUUGCUUGUAGACGGAAUAUGGAAGCAAAUUCACACUUGCUCCCAAAUCUAGCAAGGCUUUCUCCACUACCUUUCCUCCAAUCAUGACUGAAAUGGUAGGACUUCCAGGGUCUUUGUACUUCAAAGGGGACUUACAUUGUAAGAUUGCACUUACUUGCUCAGUCAAGAAGGCUAUCUUGUUUACAGUCAACCCUCUCUUGAUAGUACACAAGUCCUUUAGGAAUUUUGCAUACGUUGGAACUUGUUUGAUCAUAUCCAGCAGUGGAAUAUUGACUUUUACUUGUCUCAAUACUUCAAGGAUUUCAGCUGCAUUUCUAACCCCCUUUUUCCCAUGUAAUGCUUGAGGAAAAGGUGGAGAGGUUGAUUUCUUCAGCAUUUCUUUCUUCAUAAGUUCCUUCUCUGGAAUUACAUUCAUUGUUGAAUCAGAGUCCUUUUCUUCACUGAUCUCACUGUCUUUAUCUUCCAUUUCCUUCCCUUUCUUUAUCUCUUCUUCUUUCUCAACAUGUGGCUUGCGUGUUGGCUGCUCAAUUUUUUUACCACUCCUUAGAGUGAUCAAGGCUUUGACAUCUUUCAUCUGUGAUGAUUCUCCCUCUUGGCUUUCCAGUUCAUGGACACCUUUGGGAUUUUGGUGAGGUUGAGAAGGAAAUCUUCCCUUUUCUUUCAGUGUAUUCAAAUUUGUAAGCCUUGAAAUUGAAUAUUGGAUGUUAUCAAACUUUUAGUUCAUAUCAUUUUGCAUUCCAUCCAUCCUUUUAUUCAACAUACUCUCCAUUCUAUCCAUUCUUUGAUCGACUCGAGCAUUGGUGGCGUCUUGCUUUCCAAAAAAAUCUCCCACUACCUUAGUGAGAUUGGCUACUGCUUGUUCAAUACUUGAAGAUUGUUGAGAUGGUGGAUCCGGCUGUUGGUACUGAGUUGCUCUGGCCUUCCAUGAGAAAUUUGGAUGAUUCCUCCAACUUGAGUUGUAGGUAUUUCCAUAAGGCGCAUUGUUAUUGGGCCUGAAUUGUCCAACAACAUUUGCUUGAUCUCUAUACAUUUCCUUUUCAGCUGAAAUUGCAGGGCAUUCCUCCACCAAAUGUUCAUAUGAUUGACAAUUGGGACACAACUUCACUUGCACUGGUGCUUCAGCAACAGCUUGCACUUCAUGUAUUCUUUUCAGCUCCAGCUCCUCCAAUCUUCUUGUCAUAGCUGCCAACUUUGCUUUCAUAUCAUCAUCUUCUUUUAAGGUAUACAUCCCAGCCUUUGCAUUGUAAGCAUUCAACUGAGACUUCAUCUUUCCCACUUCUCCUUUAGUUGGUUCAUCCCAUCCCCUUGAAACAUCAGCUACAUAGUUCAAGAAAUCCAUAGCUUCCUCUGGAUUUUUGCUCAUGAAAUCUCCUCCACACAUUGUCUCGAGGAGUUGCUUCAUUGAGGAGGACAUACCAUCAUAAAAAUAGCUCACCAAUAGCCAAGUAUCAAAGCCAUGGUGAGGGCAAGCAUUUAUAGCUUCCAUGUAUCUCUCCCAACACUCAUAGAAUUUCUCAUUCUCUUUAGCUGAGAAGUUUGAAAUUUGCCUUUUCAAGCCAUUUGUUCUAUGAGUAGGAAAAAAUUUCUUGAGGAAUUCAGCUUGUAAAUCAGUCCAAGAACGGAUACUCCUUGGCCUUAAAGAAUUAAGCCAAAUUUUGGCCUUAUCCUUUAAAGUAAAAGGAAAUAACUUAAGCCUCAUCAAAUCAAUUGAAGCUCCUCCCUCUUGAAAUGUAUUACAAACAUCUUCAAAUUCCUUGAUGUGUGCAUACAGAUUCUCACUUUCCAUCCCAUGGAAAGUUGGUAGAAGUGGAACAAGAUACGGUCUGAUCACUAGCUGCUCUGUAGGGGGCACUAUACAUGAUGGUGCACUCAUACGAGGUGGAUGCAUGCAGUCCCUCAUUGAUCUGAAUUCAUUGAGAUUAUCUUGACGACCUUGGUGACUAUGCUGAUCUUCAGGUGUAGCUUCCAUGAUAUUCAAGAUCACUUCGAAUUCUUUUCUCUGAGGUGUAUCACACUUAACAAGCCUUCCUCCACUAUCUCGUAUCCACUUUGGCAUACACAACUAGUAUCUAUCUGCAACUAAAAAUGAAAACAAAAGACAACAAAAGAAACAGGGCUACAACAAUAAAAUUAAACUAGGCUAAAUUUUAAAAGAUAAACUUAGAUUAUGAAUAAAUAAAGAAAGAAUGAGAAUUAGUAAAGUGAAAGAAACUUUACCAACUUGUGAUGAAAAUCACAAGUGCUCAAAAAUGGUAUCAAUAUAAACUUGACAUAUUCCCCGGCAACGGCGUCAUUUGAUUCGUCCCUAGCAGCGGCAGUGGCAAUGGCACCAUUUGAUUCGGGGUUCGAUCCCCGGCAACGGCGCCAUUUGAUUCGUGCCCAAUUGGUAUCUCAGCUGAUUUGUGUCCAGCUGGUGCUCCUUGAUUGAGGGAGUAAUCAACAAAAUUUAUAACCUAUAACACCAUAUACUAGGGUAGCAAAGAAAAAGCUACUAUAGUAUAGUGGCUCUAGGAUCGUCCACUGGGAAAGAUUAACAAGCUCUCAUUGAUACCAAUUCCAAGUGAAUUGGCCUUGUUUCAUUUCAAGGUUAGCUUAAGAAGUAAAACACAAACUUUAAUUGGUAAAGGUUUAGACUUAAACUAACUAACAUAACAGAAGUUUGGAAUAAUUUAGGAAGAANNNNNNNNNNNNNNNNNNNNNNNNNNNNNNNNNNNNNNNNNNNNNNNNNNNNNNNNNNNNNNNNNNNNNNNNNNNNNNNNNNNNNNNNNNNNNNNNNNNNUUGAUUCGGGGUUCGAUCCCCGGCAACGGCGCCAUUUGAUUCGUGCCCAAUUGGUAUCUCAGCUGAUUUGUGUCCAGCUGGUGCUCCUUGAUUGAGGGAGUAAUCAACAAAAUUUAUAACCUAUAACACCAUAUACUAGGGUAGCAAAGAAAAAGCUACUAUAGUAUAGUGGCUCUAGGAUCGUCCACUGGGAAAGAUUAACAAGCUCUCAUUGAUACCAAUUCCAAGUGAAUUGGCCUUGUUUCAUUUCAAGGUUAGCUUAAGAAGUAAAACACAAACUUUAAUUGGUAAAGGUUUAGACUUAAACUAACUAACAUAACAGAAGUUUGGAAUAAUUUAGGAAGAAAAGCAUUCCCUGGAGAGUUAGGUUCACUGGGGUGGUUCCUCAUGCAAAAGACAUAGCUCCGGUCAGAUGAUUCAUUUCCUCGUGUUAGAGAUUCAACAUAUAGUCAAUUCUCUAACCGGUGUUGUACAGAGACUCCUUCAAUUAGAUUUCACUUUAAUUCUCUCACUGAUGCAACUUGCAAUGGUUUAAGCCUCUCACUAAGCCUUAACCAUUCAAGGUGAUCUUUAACCUUGGAUUACCCGUCAAAAGCUCGCAAGAGAUAACUAAUGGAUGUCUCCUUGGAUUCCAAAAGCUUAUCAAGUGUUGGCUAUUCUAGAAAAUCCUACCUUGAAGUCACCUCCCAGAGGCUCGCAAGGGGUAAACUAGUGCAUUUCCAUGGUUGGAAAUCACUUGCCUUACCAAGUGUUGGCCCAGGUGACUCUAAGGUGUUUUAAGUUAACUAAAAACAUAGAAAUCAUUAAAGGAUUUCACUUCCUCUUCAUUAAUAGCUAAAACCACAGAGCUUUGCAUUCUUGCACUUGGAACAUUCCCCGGCAACCUUAGCUCCAAGGAACUAGAGGUUUAAUUACUCAUUCUAUGGGGAAAACUCCCCAGAGAGUUCAUAACUUAGUAAGAAAAUGAAAAUACAAAGUGAGAAGGUAAGGCAGUAGAAAGAAAAUAAACUUUACUUGCUUACCCAAACUUUUACAGAAGGAACUCCUCCCUGAGAACAGGCUCCCGAGAGGUAUAUAUAUGUACAUAAUAUAAAACUAAUUAUUACAUAGAUAUUUAGUCUUUUUACUAACUUAAAAGCUAAGGAAUCAUGUAAUUGGUGAUUUACAAGGAGUAUUUUGGGAUUUAGACAACAAAAAUCUAAUGGAAAAUAUCUCCCAAUGUCAGUAGCAAAUAUCGGGAGGCUUCAGGAACCAUUUCGCAGGAGAAAAAUGGUGUCUACGAGAUUUCGCAGACACUUAAGAGGGCUGCGAAAUAAUUUCGCAAUACCAAGCUAUCUUCACAAGGCUGCGAAGAUGGCUUCCACCUUGAGGUUCCCAGCUUCCUUCUCGCAGCAUAAAUCGGGCAUCGUCAGAAGGAGAAACAUUACACUGUUCAAAAAGGCUGCGAAAUCACUUCGCAACAAAAGGGUGAUUUCGCAACACUUUGCAAAAUGCUUCCUUCAGCUCGGAGUGAUUGGCUUGUAAUGGCUGUAACUUCUUCGUUUCAACUCCGAAUUGCACACCGUUUGAAGCAUUGGAUUUUUGACUUCCUGAGCUUUGAAAUGGUAUAUAGUAUGCAUCAUUUGGACUUCAGAAAGUGCUCCAAAAGUGGCUGCUAUGACUGUCAUCAAGAAUAUGCUUUAUGGCAGAUUCUCUUUGCUUUUUCUCCUUGCAAUCCGGAUUUACUCUUGGAAAAUGACUUCUAAGCUUUGCCCAAGAUUCCUCAUAGCUCUCCUCAGUCUUGACUUGCUUUGGUAAUCAAAAUACUAAUAAAAACACCAAAACUUACACAAAGUGAUCAAAAUUGCUUUCAAGGGUCCUUAACAUGCCAAUUGAGUUAAAAGGCCAAAACUACUACUCAAAAGUGUUUAAAAGGAUUAAUUAUAAGCUAUCAAAUAGCACUUUUUGAGUAGUAAUCACUCUUUACCACUCCUCAAAGUGAUAACUGCUUUAACUUCCCUCACCUUUGAAGAUUCUCCCUCUUGAGUCUCCACUUCAUGGAUACCCUUGGGAUUUUGAUGAGGUUGAGAAGGAAGCUUUCCUUUCUCUUGCACUGUGUUGAGGUUGGUAAGCCUUGAGAUUGCGUAUUGGACAUUGUCUAUCUUUUGAGACAGAUCAUUUUGCAUCCCAUUCAUCCUUUUAUUCAAUGUACUCUCCACACUAUCAAUUCUUUGAUUCAAUUGAGCAUUAAUGGACUUCUGAUCUCCCACAAAGUCUCCCACAACCUUACUAAGGUUCACAAUAGCUUGUUUAAGAUUCGAGGCUUGCUGAGGUGCUUGAGCAAGUUGUGUUUACUGAGGUGGCUUUGGUUUCUAAGAGAAAUUUGGAUGAUUCCUCCAAUUUGAAUUGUAGGUGUUGCCAUAGGAAGCAUUGUUAUUGGGUUUGAAUUGACCAAUAACAUUUGCUUGAUCACCAAACAUCUCUCUCACUGUUGGAAUUGUAGGGCACUCCUCUACCAAGUGCUCAUAACAUUGACAAAUGGAACAAGGCAUAGCUUGCAAUGGUGUCUCAGAAAUGGCUUGAACUUCUUGUAUCUUCUUCAUUUCUAGCUCUUCCAAUCUCCUUGCUUUAGCUACAACCUUUGCCUUCAUGUCAAUGUCUUCCUUCAAAACAUACAUCCCACCCUUAGCAUUAGGUUAAGACUUCAUUCUUCCCACCUCUCUAGCAUUUGGUUCAUCCCAUCCUCUUGAAACUUCAACCACAUAAUUCAAAAAGUCCAUAGCUUCCUCCGGAUUCUUAUUCAUGAAGUCUCCUCCACACAUAGUUUCUAGGAGUUGCUUCAUUGAAGAAGACAUACCAUCGUAAAAAUAGCUCACUAAGAGCCAUGUGUCAAAGCCAUGGUGAGGACAAGCAUUAAUAGCUUCCAUGUAUCUCUCCCAAUACUCAUAGAAUUUCUCAUUCUCUUUAGCUGAGAAGUUUGAAAUUUGUCUUUUCAAACGAUUGGUCCUAUUAGUAGGGAAGAACUUCUUGAGAAACUCGCCUUGCAAAUCAGUCCAAGUAUUGAUACUCCUUGGCCUUAAAGAAUUAAGCCAAAUAUUGGCCUUAUCCUUCAAAGUGAAAGGAAAUAGUUUGAGCCUCAUCAAGUCAAUUGAAGCUCCUCUUUCUUGGAAUGUAUUACAAACCUCCUCGAAUUCCUUAAUAUACGAGUAGGGAUUCUCACUUUCCAUCCCAUGGAAAGUAUAUAGGAGUGGCACAAUGUGAGGUCGGAUUAGUAGCUGCUCAGUGGGAGGCACUAUGCAUGAUGGUGCACUCAUACGAGGUGGAUGCAUGCUGUCCCUCAUGGAUCGAUAUGCAUUGAAAUUAUCCUCUUAACCAUGUUGGCUAUUCUGAUCUUCAGGUGGAACAUCCAUGAUGUUUAAGCACACUUCCAACUCAGUUUCUCGAGGAGUUUCAAUCUUCACAAGUCUUCCCUCAAUAUCUCUUAUCCAAUAGGGCAUGCACAACUAGAGAUCACUGAAACAAAAACAAAGAAAAAAAAAAAGAAAUACAAUGUUGGCAAAAAAUUAAGGUUAACUAAAAACUAAAUAAAAGAUAAGGUAAAAUAUAGACAAAGAAAAAGAAUUAGUAAAAAUAAAAAUCACCAAACUUGUGAUGAAGACCACAAGUAUUCACCAAAAGUCAUGUCAAUGUAUUGUGGCACCAUCUCUGGCAAUGGCGCCAUUUGAUUCGUCCCCAUUGCAGUCAUGCCAUUUGAUUAUGGCUCAGACGGGUGUUAUCAACAAAAUUUAUGAAACCUAAAUCACCUCACACUAGGGUAGCAUAGCUAACAUAGUAUAGUGGCUCUAGGAUCGUCCACAGGGAUGGGUUUUCAUCAUACAAUUUACUUAAAUGAAGGAAAUAAAAUGGUGUUUUUUCUUAUGAAAGUUAGCUUUUAAAGAAAAUUGGAAUUAUGGUUGCAAAGAUUGAUUUUAAGUUAAGAAAAAACAAUAAGUGAAAUUAACUACAAAGAAAAGGGUCUCUUGGAGCUUCAGGUCACUAGGAUCGGGUUUCUUAGGCAAAGAAGGAGAUUCCGGAUCUUCUCCUCGUGUUGGGGAUAAUAACAUAAAAGAUGGUUAUCACCCGAACUGGUUUUAUAUUUAGCAAUUAAGAUUUGAUCCAAAGGUUUCAUGAGAAAUGGUAAUUGUUUCCCAUUAAUGGCUUCAAACACUAAAGACUUUCACCUUAAACCACCUUCCAAUAGCUCGUAAAUGAUAACUAAUAGACAUCCAUGGUUUUAAGAAUAAGCAUCCAUGGAAUCCGAAAAGCUUACCAAGUAUUGGCCAUUCAAGGUGCUUUUAAGGGAUUUAAAACUAAACCUUGAAAUAAAAACCAUUGAUGGUUAACAACUACUGUCAUUUCAAGCAAGGAUAACUCCCACCUUUGCAUUCAGGUCCUUCACCUAACUUUCAUCACUCCAAGAAACGGAAAACCUAACCACUCAUCCCCUGAGAAAUCAUCCUCAGAGGUUGUUUGGCUAGCAAGAAAAGUGAAAACAAAAUGAGAAUGAAAGGCAGAGCAAAAACUCUGUAUAUUUCUUAGUACGGGAAUUUACAAGUGUUUUAUGAAAAGCAUACAUAAUUUUUCAUCCCUCUAUCUCUCUCCUUAUAUAUAAGCUACCUAAAAGAUAUAAAAGAAAAUAUCUAGGUUGGUUACAAGGAGAAACUAGGAAAUUACACAAAAUAUCUGAAGAUAAAAAUCUAAUGGAGUCGGUGCAUAGGAAGAUUUCGCAUACCAUGCGAAAUUUGGCAUGGUGUACGAAAUUUCGCACAGCCAUGCGAAACUGCUUGUUGUUGGAUUUCUUCCUCUGGUUUUCUUCCUCGCAUCUCUAAUUGGCUUGGCAAAGGGCUAUGAAGUGCUCCAAAGCUUGGAUUCUUCAUGUAUUUGAGCUUUAUCUUGCAUUGCCAUGGAUUUCACCAUAUUCUCCCUCAUUCUUGGCUUGUUUCAAUGAUAAAAAAGCUACCAAAAGCACCAAAACUUGCCAAAAAUUGAUUAGUAACCCUUGCUAGGUUCCUUCAUGUGUCAAUUGAGUUAAAAGGUAUUAACUACUACUCAAAAGUGUUUAAAACAGUUAGUUUCAAGCUAUAAAAGAGUUCUUUUUGAAUAGUAAUCACUAGGUAAAAUUAAGCUACAGGUUUCUUAAUGGUAUCAAAUCCAACGUCUAAUUACUAGGAAUAAUGGUUAAAAUAACAAUGAUAGGUGCUUCCAAUUAUGAUAACAACUUGAAGGAGGCAGAUAGAAAACCUAUCCCUCAUUAGAAUUUUGUGACCAAUGGUCAUGGUCACUCUUCUUAGCUAAUUAUUUCUCAGAAAUUAACUUAAUGGAGAAAAUUAUCUUUAAUGGUCUCAAUUUGUCAAACCUUUCAUUCAUGGGCAUGGAAAAAUUGAAUAUUUUAUUAGAGCAACAUCAACACCACAAGGAACAAUUCUCAUCGAGACAUAGGAAGUAGAUAAUGCCAUAUUAUGUCAUGGCUGAUCAACUCAAUGGAACUCAAGAUUAGGAAGACAAACAUGUUCAUGGCCAUAACUAGAGAAAUCUAGGAGGCUACCAAGGAAACCUAUUACAACUUGGUAAUUUGCUUAGGUCCAUAAGAUAGGCAUACAAAUAAAAAAUACUAAGCAAGGUAAUAUGAAUGUAAUUCAGUACUAUAAUACACUUAAAACUCUUUGGUAAGAACUUAAUUUGUUCUAUGAUUAUGAAUAACAUUGUGCAUAAGAUAGUGAAAUGUUCUAAAAGAUGACGAGAAUGAUCGAGUAUUUGCAUUCCUAGUGGGGUUUAAAUAAUAAAUUAGAUGAGGUUUACCUCUUUACUUAAUAUUACCCUAGUUAUAAAAAACCAGUAAGCUUCAUAUUUUGCCCAAUGAUCCAAAAUUCAAAAGAAUUCAUGGAAGGCCUUAGUGUGACCAUCAUUUCCUCUAAAUGCUUCCAGAAUUCAAAAUAUUCAUUGACAAGUGAUUAACCAUCAUCUUUUCGAAAUGCAUCUUUAGAUGUCAAUACCCAAAGGUGUUCAAUUUCAUAAGAUAUUGACCAAGUCUAGAUAUUAAGAAGGUAUAUCAUCCUCUACCAUUAGAAAGAAGAAGAUACAUUAUCCUCACUUGUGAAAGCACAUAUGUCAUCAUCUCAACAAAUCAAACAUGCGUGCAAAUUUUUCUUCUUGGUCUUCUAAUUGUGGUCAAGCAAGUAUUAAUGAAGUACUUAAUUUGAAGCAUCUGUUUAUCAUCUAUAGUGGUUGUAGUUGCUAAUCCAAUAAUUACACUCCUUUGAAAGUGGUACAAAUUAUUCUUCCUUAUUCCUUGUAUCACCACAAGUUUACUUGGCAUAACUUUCAAAAUCCCAGAUUUUAUAGUAACAAUAUUGAACCCUAUGGGUUCUAAUACUCCAAUUGAGAUGAGAAACUUAUUCAUACUAGGAACAUACCAAACAUCACUCAAAAUUUUAGUUGAUUCAUCAUGAGUCUUCAAUUGGAUGGUAUCUAUUAUUGUUAUCUCACAAGCAUUAUCAUUCCCCAUGUAAACAACUACAUCUUGUAGUUCUUCAAAGCAAGAAAACCACUCCUUGUAAGAAUGCAUGUGAAGGUGGACUCAAUAUCCAAAAUCCAUUCAUCUAAGUUAUAAAACAAGGAUAAGCAAACCAAAGCAAAGUUUGACCCAUCUUCUCCAAACUUAGCCACACAAGCAUCGAAUACUAUUUAUUCUUUAUUCUUAUUAUGUAGCUUAGGACAAUCAUUAUUCUGACACUACCAAAACUUAAGUAUGGCUGACCCAUUUAUAUUUACUUUUCGGACAUAUUUAAGUUGACGCAAAUUUCUAACACACCUAUUCCAUCGCAAAUUGAAUUGUCCAUCGCUUAUAUGUAACUAUUUAUCAACAGUAAUUGCAACAACAAAUACCUGUCGACAAAAAUAUCAUUGCAAUGGAUUUAAACCAUUGCAAAUGUUCAACUAAUAUACUUUGUUACAAAAGCAAUUUACCUAUAAAAUAGGAAAAAAAAAGUGAACUUUCAAAAAUAAUUUUUUCUAUGAAAAUUACUACUCACUAAAAUAGUUUUAUUAUAGUGGAUAAUAAUACCACUCAUAAUUUGUUCCAAAAAUAAUUAUAGUCAUAUGAAUAUAAAAUCUUUUCACCAUAGUUGUAUGAUAAAUACGAUCUAGCUAGUGACAAAACAAUUUUAUGAUUAUUUUUUUAGGUUCAUACAAUAUUUACAUUUUUUUUAAUCAUAAUAGUUUUAACAUUGUAAUAUUUUUUAACUACUUUUUAUUGUCCAUUUUAGAAAGAAAUAAAUUAAAAAUUAUUGAUAUAUAUAUAUAUAUAUAUAUAUAUAUAUAUAUAUAUAUAUAUAUAUAUGUAUGUAUGUAUGUAUGAUAUAAUUUAUGAUAUCGAAUAAUAAUAUUGAAAAUUUAAAAAUACAUUUUAUAGAGAUUUAUCUAAUUGAAUGUAUUCAAUAACAUAAAAAAAAUGAUAGUACAUGUAUAAGUAUUUUUAUUUUAAAAUGUUGAUAAUUUUAUUUAUAAAUUUAUAUUUAUUUUAUAUUUAAUUAUUAUACAAAAUACACAAGAAUCAAAAUUAAUUAAUUUAUAAUAAUUUUAUUUUAAUUUAUUUAUAUAUAUAUAUAUAUAUUAACUCAUGCAUGUAUAAUUUAUAUAUAAUAUGUAUUUAUAUAUAGAUAAUAUUUAUAAUAUAAAUGCAUAAGUAUAUAAUAUUUACAUUUAUGAAUCUUAUAUACAUUCUUUAUAUUACACAUAACAAAGUUGACUUGAUGGCACAGUUGCUUCCUUUCAAACUUGAGGUCAAGGGUUCAAUCUCAAGAAACAACAUCCAAGCCAAUAUCCAAAACUAGCAAGGAGAGGAGUGUACAAGAUGCUCCAUGUGAAUGUAAUGAAAUCGAAAUUUCAUGACAACCUAAAAUCUUUUAUUAUUUAUAUUUCUCAACCAACUUAAUUUGUUGGUAAUAGUGAUGGUCUAAAUCCAUUGGAUAGUUUGUUGCUAAAUAUUUUUUAUUGGCAACGGAAAAUUCCCAUCAAUAGACUUUUGCCAACACACCUUUCCUCUCCUACCAUGCGAUGGGAUUAUCGAUUGGUAAAUGUUUAUUUCGACUAUGUAUAUUAGCCAAGAAAAGUCAAAUUUCUUGUAAUGCGAUGACCCUUGUCAUGAAAAAAAACAUAUUCAUCUUUUGCAAGUAUACAUUUAAAUUAAGAAUUGUCUUAUUUUCUAGGUUUUCAACUUUGAGAUUAGUCAUUAACUGUUAAAGCUUCCAAUGAUAUAUCUCUAUGAUCGCUUUGGUCCUUCUUCCUUUAUUUAGAGCUUAGAAAAGUGGAACACACAACAUCGAAAGUAAUCUUAUCCUUACCAGAAAGUAAGGUGAUGGUAAGAUUUUCAUACACAUCAAGAAACAAAUUCAAUAACAAUAAGGCCUUAUUCUCAUCUUCAAUGAUCUCAUCUAAAUUCAACAAAUUUGCUAUGAUUCUAUCAAAUGCAUGCAUAUGAUCAUUCAGAGACAUAUCUAGUUGAUACUAGAAGCAAAAAAGUUUUUUCUUCAAAUAUAGUUGAUUUUCUAGACCUUUUUUCAUAUACUUGUCUUCCAAUGACUUCCAUAAAUGUUUUUGUGGAUAUCUCUUUCAUAAUGGAAUAAUUUUAAGCUUUAACAAGAUAUAUUGGAUGGAACUAUAAAAUUGACUAUUGAUCCCUUACCCAUUUUUUAUCAUUCAUGUUUUCAAGUUUUUCUUCCAAAACAAUAUCCAAAUCCUAUUGACAUAUCUAAUUAAUGCCUCUUACUACCACAUUCCAAAAGUACUAGUCCUAUCAAAUUUCUCUAUUACAAAUUUCGCAUUAGUAACCAUAGUUUUAACUAACGAAGUUUUUACCUUUUCUUUUAACUAGUGCAAUAACAAAUAACCUUGAACUAACCUUGAAACCAACCUUGGAUAGGACUAAUGCUCUUAUACCAUUUUGUUGUGCUUUAACCUAAUCCCACAAGACUUCCAAAAGUACCAAAUAAAAUACAAACUAAACUAGUCCAUAAUAUAAAGAGAAAUAUCAAGAGAAAUAAAAAUAAAGGAGGGUACACAAUAUUUAUGAGGUUUAGUAAGGACAUCUUACCUAUAUCAUUGGACAAUGAUGAUCAAUCCACUAAUCUUCAAAUCAAAAUUACAAAAUCAAGUUGGGAAAGAUUGUCUCACAAAGUGGCUGCAAUUACAAAGAUUGACUGAAGCUACUCUAACAACUUUCCUAAAGUCAUUCUCUCACUACUAUGAUGAAAAGACUUAAGACUCAUUUAUAGAACCUAAAUAAGUCCCCGAUCCUUGACAAAACUAAUUCAUAAUUCCUAUGGGACAAGGACUCAUAACAUAUAACAAAUUAUGAAAUCAUAAUCCUUAUAGGAUAAAGAUCCCUAAAAUAUAUUAAGCUCUUAAUUGAGCUAAAAGGCAAUACCUAAUAUAGAACCCAUAUCAUAUUUUCCAUAACUAUACUAAAUAGAUGGUUGUUAAGCAGAAUUAUCACUUUCAAAAGUUAAAUAAUCAUUUAUUUUUCCUUCCCUUUCCAUUUUUCUUAUCAUCCAAACAACAACAAUAAAAAAUUGAUGCGACUCAUGGUAGCUUAGCUUUAAAGGCGUAUCAACAAAAUUUAUACCUUAAAUACUAUUACUAAAGUAGCCAAGCUACUAUAGCAUAGUGGUUCUAGGAUCGUUCACUGGGAAGGGUUUUCGCGAACACAAGUGAUAUUCAAAUUAGGAAAAUAGGUGAUUUUCUUAUGGAUGUUAGCUUUAAAAGAAGAUGUAAAUGUUUUAGAAAGAUUUAAACUAAUCUAAGCUAACAUUAAAGACUAAAAUGAAAGGGUGUAAAAACAAGUUUCUCAAAGAUAGGAUAGCUAUGCUCUGGCUCUUAUGCAAAUUGGAAAUCUCAGGAUAGGCUCUUCGCUUUGGGGUUGCAACUAUGGUGAUGCUUGCUUCCCGAACCGGUAUGGAUUUAGCAAAUCAAGUUUUAAUCCUUUAAAAUGGCAAAACAGAUGGUAGUGAAUUUCAUCAAUGGUUAUUCACCUUAGACUUCCUUUGAAUGGCUCGUAAGAGAUAACUAAUGGUCUAAAGCCAAAAGCUUACCAAAUAUUGGCAACUCAAAGUCAUUCCAGGUGAUAAACUCACCUUUCAAUGACCAUUGAAAUUGGUUCUUAACGGAUUAAUGCAAAACUUGGAAUUGAAAACCUCACCUUCCAAUAGCUCGUAGGAGAUAACUAAUGGAUAGAAAUCCAAAAGCUUAUCAAGUAUUGGCCGUUGGAAGUUGUCCAAAGGAAAUAAAAACCAAACUUUGCAUUAUUGAACCAUUAAUGAAAAACGACUACCUUACCUUCCAAGUGCGAGAAAUUUCCAUGGGAUUGCAUCCAAGCCAUCACAUAACAUCCAUACUUUGAGAAACUAAAAGUUUUAGCCAAUCAUCCUCUGAGGAAAAGUCCUUAGAGGCUAUUUGGCUACUAAGAAAAUAAAAAUGGGGAAAAACAGGAGAAGAGAGAAAAACAGAGCUUUAUAUAUUUCUAAGUUAAUGUACAGAGAAUCGAUCCCCCCAAUCUCCAAUCUUUUGGAGGCGUUGUGCACCUCUAUAUAUAGCAAAAUAACAAGAUAAAGCCUUAUGUCAGCUGAAUACAAGGUUACAAAAGGAAUUUACACGAGAAAAUAUCAAGGCUAAAAAUAUCUGGGAAGUCGGUGGUGCGUGCAUGGAGAAACAAAGGAUUUCAAAGGCAUUUCGUAAGGUGCCUAAAUCCACCUUGCGAAAUUUCGCAAGGUUCUUUCUUCAUGGUGCGAAAUGGCCAAAUUUCGCACCAUGAAGAAAAUCUCCUUGCGAAAUUUUCGCAAGAUGAAAUUCACCUUGCGAAAUGGUGUUCCCAUGGCUUGAUGCAGUUGUCUUCCGAAGGCCAUAUCUUCCUCAUUUCAGCUCCAAAUCGUACACGGUUUAAAGCGUUGGAUUCUUGACUUCCUGAGAUUUGAAAUGGUAUAUAACAUGUAGAAAAUGAACUUCGGGAAGUGCUCCAAAAGUGCGAAAGGAGAUUGCAGCUGCUGUCCUCUAUUUUCUUCACUCUGUUUUCCUCUUCUCCAUUGUUCUUUCCUUGCAUACUUUGAACGACUUUGGCAAAGGGCUAUGGAGCUCCAAAGCUUGGUUUGUUUGUGCUCGUGUUUCCACUUGAAAUUUAAGCCUGUAAACUUCCAAAAUCCUUGCUUUAACUUGUCUAAGUAGCUCCUCCAUCAUUUGGCAUGCUUGAAUCGAUUCAUAAGCUGAUAAAAACAUGUAAACUUGCCACAAAAUGGUUAAAACCAAUUACUAAGGACCUUAAUGAAUUAAUUGGGUUAAAUGAAUAUGAUUACUACUCAAAGGUGCUUAAAACCAUUAUAAUUAGGUCUACAAAAUAGCACUUUUUGGUAGUAAUAAAAAAUGUAGUGUAACUUUUGUUACUUUGCUACUUGUUCUCUCAAGUUACUUGCCUGCUUGUGAAUGAUCUCUAUAAUCAAAGUAAAUGGAGAAAUAAUGUGGAGUUCCAAGAUAUAGGUAGAAAAGAGUGGAUAAAAACCCUAGUUCUACAAAAUAGUUUGCAAUUUUGUCUUUAGAUCUCUCAUUUUCGUGGUAAUGGCCAUUGAAGAUGUCAUCACUGACAAUAUCACAAAGUGAAGAAGGCAUGACUGAGGGUUGGUAGAGUAGAGAGUUAAGGUAGAAAAUAGCAAAGAUAUGAUUUUGACUUUUUUAGAAUUUGUAAAUAAAAAAUAAAUACAAUCGAAAAAUCACUUUCAGAACAUUAGGUUGAAUUAAGGCACAAGAAAUGGCUACCACAUGUAUGCUAAGUGAAAUAUUAGAGUGUUUUUUUUUUUUUGUCAAGGUUAAGGAUUUGAGUAACUAAAGCCUCAAUAAAGUCUUUGAGGUAUCCACUAAGGAGCACAAGAAGUGCUGCAUGGGGGCGUGGAAGAAGAAUGUAAGUUACGUGUAUUUUGUAUUUAUAUUUAGUUGAUUGUUUGUGGUUGACAAACUAUUCAUGUAAUGACUUGCUCCCAACCAUGUAGAUAUUGUCCACUUUGGACCCAAAGGGGCCCUCACAACUUUAAAAUGCCUCUACAGAGUUAAGAAAAGUCCAUACUUAUAUAGCGCUAAGAACUUUCCCUCCUAUCAGAUGUGGGAUGUCAGAAACACCCUCUUCCCCAUGUAGACACAAUGUCCUCGUUGUGUCCCACGGGAUUGCAGGGCCAAACAAAUGAACACCCUUAUGGGGCUAAACAAAACCCGAACCGAGGUCGAAGAAUGACUUUGAUACCAUUUGUAAUGACCCGUUCCCAACCGUGUAGAUAUUGUCCGCUUUAGACCCAAAGGGGCCCUCACGGCUUUAAAACACAUCUACUGAGUUAAGAGAAGUCCAUACUUAUAUAGCGCUAAGAACUUUCCCCCCUAUCCAAUGUGGGAUGUCACAAACACCCCCAUCCCCCACCCCAUUAUAUAAAUGUAUAUUAUUAUUAUUAUUAUUAUUAUUACUUUCAAAAGACCCUACAACACCAUUACUCCAAGCCACCAACUACACCCAUUAUUUUUUGUUAUAAUAAUUUUUUUUUCUUUUGUUUCUUUCUUCUUGGACGUCCACACGCAUCCUUUAUUUUAUUUUAUUUUUUCUGCUUUUUCUAUGACAUCUCAUAUCGGAUAGGAGGAAGUUCCUGGCAUUGUAUAAGUAUGGACUCCUCGUAACCCUGUAGACGCGUUUUAAAGCCAUGAGGGCUUCUUUGGAUCCAAAACGAACAAUAUCUACACGGUUGGGAGCGGGUCGUUACAAAUGGUAUCAAAGCCAAUCCCCAACCUCGGUGUGGGGUUUGUUUGGCCCCGUAAGGGUGUUUGUUUGUUUGAACCCACAAUCCCGUGAGACACAACGAGGACGUUGUGUCUGCAUGAGGGUUGUUUGUGACAUCCCACAUCAAAUAGGGGGGAAAGUUCUUGGUGCUAUAUAAGUAUGGACUCCUUGUAACACUGUAGACGCAUUUUAAAACUAUGAGGGCCCUUUUGGGUCCAUAGAGGACAAUAUCUACACGGUUGGGAGUGGAUCAUUACAAAUGGUAUCAAAGCCGAUCCCUAAUCAUGGUGUGAGGUUUGUUUGGCCCCGUAAGGGUGUUUGUCUGUUUGACCCCACAAUCCCGUGGGACACAACGAGGUCGUUGUGUCUGCAUGGGGGUGGGGUGUUUGUAACAUCCCACAUCGGAUAUGGGGAAAAUUUCUUGGUGCUAUAUAAGUAUGGACUUCUCAUAACCUUGUAGAUGCAUUUUAAAGCUGUGAGGGCCCCUUUGGGUCUAAAGCAGACAAUAUUUACAUGGUUGGGAGCGGGUCGUUACAAUUCAUGGAUUUUACACCCCAAAAGGUUUUAAGUGGUUUUUUCAUGUUACAUUUUGUGUCAUAUGUUUGAUUGAUUAUUCCUAUUCAAAGAAUUGAUGAAAACUUAAUUAUAAUUGAUAUAGCUAGGUGUUUAGGAAUGUUUCUGUUUAAAGUGCUUUUAAUUUAAUUGUUUUUUUUAGAAGCAUUUUUUUAAAGAAUCACCUCUCAAGAGCUUCUCCAAAAAGCAUUACAAGUGAUUUUUAACUUUUUAAAGAAUGUUUUCUAAGUUUUUCCAAGUGUAUAGUUUUUCUCUAAAAGCAUUUUUUUUUUAAUACCAAAAGCAUUUUCUAAAAGUACUACUAAAUGGACUCUUAACUUUUGAGGAUAUUUCACUUAGACAACCCAUUCACCCCGCUCACUAUAUAGUUUUAUGUCUCAAGAUAAAAGUUCUCUCCUUUAUUUUAACAUAAUCUUUGUUUGAAGAAUUGUUCUAAUUUUUACUUGACUUUUGUUUUUAAUAUGUCUUCCUAAGCUUUUAAUGAUCCCAUAAAUUGGUCAAUGGCUAUAGAAUCCAAAUAUUUAGGCUUUUCAAUAACAAAAAAAUAAAAGAUGAAAACUUUUUUUUUUAAGUUACACAAAUAUCAUUAAACUUUCACCAUUUAUUUUUACUUAAUUUACAUAUGUCAAUAUUUUUGAAAAAUAAUCAAAGAUUAUCUUAUAUUUAAACUUUAAAAUUCACUUUUAAAAGUAUGAAAUUGAACUUUUAAAAAAAACACUUAUCAACACUUUUAUAUUUUUUUGUAAUAUUUUUCAUGUUUCCUUUGACAUGGUUGCACUUAAAAUCAUUUCAAAGGUGUCUACAUCUAUUUCUUAAUAAAUGAGGUUAAAAGCCUUCUUGUCUUUCUUUCUUAUAUCUUCGAAAAUUCUAUUUAAUUUUGGGAUAGAUUGGUUUUAUCCUAUAGCUCCUUGUAGUUUUUCUCUACAAUCUCUUAUAUAUCUUGCAACCAAAUAAAACCUUUGUCUUGACAUUCAAAUCGUCAAAAUUGUUAAAACUGUCUUUAUUGAGUUAAGCAACCUAAUUGAAUUACACGUCUUUUGAAAAAUAAAAUAAAAUAAGAAUCCUAUUAUACGCCUAAAUUUCGUGAAAGUCUUGCAACAUAUAAGGGGUAGGCCUUGAAGUUACAGUGACAAUUUAUUCCACUCAAAAUUUUGAUCUCUACAUUGAUAUCAUGUUUUUUUUUUUUUUUGGGGAGGGGGGGGGGGGGAGUAAUAGGGAUAAAUACACAAAUAAUAGUACUAUUAAAAGAGAUAAAUAGAGGAGGAAAUUAAAAGAAAUUUAUUGUGUUUUUAAUACUUUAAUUGAAGUAUUAUAUACACAACUCUAACUACAAUAUGUUUUAAUUCACUUUUAAAAACUAAAUCAAAUGUAAUUUUUGAAAAUUUCUUGAAACUCAAAUUUAGAUUUCAACGUGUGAUUGAAUGAUAGGGAUGAUAAAAAAUAGGUAAAUAAAACAUAUGUAAUAUUAUUGUAUAGUAUUAAUUGCUUCCAUACCAUUAGCAUAUCAAUGGCAUAUUGCCAUAUUCACAUGAACUGACUUUUUGUUUGGAGUAGUGUUUUAGUAGAGUAUUCGUAGUACACCUAGAUAUAGCCUAUGGGUUGCAUUAAUUAAUGGUUUUGGCCCAACUUAACAAAAUUCUAUGCUAUCAUAAAGUAGCUGAAUGCCCAUGAUUGCGCAAUGCCAUCAUAAAGGAACUGAAUGCCCAACACACAUACAUGUGAGGUACCAUAUUUUUUAAGAAAGACAAGUCGGUUUGCAAUUGAUGUUAAUAUCUUUCCAAGGCAGAAACAUCAUUUUGUAGGUAUAAUUGAAUUAGUUAAACUUAAACCCCAAUUGACAUUCUUUCAAGUAAAAUCAUUUUUAAUCUAUAAUACUCAACACUUUUAUGAGAACAAUAAAAGUAUCAGAAUCAUAGAGAAUUAUUGAAAGUGAUUUUGUAGUGUUGUUGAUAAUAUGUACCAUGACUAUAAAAAUGCUUUUAAUAUUAGUAAAUUAUCAAAAAGGACAUCAAAUUUAAUUACAAGGAAAUAUUAUAAUAAACUAAUACUUUUUCAUGAUAAAAGAAUAUAUAAACAUUUAUAGUAAAAUAAUAUAUAAACAUCUAUAUUACUAACGAAAACUAAAAAAUAAUAGUUGUUGUGAUUACAAGAAAAUUUUAGAAAAUAUUUGCAACAUGAUUUGGAUUAAUAAACAAACAUCAAUCAUAAUAUAAUAAUUUUUAAAACAAAAAAAAAAUCAUUUGAUUAUUUAUUCACUUAAAAAUAAUGAUUUUUUAUUACUACAAAAUUUUGAAAAAUACUUACAAAAAAUCUAGAUUAAUAAUGAAAAAUUGAAUAAAAACAUAUUAGUUUAGUUUCUAAAAAAAAUUAGUAAUUAAAAGCAAAUGAGAAGACAAAUUUUCUCAUAGUAAAAAAAGGAGAAAAUUAUUUAUUUUUUUCAUAUUAGUGUUAAAAUAAAACAUCAACAAGAUAUAUAACGACUAGCAAUUCGAUCACAUUCUUCAUACAUCUCUCUUGCAUGAUAGAACUGUCUUUCUCAACUCAUGAAUCCACUCUACUCUGUUUUUUAUUAAAGCAGAUGUAACCCUUGAUUAUCAUUAUAAGGUUUAAAUUUCAUAUCUAUCCUAGCAUUAAUCAUUAUUAAGUUGUAAAAACCAUCAAAGUAAUAACAAUGUUGACUUAUUUUUCAAGAGGAAAACUAUGCAUUUCUCAUAUUGUUCCACAUCUAUUCUUCAAAAAGGCAAAUGUUCAAUUGUUCUCCUCAAAGAUGUCUAUGGUUAAAUAUUUCCUUCUUACCUCUUGGUAAACUACUCCAUUGAAAUCUAGAAGAUGGUAACACUCGCCCUUUAAGGGCCUAAUUAUAUAUCCACUCAUGUAAGGAUAACCAACAUUGAGUAAAUAAUAUUUACCUACAAAACGAAAAAAAAAAAUUAUGUAAGAUUAUGAAAAUCUAAUCACAAAAGUAACUUUCAUAUUUUUAGUCACAAAUCUCUAGAAGGAUGAGGAAAACCCAAUGCUAGCAUUUUUUUAAUGCCUAUGAAAAGACUCAUGCAUCAUGAGCAAAACCUUCCCAUCUAGCCAAUGCGAAUGUGAAAUACAUAUUGAAAUAAUAUAUGACCAUAAUAUUUUAGGUAGUUAUGCUUUUUGUAUCAAUAUAUGAUAUUUGCCUAUAUCUAAAAACCAUAAUGGGCAUAUGAGUUCCAUCAAUUACCCCUAUACAAUUCUUAAAAUAUGGUCAAUAACGUCCAACAUUUCUUAUUUUAUCAAGGAUCUCCCUAAACUAUGAAUCACUUGGUUUUAUAAUAUCCAUAGCUAUAAGACAAACAACAUCUAAUAUAAUCUCAAACCAUCUAGAAAUAAAUUCAUUGGAGUGCUAAAAUCAUUCUUAGGUCGUCAUGUUGCCAAGUCUAUGACCCAUUGUAGUGAGAAACAUUGCUAAAGCCUCUAUUAAGGGCAUAUUUAAACCUUCUCUUAGACCAUGCCUUUUAAUAAGAGUUUCUAAUAAUUAAUGCAUACAUGUUUUUCCAUUCUAAAUUGCUCAACUCUAAUUUUGAAAAAGUACUACAAGGUUUUUAUUUUUUGUAGUUAGUAAGUGUUAUAGGUACAACACAUCCAACCAACACCAAUUGAUAAAAAUCAUUUCACCAUUGCUUUCAUCUUUAAUAUUGUGAUUGCAACUAUUAUUAUAACUAGAAAACAUAUAUACAAAAAAUAAAAAUAAGAAAUACAUUAAAAAAAACUAAUAAUGUAUAUUUUAUGUUAAUAUAGCUUAAACUAGUUCAUGUUUACUAAAAUAAAAGGAUUUUUUAUUUAAAAAUUUAUUUGAACAUGCAAAUUCAAGAGUAGUAGUAGUAUGCAAAAUAAUAGCACUGAAAAGUAGUAAGAGUAGAAAUACAUGUAAUCAUAUAAUUCUAUUUUUCCAUAAUAAUAAUAAUAAUAAUAAUAAUAAUCUAGCUCAUGUGGGUCACCCUAGAAUAGGACUCCUCCCAUAACACCCCUAUUUUCAAUCCAUUUCUAUUCUUAAUAGUUUGACUAAGCAAAAUUUUAAAUUCAAAAGUGUUGUGUUGAGAAAUCAAAUACAUUACAAAGCUCAUCUAAUUAGGAACUUGACUGAGACAAAAUUUUAUAUUCAAAAGUGUUGUGUUGUGAAAUCAAAUACAUUAUAAAGCUCAUCUAAUACUUACAACUUUUAGAGAAAGAAACAAUUAAAUAUACCAUGUGAUAGACAUAUAUGUAUUCCUCACUCAAAAAGUUUACUCAAUACCAACAUACAAAUCUAAUUUAAAACAAUAUUAGGUAGCAAAUUAUGUUUCAACAAUAGAAUAAGAAAUAACUCAAAUAGUGAAACAUAUUUCUGCUUAUUUCAUGCAAUUUGAUCAAUUGAGUUUUCUAAUGCUAGAAACAUCUCCUUAUUUCCCUUGACAACUUGAAUAACUAUGACUUUCAUGUACAACUUAAGGUCAUUCUUCACUUCAAGCAUGCCACAUAUAACUUUUAUUACUUUAGCAAUGCUAUAACCAAGCUUAUCUACUCUAGAUGUAACUUUAAAAAUGGCCUCUAACUGCAUAGUAAAAACACAAGAUUUGGUUCCAUCUCUUAUCUUCUUUCUUCUUCUCUCAUUUUGCUGUGAAAUUUAUUUCCUUGGGGUUCUCCUACAAAAGUAUUCAAUUUAUUAUAUUUCACGACCAAAAUAUAAAUUAAGUAAAUAAACUUAGUAAAUAAAUUAAAAUGUAUCUUCAAUUUAUUAUUCCCCCCAUUCAUUUUUAGCAUUAGUGGUUUGCCUCAUAGGAUCCCACCCAAGGCCAAUCUUUUUUUGAAUCAAGGCAUUCCAAAUUUGUCAAUCUUUUUUAAUAGAACUUAAUAUAUUCUUAGGUUUCUUAUAUUGGUAGGUUCUUCUAGGUAGAUUGUUGAAUACCUUUAUCACUUUUUUUCCAUCCAAUUUACUAAAGUGACUAUUUGGUCUAUUUUUAGCCAAAAUCUUAGCAACACAAACUGUGAGAUAUGCAUUAACAACAAUAUCAUUCAAUAUACUUUGCUUUAUUGAUCAUUUUCUUUACCACUUGUUUGUUGUAGUGGUUGAACUAUAUUGCUAGACAUCUAAUAACAAAGUAAAGAACAAAGAAGUAUUAAAAGCAAAUGUUGUCAAUGUACUUUUAUAUUUUAUAGUUUAGACAUCUAAUGAGACCCAUAAAAAAGUGAACCUUAAAGAAAUGGGUCAACUAGAGGAAAAUGAAUCUCGGAAUACUGAAUAGGAAAGACUCACAUUGAUGGAAUAAAUUAAUAUACUAUAUUGUAAUUUUAUUAAUUCUUUUCAUUAGGUUGCUAAAAGUUGAAAAAGAAUUUCUCAUGAAACGGAUUAAAUAAUUUCCUAAUGAAAGAAUCCAAUCAUGGCCUCUUUAUGAAGUACUGAAUUAACUCGAUGAACUUAAAUAUCAUCUAAUAAAUUCUUUCAUGGUUUGUUUUUAUAACUUUAAUGUUACCAAUAUAGAAAGAAAUGAAACAUGUUUUAAAUAAUCUAAGAAACUAUGGUAGAAAAGUGGAAAGAUUUAAGGAUAAGAGGCUUUAUAUGAACUUUAAUAUUGUUAGUAACAGAGAGGCAAAUGAGAUAUCUCAAUAUUAAAUUAUGCAUAAUUAGUAUAAUUUUUUUAAAAUAAAUGAAAGAGAAUUUAGGAGCAAAAUAAGUAAUUAGAGUAUGAGAUAACAUGAAUGGUUAAAAUUGUCAAUCAUUUAAUUUAAGAUAAUUGUUAAUAUUUCACUACAUUUUCAACUCCAUGAAUUAAAGCAAAUGGAGGAAAUGAGUUGGAUUUCUUAAUAGUAUUAAGUUUUGGAUUGACACAAAAGUAGGGUGCUAGUGGACACUUGAAAUGAGGACCAAGUAACAAUUUCAGAUAGCAUUUUACUCAUCCAACAUAGUUAAAAUUUGCAAAACCCACUUCUGAUUUCGUACUUUUAUUGAAUAUAUGGGUAUAGUUUAACUUCAAAUCUAAUAUGAGUGUACUUUGAAUUUCCUAAAGCUUACAUAUUUAUUCACAUAUUAAAUCAAAGAGAAAAUAUUAACGUUUUUUACAAUUACAAUUUAUCAGGACUCAAGGUUUAAUUCCUAAACUUUUAAAGUGGGAAAAAAAGGUGUAAGGGAGAAAAAAGGAAAAGGAAAAUAAAGGAAAAAAAGAAAAAAGAAAAAAGAAAAAACUAUUAAAAGGCAUUACAAGCCUAAGAUGGGCAUAUCCAUGAUUGAGGUGCAAAUGGGGGUGACAAUUCAUGUUAGUGGAUAGUGUUUGUGUUGUGUCAAAGCCUAGGUAUUCUACUACAUAGCUCAACCCAACCCCAACACUACUAAUAAUCAUAUAAAAAAUAUAAACCUAAAUACUAUCUAAUUAUUAAACAAGUAACACAUUGUACAACCCGCUUAAUCUAUUUAAUAUUCAGGUUCUGCUAUUUAAUAAUCAGAUUAAGUUAGGUCUUCCAUAUGUCUAUAUGAUUAAUAUCUCAAGAAAAGAUGUUUUUGGCUCAAUUGACCUAUCUAUUUAGAAAUAAAUUUAAAAUGAGUCAAAUAUGGGUCAAACGUCUUAAAAAUAUAAUUAAGUUAAUAGCGAGAUUAUUAAAUAGGUUAAUUCGAGUCAAAUUUGUGUUAUGCAAGUUGACCAAAAAAGUACUUAUUUAUUAAAUGAGUUAUGUAAGUCGACACAAAUUUUUUCUAAUCUCAUUUAUACUUGACCCAAACCCAUGAAAAGCAUGUUAGGUUUGUGUCAUGCCGAGAAGUAUCAAACUUUGUCAUCCCUAGGUGCAAACAACUCUAAGACCCUAUUUUUAAGGAGAAUAUAUAUACUUGAGAUUGCUACAUUAUUUAGACUAAUCCACACCUACUUAUUAAGGGGGAAAAAUAAAAGAGGAGAAAGAUAGGGCACAGGAUGAUGGGACAAGGCACAAAAUGACAAGACGUAGGAUGGUAGGACGUAGGAUGAUAAGAAUCCACUUCAAUUAAUAUUUCCAUAAAUCAAGAGUAAUCAAAUAUUAAAAUAUUUUAUUCUCCUAAUUUAGGAUAUAAUAUUUAUUCUAAAUAAAUAAAGAGCAAUCAAAUAUUAAUAAUAUUUGAUUCUCUUAAUUUAAGAAAUAAUAUUUAUUUUCCUUAAUUUUAGGAUGUUUAUUAUUUAUUUCUUCUAUAAUUCACAAUGCAUUCUUGUAUAAAUUUAUGAAAAGAAAUAAUAAAAAUUCAUCGCUUCUAUUUUCAAAUUAUCAAAUUCUUCUUGGUAUUAGAGUUAGAGGAGGAGACUCAAACUUGGGUUUUCUCCAAAGGUGGUUGAAUACCCUAAAAGACUUGACCUAUCCACACAAACAAUGUCUUCCUCUUCAUUCAUUCAUUCAAAAAUAAAAUAAAAUAAAAUAAAAUCCUUAGUGCUCUAGCUUUCCAUCAACAUUUUUUCUAAUUUGAUUUCAAUCAAGCUAAACACAACAAAUUUUCUACUAUGGGAAAAUCAAAUCAUCCUCUUAGUUUGUGGCUUCGGUGUUCGAACCUUUCAUCAGUGUUUUACCCUUUCAUUCGUGUUAUUUCUAGUUUGAUUUCAAUCAAGUUAAACACCAUAAAUUUUCUACUGUGGCAAAAUCAAAUCAUCCUCUUAGUUCAUGGUGUGUUCUCCAACAUCUCUUAGGUGGAGAAAGACCCGCUAAAGAAUUAAAGAUGACGAGGAAAGAAAAAGUUUUAUCCUACAAUACUAGUAAUCAAUUAAUAAUAACAUAUUUGUCACUUCAUGAGUUCUCAAAACCAUGACAAAAGACAUUUUCAUUAUGAUCCUUGGGGCUAACAAGAUAUAUAAGGUAUAAACUUCUCUUAAGGAGUAAUUGCUUCCUAUUAUAGUUGAAAAAAAAAAUGAUCUCUUCAAGAAUAUUUAAGAGAUUUCAAAAAUAUAUAUGAUAAUCUCAUGACAAUCAAAAGCUAAUUUUAGACCAAGACAAAGUUUGUUGAUUCACUCAUGGUUUAGGAUAAUGGAAUGAUUUUUUUUUUUUUUUAACCUACUAUGCUUUUCUAACCAAUUCAUGGCAACUCUUUAGGGACAUAAGCAAUUACUCACCACCAAAAGGAUGGAAAGAAAAUUUUUAUAGAGUAUGCACAAGUUUUUAUUUGGACAACAUAGUUAUGGUCAUAAUGGUUGAAAAGGCAUAAAUUUUAAUUUGAGGGGAAGAAUCUUUACACUUUCUAUGUGUUACAAUUCUUUUAAAAAAAUAUACUUUUAUGAUUUUAUCAAGCCCUUGUCAAAGGAUAUCUUCAUCAUGUUUUGAGAUAAGUUGGGUGUGCAUAUUCUUUCCCACUCCAAUUUGAGCUUGCAUAUUAAGGGAAAGAAUAAAAUAAGACAAAAAGCACAUAGGAUGGCAACACGUAGGAUGAUAAAAAUCCACUUCAAUUAAUAUUUCCAUAAAUCAAGAGUAAUGAAAUAUUAAAAUAUUUCAUUCUCCUAAUUUAGGAUAUAAUAUUUAUUUUAAAUAAAUAAUGAACAAUCAAAUAUUAACAAUAUUUUAUUCUCUUAAUUUAGGAAAUAAUAUUUAUUUUCCUUAAUUUUAGGAUACUUGUUAUUUCUUUCUUUGUAUAAUUCACAAUGCAUUCUUGUAUAAAUUUUCUAAAAGAAACAAUAAAAUUCAUCAUUUUCAUUGCCAAAUUAUCAAAUCCUUUACUAAUGGCCUUAUGAUUAAAAUUGUUGUGAACUGAGGAAGCUUAAGAAUCUGUUAAGAAGGUUGCUGAGGUGUGAAGAGAGGCUGAAAUUGAGGCUGCAACCAUAAAACAACUUAGUCAAUGAAGCUAAUAGAGUUUCAUGGAGCUAUUACGUUGUUGUUGCUAUUUUAUAGGAAAUAGUUGUUAGUUCUAACUAUUUUUGCUGUUUUUCUAUUGUUUUCUAUUGCAAACUUGUGUAUAAAUGUUGCAUUGAUCAUUCAAUAAGAGUAGACAUUUUCGUUGUCUCAAAUACAACUUUUGGUAGUUGCUUCCAACACUUCUAGAUUCUAAAACCUACAGAUUGGUAUCCGAGCCUUCUAUCAUGAGAGACCUGUGAGGAUUGAGUGAAGCUAAAAUACCUUCACACAUACUGAACUCCAAAGCCAACAUAAACACACAACCUUUAACAGCUUGUAACUAUCAUUCCGCAGUAAAUGGAUGGAGAUACAAGCUUUCUGUCAGUACUAGUUUUCAAUGGUGAUAAUUAUCAGGCGUGGGCUAUUAGAAUGACAGUCCACCUUGAAGCUUUGGAUCUUUGGGAGGUAGUAGAAGAAGGUUAUGAAGUACCACCACUUGGAGACAAUCCAAGUAUCAAUCAAAUGAAGAUUCACAGGGAAAGAAAAACAAGGAAAGCCAAAGCCAAGGCUUGCCUCUUCUCUGCAGUUUCACUUUCCAUUCUCACCAGAAUCAUGCAAAUGGAGUCUGUUGUAGCAAUCUGGGAGUAUCUAAAAAAAUGAGUAUCAAGGGAAUGAAAGGGUGUAGAAUAUGCAAGUAAUGAAUUUAAUAUGAGAAUUUGGAAUGAGCAGAAUGAAAGAGUCUUAAACUAUCAAAUAUUAUGCUAAACAACUACUUAGCAUAGCAAACAAGGUAAGAUUGUAUGGUAAGGAAUUUUCUAAUGAAAGAAUUGUUCAGAAAAUCUUAGGAACUCUGCCUAAAAAAUAUCAAGCCACAAUCUCUUCCUUGGAAAACUCUAAAGAUUUGUCAAGUAUAUCUUUGGCAGAAAUUGUUAAUGCUUUGCAGGCCUUGGAACAAAGGAGAAUGAUGAGACAAAAAUGAUAUGUUGGGAACAUUCCAAGCCAAAUCACAAAACAAUGAUUCCAGCAAAGAAAGAAAGAAAAACAAGAAGAACAACAAGUCAAGCCUUAACAAAAAGAAUCAGAAAGGAGCCCAUCCACCUUGCCCUCAUUGCAAAAAAACGAAUCAUCCUCCACAAAAGUGCUGGUGGAGGCCAGAUGUCAAGAGCAACAAUUAUGGUCAAUUAGGCCAUAUGGAGAAGAUAUGCAAAACAAAAUAAGAAGGAGAGAUCAAGACUGCAACUACUGAUCAAUAUCAUGAAGAACAGUUGUUUGUUGCCACUUGUUUUGCUAGAAAAAACACAUCUGAAAGUUGGCUCAUAGAUAGUGGUUGCACAAACCACUUGACUUACGAGCAAGGACUUUUCAGGGAACUCAACAAAAUAAUCAUUUCCGAAGUAAGAAUUGGAAAUAGGGAAUACAUCUCAGCAAGGGGCAAAAGGACUGUUGCCAUUGAAAGUCUCUCAAGUUUGAAACUUAUCCCUGAUGCUUUGUUUGUUCCUAAUAUUGAUCAAAAUCUCUUAAGUGUUGGGCAACUACUUGAGAAAGGUUUCAAGGUGCUAUUUGAGGACAAGUUCUAUAUGAUCAAGGAUGCAAAUGGAAAAAAUGUGUUCAAGAUCAAGAUGAGAGGUAAAAGCUUUGCCUUGAAUUUUCUUGAGAAAUAGCAGGCUGUUGUUUCUCAAGAAAAUAAUAUCACAACUUUAUGGCACAAGAGAUUGGGGCACUUUCAUCAUAAUGGAGUGCUCUACAUGAAGAAGAAUCAACUUGCAGUAGGUCUACCUAACCUGAACCAAAAUCUUCCUACUUGCAUAGCCUAUCAGUAUGGAAAAUAAUCCAGACUUCCUUUCCCACAGAAAUCUACAUGGAGAUCAUCACACAAGCUGCAACUUGUACACAUUGAUGUUGGAGGACCUCAGAGAACACCAUCUUUAAAGGACAGUAAGUACUAUAUUGCCUUUAUAGAUGAUUAUACCAGAUAUUGUUGGAUUUUUUCCUAAAUUUUAAAUCUGAGGUUGUUGAUGUAUUUUGGAAGUAUAAGACCCUAGUAGAAAACCAAAGUGGUGCCAUCAUGAAGGUUAUAAGGACAGAUAAUGGCACUAAAUAUACUUCUGAAAGAUUCAACAAUUUCUAUUAAGAAGCAAGCAUAGAGCACCAACUGACUGCACCUUACAUACCACAACAGAAUGGAGUGGAAGAGAUGAAGAAUAGGACUAUAAUGGAGAUGACAAGAUGCCUUUUGCAUGAGAAAGGGCUACAAAAAAAGUUCUAGGUUGAAGUUGCAAACACUGCAGUGUUUCUACUAAAUAGACUCCCAACCAAAGCUUUGCAAAAAAAGACUCCUUUUGAGGCUUGGUUUGGAUAUAAACCUCUGUUAUUAAAAUUAAAAACAUUUGGUUGCCUUUGUUUUAGUUAUGUGCCUUAGGUGAAACAAGACAAGUUGGAUAAAAAGGUACUCAUGCUGACAAAUUCAUUGUUAGCAUAGAUGUCAAAUUCAUGGAGGAUGAUAAAUGGAGUUGGGAUGCUACAAAAAAUCAGAAUUUUGAGUUCCUUGAUGAAAAUAUUGAUGACAUUCCUGUAAGAAGCACCAAAUCACUUUUUGAUAUUUAUCAAAUGUGUAAUAUGGUUGUGUUUAAGCCUGCAGAGUUUAAUGAAGUUGUUGAGGAUAAAAAAAAGAAGGGUUGUAAUGCGGGAGGAGCUCAACAUGAUAGAGAAAAACAACACUUGGGAGUUAGUUGACAAACCAAUACAUAAAAAGGCCAUUGGUGUCAAGUGGGUUUAUAGAACCAAACUCAAUUAUGAUGGUUCUAUAAACAAACAUAAAGCCAGGCUGGUUGUCAAAGGUUAUGCUCAAAUGUUCGGUGUGGAUUUUUCAGAAACCUUUGCACCUGUAGCUAGGUUGGAUACAAUAAGGAUGCUGCUAGCUUUGGCUGCUCAAAAAGGUUGGAAAAUCUAUCAGCUAGAUGUAAAAUUAGCUUUUCUAAAUGGCUACCUUGAGGAGGAAAUCUUUGUGGAGCAACCUAAAGGAUUUGCAGUAAAAGGCAAAGAAGACAAGGUUCUUCAACUAAAGAAAGCCUUGUAUGGCUUGAAGCAAGCCCUUAGAGCUUGGUACAAUAGGAUUAAUGCACAUCUACUUGGUUUGGGGUUUAAAAAAAGUCAGAGUGAAUCCACACUUUAUAUUAGAAAAAUUAAUGUUGACAUACUUAUUAUUUCAUUAUACGUUGAUGAUUUGCUUGUAAUAGGAAGCAAUCAAUGUUUAAUGGAUAAAUUCAAAGCUGAAAUGGAGAAGGUCUUUGAGAUGACAGAUCUUGGAGACAUGUCUUAUUUCCUGAGAAUGGAAGUGCAUCAGAAUCAGCAUGAGAUAUUCAUCUGUCAGCAGAAGUAUGCAAAGGAAAUUCUAAAAAAGUUCAAGAUGGAGAAAUGCAAGCCCAUAGCCACACCUAUGAAUCAAAAAGAAAAGUUUUGCAAAGAAAAUGGUGUUGAAAAAGUAAAUGAAGAGUUAUAUAGAAGCAUGAUUGGAUGCUUGAUGUAUUUGACUACAACAAGGCCAGAUAUAGUACAUGUUGUAAGUUUACUCUCAAGAUACAUGCAUUGUGCUAGUGAAAUUCACUUGUAGGCAGCAAAAUGUAUUGUGAGAUAUAUAAAAAGCACUAUUGACUUUGGCAUCAAGUUCAAGUAGGUACAGAAUUUUCAUUUUCAUGGAUUUUCUGAUAGUGAUUGGACUGGCUGCGUUGAUGAUAUGAGAAGCACAUCAGGUUCUUGCUUUAGUUUUGGUUCAAGUUUUUUCUCUUGGUGCUCUAAAAAAGAGGAUAUCGUGGCACAAUCCACAGUUGAAGCAAAGUACAUUGUUGCUGCUGCUGCUGCAAAUCAUGCACUUUAGAUAAGAAAGCUGCUAACAGACUUAAACAUGGAGCAAACUGGGAGCACACAAGUCAUUGAUGACAAUCAAGCUGCAAUUUUAAUUGCAAGUAAUCCAGUAUUCCAUGGUAGGACAAAGCACUUCAAAAUCAAGUUUUAUUUCUUAAGGGAAAUACAACAUGAUGGAGAAGUAACUUUGGUACAUUAUAAAACAGAAGUACAAAAUGUUGAUAUUCUAACAAAAGCUCUACCAAGAACUAGGUUUGAAUUUCUCAGAAAAAGACUUAGAGUUUGUAGCUCCCAAGUCAAGGAGGAGUGUUGAGAAAAAUGCCUUAGUAGCUACAAUCAUGCUGGAAGACGUGUGAAAGUUGCUGUGAACUGAGGAAGCUUAAGAAUCUGUUAAGAAGGUUGCUUAGGUGUGAAGAGAUGUUGAAAUUGAGGUUGCAACCAUAAAACAACUUAGUCAACGAAGCUGAUAGAGUUUCAUGAAGCUAUUAUGCUGUUGUUGUUAUUUUAUAGGAAAUAGUUGUUAGUUCCAACUAUUUUUGUUGUUUUUCUAUUGUUUUUUGUUGCAAACUUUUGUAUAAAUGUUGCAUUGAUCAUUCAAUAAGAGUAGACAUUUUUGUUGUCUCAAAUACAACUUUUGGUUGUUGCUUCCAGCACUUCUAGAUUCUAAAACCUAUAGAUUCUAUGAAUUUUAAUGAUAUUCCAUCAUUUCUAGGCCUCUCAAACCUUCAAAUUAGUAGGGUUACAAAACAUAAUUUCUCAAACAACAUUCUUUCCAUAGUCAUAUCUCUAGCAUUGCUAUAACCCAGGAUCAUCAAGGACCAAGACAAAACAUUCUUGUUUGCCAUCUUCUCAAACAACUCAAAUGUUGUAUUUAUCUUUCCUACCUUAACAUACCCAUCAAAUAUUAUAUUCCAACUAAUAACAUCUCUAUUUGGCAUUUCAUCAAAAGCCUUCCUCACAUUUUCUUGAUCCACAUGGGCAUAAAUCACUCUCAACUAUUAACACAAACAACAUAGAUUUUAGCUAAUUACAAACCAAAUUGAUAUAUCACCCCUAGUAGUUGUAAUUUCCUUCAUUAAUUACCCUCCCAUUUCCACAUCUCUUUUUUUAUGCAACUCAUAAAAAAAUUUCAUGAAAUUUGAGUGUAGGUAGGAGAAAGCACGAAUCUCAGUGCACAAAAAUUUGAUUUCAAUCAUUCAAAAAAAAAUUAAUUUUAUGGAAAAACAUUAUAAUAGUAAAAUAACAAAUUGAGAAGGACUUUCUAAGAAAAUAUAAUCAAAGGAAAACAAGGUAAUCAAAAGACUCAUAUAAUGUUUUACUUCCAUUUUCUAAGUAACUAAAUAGAAAUGUGGAAAGGAAAGUACCUCCAACUAUGGAUGUAAAGAGUCAUUGUUAAUGAGAAAAUGGUGAGAAUUGGAAUCAUGAAAAGUGUAGAAGAAGACUGCUUGGACUAUGGAGAGUGAAGGAGAAAGAUAAUGCUUGUUGAAAGGGAAAUAGUGGGUUAUUGGGCAACACUUAGGGUUAUUUUAGGUAUAUUUGAAAAUUUUAAAAGUAUUUUUUAAAUAAUCACCUCUCAAGUGCUUUUCUAAAAAUUACUUCAAGUGAUUUUUUUCUUUUGAAGGUUCUUAAAAGUGUUUUUGAAAUCUUGCCAAACAUCUACUUUUCAUCCAAAAAAACUCUUUUAAUUAUUAAAAAUGCUACACUCUUCUUAAAAAUACUACUAAACAAGUUCUUAAUAGGAUUUUAUUUAUUAUCACAUGUUUCUUAGUCUUUAACCAAGGACAUGUCUAUACUAUAUAAUAAAAGCAGAGAUACAACUUUAUUCUAACUAUUUUUCAACCUUACUUUCUUUAAAUACCUACUGAAAUGUAAUUUUAUUAUUAUUCAUUAAUUAAACCAUUAAGAAUGGGAUUACUAUGAUUUCACCCCAACUCCAACUCCCUUUUCUACAAAAAGUAAAACUAAUUUUUUGGGAAUACGUAUGCAAAGUAAUGGCAUAGAUGAAGUUGUAAAUGGAGAUUAAUGGAAAUGAUAGAAGCGGGAUUUUGCUAGGGUUUUAGAGCCAAAGAGGAUGGGUUGGUUAUGGUGGGUCUUAAGGGAAGUGAUAGAGAAGUUGGGAAUUGAGGUUAGAUUUAAUGUUAAGGUUAGGGCUAGGGUUUCAUCAAUGGAUGGUGAUGAAGAUGAAGAUAUGGACAUCCCUUGCAAAAUCUACCAAUAUAAUUAGUUUAUACUAUAUAAUCAACUAAAAUUUGAAUCAAUUCUCCUUCUCAAACUAUGAUAAUAUGAUUUUAGAUGAUUUUUGAUAAUGAUUUCUUUUCCUCUCAAUGAAGCUGUAGAUCAAUUCUAUGUUUCAACUUGAAUAAGGGAUCCUUAGAAUCUCUCAAUAUUUAGUUUCUAUUUAGAUUAGGGAAUAAAGGAUCCCUAAGAUCUUUCAAUCUUUAAUAUCUAUUUAGUUUCCUAUAUAAAAUAAGAAGAGUGUAAUGGGGAAAGAAACGAAAAAAUAAUCUCAAUAAGAAAAAUUUGUUCUCUCAAUUUUGCAUCUUCUCCUUGAGUCAUAAGAAUUGGUGUUAGAACACGGUCUUGGCACCAAUCAUGGAUGAAGGGACUAGAGUGUAAGAACAACAUAGACUUGAAGAUACUAUUAAACAGUUGAAAGAAUCAUUGGAUAAACAAGCGACUACCUUAUUAGAACUAUCAAAGAUGGUUGCAACCAUAAACUUGAAAUUCAAACACAUGAAUUUAAGAAUAGAGAAGUCAAGUAAUGGGUACAGUGCCUCAAUCAAUAGAAGCAAGACAAACUAUCACUCACAUGGGAUAAACUCCAUUCAAACUAGUUUUCCAAACUCAAUUUUCAAAAUUUUGAAGGUGAGAAUUGGGAAUCAGGAAAAGAUAGGAUUGGCUUCCUUACAUUUAAAAGGAAGGGCCUUAGAAAGGUUUCAAGGGUACAAGGUUAGUAACAAGGAAAUCAAAUGGACACAAUUUUAUAUAGAUGUUGUUUCUAGGUUUAGGCCUAAUGUUUAUGAUAGCCUUAUGGGGUAAAUAACCAAUUUGAAAUAGGUUUCUACGGUUAUGGCAUACAAAAAUUAGUUUAAAGUAUUGAUGAUCAAAACUAGUGGGUUAUUGAAGGAAUUUUUUGUCUAGUGUUUCAUUAGUAUCUUGAAAGAGGCAAUUAAAAAUCAAGUCACCAUGUUUCAACCGAUCACAUUAGCCCAAACCAUCGAGUUAGUCUUGUUGCAAAAAUAAAUAGUGGAAGUAAUUCUCAAGGAAGUCAAGGACUCUAACGAAAGUAGGGAUAGUACAAUGAACUUUACAAGAAUCAUUAUGAAUCAUAAUAACAAAUUGCCACCCCUUAAGAAGAUUUCAGUUGUAGAAGUGCAAGAGAGAAGAAAAAAAGUUUUUUUUAUUAUUGUGAUGAAAAGUAUGAGUCUGGCUAUAAAUAUAAAAUGAGACAAUUUUUUCUAUUAAAUGGUCAUAAAAGUGAAGGGAAAGUGUGGACCCGCAUUUUUCACGUGUGUUCCCACUCGAUCGGCGAGACUCGCUUUUUAUUUGUGAAAAAUUGAUUUUUGAAAAAAAGUUGGAGUCGCCACCUAUUUUAUUUUUAUUUUAAAGGGAAAAUAAAACAAGAAAGAAAAACCCUAAAAAGUGACUCCAUAGUUUUGGAAAAAGCAUGUCUUUGAGAAACCCGAGUCUAGGUCCGGGGAUUAGGUUACUUAUUGGGAAGGUACCUCUAGGAGAUAGCACCCCUCUAAGCCCUAAAGAGGUCCCUACUGACUAAGUUAAGGGAAGUGUGGCCAUUAAUCAGUUAAUUAUGGAUACCUAAGUAGGUUAGGUGAUUUUAAAGUGUGGCAUGUCAAACGCAAUCAAAUUGCAAUAAAGAAGAGUUAGGGUGCGUACCUGAACCGUUCUUCAAGCGCUAUCAUAAAACAUAAAAGUUAGUGUAGAAAUGUAGCACACAACAUUUGUUUUAUUUAAGCAAAUCAAGCAUAUAUCAAGACAUCCAAGAAUCACGUCAAAUAUGGAUAUGGUCAUCAAUGACAUACAAGUCCAUAGAGUUCUUAAAAAAAUAGAUGAGAAGAGAGCGUACCUGGAUAGCAAGCUAGUACUCCUCUAUGGGAAACAGGAGUAUUUCGAUAAUAAAUACAAAACAAAUUCAUGUAUAUCAUCAAGAAGAAUCAAGGAUCAACACAUCAAACAAACAAUAUGGAAGAGAAAAUCAUGAAUGUAGGGCCCCCACCAAAGCCCUAAUUAAUUUUGCAUGAGUUGGUUCCAUAAAUUCCAUGAUUUGGAAUUAUGAAGUUUAUUCAUGCUUGUUGAAAAUCAAGAAGAUCAAUUGAAAAUCAAAUAAAAUAGUGAAAAUGCGUGCCGGAAGGAAAAUGGCAGCCAAGAAUUUAUUAAAGGUCUAGAUUUAAAUGUCUAUGAACUCCUAAGGAUGAAAUUUUAAAGGAAAUAAGAGUUAUUCAAUGGAAAAUAUAUUGAAAUCCAAAUUUAAAAUGAAUGUGUAAAUUCACAAGGGAACGGAAGGAGCAUCAAGAGGACAAGUGAAUCAAGCCAGCCAUGUUGGAGAGGGCCCUGUGACUAUGCUACUUAAUCUCUGUUUGUGCCUGGACAAUUGAACCUUUCCUAUAGUUUCUUCUUCUGUCUUUCGAAAUUCUCUGUAUUGAAGCAUGCCUCAAGAUGAAUUAGAAUUGUCCUGUUUGACGAAAACUCCCUUAAUAGAAACGGGAAGAAGAUCUGUAUCCCCAUUAAAAGCUCUACUAAUUCCAUAACAGUUCCAGAAUUCUGCAUCAAUUGGCCUCUUAGCUGAACAAACAAACAAAGUCUGUAUGUGCUUCCUAUUUAUCCAUCAAGGGCAAAUUGAAGAUUUCCCUGAUGUCACAUCGCGAGCUUCGUUCCAUCCAAAUCCUUCAUCAUUCAUCAGUAAUUAUAUCAAUUCUAGAAUAGCAGGGGUAGGGUGUGUAUUUUUCAAUUGCGCUGCUACCUUACUGGGAAAUUCAGACCAUUGCCACGAGUCCUCAUCUAUCCUCUCCAUGAAUCUGAAAAUAAUGUCUUGAAGUGGGGCAUUGCAUAGGAAAAAUUAUUGUUUUAGUAGUGAGAGCUUCCCAAUUUCGAUGUAGAGAAGUCAGUUGCAUCCUCCCAAUCAUCUGGCUUGGCCUUAGGCUGAUCAUCUUUAUAUUCUUUUGGAGGGUCAACACACUCGACAUUGCCAUCAUCAUAACUGCUGUUCUGACCUAAUGUGGCAUUCUCAUACCUAUUGCAAUCACCUUCUCCAUUCUCAGUUGAGAGCUUCAAUGCUACAACAUCUAAACAGGUGAGCAACCUCCUCCCCUGAGCCAGUGUUUUUUAGUCCCUCGAAUCAUGAAAAAUAGAAACUGACCAAGCAAAAUCAAGUAAACCAGUAAAACCCAAGCUUUGUCUAAGGCCAAGGCUAACUAAAGUCUCCAAAGUUUCAGGAUCUGAGAACUUGUCAAGGGGGAAGAAAACUUCUCUGUGAAGCAUGUCUUGCAAUUCGGGAACUCGAGGAUCAUAUAGCCUGGAUGGUUGUUGCCAUGACCCAUUGGCAGCCAAAACAAAGGGUGUGAUGGAAAGUGUAAGUUUAAUUGAGGUAUCUUCUUCAAUCAAAAGUUUCACAUCAUGUAAAAUGGCUGAAAGUGCUCCCUGCUAUGAAAGAAAUUCUGGCAUGCAAGUGACUACAUAAUCUUUGUAGAAUUCUGCCCUUGAAGGUUCCUUAACCUCUAAAUACCUUCUUAGGAUGAUUCUUUCUUUUUCUGAAUCCGUGCGUACAAAGUCAUCAUUCAAAAGAUCUUCAGACACACCAUUUGGUUUAAGCAAUUUAGUGGGUUUACUCAAACAUACUAGUUUUCUACUUCUGAACGAUUCAAACAUGGGAAGGUGUUUGAUGACAUCAAUAUGUGUGUCAUCCAUCUGACAUUCAGAGAACCACUUUGACUGAAGAAUAAAACUCCUGAGUUCAUGAAGCUCCCCUUCUGAUGCAUCACAGAAAAGUUUCUGAAAAUUCUCCGGAUUAUGAGCAAGUGCCAGUAAGGCAUUCAAAAUGCUAGUUGCUAUUGGCAGCUGCACAUAAUUUUUCAACUGUGGAUGCUCUAUAGGCAGGUCAUUCCUCAAAAAUAGGCAUCCUACUUUCAAUAACAAAGAACACAUGUUCUCACUCCACCCAUCAUCUUUUAUCACAUUUGAAUUUUCAAUCAGCUUCAAGAGAUAAUUAUUCCCAACUGGUAAAAUAGGCCACUUCGAAAAUUCUGAGAGAUCAUCACAACAUGACUUCAAAUAACUCCAUAGCAGCCUUAACCAUUCUAAACUUGGUUGGCCUUGAUGACCAGGGUUCCAAAUUACCUGUUUGGCAUGCUGCCACUCUGUUGGGAGUAAUCUUAGGAAAAGUUUUUCAAGCAAAUAACAUGUCAGAAAAGAAAUAUUUAAGUCUUCUAUUUGGGCAAUAUCACAUAGCUUCAUAUGAAUUCCUUCCGGAAUUCCAGAGUCUACAAGUUGAUGUGGAAUUGAAUCCUUAAGAAGACCAUACUCAUCUCCACGUGCAAUAUAAAUCCUUUCACCCACUCUCAUCUUGUCAAAUGCUGUAAAUAAACCAUUGGCAAGGGGUACCAAAGGUAAACCAUACAAACUAUCAGAUCGAACUGGCAUUUUCAAGUCAAGUAAGCAAUAUUCAAGUGUCAAUAUCAUUGCAUUCCUGUCCCUAAAUCCACGUUUCCGCCGAAUCAACAGAGUUCUCAGCAACUGAGGUGUCAGGAAACGCAAUGAUGGACAAAACUCCAUAAGCCUCUCGACAAGUGGCUUAGAAGGAGAAACGAGAGGUAGACCAGCAUCAGAUAAUACUUCUACAAGCUCAUGUGCCUUACUGAAAGUAAAAUCAGGAAAAACAGCUUGUUUGACGGAAAUCCACUGGCCCCCUCUAGCUUUUGUAUACAAUACAGAAAGACCAGAAUCAGCAAUAAAAUUAUAGAGUUUCUGCACCAUUGAUGCCCAAGGUUCUAUUCCAAUGCUAGUUGACCAAAAUGAAAAGAACAAAUCACAUGGACCAAGUUCCAAUGCAAUUUUCUCAAGCAAAUGACCAUAAGCAGGGGCAGCAGCAUCUUCAAGCAGGUAAAUGUUCCAUUCCGAGCAUUUUUUUUUCACCCCCUGCCAUGUCAUUGCCAAACCAGAUAUCCCUUCGAUUUGAUGACAAUUCAAAAUAUGCAUUAACAUGUGCUGGAAGACCAGUACUGAUCGGCAGUGGUAAAAAGCAGAAUGCACAACCCUCAAAAUUCUUUCUAUCUUGAAUAGAAGAAGCAGGAACUUUAAAGACAUCAGAAAUAGUUUCACAAGUUCUCUCAGUAUGUGGAAUAUCACUCGAUUCCCUAUCAACCUUGACAGAGUGUAAAUAUGCAGCAACACAAGCCCAAGGAAUUAAAUUAUGAGACUUCGAGGGUACAAAGCUCUUAACUUGCCCAACACCUAAACAUUCACUGGUUAUCCAAAAGUGUGACAUAUUUUUUUGACGAACUUUGCUCUAUCAUCACAAUCUUCUGACAUUUCCAUGGCAAAUUCUUAUCAACUGAUUUACUCAAUUUUUUUAGAAACUAAUCCUUAUCCAUUCCACUGUGAUGAUUUCCAUUAAAAAUGCUGAACAUAUGUAGAGAAUUGGGUUCAAUGUCAGGUUCACUGAUGCAAUGUUUAUGAACACGAUGUACGAGUUGCAUUUCACAACCAGUUUCUUCCUUAACAAAAAUGGAGAUGGUUUUCACAUUACGGACGAAAAGUAAAGCCUCUGAAACAACCUUAGAAAAAGAAGCAAAGAGAGACAUGACAUCUUCAGGUGCAUAGCCUUCUUUCUUUAUUUGGCUUCGAGAAGCAACACUUGCAUUCUUGAGAGGAAAACGAAAGACUGUGCCAGGAAAGGGAUUCUGCAAGUCAUAGCCAAAGUGUAGGAAUGGAAAGAACUGAUCUGGAAAUUGUUCCAGAAUCCUUCUCCCAACAUAUCUAAUUCUUAAACUAGGGUGGGAUGGAUAGAUUCCAGGCAAAUUACAGGCAUGAGGAUCAAACAUAACAAUAUUUUCCCCAGAAACAAAAGUUGGUAUGUCUGUAAAAUGAUAAACACAAUUAAAUCCCAGCCCAAAUCUUCCAAUAGCAAAUGGCUUCUCUAGCUUGCUUUCUUGACCAAUCCGCGAAAUUGCAUAAAGAUCUUGUGGACUGAAAACAGAGUCAUUGAAACAGUACAAAGCAGAGCCUUGCCAAUCUGCCAUUUCAGGAGAGAGGAUGGAAGAAGUCCCAUACUGGGUUUUCCGCGGUCAUCCCAUCUUUAAAUCUUCGAAGCUCUGCUUUCUCUCCCCAAAAAUUCCGGAAUUUAAGAGCCUCAUCUUUAUGCUCAGCAUUUGGACAAGCAUCGACCACUCUAAAAGCUUUCUCUAAAGAGCUGACUAAAAUCCCAAUGAGCAAUGGCCCUCGCUCAAAGAUCGAUAAGCCAUUUUCCACAUUGCAUUCUGAAGUGGCAUUUUUCCAACUAACACGGAUGAACUUUGCUCUAAGAGAACCAACAUUUCAUCAUAAAACCCAAUUGAUCCAAAACAGGAAACUAAGGAAUUAAUCAAAUCUUCUCUCUGGACAUUUCUUCGAACACACCGUAAGCACCUCAAAUAGAUUCAAAUACCAUACAGGAAGAGGGAUAGAGAACAAAUAAAAAAAGAAAAGAUAUAAAACCCGGAGACGAAGAAAGCGGAAGACAUUGAUCAAUAAACAUAAAUAGCUCCACUUCAAAUGUUAAUCCGUGGGCUGGGGACAGAGGAAGCAAUGCAGUAUAGGAUUUUUAACAAAAAAAAACAUGAUCAAAUUCAAGCAUGGAGUCAUGAAUUUCAAAAGACAACAAUGACACAUGCAAGAAUCAGAAUCUAAAACAGGGCAAAGAAGUGAGUAACCAAUCUCAAGAAAUCAAUUUGUGGCCCUUUCCGUCCACACCAAUCAUCAGUAUAUUAAAUGUUCAGAAACAAACACACGGAGAAAUCAAGUAUGGGUAAGAAUUCCAAGAGUGGCGAGAAUCAUACCUGGGCAGCCUUGGUUGCAAUUGCUCUCUUCUCCAAUUCCUUUUUGCUUCUCCUCAAGACGAUCCCUCAAAUCCCCUCUCUCUUUUUCCUCUCUCACAUAUAUAUCAGCCUCCCUCAAAGAACCCCCCAAAUCUACUGGAGGAAAAUCCACUUUCCUUUCAUAUUUUCUUCCCUUUUGUAACCGAUUCCCUCAUGGAAAUAAUAUACGUGCUAUCCUUCUAAAAACACAAUCUCCUCUUUUCAAAAUUCUGUUGAUUUUCCUUCCAAAUAAAUGGCAAUCGUUUCCUCAUGCCCAAAAAAUAAAUAAAUAAAUAAAUAAAGAUACAAAUAGAAAUAAGAAUAAAAUAAAGACAAAAUAGAAUAAAGAUUAAAAUCAAUAAACAUCAUGAAAUUGGAAAUCAAAAGAAAUUUAAAUCACACAUCUAAAAAAUAAAAUAAAUAAACAAAAAAUAAAAAAUAAAAAUAAUUAAAAACAAAAAAUAAAAUAAAAAAAUCAACCACAUGCAAGCCAUACAAGCUAUGUAACCACCAAAAGAAUAUGAGUCAUGCAACCAUGCAAAAACACGAGCCAUGCAACCAUGCGAACCAUGCAAAAACAUCUAAAGGUGACCUAGGGUGUGUCCUAAUGGGCCAAGUGUAUCUAAAAGCUAUCCUAAAAAAAAAUAAGAAAAGCCUAAGUCUAAGUUAGGGCUGCCAAGGGUCACAAUAAGGGAUCAAAUAAUCCCUCAACCAAAAUCUCCGAGGUGACUCAGAAAAAGGUAAGUGGUACGAGUAGUAAUGGGCCACCAAGGAACUACCGUGGAGCACUGGAAGUGAAUUUAAAGACAUGUGCUAAAGGAACAAAAUUGAGGGUCUACAAAUAUGCCCCUCUUCGAUAUAGAUCACGAGUGUAGAGAAUGCAAGUAGAAGCACGAGUAAUGAGCGAAAUGAAGUGAACUAUACCGAAGAAUUAAAGAAGGACCAAAGAUUUUGUCCUAGCACAUGAAGAGGUAAGGUCAAACAAUGGGGUCGCAAUGAGAUGGAAAUAAGUGAAAAGGGUGACUCAAAGUCAUGAAUGAGAUAAAUGAAUAUGGGUCAAGGACAAGAUGAACGAAUCUAGAUUUAAAAUAGGAUAAACGACUCUGGGUCAUAGGCUCAAGGCUCUAAUUGGAAAGAAUGACUCUGGGUCAAGAUGGAAAACGACUCUAGGUCGAGAGCCCUAGGCUCUAAAUGGAAAAGAAAUGACUCUGGGUCAAAAUGGAAAAUGACUCUGGGUCGUAAUGGAAAGUGACUCUAGGUCGAGAGCCCUAGGCUCUAAAUGGAAAAGAAAUGACUCUGGGCCGUAAUGGAAAAUGACUCUGGGUCGAGAGCUCCAGGCUCUAAAAUAGGAAAGAAUGACUUUGGGUCGAAAUGGAAAGUGACUCUGGGUCGAGAGCUCUAAGCUCUAAAAUAGGAAAGAAUGACUCUGGGUCGAAAUGGAAAGUGACUCUGGGUCGAGAGCUCCGGGCUCUAAAUGGAAAGGAAUGACUCUGGGUCAAAAUGGAAAAUGACUCUAGGUCGAGAGCUCUGGGCUUUAAAUAGGAAAGAAUGACUCUGGGUCAAAAUGGAAAAUGACUCUGGGUCGAGAGCUCUGGGCUUUAAGUAGGAAAGAAUGACUCUGGGUCAAAAUGGAAAAUGACUCUGGGUCGAGAGCUCUGGGCUUUAAGUAGGAAAGAAUGACUCUGGGUCAAAAUGGAAAAUGACUCUGGGUCGAGAGCUCCGGGCUCUAAAUAAAUAGCCGAUCAGGAUACUUUCCGACUCAGGGUGUCGGGUCGAGGCCACUCACAAGUGGCUAGAAUGAUGAAAACAAAACAUCUCAGGGAUGUGAAUGAUGCAAAUGACUCCGGGUCGUGAGCUCAGGGCUCGGGGUGCUAUGAAUGACUCUGGGUCAAGAUGGAAAAUGACUCUGGGUCGAUGAAUAGCUCAGGGCUAUGAGCUCCGGGCUCUAUGACUGAUCGGUUAGAAGGAGAAUGCGAUACGCAAACUCCAGGUCAAACCACUCAUGGGCGACCAAAUGAUGAAGGCUUAGCUAAGAGCUGGAAAGACUCUAGGUCUAUGGGAAAUGAUAGCUCAGGGCCACGAGGCUCAGGGCCUAAAGGAAAAAGAAUGCUCAGGGCUGUAAGACUCGGGGUCUAGAAGGAAUGAAUAACUCAGGGCUAUGAGGCUCAGGGCCUAGAAGGGAAUAAUAGAGAAGACCAACUCGAAAGUGGACAUGAAAUAAAUUGGCUCAAAGCCAUAUACUCAAAAUGUCAAGGGUCGGACUACUGAAACCAAGAAGGGAAAUAUGCCUCAGUAUCCAGGGUGCUCACACUGCUGAAACAACCAGUAAACCAAUCAUCUGCUAGAAUCAAUGGGUCAGAAACUGAUGCAUCGUGACAAACCUCUGAAAAGUCUAAACUGAAGGAACCCUCUAUGUCUGAAAAGCUGCUCUGUCGGUGAAUCUCAAAAGGUAAAUCUCAAAGAGUGUAUAUCAUGGCUCAUCUAAAAGUAAACCUCAAAGUGCAUAAAAUGCUGCUCAUCUGGAUAAUCCAAUCGACAAGGUAACAAUGACGAAAACAAAUCUGUCUCAUGAACAUCUGGCUAAAGGAUCCACCCACGCUCCUCGGGUGAAACCUGAUGCGAUCCAUUUCUAUCUCAACAAAUCCAUGUAGGGAGGCCCUGAUACAGUCGAUCGUCAGAAGCUCUGGGCUAGUACUCAAUCUGAAACCAAACUGGCCACUGUCCCAAUCUCAAGGAUACUCAAAGAAAAUGGGCAAAUAUGCCCCAGUAUAAGAUCCGAUAUCAAAGUCAUGAGGUAAACAACCGACACUAAUCAUCCAUCCUCAUGCCACUGCCCAAAUAAAAUCUCGUCAAGGAGGGGGGAAUAUGCCCCAGUAUGGAUAUCCGAUGUCGAAGUCAUGAGGCAAAAAAAAAAAAAAAACAAAAAAAAACAAAAAAUGAUCAUCCAUCCUCGUACCACUGCCCAAACACAAUCUCAUCAAUGAGAGAGGAAUAUGCCCCAGUAUGGAUGUCUGAUGUACAAUAAAGAGUCUGUCAAAAUCAACCAAACAUCUCUAUAACUAUGAAUAAGGAUAGUCAUACCGCACAAUAACAGAUAGGAAUCUCGAGGGAAUGGGGGAAUAUACCUCAGUGUGAAUAUAUAAUGCACAACCAAAGGAUGAAUCCAACAGCAUCAAUCAACUGUCCUCAGCUCAACAAUAAUACGCUAAGAAGUCAGAAUGAAGUAUCGACCAAUGCCUCAAGGGAGACACUCUAAAUCUAAUCUCAAAUGAAUAGCCAAAAUGAUGAGGAAUGUGGUAAUCUUAGGAGUAGAAGCACGUCUCUAAUGAAUCCCUAACUGAAUCCAACAUGAAUCUGGUAACCUCGAAAUGGGGAAAUAUGCCCCAGUAUGCCAGAUCUAUACACUGCACUGAAAACUGCCUCCAACUCAGUAAUAAUCCACUAGUCUAUCUCAGAAAUACUCCGCAAAUAGAACCAACUAGGGGCUCAAUGAUGCUACACUAGAACUGAUAUAGUCUCAACAUACCCCACUAGGGAUCUCUGAUCGGUGAAAAUGCCCAGACUCAAAGAAAGUGCUCCACUAGGGGCUCAUCUCAACCAAAGGAAAGGGGAAUAUGCCCCAGUAUGGAUAUCUAAUGCACAACCAAAGGAUGAAUCCAAUAUCCUCAACGAACUGUCUCCGAACCCAAAAAUCCAUCAAACACCAAUACGCCAAGCAAGAGAGAAACCAAAUGCUUCCAAAAGUAUCUUCCAUAAAAGAGAACAUAGUAACGACCAUACUUCAACCAAUCUACAAAAGUCUGUCCAAGUGAAGACUGUCAAAGAUAACAUCUGAUCUCAUGGCCUCAGGGUGGUCUUAAGACACGGGACGUAACGUAGGCCAAGGUGAUAGGGUGAAAGAAAUGAAGGGAAACUAGGCUCAAAUACCCAAUGAUCAAACCCGUACCCUCGUGUACAAGAUGUAAUGCAUAGAAAAAUCUCAUGAGUCAUGGACUUAGAAGUAACCAAAGGGAAUGUCGAUAACGAAAUGAGAGAAAUGAUGAAUGGUCAAACCAUCAAUGAAAUAUGUGAAUGAUGUGAAGAAGGUAUCAAAUCAGUAAUGGGUAUCAAUAUGUAGGGAAUGAAUAAAAGGUGGAACAAAGAUCUGGAAAGAGGUAAUGGGAUAUAAAAGAAAGCAAUGAGAAAGUGGAAUGAGUGAUGAUCAACCCGUGUUAGUACAAUAAAGGAAAGUCAUAUCACCAAUGAUGGAAUGGUGGGUAUAAGACAAUGAUUCGGAGACCCUAGUAAAAAGGUCACUCAUCUCUCAUACCUAAUAUAUAUCAAUCAUGAUCCAAGCAGCAUAGGAUCUCAUAGAACUCUCACAUGAACCCUCGACACUCCAAAUGUGUAACAAAAGUGCCUCAAGAGUGAAAAAACUCAUAAAAACUCGCAAAGACCCACAAUGACAAAUAUACCCAAUAAAUGAACCUCAAGAGGUGGCAUAAAUGCCCAAUGGAACGAGAUACCAUACAUGAGCAUAUCAUUGUGCUUUUCUUUUCUUUUCUUUUUUUUUUUUUUUUUUUGAUUUUUUUUUCAAAUUUUUUUUUUUUUUUUUUUUUUACACAUGCUCUGAUCAUCCAUAAAUCAAACUCCAAUGGGAAAAAUAUAAGGAACAAACAAACUCUCUCAAAUCACUUAUGAAUACAUGAACCAUAUCCCAUGAGAUAACCUCUCAAACCAAAAUCUCCAAAUCAAUGUCAAAUGAUGGAAUGAAUAGAGUGAUAUGACUGCCCUCUUUGCACUAAGAUGUGAAGAAUCAUCAACCCAAGGAAGAGAAUAGAUAAGAUGAAGCGAAUAAUGAUAAAGACAAGAAAGAGAAUGAAUAUGUGGUGAUAAUAAAAUAGAACAAAUAGGGUGAUAAGAGGAUGGUAACAAAAUGAGAAGAUAGACCUAUAAGUCUAAAGCUCAUGAGACUUUCCUAGCAAAGCAUGCAUAUACAUCAAAGGGCCCCAACCCGGGUAUAGAAAUGGUAAUCAAAGCUAUAAGAAAAAAAUAAGGCUAUAACAUACCACGCGAAGCUCAAUGGGCUAGCAACGGUCUAAUAUAUAGAGGUGAUAAAGUAUGAGGCUAACCGAAAUGAUGGUCACCCAUCCUGCGACCACGGUCUCAAACAUAAUACUUCUUCAGCUGAUCCACAUUGGUAGGCUCUGAAAAUUGAUUUCCAUCUAAGUCUGUCAACCAUGCAGCCCCUUAUAGAGUCAACUCUCGGAUAACAUAAGGCCCACUCCAACUAGGUCUAAACUUUCCCCUAGGGUCUCCAAUCAAACCUCUGAGAAUCCUCAAAACUAAGUCCCCUUUUUGCAAUGGUCUAGGCUUAACCCGUUUCUUGAAGGCACGAACCAUCUUUCUUUGAUAGGCCUGAACAUGAUCUGCUGCUCUCAAUCUCCUCUCAUCUAAAAGGUUAAGCUGAUCAAAUCGAGCCUGAGCCCACUCUGUCUCAGAAAUCAGCUGCUCAAGGGCUACUCUCAAUGAACCCAUCUCUAUCUCGACUGGCAAAACAGCCUCCAUACCAUAUACUAGGGAGUAUGGCGUAGCUCUUGUAGAGGUGCGAAAAGAGGUACGGUAUGCCUACAAUGCAAAAGGAAGCUUCUCUGACCAAUCUCGAGAAGUCCCAACCAUUUUCCUCAAAAUCCUCUUAAUAUUCUUGUUUGCAGCCUCUACUGUCCCGUUGGUCUAUGGCCUAUAUGCUGAAGAUCUAUGAUGUCGGAUGCUAUACUCCUACAACAAAGUGUCUACCUCAGCUCAGAAGUGCACCCCUCUGUCUGAAAUUAGCUCAUGAGGAACCCCAUAACGACAAAUAAUGUGUCAUCUGAUGAAACUGGCAACCCUAGCGGAUGUCAACCUCGCAUAUGAUGCGGCUUCCACCCACUUGGUGAAAUAAUCUAUGGCAACCAGGAUGAACUCGUGACCACUGGAAGAUUUUGGUGAAACCUUCCUAAUAAUAUCAAUACCCCGUACUGAGAAUGGCCAUGGCGAGGUCAAGGCGUGUAACUCUGAUGGUGGUGCAUGUAUGAGAUCACCAUGAAUCUGACACUCUGGGCAUUUCUGGACAAACUGACAACAAUCUAUCUCCAUAGUCAACCAGAAAUAACUCGUCCUCAUAAUCUUACGGGCUAGCAUGUGUCCUCCCAUAUGCGGACCACAAACUCCUGAAUGAACCUCUCUCAUCACUCGAUCUGCAGAGGCUCGAUCUAAGCAUAACAGAAGCAUACCAUCAGCUGAUCGUCUAUACAAAGUAUCUCCGCAAAUCACAAAUCUAGUAGCCAAAUGCCUCAAUGCUCUCCGAUCCUUGGCAGUGGCUACCUCAGGCUAUGUGCCAGAUCUGAGAAACUGAUAAAUGUCAUGAUACCAAGGUAGAUCAUCCUGGUCCUCUAUCUCUCCAAUCAAACAACAAUAAGCGGGUGCAGACCUCGACUCAAUCAGUAAUGGACGUAUGACUACAUCAAUCAGAAUGUCCAUGAAGGAAGCUAAAGUAGCUAAGGCGUCAGCAAAUCGGUUCUGCGCUCUAGGCAAAUGAACAUAUCUCAAGUCGUCAAAUCUCGCAACCAACAACUCUAAAUAUGCAUGAUAUGGUCUAAGCUUCACGUCCCUAGUCUUUCAAUCCCCCUGAAUCUGCCUGAGUACCAGAUUGGAGUCACCAAAUACCUCCAUCUGUCUAAUGCCAAGCUCUAAUGCAGUCUCUAAACCCAGGAUGCAAGCCUCAUACUCAACUAUGUUAUUCGUGAUAGGAUGUCGAUCAUGAAAAGCCAAACAAACAGAUCUCGGAAUAUGAUCGCCCUGAGAGGACACUAACAAAACACCUAUCCCAUACCCUAACUGAUUGGCUGCACCAUCAAAGUACAAGCACCAUCCUGAUAAGCUAGUCAUAGCAACAAACUCCUCAUCUGGAAAAUCAUCAUCAACUGGUCUGUCUUCAGAUGUCGGUAGUGAAGCUAAGUGAUCGAUGACAAUACUUCCCUUAAUAGACUUCUGAGAAACGUACUGAAUAUCGAACUCUGUCAAAAGUACGAGCCAUCUCAUCAAUCUACCAGUCAAUGCAGGUCUAUCAAACAAGUAUCUCAACGGGUCUAGACAGAAUAUCAAAUGCACUGAAUACUCUGUCAUAUAAUGCCUCAAUCUCCUGGUAGCCCAAACUAGUGCUAAGCAAAGGCGCUCAAUCAUAACAUAUCUCAUUUCAUACUUCAGCAUCCUCUUACUCAAGUAGUAAAUAGCCCGUUCCUUCCCUGAGUCAUCAAUCUGAGCUAACAUACAUCCCAAGGCCAUGUCUGAAACUGACAAAUAUAGAAGAAGUGGACGUCCUGGUUUAGGAGACACUAAAACAAGAGGAUAAAGCAAAUACUCCUUGAUCUUCUCAAAUGCAGACUGACAGUCAUUAUUCCAAACUAUUGGCUAGUUCUUCCUCAAAAGAAGAAAGAUAGGCUCACAUAUGUCUGUCAAUCUGGCUAUGAAUCGAUUGAUGUACUGUAAUCUGCUUAGAAAACUCCUGAUCUCUUUCUCAAUCUUUGGUGCAGGCAUGUCAAGUAUGGCUUUGAUUUUAUCUGGGUCAACCUCUAUGCCUCGCUCACUAACCAUAUGCCCCAAUAAUUUCCCAGAAGUCACUCCAAAGGUGCACUUCUUGGGAUUCAACCUCAAUCUAAACUUCCAUAUCCUCUCAAAGAAUCUCUCUAAAGCAUCUAGGUGAUCUGCUCUACCUCAGGAUUUCACAAUCAUAUCAUCCACGUAAACCUCGACGUCCCUAUGCAUCAUGUCAUGAAACAAAGUGGUAGCGGCUCUCUGAUAAGUGGCUCCUGCGUUUUUCAACCCAAAUGGCAUAACUCUGUAACAGUAGGUACCCCACUCAGUAAUAAAGGUUGUCUUCUCCAUAUCCUCUAGAGCCAUCAAAAUCUGAUUAUACCCUGAAAACCCAUCCAUGAAAGACAACAUCGAAUGGCCUACGGUGCCAUCAACCAACAAAUCAAUGUGUGGAAGGGGAAAGUCAUCUUUAGGGCUGGCUUUAUUGAGAUCUCUGAAGUCAACACAAACCCUAACUUUGCCAUCCUUUUUAGGAACAGGGACGACAUUAGCCAACCACUCUGGAUACUCAACUACUGAUAUGAACCCAACAUUGAGUUGUUUUUUAAUCUCCUCUUUUACCUGUAGACUCCAACGUGGAUGCAAUCAUCUCAAUUUCUGCUUAACUGGCCUAGCAUGUGGUAGGAUAGGUAAAUGGUGCUGGACUAUAGAGGGAUCAAGACCUGGCAUGUUCUCAUAAGACCAUGCAAAGACAUCCAAGUAUGACCUGAGUAAAUGGAUGAGUCUAUCUCUCUCAUCUGUAGAUAGGGGUGAACCAAUCUUCAGCUCUCUAGGCUGAUCCUCUGUGCCAAAAUCAACAGUCUCAACAUCCCCUGUAGCAGUUGAAACUCUCUCAUCCAUGGGAUCAGAGUCAUGAUCAGAAGAGUCCCUAUCCGAAUCGGGCCAUGCAACUUCAUCAUUUAUAUCAAAUAUCUGUGAAGUGGGUGAAUGGGGUGCAGAUAUAGAGGUACUAUCACAAGAGACAGGCGAAUACUCAAAAAUGCUCAAAUUCAUAAAUGAAGCAACAGAAACAUCGUCAGAGCGGGAGACAAAUCCCGAUAAAACAUCAAAAGAAAGAUGUGGGUCCACAAGGUCAGAUGCUCCUUCAACUGAGCUAACAAUGCCCUCAAACAAACUACUAUCAUCCUCUGGAAGCCCUGGAACAGGAAGAGUCUGAGUCCCCUCAAGAACCUCAAUGGUAGACACCCCAAACAUAUCAAAUGCUGAGACAGGCUGAAGUUGAACAAUGCUGGUAAUCUGGCCCAUGGUCAUCAUGUCCAUCUCAUCUCGGUACUCAUCAUGGGAAACAACUCCAUCAAUCAUCUCAGUAGAAUCAACCAUCACCCCAUCACCAGUGAUCUCCUCUGGAAAGCAUAGAGACAACAUGCUAGCUCGAUCUGGAGACGUGGGAGUAAUAGUCAAAGGGAAAGAAGAGUCGGGAGCCCCAUCACUCAACUGUAGCUGGUGAAAUAGAUGCUGAAGAUCGGUCUCUCUAUCUGUAUGAACCACACUAUCAAUCUCCUCUAGACGAGGUCGAGUCUCUGAUCCUCUGACAAAGUAGUCAACCAAACUCAUCCUAUAGGGUCGAAUAGGAUAGUCAAAUGGUGUGCGGGAUAAACGGGCUCUCACCUUCUCCUUGCGCAGCCACGCCAUGUGACGGUAAUCGGCCUCAGUGGGGAUGAAUCCAAGUCCAAAUGUCAUAUCAUGGUCAAUGGCAGCUAUGAACUCGCUCGGUCCCUACUGACGUUGUCCUAACCCCAUGCCAGGUAGAAAGGUCAUACCCCUCAUCAUAUCAAGGACCACUGUGCUACUGUGUUGAUCAAAUGACAUAGCCCCAAAGUCUCUACAAAAAUCCUCAAUCUCGAGAGUCUGUAUCUCAUCAAAAGUAAACCCAGUCAGAAGUAGGUCGUCCUCAUUGUGACUGAUCUGAAGUACUGGCUCAGAAGCGGCAAAUAUAUCCCUGGUAGAGCGCACUGUGAUGACCUGCCCAUCAUGAAUAAACUUCACCUUCUGAUGAAGGGAAGAAGGAAUAUCUCCAGCUACAUGAAUCCAUAGUCGGCCCAGUAGCAGGUUAAAGGAUAUAGGGAUCCUCAAAACCUGGAACAAAGUGGAAAAUGUGGCUGGAUCAAUCUGCAAAUCAAUCAUCAAGGUACCCAUAACCUCCUUCUUGGUGCUAUCAUACGCCCUGACUGUCUGAGUAGAAGGACCAAAAUCUGAAGGCGCAAAACCAAGGGCUAUAACAAUGGCUAAAGGGCAAACAUUCAGGGCUGAGCCGUUGUCCAGUAGGACAGACGGGACUCUACGGCCUGAACAUCCAACUGUGAUGUAUAGAGAACGCACGUGGUCUAAACCAUCAGGUGGCAAGUCAUCAUCUGAAAAUACAAUGCAAGUGGCCCUGCCAGCCGUCAUCAUAUGAAUCAAUCCCUCUGGAGUGGUGGUAGUCUCUACUCUGAUCUGACUCAAGGCUCGAAUCAAAGCAUCUCUAUGAGUACUGGACGAUGCUAAUAAACUCCAGAUGGAAAUGCGAGCCUGAGUGCUCUGUAGUUGUCUCAAAACCUCAUCAUCCUCUCUCCUAACCUCCUCAUGAGAGGCUGUACCCUCAAAUGGUCUGACUGCUGGUGGUGGUGGUUGAGCUAUCCUCCCACUACGAGUCACAAUCUGUAUCUCUCUCCCUACUGAGUCAUCAUCCUCUGGCCAUAAAGUGAAUGGGACAAAAGCAUCCUGACAUCCGAUAACUAAAGGUGUAGGAUGAGUCAACUGGAAUGGUGCCUCGUCCGGGAUCAAACUGAAUGGUGCAGGAGUUUGAGGGACCACUGAAACCCCAUCAACCUCAUAACUGUCAUGCAAAACAAUCGGCUCGGGUAAUCUAUCAUCCCAACUCAACAUGUGUAUACUGUCAUCCUUUAUAAGGUCCAUGUGAUGAAUAUCUCCUGAAGGUGGAUGCACUGUGUGUGUAGAAUGAGCAGGAAGAGGGUUAGUGGUCACACUUGGCUGCCCUAAGUUGACCAAACCCUGUGUGGACCCCACAUUUCGUGCUCAUAUGUUUUCCACUCGAUGGCGAGCUCGAUUUUUAUUUGAAAAAUUGAUUUGUCAUUGAUUAAGAAAAAUGACUUGGAGUCGCCACUUAUUUUUUUUUUUUUUUUUUUAAAGGGUAAACAAAAUAAGAAAGAAAACCCUAAGUGUGACUCCUUAUUUUGGAAAAGGUGAUCUACAAAAAUCGGAUCGGGUUCGGGGGUCAGGUUACUUAUCGGGAAGGUACGGUAAAGACCGUAGCACCCCUCUAAGUCCCUAAAGUCGGGUCUCUACUAAUGAGAUGAAGCUAACAUGGCAAUCAAUGAGAGAAUCGAUGAAUACUCAAAUCGAUCAUGCACAAUAUGAGAAGCAAAGCAUGUAUAAAGAAAGAGCAAAAUAUGAAUAGAUGCGUACCUGGGCGGCAAUCACGAAUGCGCUAUCAUGAAACAUGGUUAGUGAACAACGAACAGAUAUAAUUAAGCGCAUAUCAAGGAAUAGAGUAAAUAAAUCAUGCAUGACAAAUAAAUCAACCAAACAGUCAAUCAAUCAUUCAAUCAAUCAUAAAGUCUCAUAUGUAGGGCCCUCACCAAAGCCCAUUUAUUUUUGUAUGAAUUAAUCCCAUGAAUUUCCAUCAUUCGGAAUUACGGGAAUAAAUUCAUACUUAUUUUAAAACAUUUUUUAAAAAAUAAAGAAAAUUCGAAAGUGGCUUGCCGAAAAGAAAAUGACGGCCAAAUUUUAUUGAAAAUGGGAUUUUGAUACCUAAAACUCUAAGAAUGAAAAUUUUGGAGUUGAGAUUAUUUCUAAAAAUGAGGAUCUGGAAAAUUAUUUAAAAAAAUGAGGUCUGAAAAAUUAUUGUCAAAGCCGAAGAGGAUAAAAAGGGAAGAUGUCACGUGACCAAAAGUGGUCGUGCAACUGGAUACGUGCAUGCAUGGGACUGGGGUGGAAUGAGGGGAUUGGAUUCUUCAAGAUUGGAGACUGCUUGGAAGCAGUCUGUAGCAUCAUCUAUUCGUCCAUCAUCUUUGUGAGCCAUUCCCAGGUAGUACCAAGCCAUUUGAUUGGUAGGCUACAUCCUCAAUGCAUCUGAAAGUAGGUUUCUCGCAGUAGGAAAUGCCUUCGAGCCCAUCUUCAACAACAGAGCACCAAUCAAGAUCUUGCAAGGCACAUAACCCGGAUCUAGUAAAAGGGCAUUGAUAUAAGCAGUCAAAGCUUCUUGGAUUUGCCCAUGACCUUCAAAUUUAACACCUUCUGCAUGCAGUAAGUCCACUGAGUAUUCUUUCAACUCUCCAGCUUUUCCACUGAGUAUUCUUUCGACUCCCCAACUUUUCCACUGACCACCAGCAUAGUUACUACCCGUGAAAAGAGCAUGAGCAAGGGAAUAGUCCUUUGCCUUGUAAUGCUCAAAGCCAUGUACAGGCAAGGCAUCUAUCGCAAGCUCAUCAUUAUUCCAUAUGACUAUGUGUACUUCAGGUCUUUACGCAUUUCCCUGGCGUGAUGGAAUGGUGCUGCUAAAUUCAUUCUCUCCAUCUUCUUCUCUAGGAAUAUAGGCUGGUUCAUGCUGGACUUGGAAACAUUCUUGUGAGUCUCAUUGGUUCCAUUAGACUGAUUUGCUCUUAUUGAAGCAAUCUUCACAGAUGUUCCCCAACCAAUGACCAAGAGAGUAUCAUCCUGCCACACUAAGCGAGGGACCAAAAUCUCAAGACGUGAGCUUCCUCGGUCUCUGAAACUUCCUCUUUCUGCAAUUUAGCCGUGGCUAAAUCUUUGGUUUCCGCUUCCAUUGAGUGCUCUUCUAAUUGGUUCAAAUCUGGAGUUUCAUCAUCUCAUGACGUGAUGUCAAUUGCCUCAUCACAUUCAUCUUGACUACCAUCUAAAAUUCUAGCUUCCUCUGCUUUUAUCUGUUCAACAUUCUCGGACUCAGAAACAGCACGUAUGGCGGGCUCCCCUUCUGUUGCAUGUUGAAAUAGUGCUUCAAGCUCAUGAGUUUCUAGAUUUUCACUAAUCGAAUGUUGCUCUGAUUCAUUCAUGUCUGGAGCUUCAUAGUCUGCCAUGGUGACAUCAGUUGUCUUGACACAGCUAAUUUGGUCACCCUCUUAGACCGUAUCCUCUUCUACUUCAAUAUUUCCAUCAUUCUCUGACUCAGGAACAGCAUUAGUGGCAGCCUCCUCUUCAAUUACCCCUUGUAGCAGUUCUGCACCCUCAUUCAUUUAAUGAUAAACCCACUGCUACUAGAACCAUAUUGCUAAUUCCGCUGUUAUAGCAGCAAGAAAUUCGAAUCUGUGUGCAGGCAAGACACCUUCAUCAAUUUCGGUACCAAUAGAUUCCCCUACAUUCCCUCGCUAACCCAGAACCAAACUCUCACCACCUGAGAGAUAAUUGAACGAAUGGAAUCGAAGUGCUUCUGGAGGGUCAAGGCAGCCAAGAGUGUAGGGUAUGUUACCAAGGAUGGUUUACAUAUUUCUUGGGUUUCAGAGAUUGAUGAUGGAAUAAAGCAUGUAUUGGACUAAGGACAUGGAGGUUUAGAAAAAGAAGUGGGUAGAUGAAUGUGAAGGAUGCGUGGUGCAGGAGAUGGGUAUGAGAAGGUUGAAUAAUGAGAGCAAAGGACUUUGUGUGUAUUAAGUGAUGGAAUGAAAAUGGAUGAUGUGGGGCAUGGUGAGGAAAAGAAUGGAUGAGUUGGGUAUUGGAGAGUAGGGUGGUGAUUAGUGAGGUAUGCCAGAUGGUCUUAGCUAAUGAAGACAAACAUGGUAUGGGUAUGGUGAUAAUAUAGAGAGAGAAGUGGGUAUGUGAGUAAUGGAAGUGUAUGAGGGGUAUAGAAGACGGGUGACAUGGGUAUGCAAAUGAGAAUGGGUGGUAAGAAAAAAUGGGUAAGCUGAUAGACAUGAUGAAGUGAAGACAUUGGAGAUGGUGGGCAAAAGAGAAACGAAACAGGGGUAUGGAUGUGGCCCCUUGAUUAGGUAUGAUCUCUUGGCACUCUCCCAUCAUUUUAUGUACUUCAAUUGUUUCACUUGCAGUGUUCUGACUUAACACCAGAACCAUUCCCACCAAACACUUUAGUUUGAUCCUCUUCAAUAAUGGUCAAACAUUGAACAGAAGAUUCAAAAUCUCCAGUCUUCUGCAUUGACAGAUUUUCUGCAUUGUGUUAAUUUCUCACCACCAAGAUUUGACUCAGCAACUCCACAGACUGCACCCAAACAUUGCACUUUUACCUCGUCAUGCUUACUGACAUCAAGUACUUAAGAACCUUUAUCCUGGUUUUAAAGGCAAGAAUGUGUUUCUGUUAUAUCGAUUUCAACUCUGCUUGGAUCUGAAACUUCAUACAAAUCCUUGUUUUCAGUUUCAGGUAAGUUUCUCACGGGCACAUUCAUAUCAUCCUCUGCAGCAACCUGGGAUUCAAAUAGACUGCUUGCAAAUUCAAGGAUACUCAUCAUAAUAUUUUCCUUUCCUUCCCUGCUUUCCUUUUCUGUUAUCUCACAUUUUGUUAUUUCAACCUUGUCAUUGUCUCCUCAAGAGCUUCAGAACAGAGCCCCAUCCCAAGCUCAUGUAGGUCAAUGUGAACAUCUGGGUCAAUACCAACAUGGGUUCUGAACAGUUGAGUAAAUCUAAAGAGCCAACCAUCCAUCUCCACUUCCUUGGGCUCAAGGUCAUCCGAAGCUCCAGCUUUCUCCUUUGGAGUUUCAUUCUCUGUCUUUUCAAUCUCUGCACCCACAGUGUCCAGCACUGAAUCACCUAAUGAAGAGUGAGAGUCGUUAUCCUCUCCCUCAAGCCCCUUACUCUCAGGAGGCCUCUUCUUCUCUGUUAACACUCGCAGCUGAACGUCCAAACCCUGUUCUCGAAGUGACAGUAUCUCAUAUCUGAUGGGUAGGCAACAUUGCCCCUUGCUAAGACCCAAAUAUGUACCCUGAACCACCAACAGUAAAAAAGAUAACACUAAUGCCCUGAUAUGGCCAUCACCAAUAUUUUUUAGCAUAAUAACCCAGCAAUCUCACGAACAAACGAAACAAACUGCUACCCAAACUCAGAAGCUGUGCCCAUAAAGAAAUCAAAGUAAUGCUAGCCAAAAACUCUUCUCCUUAGAGGGCAUGAAUGGCCAUCGAGAACAGAACAUGAACAGCAAGGAUGCAAGCACAAAAACAGAGUAUCAAUUGAACCAAAGAAAACACCGACCCGAGCUCUAUUUCAUAUUGGAGUCAAUAGGCACAUGUAUAGGUGGGAAAAUCAGUGGAAAUAGGACCCAAAUACAUGACUCAGACACCCAAUGGAGAGAUAAAAAGGAAUCAGAUCACUCUUAAAUCAGUUUUUCAUGAAGAACAAGGCACAAAUUAUUUAUAACACAAUCACAACAAUAUCAAGGAAAACUACUGCAACAAGUAUAUGGUCCAGAAAACGCACCUGAAAGGCUUCCCUCCAACUGAAAUGAGCAAGGAGACUGUUGUGUUUUUCCUCUCCUCACGGUUUGCUUCCUCCGGGAUCCCCCUUCUCUCCGUAACCAGCCUCCAGGAACCUCCCCACUCCUCUGGUUUCUCUCUCUGGUUUCACUCUAAAAAAAAAUGCUCUGUCCUGAUUACUACCAAAAAGUGCUAUUUUUUAGACCUAAUUAUAAUGGUUUUAAGCACCUUUGAGUAGUAAUCAUAUUCAUUUAACCCAAUUAAUUCAUUAAGGUCCUUAGUAAUUGGUUUUAACCAUUUUGUGGCAAGUUUACAUGUUUUUAUCAGCUUAUGAAUCAAUUCAAGCAUGCCAAAUGAUGGAGGAGCUACUUGAACAAGUUAUGGCAAAGCUUUUAGAAGCUCAAAUUCAUGAAGAACCAAAGCUUUGAAGUCCUUUUCCAUAAGCAAAUCCGGAAUGCAAGGAGGGAAAGCAAAGAGAAAUCUGCCAUGAAGCAUUCUUGAUGACAGUCAUGUCAGCCACUUUUGGAGCACUUUCUGAAGUCCAAUUGAUGCAUUCUAUAUACCAUUUCAAAUCUCAGGAAGUCAACAAUCCACUGCUUCAAACGGUGUGCAAUUUGGAGUUGAAACGAAGAAGUUACAGCCAUUGCAAGCCAAUCACUCCAACCUGAAGGAAGCAUUUUGCAAAGUGUUGCGAAAUCACCCUUUUGUUGCGAAGUGAUUCCGCAGCCUUUUUGUAUAGUAGGGUGUAUUUCCUUCUGAAGUUGCCCGACAUAUACCGCGAGAGGGAAGCUUAGAACCUCAAGGUGGAAGCCAACUUUGCAGCCCUGCGAAGAUAGCAUGUUGUUGCGAAAUGAUUUCGCAGCCCUCUUGAGUGUCUACGAAAUCUCGCAGACACCAUUUUCUCUUGCGAAAUGGUUCCUGGAGCCUCCCGAUAUUUGCUACCGACAUUGGGAGAUAUUUUGCAUCAGAUUUUUGUUGUCUAAAUCCCAAAAUACUCCUUGUAAGCCACCAAUUACAAGAUUCCUUAGCUUUUAAGUUAGUAAAAAGAGUAAAUAUGUAUGUAAUAAUUAGUUUUAUAUUAUUUUCUUUAUAUAUAGCUCUCGGGAGCUUGUUCUCGAGAGAGGAUCUAAGAUAGAAAUAGAUAGAUAUAUCAUAUAUAGAAUCAACGAACAGAGCACUUGCUCUGUUUUUCUUAUAUAUUCUUGUUUUCUCGUUAGUUUUCUUGCUAGCCAAACAUUCUCUAAGGAUUUUUCCUCAGAGGAUGAGAGGCUAGGCUCUUUGUCUCUUGGAGUGAGGAAAGCCGAGUAAGUUUCCACAUGCAUAAUUUGGAAGUUUUGUUGUUUUAGUUUUUAAUGAAGAGAAAUUGUGACCCUUUAAUGGUUUUUAUCUUUUUAGUUAACUUAAAAUGCCUUUAAAUCAUCCUGGGCCAACACUUGGUAAGGCAAGUGAUCUCCAUCCAUGGAGAUUCACUAGUUUACCCCUUGCGAGCCUUUGGGAGGUGACUUGAAGGUAGGAUUUUCUAGAAUAGCCAACACUUGGUAAGCUUUUGGACUCCAAGGAGACAUCCAUUAGUUAUCUCUUGCGAGCUUUUGACGGGUAAUCCAAGGUUAAAGAUCACCUUGAAUGGCAAGUGCUAGGUGAGAGGUAUGAGCCAUUGCAAGGUGCAUCAGUGAGAGGGAUUUAGUGUUUGAACCCAUUAAUGGGAAGCAUCUGUACAACACCGGUUGGAGAAGGAACUAUAUGUUAAUUCUCUAAUGCGAGGAAAAGAAACAAGUGACCGGAACUCCCUUUUUGUAUGAGGAACCUAAGCCUAGUGAUCUAAACUCUAAGAAACACUUUUCUUUGUAAGUAAAAUCAGUUACUAUUUGUGGUUAGUUUAAAACCAAACAUUUUCCAACUCAAGUUUAUGUUUUCUUUUAAAGCUAACCUUGAAAUGAAAAAUCACCAAUUCAGCUUUGAAUUAAUAUCAUUUGCAAAGUGAAAACCCAUCCCAGUGAACGAUCCUAGAGCCACUAUGCUAUAGUAGCUUUGUCUUUGCUACCCUAGUAUAUGGUGUAAUAGGUUAUAAAUUUUGUUGAUUACUACCUCAAUCAAGGAGCACCAGCUGGACACGAAUCAGCUGAGACACCAAUUGGGCACGAAUCAAAUGGCGCCGCUGCCGGGGAUCGAACCCCGAAUCAAAUGGUGCCAUUGCCACUGCCGCUGCUAGGGAUGAAUCAUGUCCUCUCUCUCCUGAAACAUGCUCCAUUUUUCUCUCUCUGGUUUCACUCUAAAAAAAUGCUCUGUCCAGACGACACCCCCUUCCUGUAGCUGGCAACCUCUCCAAAAGCACCUCACCUCCAUCUGCCAGCAUCUGCUCCUCUAACAGCCAGUAUAUUCCCAUGUACGCGUCACCUCCUGAUUGGCUCCCCAAACCACUAUUAUGAUUCUCUCAUGGCUUCUCAGGUGCUGACACGUGGCUGACCAAGGCUCUUCCACGUGGUAAAAUUGAGCUGCAAGGUAGGAAUGACCUAAAAGGGGGUCUACACCCUGAUCUAUCAAAUCCUGAAUAGCAUGUCUCAAAGCAGUGCAAUGGUCUGUGUCAUGCCCUGGUCCCUGAUGGUAGGAACAAUGUAAGUCCAUCCUGAAGCGAGGUGGUAUGGGUUGGGGUAAAGGCCUGGAUGCUAAUGAAAUCAGUAAUCCACCCUCUGUGAGCUUCUGAAAAGCUUGAUUCAAAGGCAUACCCAACUGAGCAAACUGACGUGGUGGCCUCUGCACAUAAGUAGUGGUCUGUGGAGCUCGGGGUCAAGUAUAUGGGGCAAGAGGCCUCUCUGCGACGUGUGCAGCAAAAACAGGUUGUGAGUCCGGAUGCAGAUAAGUAGGAGUCAUAGGUCUGGAAGGAGUAGGUGGUCUGUAAUGGGCAUUGAGGUGAAGGUGGAUAGUAGUACCCAAGAGUCUGCCUAACUGUCUGAUAGCGUCUAGAAGGUCUCAUCCUUGCUGAACUGAUAGCACCAACAUCUCCUGAUCUCUGUCCUCCUGAAGGCCUCUUCCCUUUAGAAUCAGUAGGGGAGGACUCAGACCAUAAUCCUCUAGCAAUGCCCUCCUCUAUACCAUACAAAGCCUGUACCAAAGACCCAAAAUCUGUGUGAGGGAAUCCCAUCAAGUGUCUGGCGAAUCUAGGUUGCAAGCUCCUCAUGAUCAUGCUAAUCUGAUCUCUCUCUGAAGGACAAUCUAUAAUCUAUGAAAUCUUCUCCCUCCAGCGGGAGAUAAAUGAAGUAACUGACUCCUCUGGCCUCUGUCUCAAAGCCUCCAACUCUCUCCUCGAAACAUCAAUGACAGUGUUAAAUGCAAACUGUCUCAAAAACUCCUGGGCUAAGUCAUCCCAAGUCCUACGGCGUGAUACCUCCAAUGAAGCGAACCAACGCUGUGCAGCACCACUCAAUGACAUAGGGAAAAGCAUAACUAUCUGGGCAUCAUCCAGUCCAUGGGCCCUCAUAAUAGUACUAUAGAGUCUCAAAUGGAUGCGAGGGCAUCCUAUGCCUGUGUAUCUCUCAAUCUCAAGCAUCCUGAACUUGGCCGGUAGACAGGCCACUAGUGCUCCAUCAAAAUCCUCCCAAGUAAUAGCUCCCUCUGAACUCCUCAUCUGUCUCAACUUCUGCUCAAGUUUAUCCAUACGAACAUGUGGAUCCUCUGAGAUCGGAGUAGGCACUAUGGCAGGAGGUGGUGCAACCUCAGUCUGACUAUGCAGAGUAAAAGAUAUAGUCUGUGGUGCUGGCUGACUGUGCGGAGGUGGUCGUGGUACUGUUGUAUCAAACUGGAUAUCCUCCUGAACUGGGACUUGUCGGGCCUGCUACCCAUCUAUCCUCUGGCCAAGGCUAGCUAUAGCCUCCUGGAUCGAAGCCAUGGCCGCAGCAAACUGGUCAAUGGUAACUAUCUGAGAAUCCAUAUCCCCCUGAUCUGAUCUCUGGUCUAACUGGUUGGAUGCUCUGGUCAAUCUGCCUCCAACUCUAAUCCACGAAGGUGAAUCCAGACUGGUCAGGGUAAACUCUCCUACAAGUAUGGAAACACUGGAUAAGGUGCGGUACGAAAGCGACUCUGUAUGAAUCAACUGAUAAGUGUGCAAGAAAAUAGCCCAAAUGUACUCAAUCUGACAUCCUCCUCUGAUUACACCAAAAGGAGACUAAGGAAGGGAUAACCAAAUCCAAUCGUGACCAAGGCAGCUCUGAAGGUCCACAGAUGCACCCACGUGUAGGAAUGAAAUCUUAAUUAGGUCUAGGAUAACCUACAAGGUUAAGGCGGCUCUAUAAGAUAAAAUGGGUGGGUCAAAGGAUCCCUAGCAGAAGCGAUCGUACCCUCCGGCGGUACGCAACCCUCUGCACGCCUCCACGGAGACGGGGUGCUUCCAUGCAAGGUGGUCAUUACCUCCACACAUGCACUUCCUCGCGCUCCCAGGGGGUUUCUUAAGGUUGAAGGCUCUCCCAUCUCUCAACACUCAGGAAUAAUCUAAAGUGCACAAUGAAGGAUAUGGGUGCAUCCGAAAAACCUAAGAUCUAAAGUGAGAGAGUGAACAAAGACAAGCGAUCAUACGAUCAUGCAAGAGAAAGGGUUGUCAUGCAACAAGCAGUCAUACUAAGCAGAUGAAUAUCAUAAAAUCAAAGUCCUAUCUAGCAUAUGUGAGAGUGAAUCAUGCUGAAGUGAGCAAGCAAUCAAGUGAUCAUCCAAGGCAAUCAAACAUGUCAAGAUAGCAGACCAAUCAAGCAAAUUGAAUCACCUUGCCUAGGAAAGGGGGGUACCCUCUAAUUAAUCAAUUAAACGCCACAUUUUCCUUAACUAGUGUUCAAGCUUGAUCCUCAAAAUCCCCAGUGGAGUCGCCAAUUUGUGGACCCGCAUUUUUCACGUGCGUCCCCACUCGAUUGGUGAAACUCGCUUUUUAUUUAUGAAAAAUUGAUUUUUGAAAAAAAGUUGGAGUCGCCACCUAUUUUAUUUUUAUUUUAAAGGGAAAAUAAAACAAGAAAGAAAAACCCUAAAAAGUGACUCCAUAGUUUUGGAAAAAGCAUGUCUUUGAGAAACCCGAGUCUAGGUCUGGGGAUCAGGUUACUUAUUGGGAAGGUACCUUUAGGAGGUAGCACCCCUCUAAGCCCUAAAGAGGUCCCUACUGACUAAGUUAAGGGAAGUGUGGCCAUUAUUUAGUUAAUUAUGGAUACCUAAGUAGGUUAGGUGAUUUUAAAGUGUGGCAUGUCAAACGCAAUCAAAUUGCAAUAAAGGAGAGUUAGGGUGCGUACCUGAACCGUUCUUCAAGCGCUAUCAUAAAACAUAAAAGUUAGUGUAGAAAUGUAGCACACAACAUUUGUUUUAUUUAAGCAAAUCAAGCAUAUAUCAAGACAUCCAAGAAUCACGUCAAAUAUGGAUAUGGUCAUCAAUGACAUACAAGUCCAUAGAGUUCUUAAAAAAAUAGAUGAGAAGAGAGCGUACCUGGAUAGCAAACUAGUACUCCUCUAUGGGUAACAGGAGUAUUUCAACAAUAAAUACAAAACAAAUUCAUGUAUAUCAUCAAGAAGAAUCAAGCAUCAACACAUCAAACAAACAAUAUCGAAGAGAAAAUCAUGAAUGUAGGGCCCCCACCAAAGCCCUAAUUAAUUUUGCAUGAGUUGGUUCCAUAAAUUCCAUGAUUUGGAAUUAUGAAGUUUAUUCAUGCUUGUUGAAAAUCAAGAAGAUCAAUUGAAAAUCAAAUAAAAUAGUGAAAAUGUGUGCCGGAAGGAAAAUGGCAGCCAAGAAUUUAUUAAAGGUCUAGAUUUAAAUGUCUAUGAACUCCUAAGGAUGAAAUUUUAAAGGAAAUAAGAGUUAUUCAAUGGAAAAUAUUUUGAAAUCCAAAUUUAAAAUGAAUGUGUAAAUUCACAAGCGAACGGAAGGAGCAUCAAGAGGACAAGUGAAUCAAGCCAGCCAUGUUGGAGAGGGCCCUGUGACUAUGCUACUUAAUCUCUGUUUGUGCCUGGACAAUUGAACCUUUCCUAUAGUUUAUUCUUCUGUCUUUCGAAAUUCUCUGUAUUGAAGCAUGCCUCAAGAUGAAUUAGAAUUGUCCUGUUUGACGAAAACUCCCUUAAAAGAAACGGGAAGAAGAUCUGUAUCCCCAUUAAAAGCUCUACUAAUUCCAUAACAGUUCCAGAAUUCUGCAUCAAUUGGCCUCUUAGCUGAACAAACAAACAAAGUCUGUAUGUGCUUCCUGUUUAUCCAUCAAGGGCAAAUUGAAGAUUUCCCUGAUGUCACAUCGCGAGCUUCGUUCCAUCCAAAUCCUUCAUCAUUCAUCAGUAAUUAUAUCAAUUCUGGAAUAGCAGGGGUAGGGUGUGUAUUUUUCAAUUGCGCUGCUACCUUACUGGGAAAUUCAGACCAUUGCCACGAGUCUUCAUCUAUCCUCUCCAUGAAUCUGAAAAUAAUGUCUUGAAGUGGGGCGUUGCAUAGGAAAAAUUGUUGUUUUAGUCGUGAGAGCUUCCCAAUUUCGAUGUAGGGAAGUCAGCUGCAUCCUCCCAAUCAUCUGGCUUGGCCUUAGGCUGAUCAUCUUUAUAUUCUUUUGGAGGGUCAACACACUUGACAUUGCCAUCAUCAACACUGCUGUUCUGACCUAAUGUGGCAUUCUCACACCUAUUGCAAUCACCUUCUCCGUUCUCAGUUGAGAGUUUCAAUGCUACAACAUCUAAACAAGUGAGCAACCUCCUCCCCUGAGCCAGUGUUUUUGAGUCCCUCGAAUCAUGAAAAAUAGAAACUGACCUAGCAAAAUCAAGUAAACCAGUAAAACCCAAGCUUUGUCUAAGGCCAAGGCUAACUAAAGUCUCCAAAGUUUCAGGAUCUGAGAACUUGUCAAGGGGGAAGAAAACUUCUCUGUGAAGCAUGUCUUGCAAUUCGGGAACUCGAGGAUCAUAUAGCCUGGAUGGUUGUUGCCAUGACCCAUUGGCAGCCAAAAAAAAGGGUGUGAUGGAAAGUGUAAGUUUAAUUGAGGUAUCUUCUUCAAUCAAAAGUUUCACAUCAUGUAAAAUGGCUGAAAGUGCUCCCUGCUGUGAAAGAAAUUCUGGCAUGCAAGUGACUACAUAAUCUUUGUAGAAUUGUGCCCUUGAAGGUUCCUUAACCUCUAAAUACCUUCUCAGGAUGAUUCUUUCUUUUUCUGAAUCCGUGCGUACAAAGUCAUCAUUCAAAAGAUCUUCAGACACACCAUUUGGUUUAAGCAAUUUAGUGGGUUUACUCAAACAUACUAGUUUUCUACUUCUGAACGAUUCAAACAUGGGAAGGUGUUUGAUGACAUCAAUAUGUGUGUCAUCCAUCUGACCUUCAGAGAACCACUUUGACUGAAGAAUAAAACUCCUGAGUUCAUGAAGCUCCCCUUCUGAUGCAUCACAGAAAAGUUUCUGAACAUUCUCCGGAUUAUGAGCAAGUGCCAGUAAGGCAUUCAAAAUGCCAGUUGCUAUUGGCAGCUGCACAUAAUUUUUCAACUGUGGAUGCUCUAUAGGCAGGUCAUUCCUCAAAAAUAGGCAUCCUACUUUCAAUAACAAAGAACACAUGUUCUCACUCCACCCAUCAUCUUUUAUCACAUUUGAAUUUUCAAUCAGCUUCAAGAGAUAAUUAUUCCCAACUGGUAAAAUAGGCCACUUCGAAAAUUCUGAGAGAUCAUCACAACAUGACUUCAAAUAACUCCAUAGCAACCUUAACCAUUCUAAACUUGGUUGGCCUUGAUGACCAGGGUUCCAAAUUACCUGUUUGGCAUGCUGCCACUCUGCUGGGAGUAAUCUUAGGAAAAGUUUUUCAAGCAAAUAGCAUGUCAGAAAAGAAAUAUUUAAGUCUUCUGUUUGGGCAAUAUCACAUAGCUUCAUGUGAAUUCCUUCCGGAAUUCCAGAGUCUACAAGUUGAUGUGGAAUUGAAUCCUUAAGAAGACCAUACUCAUCUCCACGUGCAAUAUAAAUCCUUUCACCCACUCCCAUCUUGUCAAAUGCUGUAAAUAAACCAUUGGCAAGGGGUACCAAAGGUAAACCAUACAAACUAUCAGAUCGAACUGGCAUUUUCAAGUCAAGUAAGCAAUAUUCAAGUGUCAAUAUCAUUGCAUUCCUGUCCCUAAAUCCACGUUUCCGCCGAAUCAACAGAGUUCUCAGCAACUAAGGUGUCAGGAAACGCAAUGAUGGACAAAACUCCAUAAGCCUCUCGACAAGUGGCUUAGAAGGAGACACGAGAGGUAGACCAGCAUCAGAUAAUACUUCUACAAGCUCAUGUGCCUUACUGAAAGUAAAAUCAGUAAAAACAGCUUGUUUGGCGGAAAUCCACUGGCCCCCUCUAGCUUUUGUAUACAAUACAGAAAGAUCAGAAUUAGCAAUAAAAUUAUAGAGUUUCUGCACCAUUGAUGCCCAAGGUUCUAUUCCAAUGCUAGUUGACCAAAAUGAAAAGAACAAAUCACAUGGACCAAGUUCCAAUGCAAUUUUCUCAAGCAAAUGACCAUAAGCAGGGGCAGCAACAUCUUCAAGCACGUAAAUGUUCCAUUCCGAGCGUUUUUUUUUCACCCCCUGCCAUGUCAUUGCCAAACCAGAUAUCCCUUCCAUUUGAUGACAAUUCAAAAUAUGCAUUAACAUGUGCUGGAAGACCAGUACUGAUCGGCAGUGGUAAAAAGCAGAAUGCACGGCCCUCAAAAUUCUUUCUAUCUUGAAUAGAAGAAGCAGGAACUUCAAAGACAUCAGAAAUAGUUUCACAAGUUCUCUCAGUAUGCGGAAUAUCACUCGAUUCCCUAUCAACCUUGACAGAGUGUAAAUAUGCAGCAACACAAGCCCAAGGAAUUAAAUUAUGAGACUUCGAGGGUGCAGAGUUCUUAACUUGCCCAACACCUAAACAUUCACUGGUUAUUGAUUACUACCAAAAAGUGCUAUUUUGUAGACCUAAUUAUAAUGGUUUUUAAGCACCUUUGAGUAGUAAUCAUAUUCAUUUAACCCAAUUAAUUCAUUAAGGUCCUUAGUAAUUAGUUUUAACCUUUUUGUGGCAAAGUUGACAUGUUUUUAUCAGCUUAUGAAUCGAUUCAAGCAUGCCAAUUGAUGGAGGAGCUACUUGGGCGAGUUAAGCAAGGAUUUUGUACUUUUAUAGGCUUGAAUUUCAAGUGGAAACACGAGCACAAGCAAUGGAGAAGAGGAAAACAGAGUGAAGAAAACAGCUGCAGUAUUCCUUUGAACUUUUGGAGCACUUCCCGAAGUCCAUUUUUUGCAUGCUAUAUACCAUUUGAAAGCUUAGGAAGUCAAGAAUCCAAAGCUUCAAACCGUGUAUGAUUUGGAGCUGAAAUGAAGAAGAUAUGGCCUUUGGAAGGCAACUGCAUCAUGUCAAAUGACCAAUUUCGCAAGGAGAUUUUCUUCAUGGUGCGAAAUUUUGCCACUUCGCACCAUGAAGAAACACAUUGCGAAAAUUUCGCAAGGAGGAUUUAGGCACAUUGCGAAAUUCCUUUGAAUCCCCUGUUUUGAGACGUUGUUGAUGUUAUUCCACUACCGGUUCUCCAAGAUAUUUUGCUUGAUUUUUAGCUUUGUAAAUACCUAUUUUACCCUNNNNNNNNNNNNNNNNNNNNNNNNNNNNNNNNNNNNNNNNNNNNNNNNNNNNNNNNNNNNNNNNNNNNNNNNNNNNNNNNNNNNNNNNNNNNNNNNNNNNCAGUCACCAGCCCAAUCAAGCCAACAGAGUCAAGGUCAAUCCUCAAUUGAGCAAGCACUCGUAAGCCUUAGCAAGGUUAUGGGUGACUUUGUGAGUGAGCAAAAAUCCAUCAACUCUCAACUAAAUCAGAAGAUUAACAACGUAGAGAGUACAUUGAACAAGAAGAUAGAUGGGAUGCAUAAUGAGUUGUCUCAGAAAAUUGACAACAUCCAAUAUUCCAUCUCAAGGCUCACAAAUUUGAACACUGUCAAUGAGAAAGGGAAGUUUCCCUCUCAGCCUCACCAAAAUCCUAAGGGGAUACAUGAAGUGGAAUCCAAAGAUGAGGAUUCUUCAAAGGUGAGGGACGUGCAAGCUAUUAUCACUUUGAGAAGUGGUAAGGAAGUGCAUCAGCCGGAGCAUGAUCAGAGGAAAGCCAAAGAAGACAAGGCUGAUAGAAAAGAAGAAAAGAAGAAAGAACAAAAGGGAAAGGAAGUUCAGAUGAAAGAAAGCAUCAUUCCAAGCAUGGAUGAGGAACCUCAAAUUCUUUUAAAGGAAGAAAUGAUGAAGAAUCACAUCCCUCCACCUUUCCCCCAAGCUUUGUAUGGCACCAUCAUACAAAGCAAGUCUCAAGUGAGGGAUGCAAACUUCAUAUGGGAUCCGGGCAAGCUAAACCAAGGAUCAAAUUUUUUGAUGGACUUAGUCUUUUUAAAGACUAGCUAGUCCAUAUCUUUUUUGUUUUAUUACUAGUUUUGAUUUUGAUUUUUUAUGUUUUUAAUGGAGCUUUGAUGUCCAAUAGCAGGUACGAAAGCUCACAAGCUCACAAAUGUGGAAAGAAAGGUGAAAUAAGGGAGAAAUAUACCUAAGUCCAAGCUUAAAAGCCCAUUUCGCAACUCAAAAAGUGAGUUGCGAAAUGCACAUUUUGGCAAGAUGCAAAAUGCAACCUCUCGGGAUUGCACUUUCGCAAGGAGUAACCAGUGCGAAAAUUUUCGCAAGUUAUUUUUCACCUUGCGAAAUUGUUUUCAAAGCAAAUAUCAAAAUGCAACCUCUCGGGAUUGGUUUUUAAGGGGAGUAGCCAGUGCGAAAAUUUGGCAAGGUGAAUUUUCACCUUGCGAAAUUUCCAGCACUCCGCCAUGCUCUCUCAGAUCCACCAUCACCUGGGCAUAUCACCUCCUCCACCUCAGGAGCCACAUCCAUGAUUGGAUAUUUCUAUCUCCAUUUUGUAUAUGUUUUUUUGUAGAUGUACAUGUUUUAUAUUCUGAGAUUGUAUGUACCUCAUGCUUCUAUCUUGUACUCAACUCUCUCAGUUUAUAUAAGCAUCAUUUUUUGUAUCUUAUUUCCUCUCUCACGUUUCUUAUGGUUUUUGAAUCAUGUGGAUGCACUCACACGCCUUGAAUACCAUAUCACCAUAAGGUAUAUCAUUCCUUCCUCGUCUUUUUCGAUAGAAACAUUGGGGACAAUGUUCAUCUCGGUUGGUGGGAGAGUUGAGGAAGUAAGUAUUUCCUAUUUUAGUUAGUUAUUUUGUUGAUUUAGUAGUUUUUGCCCUUUUUCAAAAUUUUUUGUUUCAUCCUCUAUGGUUGUUAAAGAUAAUUUCUCAAAAUAAAAUAGGAUAAGUCGAGUUUUAACUUAAUUACUUAAGUCUUAGAGUUUGUUUUAUACUUUCAAAGUUGAUAAUCUAUUGAAGCCCUCUUUGAUUUCGAACUUAUUUCUUCCAUUUCAAGCUUUACACACACCGUGCACAUUAGAUCCCGGAUUUAUGAUGUAAAACUUUCUCACCCUCUAAGCUUAGGAAAAUUUUGACUUGGUUCAUUGCUUAACCUCUUUUUAAUAGUGUUGGGACACCUCAAAAAGACCAAUGAGUCUUAGAAAAAGAAAAAAAGAAAAAAGAAAAAGAAAAAGAAAAAAAAAAUAAGCUUCUAUUCUUUCCUUGAAACCUAAGCAUGAUCCGAAGGGGUGGCGAAAGCCUUUAAAACCCGAUGCCCUAAACCUUGAUUGGUUGGGAGUCAUCGAUCCUCUGCUUGCUACAUAGGUGAAUUGGUUAAGUUUAGUGAGUAAAAAGAAUUGUGAAUAAGAAGGUGCGUUCCUAACCUAUUAAGAGUUGGUUAAUUUUGCCAAUGUCCGAGAAAAGCUUAGGUUGGGGGGAGAGGAUAGUUGUGCAUACUAUAUCCGGAAGCUAAUCUCAUUAACACUUAGCUCAUUAUGGAAGAGUUUGAUUCGGAACCUUGAGAGUAGAGAUUCUUUUGAUACUUAAUUGCAUAAUCUCCACUCUUUGUACUUUUUGUUUAAGUUUUAGCUUUGACAACUCCUAUUGCAUUUUGAAUCUUCGUAUCUUUAGUUCACCAUGUGAGAUGUGUUUUGAUAUCAGUCAUGCCACUCAAUUAUUUUUUGGAGUGAUUUGCAUGAUCCCUUUUAUGUAUAUUAUUAUAGUUUACUUAGUUUUUAUCUCCUCCAUUGCUAAGGGACUAGCAAUGAGUCGGUUGGGGGGUGUGAUUACUACCAAAAAGUGCUAUUUUGUAGACCUAAUUAUAAUGGUUUUUAAGCACCUUUGAGUAGUAAUCAUAUUCAUUUAACCCAAUUAAUUCAUUAAGGUCCUUAGUAAUUAGUUUUAACCUUUUUGUGGCAAAGUUGACAUGUUUUUAUCAGCUUAUGAAUCGAUUCAAGCAUGCCAAUUGAUGGAGGAGCUACUUGGGCGAGUUAAGCAAGGAUUUUGUACGUUUAUAGGCUUGAAUUUCAAGUGGAAACACGAGCACAAGCAAUGGAGAAGAGGAAAACAGAGUGAAGAAAACAGCUGCAGUAUUCCUUUGAACUUUUGGAGCACUUCCCGAAGUCCAUUUUUUGCAUGCUAUAUACCAUUUGAAAGCUUAGGAAGUCAAAAAUCCAAAGCUUCAAACCGUGUAUGAUUUGGAGCUGAAAUGAAGAAGAUAUGGCCUUUGGAAGGCAACUGCAUCAUGUCAAAUGACCAAUUUCGCAAUGUGAAAUUCACAUUGCGAAAAUUUCGCAAGGAGAUUUUCUUCAUGGUGCGAAAUUUUGCCACUUCGCACCAUGAAGAAACACAUUGCGAAAAUUUCGCAAGGAGGAUUUAGGCACAUUGCGAAAUUCCUUUGAAUCCCCUGUUUUGAGACGUUGUUGAUGUUAUUCCACUACCGGUUCUCCAAGAUAUUUUGCUUGAUUUUUAGCUUUGUAAAUACCUAUUUUACCCUUGUAAUCAACCAAUGAAUAGGUUGCUUUUGUAAUAGCUCUUGUAAUUUAGCUUGUUAUUGUCUUUAAAUAGAGGUGAAGAGCCUCAGACAAUCAUCAUCUAAUCUUGUAACCUGUAACUUUAUAAGUUAUAAGAGCACUUUUGUUCAUACGUUUCUUUCUCAUUUUCUUAGUAGCCAAACAUCCUUAGAGGAUGAAAUCCCCAAGGAUGGGAGGCUAAAACCUUUUAGUUUCUUGAAGUAAUGGAUGCCAUGUGAAGCUCCCGUGUCAGGAUGGAGAUUUCCAAGCCAUGAAUGUAAGUAGCUGAGCGUCAUAAAUGUUUUCAUUCAAAGUAAAGCUUUUAAUCCCUCUGACUUGCUUUGAAUGGCCAAUACUUGAUAAGCUUUUGGUCUCAGUGGAUUCUUAUUGUUAGAUCCACUGACGUUCAUUAGUUAUCUCCUACGAGCCAUUGUAUUGCAAGUCGAGGAGAUGACCUAUAUCAUUAAAAGGGCAUUUAUGAGGUUCAGCUACCCUUUUUGUAAGUUUUCAAGGACUAAAACUCAGUUGUUAAACUCAUACCAGUUCGGGAAGUAAGCAUCACCUUAGUUGCUUCCCCAACUCGAGGUGAAAAGUCCCAAAAUCUCCAUUUUUACACAGUGAGUUAAGCAUGGCUAUCCAAAGCUUUGAGAAACUUCUUUUUCCAUCUUUUAACCUAUUUUCAUGUUAGUUUAGUUUACACACCUUCAUCUUUUUAUGUUUUCAUCUUAACCUAAUUUUUAUUAAGAAAAGUUCACUCCAUCCUCCGAACUUCACCAGUUAAAGUAAAAACCCUUCCCAGUGUUCGAUCCUAGAGCCACUAUGCUAUAGUAGCUUUGCUACUUUAGUGUAAGGACCUUAGGUAUAAAUUUUGUUGAUACCCUUACAUGCCAAGCUACCAAGAGUCGGGUUAUCAGUUACCCAAAAGUGUGACAUAUUUUUUUGACGAACUUUGCUCUGUCAUCACAAUCUUCUGACAUUUCCAUGGCAAAUUCUUAUCAACUAAUUUACUCAAUUUUUUUAGAAACUGAUCCUUAUCCAUUCCACUGUGCUGAUUUCCAUUAAAAAUGCUGAACAUAUGUAGAGAAUUGGGUUCAAUGUCAGGUUCACUGAUGCAAUGUUUAUGAACGUGAUGUAUGAGUUGCAUUUCACAACCAGUUUCUUCCUUAACAAAAAUGGAGAUGGUUUUCACAUUACAGACGAAAAGUAAAGCCUCUGAAACAACCUUAGAAAAAGAAGCAAAGAGAGACAUGACAUCUUCAGGUGCAUAGCCUUCUUUCUUUAUUUGGCUUCAAGAAGCAACACUUGCAUUCCUGAGGAGAAAACGAAAGAGUGUGCCAGGAAAGGGAUUCUACAAGUCACAGCCAAAGUGUAGGAAUGGAGAGAACUGAUAUGGAAAUUGUUCCAGAAUCCUUCUCCCAACAUAUCUAAUUCUUAAACCAGGGUGGGAUGGAGAGAUUCCAGGCAAAUUAAAGGCAUGAGGAUCAAACAUAACAAUAUUUUCCCCAGAAACAAAAGUUGGUAUGUCUGUAAAAUGAUAAGCACAAUUAAAUCCCAGCCCAAAUCUUCCAAUAGCAAAUGGCUUCUCUAGCUUGCUUUCUUGAACAAAUCCGCGAGAUUGCAUAAAGAUCUUGUGGACUGAAAAUAGAGUCAUUGAAACAGUACAAAGCAGGGCCUUGCCAAUCUGCCAUUUCAAGAGAGAGGAUGGAAGAAGUCCCAUACUGGGUUUUCCGCGAUCAUCCCAUCUUUAAAUCUUUGAAGCUCUGCUUUCUCUCCCCAAAAAUUCCGGAAUUUAAGAGCCUCAUCUUUAUGCUCAGCAUUUGGACCAGCAUCGACCACUCUAAAAGCUUUCUCUAAAGAGCUGACUAAAAUCCCAAUGAGCAAUGGCCCUCGCUCAAAGAUCGAUAAACUAUUUUCCACAUUGCAUUCUGAAGUGGCAUUUUUCCAGCUAACACGGAUGAACUUUGCUCUAAGAGAACCAACAUUUCAUCAUAAAACCCAAUUGAUCCAAAAUAGGAAACUAAGGAAUUAAUCAAAUCUUCUUUCUGGACAUUUCUUCGAACACACCAUAAGCACCUCAAAUAGAUUCAAAUACCGUACAGGAAGAGGGAUAGAGAACAAAUAAAAAAAGAAAAGAUAUAAAACCCGAAGACGAAGAAAGCGGAAGACAUUGAUCAAUAAACAUAAAUAGCUCCACUUCAAAUGUUAAUCCGUGGGCUGGGGACAGAGGAAACAAUGCAGUAUGGGAUUUUUAACAAAAAAAAACAUGAUCAAAUUCAAGCAUGGAGUCAUGAAUUUCAGAAGACAACAAUGACACAUGAGAGAAUCAGAAUCUAAAACAGGGCAAAGAAGUGAGUAACCAAUCUCAAGAAAUCAAUUUGUGGCCCUUUCCGUCCACACCAAUCAUCAGUAUAUUAAAUGUUCAGAAACAAACACACGGAGAAAUCAAGUAUGGGUAAGAAUUCCAAGAGUGGCGAGAAUCAUACCUGGGCAGCCUUGGUUGCAAUUGCUCUCUUCUCCAAUUCCUUUGUGCUUCUCCUCAAGACGAUCCCUCAAAUCCCCUCUCUCUUUUUCCUCUCUCACAUAUAUAUCAGCCUCCCUCAAAGAACCCCCCAAAUCUGCUGGAGGAAAAUCCACUUUCCUUUCAUAUUUUCUUCCCUUUUGUAACCGAUUCCCUCAUGGAAAUAAUAUACGUGCUAUCCUUCUAAAAACACAAUCUCCUCUUUUCAAAAUUCUGUUGAUUUUCCUUCCAAAUAAAUGGCGGCCGUUUUCUCAUGGCCAAAAAAUAAAUAAAUAAAUAAAUAAAGAUACAAAUAGAAAUAAGAAUAAAAUAAAGACAAAAUAGAAUAAAGAUUAAAAUCAAUAAACAUCAUGAAAUUGAAAAUCAAAAGAAAUUUAAAUCACACAUCUAAAAAAUAAAAUAAAUAAACAAAAAAUAAAAAAUAAAAAUAAAAAUAAAAAUAUUUAAAAACAAAAAAUAAAAUAAAAAAAAUCAACCACAUGCAAGCCAUACAAGCUAUGUAACCACCAAAAGAAUAUGAGUCAUGAAACCAUGCAAAAACACGAGCCAUGCAACCAUGCGAACCAUGCAAAAACAUCUAAAGGUGACCUAGGGUGUGUCCUAAUGGGCCAAGUGUAUCUAAAAGCUAUCCUAAAAAAAACAAGAAAAGCCUAAGUUUAAGUUAGGGCUGCCAAGGGUCACAAUAAGGGAUCAAAUAAUUCCUCAACCAAAAUCUCCGAGGUGACUCAGAAAAAGGUAAGUGGUACGAGUAGUAAUGGGCCACCAAGGAACUACCGUGGAGCAUUGGAAGUAAAUUUAAAGACAUGUGCUAAAGGGACAAAAUUGAGGGUCUACAGAAAGCAACAUGUGAAGCUAAAAAUGAUAUCAGGAGGAUGAUCUUGUGGCUUUGAUCAAUGUAAUAUUUGGUCCAACAUCUCAUAAAACCAAGAGAAUCCAUGGCAACAUAAAAAAGAAGGUCGUGACCAUACUAAUUGACUUAGGAAGCACCCAUAACUUCCUUGAUCUCGUAGAGGCCAAACGAAACAAGAUGCUCAAUACAAACUACCAACCCCAUGAAGGUGGCAAUAACAGAUAGAACUAGAAUUACUAGUGAUGCAAUUUGUAGGCAAUGUUAGGAUAGAACCCUUAAAAGCAUGACAUAAUGUAAUAAAUUUGGAAUUCAUUAUUUAUUUAAUGAUAUUCCAAUUUCACUUUUAUCUAUCCUUAUUCCAUGUAUUAUACUUUAUGAACUUUUUUGUCUACAUCUUUUGCAUUGUACGUGACUUAGGUGCCUUAGGAGUUGCACAGAAGAUCUAAGUCAUGAGUUCCUUGCAAAUAGAUGACUUGUUCACAACCAAUUCAUGGGUGUAGGCAAUCCAUUAGAGGUUUUAGUGCACCACUUCCUAAUUAGAGGAAUAACUGGUCUUGGCUAUUGGGAUGAGUUUCCCAUGAUGAGUGUACUAAUAUGUAUGGAUGCACAUUAGACAGGACCGAUGGUGAGUUAUGACUUAAGGCUAUCAAGUAGUAAUGACUUCACCAAGUUGUUUCAUUAUGUUGUCUCUCAACCUUGAGAGAAUAUUGCAUUUGUGUUGAAGUUAGCAGUGUCUUUGAUCCACGGGUGAAAUCGUAAGCUAAUCAUAUACUCUUUAUGGAUUGGAUCACUACUGAUGGAUGCCAAUAGCAAUAAGUAUUCUAAAUAGAGACACCAUGAUAUCUCUUAGGAAUAAGACAGUGUGUCUCCUCGGGUGAUCCUAAGGAGGUGUGUUCAUGGAAACUAUGGUCAUAAUAGUUCCUUAGGUGGAACUUGACAUAGGCUCUUUGAAAGCUAAGAUAUGUCAAUUGAACACACAAUAGGAGAAUCUAUAACUCAAGGAUGGUAGAGAUAGUCUUAAAAGGCUUAUAGCUUUCACUUUGUUAGACUACGAACACCAAUUCAUGUGGAGACUAAACACAAUGGAUAACAGGUCAUGGACUUGAGCACUUGGUGUCUUAUUAUUAUUUACAUAGGAUAUUUGAGUUCAGUUGAUUCUCUAUAGUGGGAUAUUAAAUCAACUUUAGAAUUGGAUUAUGAGAAAACCAGUAUUUCUAUGGGUCUUAGUGGUCCCUGUUUUGAGCUCAUAUACCUUGUUGGCACAGAUUAUGAGGGUCAGAUUGGCUUUAGGUUUAGUUUUGUACAUAAGGGUGUUUUGGUAAUCACACAAGGUUGCAUAGAGGUAAGUGAGCAAGGUCUUUGGAUUGGGUUAAUUGAUUAAUUAGUAGGCUCUGUUAGGUUAACUAAUCAAUUAGGACCCAUUUUGGGAUAGAUUAAGUGACCCAAGCCCUUAGUGAACUCAAGUCACUUAAGCUUAGUAGGAAACCAUGUAAAUACCCCCUUAGGGGUUAGGGUUCCCAUUGCUUUUUCUAGAGAUCCAUCUUCCAUCUCCAGAGAGAAAGAGAGAGAUUUAUAGCAUGUACUCUUCCUUCUAUCCCCACCAGAAGUGUGUCAAGAUCAAGUUUCGAGUCAUCGGGUGGAAGACUUCAGGUUUAUGAGACUUCUACGAUUUCAUUCUUCAUCUUCACCACAUAGAUUUGAUUUAGAAACGUCUGAAUCUAAGGUAUGGAUUUUGUUUACACUUUAUGAAUCCCUUUAAAGUUUAAAAAUGUUAUUUUUCCAUUGUGCAAAGGAUUUAGAAAAAGCCUAGGAUAGUUAUGCAUGUUCAUAACUUGAUUCGAUCUUAGGAAAGGAAGAGAUCCUAGUUUUUCCCAUUAGGCAAUUGACAUGGAACAUGCAAGGGAAUAAAUUUUAGAUAGAUUUGAGGCUCAUCCUUUUGAGUAGGUGCGAUAUGGUAUUGGGAAUUCAAUGGCCAGCUGAAUUGGGACUCAUAUUAUGGGAUUUCAAGAAUUUAAAAAUUGAAUUUAUUGUUGAUGGAAGGAAAUUCGUGUUAAGAGGUAAAACUAUAGGUCCUAAGAAGUUAGUUUCAACAAAUCAAAUUCAAAAUUAUUUAAGGCAUAUGUCUCAAGCAUCUACAAUUCAAAAUUUCACUAUACAAGGGAAUGAGGAAAAUAAAGUUGAAAAUGAACAACAUGGCAACUGUCCAACUCAUUUCCAAACAACGUAACAUAGAAAGAUGCUUACUUUCAACAAAAGUUUCCAUAGUUUCAACCUUGAGGACAAGACUUCUUUUGAUGGGGGAGAGUAUGUUACAACCCUGAAUAAAGGAUCCCUAAUAUCCCUUAAUCUUUAGUUUCUAUUUCUGCUUAGUUUCUACUUCUAUUUAGUUUCUAUUUAAAUUGGGGAAUAAAGGAUCCCUAAGAUCCCUCAAUCUUUAGUUUCUAUUUCUAUUUAGUUUCCUAUAUAAAAUAAGGAAAGUGUAAUGGAGAAAAACAUGAAAAAAUAAUCUCAAUAAGAAAAAGUUGUUCUCUCAAUUUUGCAUAUUUUCCUCAUAUCAUAAAAUUUUACAUGUAGAUUUUCUCCUUUUGAAGCUCUAUAUGAUACAAAAUCAAUUCUCUUUUACUCCAAUUCCAAGUAUGUAUUUACUGAAAUGGGUAUGCUUUGACUCUCAAUGAACACAUUUUCUCAAUUUUUCUUCAUACCUGAGUGGAAAUAACAUAAGGCAGUUAAACUUGCUUUGAGAUUAAUUGUGGUUUUGACAAGCAUUUCAUCUAUAAUUCAUUUAUACACAACUAGGUACAGUACAAGACUUCCUAAUUAAACAAAGUUUCUGGCAUUAAUGAAUUGAAAAAAAUAUGGGUAAAACAAGUUUCUACUCACCAUCCCAAACAUUCCUUUAGAUGUAUUGUAUGGUAGAGGAUUAUUCUUUAUUAUUAUUAUUAGUACUAUUCUUUUUUUCCCUUUUUAAUGGUUUGUAGUAGAUUCAAAUGGCAUUAUAGAAGUAGAAUUUCCUAAUUUAAUUUGUUGGACAAAUUUGCUUUGGUUUUGCAAUAUUUUGUGUUUUGAAUACAUAGAAAUUGAAAUAUAAUAAGAUAACAAUUAUAAUGUGUUUUUAAGGGGAUUUUUUUUUAUCUUCUAUAAGUAAAUAAAAAGAAAGAAAAAAGAAAAAAAAACCAACACCAACAACAAUAAUAAUAUAGACAUUUGCAAUUUUUUUUAAAGUGUCUCUAUUAGAACAUUGAGUUUUAUUUAUAUGUUGGUAAUUUUGUUCCAAAUUAUUUUUUGCCUUAGAAAUCUUUUUAGAUGGUGGCUUACUCUCCAUUGAAGAUCAUGGAUUGCUACUUGUCCAACUGGAAAGUCAUAGGAACGUUUAAAAGGUUUGACUUGUGGCAAAUUAGGGUUCUAAAGGGUAUAAAUAGGAGUGUUAUUCUUUUUUUGGAAUAAAAUUGAUUUUUAUUUAACUUUGUAAAAAAUGCAGGAUUGCUCGAGCGGGAAAUAGCACUCAAGCCCUGGGACCGCUCGAGCGCUUGACUAGUGCUCGAAUGCCCAAGGUGCUCAAGCAAUGGUUAAGUGUGCUUGGCCUCGAGCUCUCAAGUGUUCAUGCCAAUUAUGCCAAAGAUUAGCAUAAUAUUUUCGAAGAUUUCAUGCAGUUGUAAGUAUUGGAGAUUUCAAUAAGGCUAAAGAGUAUUCAGUGGAGAAAUUAGAGAUUGUUGUAUCAUAUACGUGGAUGAAGUUGUAGGUAUUGGAGGGUAAGCCUUUAGGAUAAAACGACCAGGUAAAUUUGUAACUUGAUCAUGUAUAGUGGAUUUUGAUUAGUAGUCUUAGACCUUGUGGUUUUUUUUAUCUCCACAAUAAUGUGGGGAUUUUUCAUGUAAAAAUCAUUGUGUCCAUUGCUAUAUCUUGUGAUUAUCACGAUUAUUUAGAUUCUGUUUAUCUCUAAUAUUAUCUCACAUUGUAAAAAUUGGGUAUAACAUAUAAUCUUUAUUUUAGAAUUCUUUUAAUUACACCCAUUCACCUCCCUUCUCUCUUUGGGUGUUACCCUACUAGACUUGGCUUUUUCAGUCUCAAAUUCUACACUAGCCUUUUUUUUUACUUAAGUUAUAAAUGGAAAAAGUUAUAAACCCAAGAUAACUUGUUAAAAAAGUGAGAAAUAAUAAAGGACUCGUGUUAGAGUAUAAAUAACUAAUUUGUUCUAGGCUUAAUAUAAAUCCAAUGUUAAAUAUGAAUACUUAAUUAUUUAUUAUAUUUUGAAAAUAAAGUAAGUAUUUUUUAUAUAAAAAAUAAAACAACUUUUCUAGAACAACACAAGGCACUAAUGCAUAUAGUUGGUAACAAGUUGGAGAAAGAAAAUAAUGUGGAGAAAUAAAACGUGUAGAAAGAAAACAACUUGGAGAGAAAGAAAAUGACUAACAGAAAAGGAAAUAGAGAAAUUAUAGAAUGUAAGAUAAUUACACUUAUUUUCAUAAAAAUAAUAUAUUUUCGAAAAAUAGAAAAUUUCAUUCAUAUUCUCUUUUUCACUUAUUUUAAAAAUUAAAAUUAAAAUUAAUAUUUAUCAAAUGAAAAUAUUAAUAAUUAUAAAAUUAAUAUUUAUCAAAUACAUAAGAUUAAGAUUUAGAUAUAAACUUUUUAUAAUCUAAACUAUUAUAUAUUUUCAUUUUAAAUGAGAAAGGUUGAUGUGAUAUUAUAAAAUUUGUACACAUAAUUUAAGUUAUCUCUAUUCAUAUAGAAUUAUAUAUAGGUAUAGAUUCAUUUCAAAAUUCAAAUAAUUAUUUGAAUUUUACAUUUAAAUUUUAUUUUUAAAUUUAAGACUUAAUUAUUUUGUAAUUAGAGUACUUGUCAUAAAAUUGAAGCUUAUAUAUUUAUAAAUGCCUCCACUUCCAUACCUGUCAUAAAAUUGGAGCCUACUUUUUUUUAUUUUCUUUUGUGUGUUUAUAAAUGUCUCCAAUUCCAUAUCUAGCUGUGAUAUAUUUUUAUAGAUGAUUGUGAUUGAAGUAUAAUUUCUUUUGAUUUUAAUUUUAUAAGAAUUAAAAAUCUUAUCUAAAUUUGAUUAUUAUUUUAGUUUUCUAAAAGUUCAGAGUAUUACAAAGAAACUGUUGGGUAGAAAGAUGUUUCCCUCCAUAUAUACAUAUCUAAUUAAAAAAAAAAACACACAAAGAAAGACAACAAUAGAUGAUCAAAAUUAUUAUUCAUAUGUUAUGUCAGUGCAAAAUAUGAAAAAGAAGACAGAAGCGUGCGUCUUCACUGUGACUGAGGAUCAAAAUCUCUUUGAGAUUGAUAUAAAUUAUUUAUAGCUUCAUUGUUUGUGGAGAGUUGAUUCAGUAGUGUCUUCCAUUUGAAGACAUACAGAAAUAGUUAGAAUUAUCUAUUCAUUUCAAGAGAUAACUUGCAUCUAUGACCCUUAUACUCCCAUGAACUUUGAUCCGAUUAACACAGUGGGCAUUUAUUAUUUAUAAAAUAUGGAUGAAAAGAGAAUUAAAAAAAAAUUAAUGGGAAGUGUAUUUUGGAAAAAAAAUAAUUCUCAUUUGAUACAUUGGAAAAGUAUCUACCUCAAAAAUGUCAUUAUAUGUGUACAUGGGUCAUCAUCCAUAGUAACCCAAUUCACAUGAGGACGGUACAUCAUUCAACCAAUAAAGGUACUUUAAGCUCAAAACAGUGGUACAGUAUAAUCAAAACAAUAUUACUUUAAUAUCAAAAUACAUGCAAGGACAUUUUUAAGGUAAUGUGAGGUAAAUACUACUAUAAUACAUUAAAUAAGAAUUAUUUUCCCAAAAAUGUGCUUCCCAUGAAAAUGACUUAUGUGGUUUCUUUUAUUUAUAUUUUAUAAAUAGUGCAUGUUUACAUAAUUCCCUCAUUAAUUAAUAUAAUCAUCUAUACCUGAUAAUUAAGGAAAUAAAAAAUAUUUACAUACUAAGCAAGGAUAAUGGAAAUUAAAGAGUAUGUCAAAAAGAGAAAAAAUAAUAUUAAAGAUAAAUUAAAACUCUAAAAUACAAGCUUCAUUUACGCAUAUAGGCCAAUAUCUUAGGAGGUAUUUGAUUAAAUAAUAAUAAUAAUAAUGAUUAAAAAAUGGAAAAAAUUAUGGAUCCCAUUUUUUAAGUGUUUUCAAUAACAUAAUUAUAAACCUCUUAAAAUUUAAAAUCAUUUAUUUAAACCAUUUUAUUCAUUUAGCAACAAGGACUUAAUUAAUCACUAAGAUCGAACACAAUGAUUUAUAAUUUUUUCUUCCAUUACCAUCUUUUUUUUUUUUUUUGUUAAUAAAAUGAAGAUUUCUAUAGAUGAAUUUUUUAUAAUAAAACGUAACUUCUUUUAAAUUAAAACCAUUUAUUAUUAAAAAAAAUUAUUUUAAUCCAUCUAUGUUCUUUUAACCAAUUCUUUUAGAAUUUUUAUAAAUUUUUUUUUCAUAUUUAAAGAUAAAAAAAUGAUUAUGAAAUAAUUUUAUUCAUUAUAAAAUUUAUCUUUCUUUUCUAAAUCAGAAUUUUUGUCAUGUCCAUUCAUAUAAUAAAAUUUAAAUUAUGAAUAAAAAAACCUAUUUUAAUUUUUAGCGUCAUGGAAUCUCUCCAUGCACACUCAUGCAGCCAACCAUCAGUUCCCAUGGCAGCCACGUGUCUUCCAACAAGUAUAUUCCCUUUCUUUGGCUCUCCACAUUUGUGUUCUAUUUUUAUUUAUUUAUUUUAUCUUGAUUAGUAGUUCACAGAACAAGCAUGAGAAGGAUAUGAGUAGAUAUGCCAUGGCUAUGAUCACUUCUAACACUAAACCCUCUUAAACCAAGUGAGGUGUGAAUGCAGUAUGCAAGUCUAAAUAAUGGUGAAAGAAUAAAAACAAAGGAGAAUGCAUGUAAGAUGUAUAUAUAACUAUAAAUAAGGAUUCAAAAUGAGGGGAAAAAUCAUCAAGAAGGGUGAACCAUGGGUGAUAAGCCACUUUAAGGUUCAUCCUUUGGAUAAAUAUUAAAAGUUAAAGAGUAUAAAAUGUCUACGUAUGUUGUCAAUUAUUUUUUUUUCACUUUUAAGUUAAAUAUAUUUUUAUUGUUAUAGAUGAAGUAAUGAAUGCCACCACAUUUAUUAUAUUAAAUGUUCAUUAAAAGCCUAUAAAAUUGUUUCCUAUCCCCUGUAAAAUGCAUCCCAAGCAAAGAAAUAAAUUUUCUUUCUCUCUUAUUCUUUAUUUAUUUUUAUUUAUUAUAUUGUUCAUUCUUUCAACUCUCUUAAUUAUCUUUUAUGAUUCCUUCCUCUCCAUUAUAUAUUAUUAUCAAAAUAAUAUAUAGUUGUUCUCUACUUUUACUUGCGUUGCAUUUCCUCCUUUUACAACAUGUUAUAAGCAUGAAUUGCCCUGAAGGUAAUUCUCAUAUCUUAAACUUGAAGUUAUUUAUAUAGAUUAAAAUUUUACAUAUUUAUAUUGCUAUUGUUAAAUUCAUUUAAUUUGUGUUAUAUAUUAUUAAAACCUAUAAGCAAAUUAUUUGAUUUUGAUUAUAAUCAAAAGUUAUACCAAUGCUAUUAAUUUAUAACUAAUUCUAGUAAUAUUGUUUUGUCAUAUAUCUGAAGUUAUUUAACAAUGUCAAAUCUCACAAAACUCGAAUUUGUGGUACUUGACAUUUCGGGAAAGAACUAUAUAUCUUGGAUCCUUAAUGCUGAAAUACAUCUUGAUGCAAUGAAUCUUGAAGCUACGAUUAAAGAAGGAAAUCAAGCAUCCUUGUAGGAUCACGCAAAAGCGUUGAUUUUCCUUCGCCAUCAUCUCUAUAAAGGUUUUAAAAAUGAGUAUCUUAUAGUAAAGGAUGCUUUUACUCUAUGGAGUAAUUUGAAGGAAAUGUAUGACCGCCAGAAAAUUGUGAUUAUCCCAAAAGCUUGAUAUGAUUGGAUGCACUUAAGGUUGUAGGAUUUUAAAACUAUUAGUGAAUAUAAUUUGCACUUUCAAAUUUAGCUCUCAAUUAAAGCUACGUGGAGAAAAAAAUCACAGAAGAAGACAUGUUAGAAAAAAUGUUGCUACAUUUCAUGCCUCGAAUGUGCUCUUACAACAGUAAUACCAAGAGCGUAGAUUUACAAAAUACUUUGAAUUAAUACACUACAAGGAAAAAUAUAUAUGGUGACAUUUAUAAUGAGUCACCCUAAACAUAGGGUGUUGCUACAACAUAGCGUCACCUUAUCCACUGACACCAUAGAAGGUACCAAUUGGUGACGUAUUUGGAAGUGACACCAAAGCAGAUAAAUGGUGACGCAUUCAAAAGCGACACCAUAUAUUUUUAGUGAUGCUUAAUUUGAUAUAGAGUUGUGUGAGAUAUAUAAGGUGUCAUAUUAAAUGCAUCAUCUUUAAGUUAUGAUGUCACGUUAAAUGCAUCACCUUUGAGUUAUGGUGUCACAUCAUUGUAAAUGAUUAUAGAAGAUAUGAUUGUUUUUUGUUGAUUAGCCUAUAGAAUUUUGUAAUGGUUAUUAAUAAAUAAGAUCAAAGUGUGUAAAUUUUGUCCAUAAAUAUAAUAAUCAUAUUACAUUUAGCUUAUAUUUUCAUAAUGCUUAUGGAUUAACUUGUAAUACAUUACAUCAUCCACCAAUAUUUGUAUAUCAAAUGUUCACAAAACAAUAGUACAUCAAACACAUCAAACCCACCAAAACUAAAAAAGAAAAGUGAAUACACAUUAAAACAUGAUUUAGAAAUGUUAAGCAUCCCAACAUUCAUGUAUACCUACAUUUCAUAUGCAUAAAAAUAGCUAACUAUAAAAUGACAUGAGUUGCAUCAAAAAACCCAAAAUUCUCAAUUCCAAAUAAAGUAACAUUUAUGUCAUAUAAUGUAUGACAUAAGAAUCACAUCUAAAAACCCAAAUCUUGUCACCUCUUUCUCUUUUCUUUUUAUUCUUCAUAUUGUCCUCCUAAGAGUGUAUAUCUGCAUUUUAUAGUUUAAUGAGUUUUAGAGUUCUUAUUGAAAAUAAAAAUGUGAUGUUAUAAAAAAUAAACAAAUCUAAGCACUAAUGUUUUCUUUUUUCUUUUUCCUAUUUUGAUAUAAAAAUAGUUCAUAAAGAAUAAUUAAUGCUAUAUAAUACCAAUGGAAAAUUUAUAUAACAAAUAAGGGACUCACCAUGCAUGAUCACGAUACAUGAACAUGAUUCAUGAUUAGUUAUAACACAAAAGUAAUACAUUCUCCUUUAAUUUCAUCAAAUUCUACUUGAGAAUGUGUUUUUUGUCAUCAAACUGAAAUCAAAUAAGAAUAACAUUAAUAUCACAAUAAUUGGAAGUAUGAAACCAUGUACAAUUCAUUAAAUGAGUAAAACCUUUAAUGCAAUAACUGUAGAAUCAACAAUUAUUUCUUUAAUGAAUCUCAUAACAAAGUAAUCACAUUUGAACUCAAAUAAAAACAAUUCAAUAAAUAUAAAAUAAAUCAAAAUUACAAAAUAAAAAUAUAAAUCUAAAAUUUUAGAAAAUACUAAUCUUCCACUUAAAAUCUACACUUUUUUAAAUUUAUUUUUUAUAAUUCAUUAUGCUUUUAAAAACCAUUUUUUACAUCUAAUUCUUUUUAUAUAUUUUUUAUUUCUUGGAAGGAUUUUCUUAAUUUCAAUAUUUUUUUAAUGUUUGUUUUGUGAAAUAACAUUGUCCAUUAAAUUUCAUCUCAAUUAUAUAAAAUAAAAUUUUAGUAACAAAAUAUAAAUUUUUUUUCAACUAUUAAUAUGAUAAAUAGGACAUGAUAUUAUAACAAGAAUGAAAAUUGUGUAUAUAAGAUAAAAAAAAAAAAAAAAAAAACCUAAUUCAUUAUUAAGAAAUGCUAAGAGAAAAAUUAGUAUGAGAAAGAAUUAAAGAACCUUUCAUAAAAAUUAUUGAUUUUUCAAUGCAUAAGUCCAAUUGAUAUUUUUUUUUUCUAAGUAAAAUAAUUAAUAAAAAAUUUGUAUAAGAAAAAAAUAUUCAAAUAAAAAUAAUAAUAAAAUAAAAACACCAAAGGAAAAAAUAUUCAAUAUUUUAAAUUUUUGACUUUUAAUAUUCUUUAGAUCAAUAAAUUGUCAAACAUCUUUUUCUGAAAAAAAAAAUGAAGAAAAUGAAGAGUUUUAUGGAAGGAAUUGGAAAAUUUUUUAUAAUUAAAGGAUUUUAUAGAAAUUUCGUAACCUUGAAAGGAAAAUUUCAUCACCAAUCUCAAAUUACUCCAAAGUUUGGUCAAUGCAUAUAAAGACAAUAAGAAAAUAAGGCAAAAAUAAAACAUAUUUUUAGAAUCCUUUUGCAGGAGAUGACAAUAUUGAGAAUAAUUUUCUCAAAAAUUAUUUUCCAAAUAUCACCAACCCAUUUCCUCAUCACAACAUACUAUAAUAUUCUUAGAAAAUAAACAAAUAGUUCAAUUAAAGGAAAUUUCAUAGAAAAUCAAAAGAAAAUUAUCAAACAUCUUCUUUAAAAAAAAAAGGAAGAGUUUUAUGGAAGGAAAUGAAAAAAUUAUGUAAUAAAAGGAUUUUAUAGAAAUUUUCUAACCUUGAAAGGAAAAUUUCAUCAUCAAUCUCAAAUUACUCUAAAUUUUGGUCAAUGAAUAUAAAAACAAUAAGAAAAGAAAGUAAAAACAAAAAACAAAAAACACAUUUUAAGAAUAUAAAAAAUAUGAAUAGAACAAGAUGAGAUAUUAACCAUAAUACCAUGUAAAAGAAUAGAAAAAAAAAACAAAAUAUAAGAUUUGAUCAUUUUUAUAAUUAUAAAAAUUUUCAUUCCUAUUUAAAGUUUUAAAAAACAAUUCAUUUACAUUGAUAAAUAAAAAAAAUUAAUUUCUCAUUGUUAAUUCCAACAUUCCAAACUGACUCUUAUAUGAUAUGGAAACUAUUUCAUUUUUCCUUUUGUGAGAGAUGACAAUAUUGAGAAUAAUUUUCUAAAAAAUUAUUUUUCAAAUAUCACCAAUCAAUAUCCUCAUCACAAUAUUCUAUAAUAUUCCUUGAAAACAAAUAGGAAGUCCCAUCAAAGGAAAUUUCCUGCAAGAUCAAAAGAAAAUUUCAUGUUGUAAAAUGUUUAUCUCUCAUUUUGAGUAUAAAAUAUAUUAAAAAAUUAUUCAUUUUUCUUAUUUUCAUUCAUUUUGGGAUUUAUGGGUUUAACAAUGAAACAUAAGAUAUGGUGGAAUGUUAAACCUAAUUUUUACUUUCCUACAACUCAAUAAAAAAACAUUAUUUACAUAAUCCAUAUUACAGAUAUACCAAAUCAAUGAAUAUAAAUCAAUUGUACUAAUAAAGAUUUUGAUAUUAAUAAAAAAUAUUAAAAUGAUAGAUCUAAGAGAUUUUGGGUGACCUGAGAGUCCAUGAAGCAAAGAAGAGCAGUUGUGUGUUAACUAUGAGUGUGAGAAGAGGUAGAAGAAAAUUUUGGCUAGGGUUAUGGAUGAGAUUUUUUUUGGAUUGUGGGUAUAUGGAAACAAUGACCUUUUUAUAUACUAUCAUUAUUCUCAAAGUGGGCCCAUUAAGUUAUAAUAUUUUUAACAAAUUAUUUUAUAUGGUGUCACUUUUCAAACAUUGACACUAUAAACCUAAAAUUAAUAUCAUCGAUCCUAAUUGAAUGUUUUUAUAUGAUGUGUCACCUUUGUAAAUUUUAAGUCAUAUGGUGUCAUUAUUUUAAAAGUGACACCAUAAAUAGUGGCACCAUAAAUUAUUUUUGUAGUAGUGAUAUCAUGUCUUCUUGUUGUUGAACAAAAUAAUGAGCUUUUGAUGAGAAAUCACUAGUCUCAUCCAAUUGGAUCUGAACCAUUCCCUGAAGUGAAUGCAAUAUCAUCCCAAACUCAUGGACAUGGGCAAGGACAAGGAAAUGGUUGUGGUCAUGGAAGGAAUCCCCGAUAUAAUGGUUAUUAUGGUAAUAAUUCCUCAAAUUCUCAUAAAAUGAAAGCUUCAUUGCACCACCAAAAGUGGAAUAAUACUGAGGCAAAACAAGAAAAUGGGAAGUGUUUACAAGAUAAACCUCCAAAGAACGAUGAGAAUAAUUGUUAUAAAUGUGGUAUGAAGGGUCAUUGGUCAUGUACCUAUCGUACACUCAAACAUUUGGUCAACCUUUACCAAGCAUCAAUAAAAGCAAAAGGAAAAGAGAUAGAGAUGAACUUUACCAAUGGUGAUGGAUUGGACCUAACCUACUAUGACAUUGAUUUCUUUGGAAGUCCUAGUGAAAAAAUAGACCAUUUAAUAAAUGAUGAGAAUGCUAACAUUGAUUGGUGUUACUUUAUAUAUCAAAUAAUAUAUUAUUAUGUCUUAUAUUUAUAUCUGAUUAUUACAUUUUCUUUUAUAUUAUUAUUUAUAUUAUGCCUUGUUUUUUUUAAUAUUAGUUGUAUCUAAAAUCCACGUGUUAUUUGGUCUCAAGAUGAAUGAGGAUGAUGUAUGUUUCGCAAAUUGUUAAACCACACACACAAUUCUUCGAGAUAAAAGAUAUUUCAUUGAAUUGACAUUGAUAAAAGCUAAUGUAAGUACCAUAUUUGGUACUACAAGCUUAGUUGAAGGCUCUGGAAGAUGACACAUAAUGCUACCAAAUAGAACUAGAUUUCAUAUAAAUGAUGCUUUAUAUUCUAGCAAAUCCAGAAGAAAUUCGCUCAGUUUUAAAGAUAUCCACAAAAAUGUACAUCAUAUUGAAACUAUGAAUGAAGAUAAUGUAAUUAUCUUUACAUUACUUCCAUUAUAUUUGGCCAGAAGCUUAUAAUAGAAAAACUCUCGACUUUCUCCUCUAGGUUGUAUCAUACAACUAUAAAGCCUAUUGAAUCAUAUUUUGUCGUGAACCAGAAGUUCAACGACCCAAAAGUUUUUGUCCUUUGGCAUGUGAGACUAGGUCACCUAGGGUUUUCAAUGAUGCGUCAAAUAAUCGAACACUCACAUGGGCAUCCAUUAAAGAACCAAAAAAGUCUUUUGCAUAAUGAAUACUCAUGUGCUACUUGCUCACAAGGUAAAUUGAUAGUCAAACCAUUUUUAACUAAAGUCAUAUCUGAGUCACUAGUCUUUUUAAAAAGAAUACAUGGGAACAUAUGUGAGCCUACCCAUCCACCAUGUGGACCAAUUUGUUAUUUUAUGAUCUUAAUAGAUACUUCUACUAGGUGGUCACAUGUUUGUCUCCUUUUUACACGUAAUGUUGCCUUUGCCGACUCCUUUCACAAAUGAUCAAAUUAUGAGCACAAUUCCAAGGUUAUCCAAUUAAGAUAAUACAUCUUGAUAAUGUCGGCGAAUUUACUUCUCAAACAUUCAUUGACUACUGUCUAUUGGUAGGAAUAAAUAUUGAGCAUCCUAUUGCUCAUACUCAUACCCAAAAUGGUCUAGCAGAAUCCUUCAUCAAAUGUCUCUAAUUAAGAGCUCGACCAUUACUAAUGAAAACCAAAUUAUCUACUUCUACUCGGGGACAUGUUAUUAUGCAUGCUGCAACUUUAGAUUGUAUUCGACCUACAACUUACCAUGAAUACUUCCCUCCACAACUCAUACUUGGAAAAUAACCAAAUAUCUCUCACUUAUGAAUAUUUGGUUGUGCAAUAUAUGUACCAAUUGCACCUACGCAAUGCACUAAAAUGGGUUCCCAAUGAAGACUUGGGAUUUAUUUAGGUUUUAAUUCUCCAUCUAUCAUAAGAUAUUGUUAGAAAAAUUAAGCUAAUCCAACCUAAGGUAAUCAUCCUAGAAAGAGGAGGAGAGGAUGAAUAGAGUGAUGAUUUUUUUUUUAAAUUUAAAUUAUAUGAAUACGAGAGACAAUUAUAUGCAAAUAUAUAAUAAAACAAUAUAAAGAUAGAUGCAUAUAAGGAUCCCAUCUUGAUCCUUAUACAAAUGAAUAUGAACUAGAAGUUCAAAUGAUCAUUUAUUUGCAAAAUCUUGCAAACUAAUUACCAGAUGCAUUCAUUGAUAUAAAGAAAGUGACAAAAUCACAUAGCUCGGCUACAAAUACUCCAACACGGAUUGAUGUCCCUGUAGGACAGUUAAAAAAUGAACCUAAGAUAUGCCUAAAGUGUGGUAGACUUGUUGGCUCAAAUGAUGUAACUCCUUGGAAGAGGAGAACAUAAGAAAAACUUGGCACUUUAGAAGAGGUCAUUAAAAUGACUGAUUAGUCUAAAAUUGAUAAAUCUAUAGCCCCAAAAGAGGCACAAAUAAUGCAAAAAGCCCAUGAAGAGGCACAUAUUAAACAAGAAGCCCUUGAAGAGGCACAUAUUGAACAAGAAACCCUUGAAAAGGCACAUGUACCUGAAAAUUGUGAAAUCUUAGUAAGUUAUGUACACAUGGGAAAAAAAUGGGAUCCAAAUAAUAUUGUUAUUAACAAUAUUUUUGCUUUUCAAGUGGCCCAUGAUAUCAUAAGAAAUUAUGAAGAUCUUGAACCACGAAAUAUGGAAGAAUGCCAACAUAGAAAUGAUUGGCCAAAAUGGAAAGAAGCUAUGCAAGCAAAGUUAAACUUAUUAACAAAACGAGAAGUUUUUGGACCUGUACUCCAAACACUUGAAGAUGCAAAGUUUGUUGGGUAAAAAGGGGUAUUUUUACCAAGAAACAUACUCUCCCGACAUGGACAUAAUCAUAUUUUGUUUCUUAAUUAGUUUGGUAGUCUCAAAAGGAUUAGAUAUGAUCCUCAUGGAUUUUAUUACAACAUAUUUAUAUAGAUCCAUAGAUAAUGAUAUAUACAUGAAAAUCCCUGAAGGAUUUAAACUGCCUCAAACAAAUAAUGCAAAGACUUGUAACAUGUACUCAAUCAAGUUAUAACGAUCCUUGUAUGGAUUAAAGUAAGUGGGACGCAUGUGGUAGAAUCGCCUUAGCAAAUACUUACUAAAGGAAGGGUAUGUGAAUAACCCUAUAUGUCCAUGCAUCUUCAUUAAGAAAUCAGAAACCAGAUUUGCAAUUAUUGUAGUGUAUGUUGAUGACUUAAAUCUCGUUGAAACUCCUGAAGAGCUCAUAAGAACAAAAAAUUACUUAAAAAAGGAAUUUGAGACGAAGAAUCUUGGAAAAACAAAAAUUUUUAUUGGUUUGCAAAUCGAGCAUUUUCCAAAUGGAGUUUUAUUCCAUCAAUCAACGUACAUUAAGAAAAUUUUGAAGUGUUUUUAUAUGGAUAAAGCGCAUCUUUUAACCUUUCCAAUAGUUGUCUAAUCACUUGAUAUGAAAAAAAAAAAAAACAUAUUUCAGCCUUGCAAAAAAUGUGAAGAAUUACUUGAUCCUAAAGUACCAUAUAUUAGUGCUUGGUGAACUUAUAUAUCUUGCCAAUUGUACAUGUCUAAACAUUGUUUUUUUUUGUCAAUUUAUCAACAAGAUAAAGUUCCACUCCAACUCAAAGACAUUGAAAUGAUAUCAAACAUAUAUUGCACUAUCUUUGUGGAACUACUGAUGUGGGUCUAUUUUACUCAAGGGAAUCAAGCAACAAUUGAUUGGAUAUGUAGAUGUAGGAUACCUUUCAGAUCCACAUAAAGGUAGGUCAUAAACAGGGUAUAUGUUUAAUUGCAACGGUACUACUAUUUCAUGGAGAUCUGUCAAACAAUCAAUGAUGUCAUAUUAUCAAAUCAUUCAAAAAUACUUGCAAUUCAUGAAGCAAGUCGUGAAUAUAUAUAACUAAGAUCUAUGAUCCAACAUAUUCGGGAACCAUAUGGACUCUCCUCUAUCAAAAGUGACUCGACAAUAUUAUUUGAAGAUAAUGUUGCAUGCAUUGCACAAAUAACAGGAGGUCAUAUUAAAAAAGAUAGAACUAAACACAUUUCAUCAAAAUUAUUUUAUACACAUGAACACCAGAAAAUUAGUGAAAUUAGUGUGCAACAAAUACGCUCAAUUGAUAAUUUAACAGAUUUAUUCACAAAGUCAUUUCCAACCUCAACAUUAAAGAUGUCAAUACACAAGAUUGGAAUACAUCAACAUGAUGGAGAGUUUGCUUGUAAAAGGGUGUUAGUGUAUUGUACUUUUUUUCCCUUUAUCCAGAUUUUGUCCCGUUGGGUUUUACUAGCAAGGUUUUUAAUGAGAAAGUCCUAACAUAUCAAGAGUAACUUAAAUAAUUAUCAUAAUAUUGUACUCUUUUUCCUUCACUAGGUUUUCCUAUAUGGUUUUUUACUAGCAAGGUUUUAAUGAGACAUAUUCUUCUAAUGUGGUUGACAUCCAAGAAAAGUGUUAUAAAUAAAGUAAUGAAUACCACCACAUUUAUUAUAUUAAAUAUUAAUUAAUAUUAUUUAUGAAUUCCAUUAAUAUUCAUUAAUGGAAGCCAUUUGGAAAGCCUAUAAAAUGGCUUCCCAUCCCCUGUAAGAUGUAUCCUAAGGAAAGAAAGAAAUUCUCUCGCUCUUAUUCUCUAUGUCUUUCAUUCUUUCAACUCUGUUAAUUCUCUUUUCUGAUUCUUUCAUUCCCAUUAUAUAUUAUUAUUAAAAUAAUAUAUAGUUGUUCUCUACUUUUAUUUACGUUGCAUUUAUCCUCGUUUUACAACACUUAUUUUUUUCUUUUCCUUAUUUUAUUUUAUUUUUUUCCCUUCUAGUUAUUAUAAUUAUUAUUUCAAAUUUUUUAUAAAUAUUAUAUAUAACUUAUAAUGCAAUAAUAAUAAUAAUAAAAUAAUUUUACAAAUAUUGUUUCAUUCAUGUAUUGAAGACAGUUUUCUUAUAUAAACUUUCAUAAAUUUUCAAUUGUUUUUUACAAUAUGAUUAUUAAGAAAAUAUUACAAUAAAAAAUUAGUAUUGAUAAUUAUGAAAAAUCAAAAUUAAAGCAUGUGUUAUCGUACUUUCAGUGUACUUAUAUUGUAAUUUCAAUGCAUAACUAUGACACAUACAUUUUGGAACAAACUUAAUAGUGUUAGAAGCGUUGUCUUAUCCUACUAUAUUGAUUUCUAUAUUAUUAAGGCAUCCCAAUGAAUUAGCAUCAUAUACUAGAUGCAUUCUUAUUAGCAAUAAUUCUUAUAAUGAAACUCAUACACCUUAUAAAAAAAAAUGUCUUAUAAGGUUAAUUUAUAGUAGAUGAAAUGUUAAAAAAUAUAUAAAAUAUAUGACAACCAUUCAUCAAUGCCUGUUUAAAAGGAAAAUUUUAAAAUACAGUUAGGUUUUGCAGUAAUGUAUAAGACAUUUAAAGUAUUCAUGUUGUAAGAUCAUUAUAUUUUUGUGGUACGUAUACGUUGGCUUUUAUAUUAAUACAUAAUAUCGGUGUACUAGCAUUAUACAUUUAAUGAAUCAUUAUUAUGCAUGAUUUUUAUAAUAAAGCCUAUAAGUUUUAAGAAUUAGAUGAAAGAAAGAUCAUAUUCUAAGAUUGGUUUAUAAUCAAUGACAUUAUGAAAAUAAAAAUAUGAAUAAUGAUACAUAUGAAAUAUUAAUAAUAUAAAACUAAUAUCAUAAAUAAUAAUAUUAAUAAUAUGUUAAUAAUGAUGAUAAUAAUAAAUAUAUAAUUAUAAUUUUUUUUAAUAAAUAGUAUAGUUAGUCUUAACAUAUAGUAAAUAAAGCACAAAAGGUAGAAAAGAAAAGUAGAAAAGUAAAGUUAUAUGGGAGUAGGAGGAAAAGACAAAAUGAUGUAAUUGGAAUUAUGAAAUGAUCAAAUUAUCAAACUAUAACUUGUGAAUUUGACAAGACUUUGAGACUUGGUGACCCUUAAGGGAGAGCUUAUCAUCACUUCGAGCUAGGUGACCAUUUUUAAAAAAAUUUCGAAAAUAAAGCCCAAGAAAAAUUUAUUUAUUAAGAAUAAUAACAAUUUUGUAGUUUUUUAAUACAAAUUAGAUAUUUAAUUUAUUAGAAUCAUUUUGAUGGUAAUGACAAACAAAACAACUCCUUAAAUAGGUGAAAUAAUUCAUUUUCUCAGUUUUACAUGCAAAAUUAUUUUAAAACAAAAGGGAUAAUACAUUAUUUUUGUUCAUCAAUCCACAUUUUGACUUUCAUUUUAAAAUCCAUCUAUAAAAAUCUCUCUUUAUAUAUAUCUGCCUAGAUUGCCUAACCAUCUAUUCAGUCAUUGUCUAUAACUUCUUGCCUGAUUAUCAAAUUAGAUGUUCAUAUUUGCAUAUAUUUAUUCAUUCCACCAUGUAUUUUGUUGGCUUAUUUGUAAUGUAUACAAUUUUGAUUAUUUGAAAACCGAAUUUCCCCUAACCCACUAAUAAAAAGCAAGUAAAAGUCCGACCAAGAGGGGUGUUCUUGGCCGGUGGCCUUCCUGAUAAGUCACCUUAGCCGUAGACUAGAUUUAGAUUUUGCAAUUAGUACCUUUCUUUUCCUUGUAGGAAUCACUAUCAUCUUGACCAAUCUAGCCAUGUACCAAAAAGUCAAUUUUGCAAAGUUUAAGAAGUUUGCUUUAACCCUGUUCAUCAUAGUUGACAGAAGUUAGAAUUACAAUGAAAUAUCUAGGAGAAAAUGUCCGCUGGAGCAGAGAGAGAGAGUGAAGGCAAUACAUUCAGUCAUGAAUUUGAUGCAAAUCCCAAAGUACGUAAUUGUGUCGAAUACUCUCACCAUGAUUGUCAAUCUAUCGGAUCAGACGAUUACUAUGUUUGCCAAAAAUGCCUGGGCCGUAUGUGGAAUAAAUCAAUUCCACAAGGAGGGGAAACUGCAAAAUUCCGUACAAGGUCACUGGAAAACAGGCUAAUGCAGCCAAGGUAAUAAGAAUCCAUGCCUUAUUUUCACCAAAGAGAAGAUAGAUUGCGCUACUGUAGGCUAUCAUCAUGAAUGUUACGGAGAGGAAUAGAGUAACAAGGCCAAAUAUCAACCUCCUGGGAAGGGCAAAAAUAAAAUCAUCUUCUGCAUAUCGUGCCGUGAGAAUGGAUAGGCAUAUCAGCACCGAAGCAAUGGAUAGGAAGAGGGAAAGAGCAUCCGCAGCUGCAAAAACUUUGAAGGCCUUUUCUUUGGAGAAAUUUGGUAUGCCAGUAUCAUCAUGGUUGCCACCCGGGAUGGUAAUUGCUGCUGCAAACACUACAGUAGCAAUAAGCGCUGCUGCCAAUGUGUAAAAUUUUGCUGUGCCUUUCAUCCAUUUCUCCCCUUCUUUUAUCAACUUUUUAUGUUCCUUUAUAAAUGCCAUUUUCGGUUUAUCUCCAUCUCUGUUCUCAGAUUCACUGAAGGCUCUCGGGGCAUAUUUUUCAAUUUCCUGUGUAAAAAUAAAAAAGUUUCUAAGAUACAGAAAAAGAGUGGAUAUGCAUAAGAAAAUUAAUUCCCCUUCAAAACAAAAAUUAUUACCUUAAACCAAUGUAACUCGCGUUGCAUUUGUAGAGCUGCACCAGAAACAAGACUGAGCCGGUGCGGAGGGGCCAAUUUUCCAGCCAAAUGCAAGAUAUUAUCGUUAUUUGUAUCAUCUCUGGUUCGUAUUAUAAGUUGUCUAUGCAUACCGGUUUCGCAGAUGAGGUUGAAAAUCUUUUCAUAACGAUUUAAUACUACCAAUUUGAAUACAUCCUCAUCCAGAUACUCGAGUGCAAAAGGAUAUGACUUUAUAAUCUCUUCCAGAAUCUCGGGAAUCCCAUAUUUUGCCCCAUUAAUGAAUGAUUGUCUAAAUAUUUCCUUUGCUCUUGACACUUUCAAAACUUCAGUACAUAGGUGGUUAAGCAAUUGAAGAGUCAGAGUAUGCAUUGUUUUUGUUUCUUGGAUAUGCUUGAUGGGUGGUGGCACUGCAAUUAAAAUUAUAUUAAGGACAACAUAACAUUGCAUUCAAGACUUUUGCAUGCUUUAGUGGUAGUUUUGUUGUGUCCCUUACCUAACCAUCCAACCGGUUCCCAGAAUAUUGCAUUUGCCUUUCGGCAAGCUGUGUGCAACGUAAAAUUGAAGCAGGUCAGAUGCAAAAGCAGGACUAACAGAAGAAAAAACAAAAAAGCAACCCUGAACCAAGUACCAAUUAAACACUAAUCUAAAUUAAAGUGAUCGUGAGAAGUUGCCAACUCAUAUUUCAUAUAUUUCCCUUAAACCGUCGCACUUGAAUUUAAAGCCUAAGAAUCAAGAAGCUCAAUUACUCGAUAUUCACAAAAUCUAUCAAAGCAAUGAAAAUUGUGUAUCUCUGAGUAGGGAAUUUGAUUGUAGAGCUGAUUUCAAAUCCAUUAAGGAAAAAAAAUGCAGACAAUUUUGUGAGGACAAAUUAAAAUUGUGAGGACCUCGAAUUCAACAAAUUAGCAUUUCUCUACCGGGUGCAAUUUGGCAAAUUGGUUUGACCUUACUCGAAUCUCGGUGAAGUUGAGAAACCAUUUUUAGUACUCAAGUUAGGAUUUGGUCGAGUUUCUCAACCAAAAGUUAAUUUUGGUUAAGCUCAAUUUUGGGCUGAGUUCAGACUAAUGCUUCAACAAUCUAAGCUGAAUUAAACUCCAUUAAUAUUUUAUAAUAUUUGUAGAAUGUAUUACUAUAUAAUAAUAUCAAAUUUUUUUAUAAAAUAAGUUUAAGGGAAAAAUCAUCAAAAUAUAUUAAGCUAACUCUCAGAAAUUUGCCUACCCCCUUGUGAAUACUAUUUGGAAAGAAAAUUAAUUAGGAAGCCUCUUAAGCAAGCCGAAAAGGUAUCUUGUCCUUUGUAGCCUAUGCAUCCAAAAGUACAGGGCCUAAUGAACAUGAGACCCAAGCAUGGUGCCUACUACUUCAUCACAUGUACGGAUGGUUAUAUCUACAAGUCCAAAGAAUUGCUUUGAUUUAUAUGUUAUAGGAAUAUUGUAAAAAAAUUGAAAAGAAAAAACUAUUACAGCAUUAAGGAUAAAUCAUGGACAUGAGUAUCCAUUGAAGAGUUUUAAAAAUCUCUAUGAUGAAAAGGAAAUCCAAAGAACAAUCAAUAUCUUCAAGGACUCCAUUGUAAAAUGGUUGAACUGAAAAAAGUAACCAUAAACUUUUGAUAUGGUUCACUCAAAAAGGCACAAGCCAACUAUCUAACAUCUUUUGGGGUGGGAAAGGAGGGUUACUAUUUUGAUUACAACUUAAAUCUUGAAUAGAGUGCCCUCAAAAUCAAUUACUUCAAAUCCAUAUAGUUAAGAAGCCAAACCUAACUCACUUGUGAUCCUAAGGGUUAGCAGGUUUAGUUCAUGUAAAUUCUCAUAGAUAUUGUGCUAUAAAGGAAACAAGUGCACUUUCAUUAGAUAUUCUAAUAAAUGAAAGGUUGCGUGAUGCUUAGUGAACAACUCAAUGGGAGUAUAAUUGAAAUUAAGUCAUAUGAAGUUAAUUUCUUAUAGGAUGAUAUUUUGAGUAAAGGAGCAUUGAACAGGAGUCUCAAUUUAUUUGAGGCAAUUAAACCAAAGGAAAAUACUAUGAUAUCUCAUAUCGAAUAAGGGAAAAAGUUAUAUAAAUAGAAGCUUCUCUUAAUUAUUUAGACACAUUUUAAUGUUAUGAGGGCUCUUUGAGCCCAAAGUGGAUAGUAUAUAUUUACAUGGUUGGGAGUGAGUCAUUACAAAUGGUAUCAAAGUGUAUCCUCAUAGAUCGAGAUAGAAAAAUUCAGUAUGUGACUUACUAACAAUUGCAUGCAAGCUCCCCAUGAAUUGGUAUUCAUAAUUUAACAAGAUGAAUGUUAUCAACCUCUCAAGACUACCCCUACAAUCCUUGAGUUGUAGAUCCUCCUAUUAUAUGAUCAAUUGACAUACUCUCCAAGAUACGUCAAAUUCCACUUAAGGAAUUAUCGUGGCCACAAUUUUCAUAAUCACAUGUCCUUAGGAUCACCUAAGGGGACAUAAUGUCUCAAACCCCUAAGAUAUCAUGGUGCUUAUCUUGAGAAUACCUAUUAUCACAUGGCUCAAUCAUAGUGACCCAAUCUAUAGAGAAUAUAUGAGCACUUUAGGGUCUCACUCAUGGGUCAAAGCCAUUGAAGACCUUAGCACUAGAUCAAUAUUCUCUAAAGGUUGAGAGCUUAUACAGCAUAGCAGCUUGGUGAAGUCUAGACUACCUAAUGACCAAUGUCUGACUCACUGUAAAUCCUAUUUAAUGUCUAACCUAUUAGAAUUGAGCCCUAAAAAGAAUGACAUGAUGUAACAGAUAGAGAUUUAUUUAUAUUUUUUACUUUCUCUUUAUUAUUUCAUUGACAUGAAUUGGUUAAUUAGAUGAUCCUGUAUGGUUAAUUAAUCAAUUAGGACUCAUUUUAGGCAAUAUUAAGUGACCCAAGCCUUAGUGGACUCAAGUCAUUUAAGCCUAGUAGGGAAUCGCUAUAAAUACCAUUUAAGGGUUAGGGUUCCAAUCACUUUUUGAAAGACAAUCAUCUUCUACAUCUACAGAGAGAGAGCCUAUCGUUCCUCUCUUCCAAAGCCCACAUUUUGGAGUGCCAAGAUCAUGGAUCAAGUCAUCAAGCAAAAUAUUUUCGGUGUAUGAGACCUCUGGACUCUUUAGGCUUCAUCUUCAUUAAGCAGAAUUGAUUUGAGAACCAUUUAAAUCAAAGGUAAAUUUUGUUAGCCCAAGGGUUCUCCUAAUCGCAUUUUGAUGAUAAUAAACCAUGGUUAAGUCGUUAAUUGGUUUGAAUUAUAAAGAAUUUCAGGUAUUAGUUUGGAAAUUCAUCAAAGGACUCAAUGGAUGCAAGAUCAAGACAAUUGGAAGACCCUUUAAUAAUAGGAAAUAUAUGUAAGAUGAAUGCAUGGUGCACUUAGGAUUUCAUAUUUUUUCAUGCUCUUUAAAAACUAGGUAUAGGCAUUAAAGUUACAUUUCCGUCAAAACCCGGGUUUUAUCAAAUGAAACUUAGGAAAAUUGUUUCAUAAUUGACAUAUUAAUUGACCGAAAUACCUUGCCUAAGUGUUAGAAGAGAAAAGAAUAAAAAAAAAGAGGUUUUGAGGCAAAAAAUGGUGAACUGGUCAAGGUAUUAGUCAACUGACUCAACCGAUUAGGGCACCGGUCAAUCGAUUACACCUUCUUGAUCAAGGUCUAGUUGAGAAAUGCAAUAAAUCUUCUCUCUCUUCUUGUAGCUUUGCAUUCCUGGUCGAGGGAUAUGCCUUCUUGGUCGAGAUCCGAUUGAGGUUUGGUCAAGGAUUAGUCGAGGCGUAACGGUCACCUACCAUGCAUUUAUUGUCCAAUGGCUUGUAAACCGGUUGACACUCAACUCGACUAAUCAAGGCUACUUUUUGGCAUUUUUGGUUCCCAAUGCUAGAAACCUAUAAAUUGAGAACUCCGCUUCAUUUAUGAGGUAGAGAACACCUGCAUUUAUUUGUCUACCUACUUGUUUUUGCCUCAAAAGUUCUCAUUCUUUCCUUAGUGCAUUAAAUCUCCAUUUGCAUAUUCUUUAGUGCACCUUUGUGAUUCUUCCUAACAUUUAAGUUGUAUUUGAGCCCUUGUUGAGCUAGGUUGAGAGAUUCAAACUUAUCAUUUGAGUGUUAAAAGCUUCAAGUGAGUAACACUUGAAGGGAUUGUGUAAUAUCCCAUUAGAGUUGGAAUCCAAGUGUAAAGGUGAUUAAAAGCUUGGUUGAAGCUUCAAGUAUAGUGGAUUCUUCACUUAGUUAGGAGGUUGAGGGGAGUGGACGUAGGUAAGGAAGUGUUGAACCACUAUAAAAUCUGAGUUUGCUCUUUCUAACCUUAUCUCUUUAUAUUUGUGUUUCCUUUGCUUGAAUUCGUUGUGUUUGAAAAAUAUUUUUUUUAAACCCAAUUCACCCCUCCCCCCCUCUCCCUUCCCCUCUUGGGUGUUUUCUAUAUUAAGAUUAGCCUUUUAUUUUCUCAAAGUUUUUAAUGCUUGUUCUUUAGAUUAUAAAAUGUUAAAAUUUUGAUUUUUGCUUCUGUUGCAUAAGAUUUAGAGCUCUAGGGUAUUUUGCAUGCACCUAUACAAUCUAGGGUUAUGGGAAUAGAGAGAUCUAGGUUUCACAACAUAACUAAACACACUAGCACACUCACCAUAGGAAACCCAUCCUAAUGACUAGGGCAAGUCAUCCUUCCAAUAAGGAGGUAGUGUACUAUAGCCUUAAAUGGAUUAUUGAAGUCCAUGAACUAGUUGUGAAUGAGUCAUUAACUUGCAAGGAAUCUAUGACUUAGAUUUUCCAUGUAACUCCUAAUUCACUCAAGUCAUGUACAUGCAAGUAAUGUAGGUUUGAAUGCUUAACAUACAUAAUUCAUAAAUAGGAUAGUAAAUAGAAAAUCGAAGCCAUAAUGAAAGUAUUAAUGAACUCCAUUUAUGGUUACAUCAUAUCAAGCUUUUAAAGAAUCUAUCCCAAUAUCAUGAUCUUAUGAUGCAAACAUGAAAGCUUCACCUUAAUGCCCACAAUUACAAUUAUGAGAUAGUUCCAAGUUUUUUUCCACACACAUCUAAAUCUAGUGAAUUAAUAUGUAAUGGUAAAAUCCCACUUAGUGGCAUAAUCUAGUAGGUGGCAAGUCACUACUCAAGGUUACUAUCUUGUCGAGUCACUCAUAUCCUUAGCAAGAUCUUUAACAUCUAUAAAAACUCACUCCCAAUCAAGUAGAUAUUGUUUACUCUGAACUCAAAGGGACCUUAGAGAUUUAAGACACAUUUGCAUGGUUAAGAAGAGCUCUUACAUACAUAAUGCUAAGAACUUUUUCCCCUAUUCAAUGUAGGCUAUCAAAACCACCCCCAUGAAGACAUAAAGUCCUCAUUGUGUCCCAUAGGAUUAUAGGAAAAAUUGGAUUUUAAGGGAGCCAGUACUUCCCUAUGGGUCUAGUGGUUCCCACUCAAAAUCAUAUUCCUUUGUAAAAAAUUAUUUGAGGAAUAGUUGGAUUCUUUAUUUGUAUGUGUGUAUAAGAGCAUUUUGGUACAUACAGAAGAUUGCACUAGCACAUAUAAAUAGUCUUUUUAGAUUCGGAUAAUUAAUUAAUUGUAGCUCAAUAGAGCAAAUUAUUUAAUUAAGACCCAAUGAGUGAGAUUAAGUAACCCAAAUGUAAGAUUAGCUCAAGUCACUCAAACUAAGAGGUAAGCCUAUAUAAACUCCUUAAAGGGUUUAAGGCUUAGUACUUUUCAUCCAUUCAAUCUUCUAUCUUAAUAUCUAUCCCCACAGAGAGGAAUCUAACAUCCUUAUGUGUUAGGACAGAGGAAAGAGAGCUAUCAAGCAAAAGAUUGUGAGGUAUUUGAGAUUUAAAUUAACCUUUUCACCAAUUAGAUUCAAUUCCUUGAGCACUUAAAUCUAAUAUUCAUUGUUUUGAAUUAUCCCAUUACAUAGUUCUAGCAUUUAUGUGAAGAUAGUAGCAUGCACCUAAUGAUCUAGGGCUUGAAGUUAAGUAAUCUAGAUGUUCCAACACAUGAGAAGCCUGAAAUUUUUAAUAAAGCUCUCUUAUCCCUACUUGUAAUAUAUGGAAGCUACAGUGAAAUAGCAUAUGAAGUUUAUUAUCAAGAACUCUAUUUGAGAAUUAAUUGAACUAUUGUUAAGACAUAAGACCUUAAUGAAUAAGUAGGUUUUUAAGGUCAAACUUAAGGUAAAUGAUGCAAGGUGUUAAACUUAACUCAUGAAGAAAGGAUACAACCAAAAUGAGAGUGUAGAGUAUAAAAAAAAAAAAAAAAGAACUUCUCAUGAGAAGUGAGGUUUGCCCCAACUCUCCUUAUUCAAACCAUUAUCACAUCUUUGGAUUUUAAAUUAUAUCAAAUAAAAAUUCAAAUUGUUUUUCUAAAUGGAGAACUCAAUAAGAAGAUCUAUAUAAAUCAACUAACUUGUUUUAUGGCAACUAAAUAGAAAGGUAAAGUUAACAACUACAAAGGUCUAUUUAUAACCUACAAUAAUCAUCUAAACAAUGGUAUAUUACACUAAUGGGUUUAUGAUGGUCUAAGAACACUAUUGCAUGUUUGUUAAAUGGUGUAAGGGUAGAUUCUAUAUUCUAUUUUUUGUAUACAAAUGAAAUGUUGGUUAGGGAUGAUAAUGAGAUGGUUGCCUCUAAAGUGUGAUGGUCGUCAACUUUUAAAAUGAACAAUAUCCUUAAAGCAAACUAUGUGUUCAAAGUUAUGAUCCUAAUCAAUCAAUCAAGGAGACU